rnacentral:lncRNA from 1 species
UUUUUUUUUUUUUUUUUUUGGUUUUGCCUGGAUUAGCACUACUCAUUUUUGGCUCCUUUGAUUUGGCCGCUUGAAAUUGUACAUGCUUCUUCAUCUGAUUUUAAUUCCUUAUUAUUUUUAAUCAAUAGAAUGUUUUUUCAAUAAUUACAAACUAAAACGAAGUACGUGCCAACUUGGUAAGCAUUCUUGCUUCAAGUUUGCAUCAACUGAGGCUAUUCAUUCGGUUGAAGCAUUGAGUUCUGUGGUUAAUAAGUUGUUAGAUUGAAGAAGAGUAUUUGGAGAAUUUGUGUGUUCUGGAUAGGAAAUUAUUUGAAGAAAAAUAUUUAGAAUGAUACCAUAACACUUAAUGUGAUGAUGUGAAGUAAGUGAAAUAAAAAAUGUAAUUAAAAAUUAUGUUUAUUAUGCAAGUUAAAUAACAUUUACUUUUUUUUCUUCAAAUCAUAUUUAUACAAAUAGAAAAUUUUUCAUCAACUAAGUCCAUAUGAUUGGCAUAGAAUUUUCCAAGAACGAAUCAAAAAUAUAUAUAUUUCAGUAUCUUUUUUAUCAAAGCCAGAAUGACUUUUACGGCAUUUUACAAACUUAAACCCACAGGAAACCACAAAAGCCGGCAACUCUUGUGGUUCCUGAGGAGACUUAUAUUUCAGUAUCAAGUGCAUCAAUCAUCAUCAGAAUAUAAAGGUCCCUGUUGAAGUACGAUGCAGGAAUGGUUGUGAUCCAGCUUCUAUAACGCCCUAAAAUCCCACCGUAGUUUAAAAUCUUACUGUCAAAUGUUUUUGGCUGUAUCGCUAGUGCUUCUAAUACGUCUAGUUGGUUACACAUUUCUGGGAUGCUCAUAGACAGGAGUUAAAACUAUUCGGCGUAAAGGUUGGCUAUAAUUCAAAUUAUUUUAAUUUUUAAAUCCCGGACCCAAAUUUUUUUAAGUAAUUAAAAAAUACAAAGGACUCCAGCUAAAAGUUAACCUUUUAAUUUGUGGAUGCUUUUGUAGUUUGAUGCAAGAACCAAUAGGAAAAUGUUACCAAGAAACAGUUUGAAGUUAGAACCGAGGCCAAGUUGCAUCACUUCCUUCUACAGACUUGGCAAGAAAAAUUGUGGAUGCAUGUAGUUUGAUGCAAGAACCAAGAGAAAAAAGUUAUCCUUUUAAUGCAAUCCAAUAAAUGGUAUCCGAAAUCUCUCUUAGUUCUCGAUGGCGGUUCAGUCCCUUCAACUUCUCUAUUGACCUUCUCAGAUAGAAGUAUGCGUGGGAUCUACUGUGUCGAAAAAAGAAUAAAAAAAAACUCUCUCCUUUCAAAAUAGCCUCCUACUACAUGACCUUGUCAAAAAAAGUCACCACCUAACUUUAUUUUGUAUUUUUGAAUUUGCAUCACCACUUGAUUCUGCACUUUAAAUUUUAAUUUUAAAUAUCUUGCAUCCUAAACUCUUAAUUUCAGAUAUUUUACAUUCAAAACUCUCAAGUCUUAUCUUAUCUAAAUCCCAAUCAAUAACAACUUUUACAAAAUUUAUGAGAUAAAAAAUGGUGCGUAGAUAUUGUCAGUGUCGGAUUCAUGAAAUAUGUGCAAAAGUUAAAUUUCAAAUUCAAAAUUUACAUAGUUGUCAUUCAUCCAACUCUAUACACCAUAGUUAUUAAACCCGGUCCGGCCCGACGGUUCAACCGGGCAACCCGGUGAACCGGCCAUAGAACCGGGCCGGGUUGCUAAUUAGAUCGUUUGGACAAUAGAAUCGUUGACUUUUUGACGAACCGGUGGUUCAACCGGUCAACCCGUUGAACCCGCCGGUUUUCUGAGGAACCCGGUUGCCAUGCGAAAAUUUUUUUAGAAAAUGUUGCCUUGAUGGUUCAAACUUGGAACCUCAAGUAUAAGAAUGUAGUGCAAUCACCACUAGACCAACAAUCCAUUUGUUAGUUGUUUGGUCCUUCUUAUAUUAUAUAUUAGACUUUUAUUCUUAUUUUAUUUCUUCAAAACAAAAUUUAUUUGAAAUCUUUUAAUAAAAUUUUAUUUAUUUCCCGAAUUCCAUAAGGCAAAUUUUAAUAAAAUAACAUUAUCUAGUUUAUUUCCAUAAGUUAAAACCAAAAGUUUGUUAAAAAUAAUGAAAUUUCCAUAAGGCAAAUUUAAGUUUUGUUGAUUCUUAUAAGAAUUAAUGAUUCUAUAAUAAAUUAGACUAAUUGAACAUUUACUAAGACAUAGUUUAUUAUAAUUUCAACCAUAUAAAAAAUUAUAAGACAUAAUAUUUAAAUAUAUUUAGUGAUCCACCGGUUGGACCACUCACCCACUGGUUGAACCAGUAACCCGCUGACCCACAUCUUUCACCGGGUUCUUCCCCGGGUCGAGUUUAAUAACUAUGCUAUACACUGUCAGUGUAGAAAAUAUUAAUCUUAAAUUGUAAUAUAUCGUUUUGUUUUAAUUACAAUCUCUUAUACUUCAUUAUGAUCACUUUGAACACAUUGUCAUUAAUUUGUAGGAUAUUUUGGCACUACUAAUUUUGCUAACAUAAUUAUUGUCAUUAAUUAGAUUUAAAUUAUUAAAACUUGAAAAUUUAAGAUAUAGAGCGUUCAAAAUUGAGAAUUUGAAGUACAAAGGAUCCGAAAGUUCAAGGCGCAAAGUACAAAAUAUGGUACGUACAAGUUCACGGAUGCAAAUUGCAAAGUGAAGUUAAUCCAAAGGCCACAAAAGAAUUUCCAAGGGAAAAGGACACCCAGAUGCCGUCAAAUUACAACUGUACCAGAUAAACUUUAUAUUUCAUAUGAGUCAAAAACAUGCGACCGUGGUCACUUCUCUCCCCACUCUACAGUCACUGCCGUCGCAGCUCCUCCUACGUAUUUGCCGCCAUCUCCACCCGGACCACCACUAUCACCACCCAUUUCCACCGCACCAUGGCCACAACAGCCUCCGAGCCUACAAGCCCAUCCAACACCCGUCUAGGUUGGAUUGGAACUGGAGUCAUGGGCAUCUCCAUGUGCUCCCACCUAAUCAACGCCGGCUACAAUCUCACCAUCUUCACCCGAACCCCCUCCAAGGCCCAACCCCUCCUCUCUCUGGGUGCCCACUGGGCCGACUCCCCCAAAACUGUCGCCUCCCAAUCCGACGUCGUCUUGUCCAUCGUCGGUUACCCAUCCGACGUCCGCCACGUUAUCCUCCACCCAUCCACAGGCGCUCUCUCCGGUUUACGCCCCGGAGGCAUCAUCGUUGACAUGACCACCUCGGAUCCCUCACUCGCCAUUGAAAUACACUCGGCAGCCACCUCUGCCGGCUGUUCCGCCGUUGACGCCCCAGUAUCCGGCGGCGAUCGUGGCGCCCGCAACGCCACGCUCUCUAUCUUCACAGGCGGGGACGGACCUAUCAUCGAAAAACUAAAACCCAUUUUCGCCCUCCUCGGAAGAGUUUAUUACAUGGGUGCUCCAGGAAAGGGGCAAUUCACGAAACUAGCAAACCAGAUAACCAUAGCUUCAACAAUGGUGGGGCUUUGUGAAGGUUUAGUAUAUGCCCACAAGGCUGGUUUGGACCUAGAGUUGUACUUGAGUGCGAUAUCUACAGGCGCGGCUGGAUCCAAGUCGUUGGAUUUGUAUGGGAGUAGGAUUUUGAAAAGGGAUUUCGAGGCCGGAUUUUUUGUGAAUCAUUUCGUGAAGGAUUUGGGGAUAUGCUUGAGGGAAUGUCAGAAUAUGAAUUUGGCAUUGCCGGGUUUGGCACUGGCUCAGCAGCUUUAUCUUUCGCUUAAGGCUUAUGGUGAGGGGGAUUUGGGCACCCAGGCGCUUGUUUUGGCGCUUGAAAGGCUCAACAACGUUUCACUCGAUUCUGCUGGUGGUGCUGCUGGUUCAGGGAAUAAAACAUGAAGGUAGGGAUUGGUAAAGUUUUGAUAUUUUGAGGAUGGAAAUAUAAAUGUUAUUACACUUCUUUUUGUUCACAUUUUGAUUGUGUUGGAAACUUCGCUAUGGAUCAUAAUUCUGGUAAAAAGCAUGAUUAAUCCGAGUUAUUUAACUGUGUGCUUUUUCCAAAGAAGAUCGCGACUCCAAUGUAGUCUGUUAUGUGGGUUGGGUUCAAUUACACAACUGUAGACACUUUAGACAUUAACACACAAACCGUGUGUCAGUCAUUGCACUAGAAGUUGUGUUUUUGCAUGUUGUUGUUGUUGUUCCAAUGUCUACAUUCGUUAUUUUAGUUUUUGCAUCUAUUGUGUCAGUGCACACACUUGGUGCAGAUGCCCUCGAUCUGUGUUAUGUUUUUCUUUGUAGUCUAGUGAGAGUUUAAGAAAAAAUUGUUUUCGUUGGGGGGCUUGGUUGGAUUAUUCUUGCAAAUCUAGUGAACUCAAAAUUGGAUAUGCAGUCCUUACCUUGCAUGUAAUCCUAUGGGGAGCUGAAAGUGGACUGUUGGCAUACUACGUUGGUUGGAAAAAAAAAAUCUAAGAACUCCAAUAAGGAUCAAGGAAACCAUGGGCAUCUUAUCUGCUAAUAAAAAUGAAGAUAUGGCUCUGCUCUUGUUUGCUCAUGACGUGUGACGUGGGAGUUGUUAAAUUAACCUAGCUCUUAAACCGCUAUGUGUUAAAUCCUUAUCCUUGUUUCAGUCGCCUCUUUUAUUGAAGGUUACUGGGGUUACUUUUUUGCAUGUUGAAUAUGUUAGGCAGCCUGGGGGACUGGGUCUGAGUAAUUCAGAAUGACCUGUAAGUUUACUUUGAGCUCGCUUGUUGUAUGCUGCUGCUUUUCCACGUUUGAAAGAUUUUGCUGUAUCCUAUGUAUGCAGAUUGAGGCAAUGAAGGAACUUGGAUUGGGUUGGAUCAGUGGGAUACUUCUUGUGUAUGGCUCUGAUUAUGUGUUCUCCUAAUUUAAAAGUGAACAGGGUUCUUGUUGUUCAGGUAGAAGUUCACAGCUUGGAAUUAGGUUAAAAGCAGGGGAAGUUCAAUGCAUGUAAGGCAACAUUUGCAGAACCCUGAGGAAUAGUGGAAGCAAAAGAAAAUUAGGCAUCCUUGUGCAUGUAAACCAUGGAUUUCUUGUUCAGGCAGUUUGUCAUGGGAGUGUUGUUUCAAUUAUUAGCAUAACUGCGGUGAAUCAUUAGUAAGAGGUUCGCAAACUUAGAAGAUUGAUUGUAGACUAUCCUACACUGAUGCUACUGACCAUGACACGAUGAAUUUCUGGUCCUACUGAAUGACUGAGCUGUGGUAAACAUGUUGCAGAAGUAACUACUUGUUCAUUAAUUUUUUGAUACCAAAAAUAAAAAGGGUUUAUGCAGCUGCAAAGCGCAUGAGUGCAAUAAGGUGUAGGAACUUUAGUGCUUGGUAUUACUUUGUGGGGUUCUACUAAAUAGUUUGUUGGGUGCCAUAAGUUGCCUCAUGUCUUCAAAUCAUGAAGCCACGACCUCUUCUAAUGUGUUAGCAGUUAAUUUGUAUGAGAUGUUAUCUCACUCGUAAAUGAUUUAUCUGUCUGGUAAAGAGAGAUAAAAUGUUAUAGACAUUAUUGUCAGGUAAGAAUGCAAUGGCCUAUGAUCUUUAUGUAAAAGCGGGAUGAAUUAGAUCGUUUUUAGACGUUUUUUGAUUGAGAAAAUAUUGAAUUUGAUGCUUUUGAAUUGUUUAACAAUCAAGUGCACGCUUUUAUCAUUGGGACUGUAUGGGAGCGGUUAGUUUCCUGGAGUUGUUGAUAUGAACCAUGGAUGUUCGACAAGUGCAUACUUUUAUCGUUGGUAGCAUAUUGAAUUUUUUACUUUUAAUUGCUAGUGUUUUUGGAUUUUUGAUAUGAACCAUGGAUGUUUGACGGCUCUGAUUCAAGUGGUGAAACUUUUGAAGUCGAAAGAAAUUAAAUUAUAAGAAAGGGUUAGGUUGAAAAUCUCUGGAGGCACAGAUUGCAGAGUCUGGGUUGAUCAAUGGCUAGAGGUACACAAAGGAAUUUGAUUAAUUCAAGGAAUGCAGAAGUUUUCCCUCGGCUUAGGAAUCUGGAACAUCUGAUACAUUGUGGUAGAAAUGGAACCAAGACGAAUGAUUAGGUGCCCCUGCAGGGGUAGUAUUUCUUGGUCUCUAAAAUUCGAUGGCAUUCUGGUUCUGGGAAAUCUGUUCACGGAUGCGUGAGAGCUAAAAAUUGAAAGUAGGCUUCCUUGGAACGGACUAUGGACCUGAAGACUUGUUAAGGGAUUGUCGCGCAUUCUGAUUGGUGCAGAUGGACGGGAAUUUCUUGCAUGUCUGAAUUUGUGGCAAAGAUAUCGAGGUCAUUAUCAUCACGAUCAGGUUUGUUUGGAUUGUAAGUUAUUUGAGAUAUUUUUACUGUAGCACUUUUUGUGAUGUGAUGUAUGUGAGAUGAAAAGAUAAUUGGAAAAGUAAAAAGGUGUAUUGAAAAUUGUAAUGAUGAUGUAAGUAAAUAUAUUUGAGGAAAUAAAGAUCCAUCCAAACAAAUCAUUCCUUCAAUCGGGAUGGGAGGAGGCGAUAUGUUGACUAGAAACCAUCGGGCCUGAUCCAAUGAUCAAGAAGAGCCUAUUUAAAAUUCUUUCGUAUGCUAGAUCGGCGUACACUAAUUUAAAACUCUUCCGUACGUUAGAUUGAUGUUCAAAUCCCGCCAAGUGUAGUGCUUUCUUGUUCUUAAGAAAUUCAAAAAGUGCAACGGCGCACUAGUUUGAUCUGAAAGUUUACCCCUCAGCUCUCAUACAAGCUCCUUUGAACUCUCUCUCCCUUGUAGUCUAAGAGUGGUGUAGAUUAGCACUGGGUAAGGAUUAGAUUGUUUCCAUUGCGAAGGAAAAAGAGAGAGAGAGAGAAGUUGACUGGUCUAUGAGCAUCUAGAAAAGAGAGAGGGAAGUUGACUAGUCUUUGAGCAUCUAGAAGACUAGAAAGUAGAAACAAUUACUUGGCUGAGAGGGUUGAGUUUAGAGGCAAUAUAUAUAUGUAUAAUUAAAUUUAGGAUUAUCAUAUUUUAUCCCCUUAAAGAAUACCCCAUUUUCAGUUUACCCCUUAACAUUUAAUUUUGCUCACUUAACCCCCUUUAGGACAAAAUUGCCCUUGCAUUAUUUUGACUUUUCAUUUACCUUGUUUUCCUUUCUUUUAUUUCUUUUUCUCUUUCUUCUUUAUUUAAUUCUUUAUUUUUCCCAUAAAAAUUUUCACCUUAAUGAUUGAAAUUAAAAAAGAGGAAUUGCAGAGAUCUAUCUUCUCCUUAAAUAAUUAAAAAAAUAUUCAAAUCACUUUCCUAAAAUACAAUUUUUUUAGUCUUUCAAUUCUUUUAAUUUUGGAUUUUCCUCUUUCCUUUCUAGUUUCUCAUUUUAUUUUCAAGAAAAUAUCAUAAGAUGAAAUUGUGACCUGAUUAAUAAUCAUCAAUUGAAAUUUGUGACACGUUGCAUCAUACAAAAAAUCAAAAUUAGUUUUUGAUUCCUUUUAAAUUCAAAAAGUGCAACGGCGCACUAGUUUGAUCUGAAAGUUUACCCCUCAGCUCUCAUACAAGCUCCUUUGAACUCUCUCUCCCUUGUAGUCUAAGAGUGGUGUAGAUUAGCACUGGGGUAGGAUUAGAUUGUUUCCAUUGCGAAGGAAAAAGAGAGAGAGAGAGAAGUUGACCAGUCUAUGAGCAUCUAGAAAAGAGAGAGGGAAGUUGACUAGUCUUUGAGCAUCUAGAAGACUAGAAAGUAGAAACAAUUACUUGGCUGAGAGGGUUGAGUUUAGCGGCAAUAUAUAUAUGUAUAAUUAAAUUUAUAUAUACGGUUAGUAUAUGCACUAGCAUCAUUAGAUAUAUGAUACAUGUGUAAAUUUUAAAUUUAAAAUUCUUGAAAAAGAUAUAUUUUGCCCUUUUCCUUUUGAUGCCGUCAAAUCCUUGAAAAAAGAUGAAAAUAAGUAAAAUUCAAGCUUAAAAGGCUUCGUUUACUAAAUUUUUUUCUACCGAUUUUCAACAAUUUAACGAUUCAAUUUUGUUGAGUAGUAUUGCUGUUGUUUGCUUUCCCGGCUCCGUCAACCUUCUACUGGUCUACUACUACUAGCACUUCUUUUAAAAGCAAUGAAGCGGUCUACGGAAGACCGCCCUGUACGGUAGCCAAAACAAGAAGGCUUUCCUGAGAGUGAAAGAGUCUAGCCUAGUUAUAUUAUAUAUAUAGUCGUUGAUAUAUGGAGGUAAAUGUUAUCCAAUUCCCAGUAAAUGUCCAUGGUAUCAGUAUGGGGCGUUGAACAAAAGUACUUUGUAUACAUACAUACGUACGUGUAUAUAUAUAUAUAUAUAUAUAAAUAAUGGAUGAGGAGGCAAAUGAGAUGCAAUUCCUAAGUAAGUAAAUGUUCUGCCGUGUCUGUCACUUACUAAGGGGCUAUUUUGUGCAGACUUAUUGGAAAAAAAAAAAGGAAAAAGGAGGAAGGAGCUUUUGAGACUUUUGGAAAGUGGGAAUGAGGGGAACCUUCUUGCACGGCUAUGAUUGCUUGCGUCUUUGGCAGCACUUUGUUACAGUAAUGUUUGGCUCUCCAGUCAACAAAGGCGUUCUCUUCUCUCCAGUCCCCUCUCCCCCGUUUUGGUCAAAACUUUUUUUUGUCUUGUUGCUGGCAAUCUGAAAUCCGGUUGAGAGUAGCUUGGUGGUUGUGUCGAGUAGCUUGGUGGUUGUGUCGAUAUUGCUGGUUUUUUUAAAAAAAAAAUUAUUUAUUCUCCUCAUAGUCGUUAUUGCUGGUUGUUCUCACAAUAGCUUCAUGGCUUUUACCAGGGCUAGCGUCAGAGUUUUUGUAGUACCCUCUGCCUGUUCUUGUUGGAAAUUUCUUUUUUCUAGAAAACAAUCAUAAUAUAUAUAUAUAUAUAUAUAUAUGCUACAUACAAUAUUAUUAUAAAUAUAUAAUACUCCAGCAGCAAAUAAGUCAGAAAGUCGCGCAUCCCGCCAGCUGCGAUCUGGGGUACCGUCGGGUUGUUUCAGUGGUGGCCCACUCAUUCCCGUUGUUGACUGACUUUUCAAGUCAACCACUACACACGUGUCAUUGAUGGUGGGCAGAGCUACUUUUGUCUUUGUGGCUGGAGAGUGCCAUCCUACUUGCGUUCUUCUUGGUUUCUAGAUUUGCUUGCUAGGAUUCCCGACUCCGUUCCGUUCGGACUUUUAUUUAUUUAUUAAAUACAUUAUCCAAUCACCGAUUUAUCUUCCUCAUCCUCAAUUGUUUUUUUGAGAAUAUCAUAUCAUAUAAAGCACUAGGAUAUUUUUUUUUCCCUUCAAAAAGUCAUUCCUAAUAAUCUCGAAACAUGCUCAAGUAAUAUAUUUUGCUUUUUUUUUUUUGCCAUUUAGAUGUUUUAAAUGUUAUUCCCAUCAAUCUGAGAGAAAUAUCAAUAGAGAGUCCCCAAGAUCCAAAAAAUGGAAAAUUCCCAUUUAAUAUUUUAUAGGAACUAAUACAAUUCAAAAUUUUAUUCUCAACAUGUUAAUCAUCAAUAGUUUUUUUUUUUUUUGGUAAAUUAGGUUUGUCGAAUGAGUGUCUAAUAGAUACAUAACUCGUGGUAUCGAGAGGCGUUUUAAACGUUAAUUUUAAUCAAUAUAAAAUUGAACAAAGAGUGUCCAAAAAUACGAAUUUUAGAUUUGCGCAUCGAUUGUAUGUUUUGAUUGUUUUUUGGUGGGGGUGAACUAAUGUUCAUGGGAAAAACGUUAAGAAAAUCCCUUAAAAUAUAUAUAUAUAUAUAUGUAUAUAUGAAUACGUCAUCCAUAGCCAAUAGCCAUAUUUUGUUGCGAGGCCUUUGAUUAAAUGAAAUGAAUAACGAAAUUAGACGAAACCGCUUGGAAUCCAAAUCUUACCGGCCGCGACAAGCAAAGACUAACAAGACAGGCCCACUAGGAAUGCUAACAAAGAAAUUGACGGAAUAGUCUCUGUGGAGUGGGGGCAGGGGAGAAGGAUGCCCGGGGGGGGGGGGGGGGGGGGUGUGGGGGGUUUUAAAAAAUCGGUUUAUAGCCGCUGGAAUUUCCAAGCAUUUUCCUCUCAGCGUGCAUCAUCCAUUCCAUUCCUGGGAGUUCACACUCUACAGACAGGCCAUGAGCAUUCAACUUCUCCAUUGUAAUUUGCAAUCCUCCUCCUUCAAUCACCCCUGAAAAUGUCCAAAACCACCCAAUGGUCUUCCCAGCUCACCUUUCUGAUAUUCACCAUCUUCUUCCUCUCCUUACCUUUCCUCGGCAACUCACAAACUACCAAAACCAAUCCAGAAGAACAGACCAUUCUGCUCAAACUCAAACAGCAGUGGCUGAAUCCGCCCUCCCUGUCCCACUGGACCUCAUCAUCAGACCACUGCACCUGGCCAGAGAUCAACUGCACAGGUGUAUCAGUCACAAAACUCAACGUCUCCAAUUUGGCAAUCACAGAAACAAUCCCAUCAUUUAUCUGUGACCUCAAGAACCUCACAGUUCUCGAUGUCAACAACAAUUCCAUCCCCGGCUCCUUCCCUACAGUUCUCUACAACUGCUCCAAGCUCGAAUACCUUGACCUGUCUCAGAAUUUGUUCGUUGGCACUAUUCCUCAUGAUAUUGACAGGCUAUCCCCAAGCACCCUCCAAUACCUUAUACUUGAAACCAACAAUUUCACUGGCGACAUCCCUCCAGCUAUUGGGAAGCUAACGGGGCUUAAAAGCCUUUACGCCAGAGCAAACCUGUUUAAUGGUUCUUUCCCUGCAGAGGUUGGCAAUUUGCUGAAUCUUGAAGAGCUGGCCUUGAGUACUAAUGGAUUUGUCCCACAACCCAUACCCUCGAGUUUCACUCGGUUGAAAAUGUUGAGAUUUUUAUGGAUGUUUCAGACUAAUUUGAUUGGAGAGAUCCCACAAGACAUUGGGAACAUGACGGCUCUGGAAUCCUUGGACUUGGCAGAAAAUGAGCUCAGUGGAAAUAUCCCUGGUGGACUGUUUCAGCUGAAAAAUCUGAGCCGUCUUUUUCUUUACAAGAACAGGCUGGUCGGGUCAAUACCAUCAUCAAUUGAGGCCUUGAAUUUGGAGAUAAUUGACCUGUCUAAUAACAGCUUAACGGGGAAAAUACCGGAUGAGUUUGGCAAAUUGACAAACUUAACUGGGCUAGCUCUGGAUUUCAAUGAAUUAUCAGGCGAAGUACCUACUAGUUUGGGCGUGUUGCCAUCACUAGUAGACAUUAAAUUGUUCUACAAUAAUCUAUCAGGUCAGUUGCCACCAGAUUUUGGGAAACACUCGAUGCUCAGGACCUUUGAGGUUUCAGCCAACAAUUUCACAGGAAAUUUGCCACAGGAUUUAUGCAAGAACGGUGUGCUAAUUGGUGUGGUUGCUUUUGGGAACAGUCUUACAGGAGAAUUACCACCAUCCCUUGGGAACUGCGACAGCAUGCAGGUUGUACAGCUUCAAGGUAAUCAAUUUUCAGGCCAAAUUCCGGAUGGUUUGUGGACAACAAAUUUGACAACUUUGUUGAUACAGAAUAACUCAUUUACUGGCCAGCUACCGGACAAAGUAGCAUCAGGUUUGUCAAUUCUUGACAUCAGUAACAAUCAGUUUUCAGGUGAAAUUCCAGCUGGAGUGUCAUCUUGGAAUAAUUUAAGGAACUUUAAGGCAAGCAAUAACCUGCUCAGUGGUAAAAUUCCUCAAGAGUUGACUUCUCUUCCAGAGUUGGCAACACUUCUGCUUGAUGGCAAUCGGCUUUAUGGGAGUCUGCCGUCAAGCAUAAUCUCAUGGGAGGGGUUAAAUGUCUUGAGCUUCAGUAACAACCAGCUUUCUGGCCAAAUACCUGCAGCAAUUGGCCUUUUACCUGUCCUUAAUGCCCUGGACUUGUCAGAAAAUGACUUCUCAGGUCAAAUUCCAGCUCAAAUUGGGCUUCUGAGGUUAAAUUCCCUCAACCUCUCUUCCAAUCGCCUCUCUGGUAGAAUACCUGGUGAAUUUGAAAAUGCAGCUUUUGACAGAAGUUUCUUGGGUAAUGCUGGUCUUUGUUCACGUAAUCCAUCUUUAGGCCUUAACGCCUGUGCUUCCCAAACCGGGGAGUCAAACAAGCUUUCAGCAAAAUUUGUCGCAGCUGUUUCAAGUAUAGCCGCAGUUGGCUUUUUAGUGGCUUUAGUAUACACAUUCUUUUUUAUCAGAGGUUACAAGAAGAAAAAACAGAGAUUGGAUUCAACUUGGAAAUUAACCUCAUUUCAGAAGUUGAAUUUCACUGCACCAUCCCUUCUAUCAAGCUUGACAGAAAGCAACAUGAUUGGAAGUGGAGGUUCAGGAAAUGUCUAUCGUGUUCCAAUUAAUAGUUCAGGUGCAUAUGUUGCUGUUAAGAAGAUUUGUAAUAGCAAAAGGUUGGAUCACAAAGAAUUUCUUGCAGAAGUUGAGAUUUUGGGCACUAUUCGACACUCCAACAUUGUGAAGUUAAUGUGUUGCAUCUCAACGGAUAGUUCGAAGUUACUGGUCUACGAGUAUAUGGAAAAUCGUAGUUUGGAUCGUUGGCUUCAUUGCAAGAGGAACCGGUCUGCUAACACAGGUUCAAUCCACCAUAUUGUCCUGGAGUGGCCUAAGAGGUUGCAGAUUGCAAUUGAUGCUGCUCGAGGGCUCUGCUAUAUGCACCAUGACUGCUCACCAUCUAUAAUUCACCGAGAUUUAAAAUCAAGCAACAUUUUGCUAGAUUCUGAAUUCAAUGCAAAAAUUGCAGAUUUUGGUCUAGCUAGGAUGUUAGUGAAGGAUGGAGAGCCCAACACAAUGUCAGUUGUAGCCGGCUCAUUCGGAUACAUUGCUCCUGGUACGUGGUAUUGUAAUUUGUCAAAUGUAUUUGAUUUUUUUGUAUUUGAUUUUUUUUUCGAAAGGGGGAUUAUUUGAUUAUGAUCACUUUAAAUACUACCAAACUCAACUUAGUUGUUCUGUUUCUUGAUUCUGUAUUGCAGAGUAUGCUCAAACAAGAAGAGUGAAUGAGAAGAUUGAUGUGUAUAGCUUUGGGGUCAUCCUUUUGGAACUGGUUACUGGAAGAGAAGGCAAUUACGGUGAUGAGACCUCAUCGCUUGCAGAAUGGGCGUGGCGUCACUUUCAAGAAGGGAAACCAAUAAUUGAUGCCUUCGACGAGGACAUAAUGGAGCCUUGUUACCUAGAUGAGAUAGCCAACGUGUUCAAACUCGGUAUUUUCUGUACUGGAUUGGUGCCCUCCAACCGCCCUACAAUGAGGGACGUUUUACAAAUUUUGCUCCGCUCUGUUCAUUCAGUGCCAAUGGGAGAAAAGAAUGGCAGAAGCGAGUAUGAUUUUGCCCCCCUUCUUAACAACUCAAAGCGCAAGAAGUCGUUGAUCGACGAAGAUGGCGGCUUCGACUCAACGGUCUGAUAAAGCUUGAAAAUGUAACCAUCAGGUGGUUGAUCCACAAAGUUGGGAAAUCGAUGAAGGUUCUGAACCAAGCAGCAGAAGCAGGCUAAGGAGAUUGGAGCGGGUUCAUGGGGGCACGGCUGCAUGAGUUAGCUUAUACUAGUUGUCUAGAAUUAGGAGAUACAUGGUGUUUUCAAACUGUAAUUGGUGUACAAGUAGAGAAAGUAAAGCUUAUUAUAGCAAGCAUUUCCACAGCUCGUAUGAAACGGCUGGCAGUCACUGCAGCUGCUACGAAGCAGCAUUUGUUUUUGGUAUCUACAAGUUUCGGAUCAAUAUAUGUAUAGUCUUUAAAUGGAUAUAUUCUAGCAACACGACUAGGAAAAAUGGGUUGGCAGAUUAUGUAGUAAUUUAUAUAACAACCUCAGAAAAUCUUGAUGAAGCCUAGUACUAAAACUGCUACUCACUUCAUGUGGAUCUCCAUCAAGUCCGUUUAAUAUGUUGUGCAGGACUAUAUUUGAUCCAAAGAGUAUCAUCUACAUGUGCACUAUACCUAAUCUUGAAUGCCCAAAUGAUCUUACAACAAAGCCUUAACUUUACGACACUGCUCUUAAGCCAAAGAGGGAGGGGGGGAAUUACUAACAAAAAUACGAAGACAUUGUCUCAGUUAUGGGCCAGAAAUCUAGAGGUACACGGGUCCAUGGCUCAGUUUGGAGCUCUGCUAGACCAUACAUAUAUUCAAACGUUCCUCGCAACAUCUCCUUGAUUCGGCUGCUGCAAUUGCUCCCAGGGAAAGGAUGGCACAAAUAUAGAGCUCCAACGCAGUAGAUCUAUUUUUGGGAGCACUACAGCUCAUACAAGGAUCAGGAUUCCUCUACUUCGAGAUAUUGCGAAUGAGAGGCAGCCAGGAGCGCAGCACCAAUGCCAGAACCAUCAUUUGAGUGGAUAAUUGAAACAUUCUCGUAAGCAUCUCCAAGCAAUUCCUGAAGAGUGCUGUCCAUACAAUUUCUGAACUUUGCGUAGUGCUCAAAAAGUCCGCCAUCCAAAGCUACAACUGACUUCUGCUUCUCUCCAUCCGUCAUAGUAUCUCUACCCAAUUUUUUGAGAAUUCCCAGGAUCCCAGCAGCAGAGAGGCGUGCUCCAAGGAAGAGGAAUUCACUAGUUGUCAAAGAAAUUAAACAAGCAUUUUAGCAACUUCGUGUUUCUUUUCUGUUGCCUGGUGCCAUACCUCUAAAAUAUCUUUUAGCUUUGCACCAACCACUUUGAGAUCACAAGAUGUGUCGUGAUGUAUUGCAGACAUCUCAGAGAUAACUUUGUGUUUCAAGUUUAAUGCAUUAGAAUUAGUUGAACAAAAUAGUAAAAGCAUAUGAAUGCAGAAAAUCUAUAGAUUAUGUCUCACGACCGCAAUGUACAAUUACAUACUGCCAAAAUUGAAAGUUAACGUUGUACGCUUUUAAAAAAAAAAUGCUUUAAAAAAUGUUCACAAACUACCAAAACCUAAGGUUGACAUCUUGAUCUGAUGGCACACCUCAAUAUGAAAGGAAUAUUUAGCUUUGGAGGAACAGCAUCACCAAACAAGGCAGCUUCUUCAGCCAUCCUGCAUAGUACUCUACGCACAAUUUCCCCUAAAUACAUCCCAGAUAUAAUCUUCUCAAAAAUCUGCACCAGUUAGCUGGUAUUAGAAACUUGAAAUACACAAAAAUAAUGCAUAAUAAACUUAUUAAAAACAAAGCAGCUGUAAAGUGCUCUGUUGACCUGUUCCCCAGGGUUUAAACUCUCAGCAUCAAGCCCUUGAUCAUACUCAGAUAGUGGAAGAUGUGAUGACCGAAAGUUACCCCAUUCCAUGUUGAUAACCUACAUAGUUCAAUGCCAUAAAGAAAUUAAUUUGGCAGAGAAAAUAUGAGAAGACAAAAUAAGACUUGAUUGUGGUAUUAAACUGCUUGAGUAAUUUGGAGAAUGCCAACCAUCUCUCCUGAUUUAGGCAGCAGGCCAUGCCACUUCGGAAUUGCAUGUGCCCUCUCAACAUAUGCUGCAUUAGUCCCUGUACCCAGGAUAACAGCAGCCAUUACAUCUGGGUUGUUGUAUCGACCUCCAGCUAAGGUUCCAACCGCAUCGUUGACCUACAGUGGCCAAGCAAUGUGAGAAAUCUGCAUGCUAAAAGAGAUUUGACCUUCAAAAUUAAGCAGUCACCCCAGAGGGACAGCAGAAAAAGGACUAUAAUGUACAAAAAAAAAAAAAAGGGACUAUAUGUAACUCACCAAAGCAGCCACACGCAUAUCAAGACCAAUCCUUUCCAUUGCUUUUGAUAACUCUCCCACGACGUCUUGUCCAACCUAUUUCAAUGGGAGUGCAGGAAUAGAGAAAUGUAGAAACAAAUCUUGCAUAUGCAAUAUUGUGCAGUUUUAAAUCAGAGAAUCAUAUAAAUGCAUCUAAUCAUUAACUGACAAAAUGCAGAUUAUUUAUGAGACACAAACAGAAACUUCAAUUGUUCAAUAGCCAUUGAUGCGUGUCAGAACUAGAGAAAUAUUUUCCACUUGUUGUGAGUCACUUCACAUAAGACAGGGUAAAUAUCUUCUCUUUAAUGCAACUGUCAGCUGAUAUGCAUUUAGUCCAAUCUACGCUUCAUGACACGAAUCCACUUUGGAGCCAAAAAACUUAGUCUGACAUAAAAAAUGUAGCACCAACUAGCCCCACUAAGAAACCUAGGUUGCAAAAGCAAAAAAGUUAAGACAUAAGAACAAGUGAAGAAACUUAAUGGGGGGUAAGCUCUAAAAUUCUCUUUCUGCACCCUCCACCUGCCCCUCUUCCGACCCUCAGAAAUACAGAGACAGCUAGGUAUAUGUGCCAAUAUUAAGAAAAGCAAGUAUGCAGAUGACGUUUUGGAUUUGCUGAAAUAGAGACUUGAUGCUAAUAUCUAACUGUGAUUCAUGGAGUCUGUCCAAUAGAACUUAAUUAUGAACAAGUUUGUUAAAAAAAAAAAAUUGGACAGGCUUGCACCAUGAAAGAAAGAGGAAAAGAGGAGACAAGAGCGAGAAAUCAAAAUGUUCAAAUGUUGAGAGAAGGCAGAGAUGCCAUUGAAAGAAUGAGAGAGGGCGAGUAAGAACAAAGAAGCAACUCUUCCUGUUAUGCCCUUUCUCCAACAAUUAAUAAAGUGCAAUGCGUUUAAGCCAAAUAGUCUUUUUUGUUGGUCAAUUUGGCCACUAAGCCUAACACCAGAUCAAUUACAAAGAAUCUACCUCCCAGCAAAUGUAAACUUCUAAUAUGUAUCCUACCAUUUAUGUGGUGGCAUGGCCCAAUUGGUGAGUUGGAUCCUUUGUCUUUUUUAUCUAAAUUAACACAUCAAUGUCAGACCUUUCUUUCUUCUUCUCCUUCUCUUUUUUUUUUUUUCCUUUUUGGCAAGCAAACACCAAGGCACAUGUGUAUACACUCUUGCUUGCUUUUCUAACAACACUGGAAUUGAUGUCAACAGAAAGCAAAGAGAUUGUUUGUUAUUUACAAGGUGUAAGACCUGAAAACAUUCUCAGAACAAUGGUCCUGCCUCCACAAUCCUCACACCUUUCAUUCAAUUAAACAACAAAUAAAAGCAGAUACUGCAAGUACUGAUUGAUCAAGUUUUCAAUGCUACCAAGAAAUAAAUAAAUGCCAGGUACUAACUGUAUCUUCUAUUGAGAAGCCCUUUGUCCAUUUGAUAAGAGUCCCAGAUGCUAUAGAUAAUUGCCUAACUGGGAAUGAAAAGGUGAAACCCAGCUCCCUUUGCCUACCAGGCGGAAGACAAAGAUCUUCACCCUCUGUAGCCACAAAUCUUGCCAGUGCACCAGCAAUAUAAUCAAACAAUGCCUGAAAGCAGCAGAAGUUAGAGGUUUGAACUUCAGUAAGCAAGCACCUAAUCAGCAUCUCUUGUUAUUGCUUUUAUGUUGACACUUACUUCUGUUGAGCCGACCAUCAAGUGUGGAGGAAUUGAAACCUCUUGAAAUUCUCUUUUGACCACACGCUUUUCAUGUCCACCUAAUUGCACACGUAGUACCCGGAAGUUUGUACCGCCAAGGUCCAAUGCAUAAAAUAACCCUUCCUCAUCCCUUCACAAGGAAAAAAAGGGAAGUCAUUAAAACAUUUAAUCCCAAGUAUAUGUAUCUCAUUAAUGAAUAUGUGUAUAUACUUUUUUCUUGAAACAAAACAAUAGGUCCACAGAAGAAAGGUUAUGCACAAGUUUGCAGGAAAUAAUUUGUAUUAGGGAAUAUAUUGCAUACUUUGCAACUUGGUUAAAGCAUCCAAGAAUACUUAAGAUGAAUGCCACUAUAUAUCUUCAUGCUUCUAGGAAAGCCAACAAAAGACUAAAAUGCUACGCUACUUAUGUGCUCUAAAAGGAAUUACCAGAGGAAUUUUAGGAACAAUUCCUAAACUACGGUCCUGUCACAACUACAAGAGAAAAAGCAUGACUAUCCACAUUCAUUGGUUUUGAACUUAUACUUAGUUCCCAGAAUAUAACCUCAAAAGUAGACAUAUUCUUGCCUGGCAAUACCUUUGAUGAUUUUCAAUAGCUACAGUCCAUCUCUGAUACUAAUACCUUCUGAUUAUGUUCAACAUUUUUAAUUCCUUAUGUGCAGUUCAAAACAAGAGACGAAUCUUGAAACAAUUAGAAGAGAACCCUAAGAAUCCCGUCUCCAUAGGUAAAAUAUCAUGUCAAUGUCAGUUUAUAAUCAAAAUUUAGAAGUUACGCUUCACGAGCCUCAACUAUUGUAGAAUAAUCAUAACUCGACGGUUAAAAGUUGUUUAUAUUUUCAUCAGAGGAAGUGUUUGUCUUAUAGAUACUACUUUCGACUUCGCAGAUUAGCUAGCAUCAAGAUUCAUGAUUUAUCACUAAAAAACCAAUAAAUUGCAAGAAUUUUUCUCCCCUGAGAAAUUGACAUCUAUAAUUUCACACCUUACAGAUGCAAAUCACCAAACGCUACAAAUACAAUCCAAAAAAGAAAACAAAAGAAAAACAGUUACACCCAGGAAAAAAGAAAAAUUGCAUUUUGAUUUCAGCAGGAAGACUUGUCACCUCAUUCACCUAUAUUAUACGCUAUCUGAUAAAUUAACCCAUAAACAACUUAUAAAGCUAAAAGUGGCCUGACUACCAUAAUCAAACAGUUGAAAAUUUUACUUCCAAACGCUGCCAAGUUCACAACUUUUACUUACAAAGUUCUUUUUUUUUUUGACAGCAAUAGAAAAUAUGAACUCCGAAAAACCGCAAAAAUAAGACAGAGAUCAUCAUACCCGGUGGGGAGGUUGUCAACGUAGCUGAUAAGCAUCUUAAGUUUACUGCCACCUUCAGAAGCAAGUCCGGCGUGCAUCUCUACUGUCAUGGCGUCGGCGACCUGCCGGAGCUUGGCAGUGGGUGUCCCACACUGUUCCUCGAACUCCUUAAGUAUGGCCAUAACCUUAGCCCACUUCCCCAAACUCUUCAUGCGAUUCCUAACUACCAGCGCUGCCACCGCGCAAGCGGCUGCCGCACAUACCACUGCUGCCGUCACCGCCACCUUCCCCAUCUCCCAAUAUCCUAUGCAACCAAAAGUUUUACUACCAAAAGAAAGAAAUAAAUAAAGAAACCAAAUCCUCCACAAAUUACUCUUAACAAAGUUGGUAGCUUUAAUGAGAGCUGAAUAUAUGGUCUUGUGCCCGUGACGAAUGAAGGGAACUCGUGGAAGAAACCUUGAGGAAAAAUUUUUUUUUUUCCUCUUUUUGGGGACGAAGAUUUUAUCAAGGUACUGUAUACAUAUAUAUAAUUCUAAUGAGGUUAAAAAAAUGCUAAUGUAAUUCUAAGGAAAGAAAACAACAAAAUGUUGCAGUGAAGUGGAAUAAGAUUAUAGGACAGACGAUCAGAGAACUUUGUUACUGUUAUUCCUACUGUUAAUGCUUAUAUGAUUCUUGACUUCUUUUAUUCUUUUGGUGUAUCCAAUUUUGUCGUCGUGGAUUGGCUGAGGAAAAAGGCUUGGAAAGCUACUUUUUUGAUAGAUGAGUUUUUCUCCCCCCGUUUUCACUUUAAAAAUCCCAGAUGGGGAGGAAUUUUGCUUUCCGCAUGUUUCUGUUAUUUGUGUGCGUGCUUUCGAAAUUGUUGAGGUUUCGGACGUUGGAGGAUAGGAUAUGGAAUGGAUGGAAUAAUCGUAUGUGGAUGCUGAAUCUAUUGCAACAACAUCGUAAAUGGUAUCCAAAAAGUGGGUUAAUAGAUUAACAUCCACUGCUAAUUACCAACUCCAAUUGGAAGCCGUGGCAUUAAUUAUCCUUAUCCAACUCAAGAUCCAAAAAUUAAAUGAUGUAGGAGCCAUAGUUUAAGCCGCUGGUUUUGAAAGUCCAGUAAUUUGAAAAAGUGUCGAGGCAUUAAUUGCACAUGGCAAUGCUUAAUUCUGCACGUAAACAUGUGGAAAUUUUCCUUUUUUUUUUUGUGGAAACAUAAACAGUUGGAAAACUUGAGGAGUCAACGGACAUCUUUUUUAAGUUUGAUAUCAAAGACCAAUUAAGGUCGUAUAAAAGGAAAAAAAAAAAUUUGGUCAAAAGACAAAAAGAGCAAACUGAAUAGGAAGACAGGAUGAUGAUUCGGAUGAUGUGAAAUUCUAAGGGUGUUAGCCCGUUCGGGAACAUUUUAAUUUUACUACAUGCCUAAACUCUUCAUUCCCAGCCAUCAGAGUCAAAAGCUGUGUACAAUACCGCAAUGGAUCUUCUGUCCCACACGCUGUGACACUCUCUGUCUCACUUUUUAUUAUAUUACUAUUUCUCCUUCAUAAAUAUCAUAUUUUAAUUCUUUUUUAUUUUUUUAAGAUCCAAUAACUAUUAAUUGAGUAAUACACAAAAUUUAGCAAACUCAAAAAAUCAAAAUGCAUAAAAAAUGAGAUUUUUUAUGAAUUUUCUGCUGUAUUUUUUAAUUUUCUAUUAUAUAUUGCUUUUUUGCAGCUGUUGUAUUUAUUUUUUAGUUAAUUAAUAGUUAUUGAAUCUUAAGGAAACAAAAAAGAAUUAAAACAUGAUGUUUAUGUAGGAGAAAUAGCAAUAUAAUAAAAAGUGAGACAGAGAGUGGCACAGGAUAUGGGACAGAAGAUCCGUUGCGAUACACAUCCGUGGAUUUCGUGUUAGUUUGAUGCACAUUAUAUGUCAGUAUCCAAGGAUCAAGAAAAGCACGGGGAGUAAAUUACUAAUUUGCUCAUUGCCGGUUUAUUUGCCAACAAAGUAAAUAAAAUUUGUUCUCAAAAUUUAAUUUAACUAGUGAUAACAUAUUAACUAAGUGAUCUUCAAUUCUCUAGUUUAACUUUCAGAGCCCCCCAUUCUUUCUUCUUUCCCUUUUUAUAAGGCUUGGAAUCUUCCAUAAAAUUAAAAAUUUUAAAAAAUUGCAUGAGAUUGGGACGACAAAUUGUUGUGCAACAAGUGAUUAUUCACAAAAUAUUUAAUUAUUUGAUAGAUUAUAGAUAAUAAAUGAAGGUGCAUAGAAAAUAUAAGAGGUUUACUUAUAGAUAAUUUAUAUUGGGCUUCUUGUACAAAAUUAGACGCAACAUUAAUUGCACCAAGUAAUUUUUCCAUUUUCAAAUGCAGUUAUGUUUACUAGCACAACAUUCUCGCUAUUAAUCGAUUCAACUUAAUUGUCAACGAAGGCAUGUUAAAAUUCAUUUCAAUAUUCCAUUAUGGAGUUGGAGUAUACAUAGAUUAUUGAAUUAAACAACCUAAUUGUAAAAUCCCUCCAUCCCCCAAUGCCACGCCCAACACGAGCAUAUGUUUAAGCAUCAGUUUUAAACUUAAAUUAGUUGGAUAGUGGAUUUGAGGAAAUAGUCAUGCACGGAUAUUUAUAGAGUAGCUCGUGGAAUUGGUUAGAUUUGAUGAUUAGUGAUUCACAGUGUAAUCUUUUUAUUUUAUAACUCUAUUAAAUUUAAUAAUUUUUUAGAUUACAUAUUAUUGUAUCACGCUCUUUGUAUUUUCCUACCAUUAAUAUAGCUUUUUUCAUAGUUUUUAAACUCACUCCAGUCCGACUGUUGAAUCGGUCAAACCACUAAUACCCGUCAUGGAAUUGGGCCAAUUCAGCAAUUGGAUUAGAGUUGCAGAUGAUUAGUUUUGAAUCGUUUAAGUUAAACGGUUGAACCGGUGACCCGGUAAACUUAGUGGGUUUUGAAAUUUUUUUAAAAUUACCUUUUUACCCAAUUUUUUAAUUUGACCAGUCACACCAACAUGGGCAUUGUCGUCUUUUUGAAGAAUAUAUGAGAAAAUUUGAAAAGAAAUUUGGAAAUUAGGGUUUAUUUCUCUUUUGGACACUUAGAUUUAUUAUUUAUGUUUAUAUAUAAUAUCAAUAUGAAUUCAUGAAAUAAGGAACACGUAUGGAUAUGGCUUGUGUGUAUAAACUAUGAAACAUGAAUAGGUUAUAACUUGUUAAUAUUUAAGAAUUUCUGUACUUAUAUUAUAAUUUAUAUGUUUAUUUAAUUAUAUUAUAUAUAUUUUUUAUUAUGUAGUGUGAUCCAACGGAUCAACCUGUGAUCCAUCAAUUCGGUCCUCCUGCUGGGUUGAUACCGGAGUUGAUUUUAAUAACUAUAUGAUUUUCUUUAUCAAGCAAAUCGUGUAGCAUGAUUUCCAUCCAGUUUAUUAAUACUGUUGGCUUUUGUUUUAUAAAAUAAAAUAAAAACUAUUUGGAGCAAAUGUAUGCAGGCCGCCAAUGACGUGACCUGCGAAUCGGCUGAAAGCCUGAAACGGUCCUGGGGGCCGAAUUUGCUGAAUGGGAAAUACGGGAAUUACGACCAAAGCAACAACUUUUUUUUUUUUUUUUUUUUCGACCAAAGCAACAACUUGCAUCCAGCAAAAGCUGACCAUAUUCGGGAGAAAAGAAAACAGCAGGGUGGGGAGGGAAUGGCGUACAACCUUGAAAGCUUGCAUGCGAAUUUUGACUUUCAAAUGAUAAAUGAAAGUAAUACCUGACAGCCAUGACGAAUUCUACACGUAAGAUAUGUGCUACUGCUAGUCUACUACUUCAUAUAUAGUGCGGUGGCGUCAAUGGUACCCCAACCAGUUAUGAAUGUCCAUUUUAUGACAAGUCAUAUAUCGCAUUCUUGUUCUUUUUUUUUUUUUAAAUAAAAACACCGGAAGCGUAAAAAGGUCUUGGUAUUUAACAAAGUCGGUAUAAACUAUGAAGUGGUAAGCUUUAAGCAUACCGUUAAGACUUGGCGGCUACUUAGCCAGUAGCCAAACCGUCAGCCUUGCCUUAAAAAAAACGUUUGUUUUUCCUAAAAUAUGUAAAGCCCUAAUCGUCAGAAGAUAAAUUUGCAAACACUGCAUUUAACCCUUGGCUAAAAAUUAUAACCGAAGCAGGAAAUUUUAAAGAAAUAAUUUGGAAGAGGAGGCCUCAACUAUUACAACUAUGAUCGCGGUGGACAAUUUUAUUGAAUGAAUUAUACUAAUAAUUUUGCUUUGGAUGGUUCUACCGAUUUUCAAAGCAUUGUAGAAAUUUAACAAAAAAAAGAGAUAUAAAUACUAAUUGUAAUGAGGCUUGCAAAAAGAAGAAAAAAUUGUAUUGAGAUUAAGGUCCAUACAAUGGUGAGUUUUUUUUGGAUAUUUAUAAGGGAAAAUAACCUGUUUCAUCUUUCACAUUUCGUAAAAAAAUUCUUUUCGUCCCUUACAUUUAAAAUGAAACAAAUUGGUUCUUCACUUUUAAAAAUCCAAGCUUUUACAUCCUAAAAAUCAACUCUCUGUUGUGAAUCAAACCAUCUAAUAACCCCGUUACAAAUUUUAGGGAUAAAAUUAGUAGAUCACUCGUAAAAAUAUAUUUCUAACAAAUAAAUUAAACAAUUAAAAAAUCUUAAUUAUAACUCAUUUGCUUCUUCAAAAGAGAAUAGAAGAAGACAAACCCAAAUCAAUUUGCCUAAUUCAAAACUAUAUAUGCAGAAAUAAUCCGAACAAAUAAACUUUUGGAGAUUUGGAAGAUUGUAUCCUCUUUCAAACCAUUAAAAAUGUCUCUUGCUCAGAUUCAGAUCAUUCAAACGCUGCCGAUGGCAAUCACACUCACACACAGGACGAGUAGAGUGGCAGUCGACGUUGAGAUGGGAUGAACUCUGGUCAAUGGCGCUGAAGAAGGAGCUGUUUCCUGCAUUGGCAUGGGACCGAAAACAGCAGGAUAAGAAGGAGAAGGUGCAGUUGAAGCAUCAUCUAGUGGAAAUACAUAAGAUCCAUUUCAAGAAAUACAUGAGCUACUGCCUGGUGUGGAACACCGCAUGUGUGUGAAACACAUGUAUAAUAACUUCAAGAAAGAGCAUCCUGGACUUGCAUUAAAAGAUAGAAUAUGGUCUGCUGCAAGAGCUUGCUAUGAAAGCAGAUUUGCUAGUGGAAUGGAAUCACUGAAGGUGUUCGAUGUAAAAGCAAAUGGGUUUUAAUUAAGAUUUUUUAAUUGUUUAAUUUAGUUGUUAGAAAUAUAUUUUUGCCAGUGAUCUACAAUUUUACCCCAAAAAUUUGUAAUCGAGUUGUUAGAUGGUUUGAUUCACAACUGAGAGUUGAUUUCUAGGAUGUAAAAGAUUGGGUUUUUAAAUAUGAAGGACCAAUUUGUUUCAUUUUAAAUGUGAGGGAUGAAAAGAUUUUUUUUACGAAAUGUGAGAGAUGAAACAUGUCAUUUUCCUUAUUUCUAAUAUAUUUUACUAUAACUUUUUUUAGAAGUUAUAAAAAAAACUUUUGUAUGAUUUAAGUGUUUAAAUGGUGUGUAAAAAAUUUUCUCCUUUUUUUUUUCUCUCUCCUUCUUCCUCCUUACUGACUAUCGUCACCACAUUAUCCCUAUAGCGGGCACUAUUGCCGCUGCCACCUCCCUUCCUAUCGUAUUUUUUUUCCUUCCUCUUGAGGAUCCCUUCUUCUUCAUCUUCCUCCUCUCCUUUCCCCCUUUCCCCAGCCACCCUAUUUCCUCCUUCCCCUUUCGCUCCCCUCCCCUAUUGGUUGUGCGACUAGAGCCACAACCAAAGAGGGAGGAGAAGGGAAAAUCGGAAAAGAGGGAGGGAGAGAUGAAAAGAAAAAAAAUAAAAAAAGAGGAGGGUACUUCGACACCGGUGGAGAAAGAAGGGGCAACAGUAGGGAAGGGAGUGAAAAUGGUUGAAGGAGAGAGAAAUGAACGUGUAUGUUUUGAUAUUUUGGGUGUACAUAUUGAAAAUUUCAAGAAAUGUUUUCAAAGAGUUACUGUAAACAAAGUUAUAAAAUAUACUUCUCUAUUAAAAACGCGAACAAAAUAGAACAAUAAACAAGACAUCCAAACAGUCCCUGUGUCAGUUGAUGGUUUAUUAACUUUGGAAGUAUUGUAUACUAAAGAACUUUAUAUAUAAAGUGGGAAUAGUACUUCAAUUGUUCGCUGGUCUUUCGUCCUUCUCAUGCGGAACUCACGUGGCCCGUGUGUUGGAAAUGACAUUCUUUUGCUCCUUCGUCAUCAUCAUGCCCCUGCACUGUAACAUCCCGAAUAUUACGAGGUUGUUUGUGAAGAAAAUAUUAAAGUGUAUUUCUUUGGGUUGAUUUAAAACCUUAUUUUGGUUUAAAAAGACUAGAAACCCUAAUAUUGUAGCCAAAAACCCUAGUUUACUUGUGACUAACCGGUUUUCCUAAAUCUCUCAUAUUUUAAUUGAAACCCUAAUUUUAAUUACUGGAAUUGGAAAAUUCCUCACGUUUUCUUAAAAAUUUCUUUUUAUUUGAAGAUUAUCAUUUAUUAAAGCCCCUAUCCAAUUAUUCCAUGAUAAGUGUAAAUAAACCUAGAAAAUAAGGUUUUACGCUUUGGUUUCAAGUUUGGAGCAAAAUUAGGGUUUUCGCGAUUUUUCGCCGGAUGAAUUUUCGGUACAGAGUAAGGAUUAAAUUUGGAGAUUAAAAGUGACUUUUGAGUGAGAAAUAAUAUGUGAUUAGUAGCAAUGGUAUAAAGUUAGUGAAUGGGAAGUAAAAACCCUAGUACGUGAGUUUUAAGAAAAACGGCGCCAACCGGCGGGUCCCGCGCACUACCGUUUGAACGCACCACUUGACCACCACUUUCUUACUGUAUAAGCUCAUUGAUAAUUGAGCAAAAUAUCUUCUUAUAUUACAGCUAAGGGGACCGAAAUUUGUGGCUUAUAAGCAAGGGAAAGAAAGAGAAAAAUGAGUGGCCAAGAUUAGGCCAAGUGUUGGGCAAUUUGUGGACAUCAUUAGUUCUAAUCUUUUGGCUUUAUUAUAAGAUAAACUUAGCCUCAUUUCUCUUCAUAUUUCUGCCUAAGAGCCGAGAGGGAGAGGGAAGAAAACACCAAGGGAAAUUUCUUCAUUUCAUCUUCAAAUCCAACAAUUUAGUGAGAAAAUAAACAAAGUAAACCGAUUAAACUUGUUCCUAAGUGACUAGGUGGUGAUUUGUGGUAAGCUUUGGAAGGAGGAAGCUUGGGCUACUCUUUGUGAUCUCUAUUCAAGGUAAGAGAGUUUAUCUCUCCAAGUUUUACUUCUAAUCUUGUUAAAUUAAGCCUAGUAACUUGAUUUUAUGGUGAGAUUAUGGAUGAUGAGCAUGUUUUAGUAGUUUUCCCCAAUUUAUUUGAUGCACUAGGGCUUAUGGAAAUUCUGCCCAAAUGGUUGUAUGAUGUUUAUAUGUUGCAAUUGAGGUGUGAUAUGGUGUUUUGGUAGUGAUUGGAUCAAGAAAUUAAGGAAAGAUUCACUAGAAACUCAAAAUUUCCAAAAUCUGGAAUAUGGUCCCAACAUUCUGUCCGAAUUUUUAUCUAUAUGUUAGAGGCUGUUUUGGCCUUAGGUUAAAGAAUAAAAGUUGUAGAGAAUGGUAUUUUAUAGGUUCCUACAAAAUUUCAACUCAAUCGGAGCAACGCAGAACGUGAAAAGUCCAAAAUACCCCUACUGUUUUAAGAAUUUCCCAGCAGUCCGUUUCUUCAGUUCAGUCCAGUUUAUCACGAUUUUUGACCAGGAUCCAUUCUGAUUUAGCUCUGGGCCGAAACAUGAAAGUUGUAGUGUUCUGAAGUAGCUUUAAAAUGCCUCAAAGAAAACCUGAUUCGGACUUGUGUACACUGAGUUAGGUCCGCUACAGCAUAAUACGUUUAAACAGCCGAUGAAUUGGUUUCUGGUUUAGUAAUUGGCGAAUUUGACCAAGUUACAUUAGAAACUGGACUUAGUGAUAUUCAUGAACAUUGUAGCCCUGAGUCUUAGCUUCGAAACGCCAUAGGUUUCGUCUUAAUCCGAUAAGCGUAGCCUCAGAUAAGUUAUUUCCGCUUUUAUACGUCAAAUCUGUCUUUUGGCUAUAUGGAAUUUCUGCACUUGCUAUUGAUGUGAAUCUUACUAUUAUGAUAUUGUGAGCCUAUGGAAUGGCUCUUGACAUAAAUUGCUGAUAUGUAUGAUGUUGGGUGGUGUUGAAGAAAAAUAAUGAAGCCUAAAUGGCUGGAAAAUUAGGUAAACACAAAGGGCAUGCUGCCCAAAUUUACGCUCGAAGACUAGAGAACUACUUGCAACUCGAGUAUGGGUUAAGAGUGAUUACUGCUUGAACCAUCUAGGGUACUUGAGUCUGCGUGUUCCGAGGUAUAUAAGUAAGGAUUUGGCCGAACUUGUACCCUUGAGAAAUGAAAUAAUGAUUGCUCAAAGUACGUUUUCCCUUGUACUUUCGACUCGCAUGACCAUUUCAAGUAUAAAUGUUAAAAAGUUUUAUCAUUUAAAAAGUGAGCGAGUAUCUCACGAGUAUUCUCCAAGUGAAUUUCAAUUUCUUGAUUCUUAUUGAACGAAACGUCUAAGUUUCGAACUCUAGUCAUGUUUCAAAGUUCUCAAAUUGAGUUUUAUCGCAGAUUUGGACUCCGAACUCGGAGUAUAACCUGAAAGUGACCAGUAGCACUAUAUCUUUUGGGUGAGUGCUUUCAAAUACCGAAUUGAACUUGAUACUUGAACUUGAUACGUGACCAAUCUGAUUACAUGUUAUAUACGUGAAUUGUAAGGGCAAGAGUGUACUUUAUCGCACUUGCCCUUACGUGAUAUACUUGUUUAUUGUUGCAAUUGACUUGAUAUCCUUGUUUAUGAUGCGCGCACUUCCUGGAAUUCCAGAAACCCUGUGGCGAGUUACUCUAGUCGAGCCGGCAAGGGCUUGGUCGAUUGGAUAACGAACCCUGGGUCUCUUGUAUUGUCGAGUGGAGUGAUAUCUCCUCGACUAAUCGGUAUACUCGAGUAUUACCACCCGUGUUCUUGAGGAUUUUGGGCCCAGGUGGGGGUUGAACGGUGGACGGAGAGUCGUUUAAGUGGUGUUCUACUGGAUUGGUUACUUACUUGAAAGUUGACGGAGUGUCAACUACUACGGAAUCAAGCUUCUGGUAAUGUAAUGGGAAUUUGGCUCCUGAGAGUCAUCCGUAUCCUUAUACUUUGGAGUAAUUAUUGUUUAUUGGAUUAUUGUUUCUUUUGAAAAAUUUUCUACAUUCGCUCAUUUUAAGAUUGCUACUUGACGUGUUACUGUUCACAUUUAUGAACACUUUAUGCUCGUUACUUUGCUAUAUCGAAAACUCGUACUUAUAAAUAAUGGUCAAUUUGCUAUUUGGAACCUCACUGGGCUUUUAGCUCAUUCCACUCCAUUUGUUUUCCUUUCAGGGGUACGAGCGAGGUGUGAGAUAUGUAAAGUCUAGCAUAGACUAGCUAUUUGAUUUUGACUUGUACUCACGCUAUUCCUCGGAUGGAACAUGUUGUAUUUGGAUUGUAUUCGUUUUGAUCUAGUUUGGUGUAUUGAGACUUCGUACUUCGAUUUCUAUUAAUGUAAAUUAUAAGCUUGAAUUGGGAAUGUUAUUUAUGGUUCAUGAAUGUGUGUACGUGACUCGAUUGAGAUAGUGAGUGAGUCCUGGCGAGAGCUGGGCAGGCGGUCCGUCGAACCCUUUGGUACGCCUUAGGGGGAGGUGGGGUCGUCACAGAUGGUAUCAGAGCUCCUAUCGAGCUCGUGCCGGGAGAAGGUUCUUGGACUGUGGGGAUUGACUUGUUAAGUGUGGAACAAUUGUCUAUUGUUGGGGACCUUAGAUAUGUAUGCUGGGUAGGAAUCUCUAAUAUGGGUAAUUUACUCUUGGGACCGGCCGGCUCGAGUUGUGAAUUACCUUAUUGUGGAUUCUUGUACCUGAACACCCAGGAGUGUUUUCAUGGACGAAUCGAGUAAUAGUUUGGCUAGGGUUCCUAUAGAGGAUGAUUAGGUUGUAGUAUAUGUCGAGAAAGUCUCGCCAAAGACCGAUUUCUUUCUUCUUCCCUUGGUUAUGCUUCCUUGAUGUCAUUUUAAGAUAUUGCCCCGAUUAUGUUCUACCCUCCCGUCCGUCUCAUUCGAUUUUUCAACCAACCGGUAUAUGGUUAGAUUAUUACUUGUGUUUAGUUACUUACCCUGAUCUGUUGAUCUGCCUGACAGGCUAUCACUUGAGUUCCAGUGAAUCUGUGAGAUGGCACAAUUGGAUGAUAUAUAUAAGGAAAAUACCCUAUGUUAUUCGAAGUGCAUGUAUGAAUUUCGAGGACGAAAUUCUUUUAAGGAGGGGAGAUUGUAACAUCCCGAAUAUUACGAGGUUGUUUGUGAAGAAAAUAUUAAAGUGUAUUUCUUUGGGUUGAUUUAAAACCUUAUUUUGGUUUAAAAAGACUAGAAACCCUAAUAUUGUAGCCAAAAACCCUAGUUUACUUGUGACUAACCGGUUUUCCUAAAUCUCUCAUAUUUUAAUUGAAACCCUAAUUUUAAUUACUGGAAUUGGAAAAUUUCUCACGUUUUCUUAAAAAUUUCUUUUUAUUUGAAGAUUAUCAUUUAUUAAAGCCCCUAUCCAAUUAUUCCAUGAUAAGUGUAAAUAAACCUAGAAAAUAAGGUUUUACGCUUUGGUUUCAAGUUUGGAGCAAAAUUAGGGUUUUCGCGAUUUUUCGCCGGAUGAAUUUUCGGUACAGAGUAAGGAUUAAAUUUGGAGAUUAAAAGUGACUUUUGAGUGAGAAAUAAUAUGUGAUUAGUAGCAAUGGUAUAAAUUUAGUGAAUGGGAAGUAAAAACCCUAGUACGUGAGUUUUAAGAAAAACGGCGCCAACCGGCGGGUCCCGCGCACUACCGUUUGAACGCACCACUUGACCACCACUUUCUUACUGUAUAAGCUCAUUGAUAAUUGAGCAAAAUAUCUUCUUAUAUUACAGCUAAGGGGACCGAAAUUUGUGGCUUAUAAGCAAGGGAAAGAAAGAGAAAAAUGAGUGGCCAAGAUUAGGCCAAGUGUUGGGCAAUUUGUGGACAUCAUUAGUUCUAAUCUUUUGGCUUUAUUAUAAGAUAAACUUAGCCUCAUUUCUCUUCAUAUUUCUGCCUAAGAGCCGAGAGGGAGAGGGAAGAAAACACCAAGGGAAAUUUCUUCAUUUCAUCUUCAAAUCCAACAAUUUAGUGAGAAAAUAAACAAAGUAAACCGAUUAAACUUGUUCCUAAGUGACUAGGUGGUGAUUUGUGGUAAGCUUUGGAAGGAGGAAGCUUGGGCUACUCUUUGUGAUCUCUAUUCAAGGUAAGAGAGUUUAUCUCUCCAAGUUUUACUUCUAAUCUUGUUAAAUUAAGCCUAGUAACUUGAUUUUAUGGUGAGAUUAUGGAUGAUGAGCAUGUUUUAGUAGUUUUCCCCAAUUUAUUUGAUGCACUAGGGCUUAUGGAAAUUCUGCCCAAAUGGUUGUAUGAUGUUUAUAUGUUGCAAUUGAGGUGUGAUAUGGUGUUUUGGUAGUGAUUGGAUCAAGAAAUUAAGGAAAGAUUCACUAGAAACUCAAAAUUUCCAAAAUCUGGAAUAUGGUCCCAACAUUCUGUCCGAAUUUUUAUCUAUAUGUUAGAGGCUGUUUUGGCCUUAGGUUAAAGAAUAAAAGUUGUAGAGAAUGGUAUUUUAUAGGUUCCUACAAAAUUUCAACUCAAUCGGAGCAACGCAGAACGUGAAAAGUCCAAAAUACCCCUACUGUUUUAAGAAUUUCCCAGCAGUCCGUUUCUUCAGUUCAGUCCAGUUUAUCACGAUUUUUGACCAGGAUCCAUUCUGAUUUAGCUCUGGGCCGAAACAUGAAAGUUGUAGUGUUCUGAAGUAGCUUUAAAAUGCCUCAAAGAAAACCUGAUUCGGACUUGUGUACACUGAGUUAGGUCCGCUACAGCAUAAUACGUUUAAACAGCCGAUGAAUUGGUUUCUGGUUUAGUAAUUGGCGAAUUUGACCAAGUUACAUUAGAAACUGGACUUAGUGAUAUUCAUGAACAUUGUAGCCCUGAGUCUUAGCUUCGAAACGCCAUAGGUUUCGUCUUAAUCCGAUAAGCGUAGCCUCAGAUAAGUUAUUUCCGCUUUUAUACGUCAAAUCUGUCUUUUGGCUAUAUGGAAUUUCUGCACUUGCUAUUGAUGUGAAUCUUACUAUUAUGAUAUUGUGAGCCUAUGGAAUGGCUCUUGACAUAAAUUGCUGAUAUGUAUGAUGUUGGGUGGUGUUGAAGAAAAAUAAUGAAGCCUAAAUGGCUGGAAAAUUAGGUAAACACAAAGGGCAUGCUGCCCAAAUUUACGCUCGAAGACUAGAGAACUACUUGCAACUCGAGUAUGGGUUAAGAGUGAUUACUGCUUGAACCAUCUAGGGUACUUGAGUCUGCGUGUUCCGAGGUAUAUAAGUAAGGACUUGGCCGAACUUGUACCCUUGAGAAAUGAAAUAAUGAUUGCUCAAAGUACGUUUUCCCUUGUACUUUCGACUCGCAUGACCAUUUCAAGUAUAAAUGUUAAAAAGUUUUAUCAUUUAAAAAGUGAGCGAGUAUCUCACGAGUAUUCUCCAAGUGAAUUUCAAUUUCUUGAUUCUUAUUGAACGAAACGUCUAAGUUUCGAACUCUAGUCAUGUUUCAAAGUUCUCAAAUUGAGUUUUAUCGCAGAUUUGGACUCCGAACUCGGAGUAUAACCUGAAAGUGACCAGUAGCACUAUAUCUUUUGGGUGAGUGCUUUCAAAUACCGAAUUGAACUUGAUACUUGAACUUGAUACGUGACCAAUCUGAUUACAUGUUAUAUACGUGAAUUGUAAGGGCAAGAGUGUACUUUAUCGCACUUGCCCUUACGUGAUAUACUUGUUUAUUGUUGCAAUUGACUUGAUAUCCUUGUUUAUGAUGCGCGCACUUCCUGGAAUUCCAGAAACCCUGUGGCGAGUUACUCUAGUCGAGCCGGCAAGGGCUUGGUCGAUUGGAUAACGAACCCUGGGUCUCUUGUAUUGUCGAGUGGAGUGAUAUCUCCUCGACUAAUCGGUAUACUCGAGUAUUACCACCCGUGUUCUUGAGGAUUUUGGGCCCAGGUGGGGGUUGAACGGUGGACGGAGAGUCGUUUAAGUGGUGUUCUACUGGAUUGGUUACUUACUUGAAAGUUGACGGAGUGUCAACUACUACGGAAUCAAGCUUCUGGUAAUGUAAUGGGAAUUUGGCUCCUGAGAGUCAUCCGUAUCCUUAUACUUUGGAGUAAUUAUUGUUUAUUGGAUUAUUGUUUCUUUUGAAAAAUUUUCUACAUUCGCUCAUUUUAAGAUUGCUACUUGACGUGUUACUGUUCACAUUUAUGAACACUUUAUGCUCGUUACUUUGCUAUAUCGAAAACUCGUACUUAUAAAUAAUGGUCAAUUUGCUAUUUGGAACCUCACUGGGCUUUUAGCUCAUUCCACUCCAUUUGUUUUCCUUUCAGGGGUACGAGCGAGGUGUGAGAUAUGUAAAGUCUAGCAUAGACUAGCUGUUUGAUUUUGACUUGUACUCACGCUAUUCCUCGGAUGGAACAUGUUGUAUUUGGAUUGUAUUCGUUUUGAUCUAGUUUGGUGUAUUGAGACUUCGUACUUCGAUUUCUAUUAAUGUAAAUUAUAAGCUUGAAUUGGGAAUGUUAUUUAUGGUUCAUGAAUGUGUGUACGUGACUCGAUUGAGAUAGUGAGUGAGUCCUGGCGAGAGCUGGGCAGGCGGUCCGUCGAACCCUUAGAAGACAGGUAAUCAUGUAAAUUUCUUUCCCUUGCAUUUCAACUUGCUUUUCUUGUUUUGCUUCAUUUUAUGUAUUGCUUCCGCUUCUUCUUCCUCGAGCUUUUCUUUCCCUCUAUUUCGUUGUGCGUCUUUCUUCAUUCACUAUUAUUGGUGUUUUCUACUGUCUGCUAUUACAUCUAUUGUAAGUGAUGCUCUAUUUUCCCUCCCCCUGUUCUUGUAAUAGUCUUUAUAUUUUUUCCCCUUCCAUUAUUUUGUUUUUGAUAUUCUUCUACUUCCCAUGCUUACUGUUUUUUUUUACCUGUCACUAUUAUUAAUAUUCCUUUUGCAUUUUUUUUGUUUUAUGAUUCUCUUUGUUCUAUCAUUUUUCAUUCUCAUUGCAUUGUUGUCUCUUAUUGUUUGAAGUUCGAUUUUUCACUUUCCUUUUGCCCAAUUUUUUUGUUGCCUCUGUUUUUUUUUUCAGCUUUCCUGCUGAAACAUUGCUUUUGCUUUUGUUAUAGACUCUUUUCUCCUGUUUUUUCUCCCGCGCUUGUAUGCUUCGUAUGCUUUCUUGGUCAUAUUCAUUUAUUUACUGCUAUUGUUUCUACGCUUUGCAGUUUAGUGGCAUUUAUUGCUAUUCUUUAUUUUUUGUAUUUAUUCCCAUCUGACAAUGACAUUUCCCUAUUAUCCAUUUUUGCAUGGCCCUCUUAAUUUCCUCCAAGUUUUGCUGACUACGAGCUGCUGCUUAUUUUUCUUGCUGCGGCAAAAGGUACUUGCUUUUUUUUAUUGGAAUUGAAGCAUUAUCUUUAAUAGUUCAUUCAUCUUUGUUCUUCUUCUUUGAUCAAACGCUUAUUAGCUACUUUUUUUCUCCAUUUUUCGUAUAUUAUUCUAAAAAGUUUGUUUUCUCAUGCUUAAACACUUAAAAAAAUUACCAUAUUUCUUGUUUUAUUUUUCACCUUCGUACACUUAACUUUUUUGUGUAUGAAAUACAAAACAAAGAAUGCUGUGCCAGAAAGUAGCAUCAGCAAUGAAACCGAAUUUCAUUCAAGACAUCUCUGAUGGGCUAUCAUUCUAUGACAUCUUCACUCAGCAAAACCAGCAUAAUUUUGUGAGCUCUGGCUAUAUCCUGUUUUAUUUUAUCAUUCAUUAUUUUCUUUCCCACUAAUAAUUUUUUUUUUUGUCGAUGAACAACAGAAAGUGCCCAAGUUUGUAUCCUUCUUCAUGCAUGGUGACAAAACUCCUCUGAUCACCCUGAGAACUAGAAACAAGACAGUCACUCUUGGAAUGCGUCAGAGAUAGUUCACAAAUAAUUGGAACACAUUUAAGUUUGAGCAUCAACUACAAUUUGACGACGCUUUAGUAUUUAUCCCUAAAUCAAAGUCCUGCUAUACUGUCCUAAUCUUCAACAAACAUGGAGUCGAAAAACUAUUCCCUUGGUACAAUAAGUUCUACAUCUUCUCUGAUGCACCAACCGGUAGAACUUAGACCUUUCUUUUAAAUUUAUUCUGCAAGAAACGUUGUUCUUCUUAUAUGUUCAAUAAACAUAUGAAUGCCAGCUUUUAUUGUCCAUUCUUUUUCCAUAUCAAUUUAACUUAGCAAUUUAUCGACAACAUGCUGCAGAAUUAUUUUCAACCAUUCAGGACCGUGCUUGAUUUUUUGUAAAAAGCUUUGAAUAAAUCUACAACUUCAACUUUCAACGCUUCAUUAUUCUCAUAUAAUAUGCAAUUUUACGAGGCUUCUUGAAAAAACCAAAAUAACAUCUUAUCUUUAAACUUAUGCCUUUUAUUAAGAACGGUAUACUUAAUAUGACUGUGAUACAAUUCAAAUAUAUUGUAGCAUAAACCAAGAAAGCUAUCAAACAGAAAAAUGCAUUAAUAAAAAAAUUAAGUUAAGCUGUUCCAAUAGAUGCUCAUAAUUACAUGACACACACCAAAACAUGAAAUACAUUAAAAUCAACAAGUGUGUGUAUAAAAAGUCCUUCCAUACAUGUUGACCAAAUUGGUAACUAAUAGAGCGAUUAUUCGGCACAUUUUGCACUGUUAUUUUGUCAUAAUUUUGGCUAUUCACGGUACUAAGAAUUGGAAUUUCACUCAUAUUCGAUAUUUGUGUGAAUUGUAGGUGGUAGGCAUGAAAAAUGAUCUCGCGGGGUAAAUUUCCAGAAGAUUUUUCGUCUCAGGGCGUGGCCACGUCUUAGAAGGUGGACGAAACCGAAAGCCGGACUGCGGUCCACGUGAACCGCGAGAAACAUGGGAUAAAAACUCCAAAAGGCCAGACGUCUGGAGAGCUCCUGCGGCGGCUAUAAAGAAAGGAAAAAGCAAGAUUCAAAGCAUCACUACUUUUAGCCUUAGUUUUACCUUUUUGCAAGAUUGGUCAGACGCUUUUGUUUUUCUUUUGUUUUCUUCUGCGGCUUUGGGUCAGACAUUGGAGACUUUCUCCUUUUCUGUAGCUUUUGCUUUUAUGCGACUCUGACUCCCGAAUUCGCUCUUUUCGCCUUUGACAAUUCUCCGUUGGCUUUUGCUUUGUAAUUGUGGCUCCAAUACAAGACAGAGCCAGGUUUUUCAUUGAUUGUUUCUUCGAUUAAUUCAUCCUCCCCAAUUUCUGGGCAAUUGAUUCUUGGGAAAUUAAUUGAAUGAAUUCAAUUAAAUCACGCGGGAUUGACACGAUGAGGAGCGGCUAAUUUUCUCCUCUACCCAAAGGUCGACGCGAGGGCGCGGUCCAUAAUAUCUGUGAGAUCUAACCGAAUCUUCAUUAUUUCCUCCAAUUAAUUGCUAUUCGUGCGUUUCCUGAAUUAAUUGUUCAUGGGUAUUUUAUUAAUUGAAUAUCAACGGCCGGGUAUUUGAUUUAAUUUAAUAGCCUACUCCACGUUAAUUAAAUAGAAUCCGUAAUUGUUCAUUUAGUUAACACCCCGUGGCAACCACCAUAAUUGGCUUUAUGAUGGGGAAACGCAAGAUCUAGCUUAAAUAAACCAUCUUAGCGUGUUUAUUGGUUAGGGUUGGGUUCUUCUAGCUCUAAUGCAAUUGGAUAAUUAAAUUCCUACGGUCGUACCUAGGGUUGUUAUCUGGUUAGGGGAGCAGUUAAUGGUCGUACCUUGACUGUCGAAAAGGUAAGGAAGAAUUGGUUAUCAGAGCUUGUUGAUAAUUAUAACCAACCUAGUGACAAAUGGAUGAAAUAUCUUUGCAUCGAUGAUCAGUUGAAUGGACCGUAUCUGAAAAGUUGUACCUUUGGUUAGAGUCGUAUUGGUUAUUGAUUAUUUUCUAUUUAUUUCUAUUAGUUGCUUUAUUAGUUAGUUAAUUAGUUAUUUCAUAUUCUCCAGAAACCCCCCAUACUUCGGACUCUAAAAGAAAUAAGUUAUCCCCAAUCCCUGUGGAUUCGACCCUACUCACCGCUAUAUACAAAAUCUGUAUUUUUCUCGAGUAGGUAUUUAUUAUUGCACAGGUUCGGCUCCUGUCAGUAACUGAUAGUGUGAGGAGUUGAACCUAUGUAACUUCGUGACUUUGAAACGUGACCUUUAUUACUGUGACAUCAUAUCCAAAUUCAAAAAAGUUUUCACCUGAGAAAGCCAAAUAAUAUGUAGAUAUAUGAAUUGUAAUAAAUGUUCUUUAAUUCUAUUAAUUACACCAAAUUAUUUUGCCUACAAAUGUUCUCCAUAUCGUUAGUUUAUAAUUGCAAUCCGCUGGUUACCAAAUCUCAUUGUGGGCAUUACAUAAAUUCUUCACCGUGCGCAAGCACGGUAUAUUUCUGCUAGUAAUGCUUAAUGGUUGAAAUAGUUAUCGCCAGCGAGUGUGAGGUUCAUGGUCCUCUGUCCUCUGACUUCAGCAUGGACGCGAGAUUCGGCUGCAGUUGCAGCGGGGGAACUUCAACAUUUAGGUUUGCGAUGAGAGAAGAACGAAGGGAAAAUACCGGUUUUCAUCCCCAAACUUUGGGCACAUGACACAUUUCGUCCCUCAUCUUUUGGGCAUGACAUAUUUGGUGUCUGAAUUAACAAUUUUUGACCAAAUGUCAUCCUCAGACGGCAAUUUAACCAACCUUUAACGGACCGUUAAGUAAAUGUGGCUAACCGAAGCAAAAUCAGGUGGAAAAUGACGUUGUCUUCACUUCCUCUGCAAAUUUCCAAGACUAAGCUCCUACUGCAAAUUUCUCCAGAGUAAACCCCCUCUUCCAAUUAUAAAUAUAUAAUUAUAAUUAUAUAAUACAUAUAAAUAUUACUUAAACUAAUAUUUUAUAUAAUUAUAAUGUAUAUUAGAUAUUAAAUUUAAUUAUUAUAUAACCUUAUAUUCAUAAUAAUAAAUAUAAUUAUAAUUAUAUAAUUUAUUGAUAUUAUAUACACAUAUAUAUUAUAAGGGAUAAUUUCAUAAACCUCCCCUAAAUUAGCUUAUGGAAAAAUGGGAAAAUGAAUAAUUUAUGGAGAAAAUCCAUAAAGUGCUGGUGUUUUAUUGGCGAACUGGUUUAUUUUUAUUUUAUCCGAUAAAUAAAUUUGUUUAUGAAAAAAUGGGUACUCUGUUCUUAUAAUAGAGGAAAGCCAUAAAGAGCUGAAGUUUUAUUGGAAAACGAGUUUAUUUUAUUUUAUUCGAUAAAUAAAUUUAUUUAUGAAAAAAUGGGUACUCUGUUCUUAUAAUGGAGAAAAGCCCUAAAGAGCUAGUUUUUUAUGGGAAAGCGAUACUUUACAAAAAGUGACCGCGACUCUGACUAUAAUAUUAGUAUAAUUAUAUAAUGCAUUAUAUAAAUAUAUAUAUAAUAAUUAUUUAAUUAAAUAAACAAAUUCAUUCUAAUUUUUUUUAUAAAGUAUCACUUUUCUAUAAAAGACUAGCUCUUUAGGAUUUUCCUCCAUUAUAAGAACAGAGUACCCAUUUUUCCAUAAAUAUAUUUAUUUAUCGAAUAAAAUAAAAAUAAACUCGUUUUCCAAUAAAACUUCAGCUCUUUAUGGCUUUCCUCUAUUAUAAGAAUAGGGUAUCUAUUUUUUCAUAAACAAAUUUAUUUAUCGGAUAAAAUAAAAAUAAACCAGUUCUCCAAUAAAACACCAGCUCGUUAUGGCUUUUCUCCAUAAAUUAUCCAUUUUCCCAUUUUUCCAUAAGCUAAUUUAGGGGAGGUUUCUGAAAUUAUCCCUUAUAAUAUAUAUGUGUAUAUAAUAUUAAUAAAUUAGAUAAUUAUAAUUAUAUUUAUUAUUAUGAAUAUAAGUUUAUAUAAUGAUUAGAUUUAAUAUCUAAUAUACAUUAUAAUUAUAUAAAAUAUUAGUAUAAGUAAUAUUUAUAUGUAUUAUAUAUUUAUAAUUGGAAGAGGGGGUUUACUCUCAGAGAAAUUUGCAGUAGGAGCUUAGUCUUGGAAAUUUGCAGAGGAAGUUGUUGAAGUGAAAGAAAAAGGGAAAGUGAAGAUAACGUCAUUUUUCACCUGAUUUUGCUUCAGAUAGCCACAUUUACUUAAAGGUUGGCUAAAUUGCCGUCUGAGGAUGACAUUUGGUAAAAAAUUGUUAAUUCAGACACCAAAUGUGUCAUGCCCGAAAGAUGAGGGACGAAAUGUGUCUUGUGCCCAAAAUUUGGGGAUGAAAACCGGUAUUUUUCCGAAGAAGGAAGGUCCCGACAAAAAUGAUUACCGAAUGCCGCAGAUGAUCUCUCAUGUGACGUAUUUUUCCCUCCCGACCGGUUAACGGACCCGCCUUCGUCCUUUAUUCUACAGUAAGCAUUGCGAUUGUACCAUUUAUGCCUUAAAAGUUGAAUCCUUACCAUUUCCACACACCAAAAAAAAAAAAAAAAAAGGAAGUUGAAUCCUUACAUCUCCUCAAUAUUCCUAAAUUUUGCACGUGGUAUACGGGUGUGCUACAAGAUUUUCAAGUGCGUGCAACGAUUAGGCUAAGAAAAGCCUAAUGUUGCAUUAUAUGCAGAAAGAUUCGUGAUUAAAGAAUUUACACACCAAAAGAAAAAAGGAAUGUAUCGCUUCGAUAUUCAGUUCCAUGGUUCGUAGAAUUAAGGAUAAUUAUUGCUAAGUAGCUCGCUAAUGUGUUAUUAGUAUGAUUCCGAACACUCAAAUCUAAAUUCCACCAACAGUUCUGUAUAUCAGGAACGGAAUAGAGUACAUUCCAUCAACAGCUUGUGAACUAGCAAGUGCCCAGAGAUAUUUUAACGACAAAUUAGCCCAUGAGAUUUAUCAGGUAAGGGAUGCAGAAAAGAAAACACUCCUAUAAGAGAAUAAAGAGGGACACCUCAUUGACAAAAAGACAACCCUCAUCUCAUCCUUUUCACCCUACUAUGUAAGAACAUUGCGUGGUGGUGUCCCUCAUUUCAACCUCCAAUUAUAUGUUACCAUGAUGACAUUCUUACAUCGCAUUUGUCAAACAUCACAUAUGUAUUGGGCAGAAGUCACAACCUAUACACAUUUUCACACUGGCGACAAACUUCAAUAUGCAACUCCAAUGGGGUCAAUUUAGAUGGCUUUGCUAAUUUCUGUUUUCUUUGUUGAUCAUCAAUAGAUCGUUUUGCUGAUUAAUAUAUAAUGUUCGACCUAAUAUCGGAAGUUUUGUUCCAUCGAAUCAACGUACUCGCCAUCCAUCUCUUUGAUGCUACCUGUCCAAGCAUUUCCGGUAAGGGUUUUUCCGAAAAAGUGGGAGGCAACUCUUUAGCACACGAUUUUUUUGGUUCCGAGUAAAGCUACAUCAUGGUCGGGUUGAGAGAGAAAGCACUUGAGAGGGACUGAUCAGUGCAAUAUAUUCCUGCAGAUGUAUGGUGAUUGACUCGUGAAACUUGACGGUCCAAGCUGCAGCCAAAGCCAAUGCUCCCAUCGGCUGCUUAGACAAUACAUCGACUUUACGCAUGGAAGGACGGAUAAGCACCAAGCAAAAAGAGGUCAUUGAAAAGCUCAGGACAUUGGAACAAACAUGACCUAGCCAAACUUAUCAGUGGCCUUUACGCAUGGUUAUGUAGAUGAUAUGGGUCCGGUCAUGGAUAGGUGCCUAAAAAGCAAUACCAAAUUUCUGCAGGCAGUGAUAUCAAGCACGGAAAUAGCUUUUACUGAGAACGGCAUCAGUUGGCAAAACACUCCCACUCUAGAUGAGGGUACCGCAGUUCCUUCACUUCGAAUAAAUUUACUGACAUCCCCGACAUUAGAGUUUCCGCCCAAACAAUCAAGUGUCUGCAAAUUUGCUUCACAAAUUUAGGGAGCUUAUAACAAUAGUUAAAGAAAGACGAACAACAAAGCGUCUGCUAUCCACUCAGUUCUGCACGAGUUGGGAUUACAGGAACCAGGAAAUUGCCAAAUGGGGAAUCAAAAAUCCUGUAGUUGCCUGUGCAAUGCUCUUGUUGUGCUUGGGCUACUGCAAAAUUCUUAGCCUGUUGAAUCUUCAGAUUGUUUUUGCUAGUUUGAGCUAUAGGGCCCUGCACAUUAAGUGGAAAUAACUGAAUCUGGCUUAACACCCAUAAAAUAAGCAUCAAUGUGGAUUUUAUACAAAGUCCAUACUGUCAAUUUAUCUAUUAAUGUCUUGGCAGAGUCAUUGUCAUCUUUUUGUGCAGAAGAAGUCCUGCAAGGGGAGAGCAAAGUUUUUGAAUUUCCAAAACAUGUUAUACAAGAGUACAAGUUAGACAAGUCAGAGUAGCCAUAUCAAGCAUGAUCUACAAAUAAUACAUCUAAUCCAAUCUUGCAGCGAUUUAAACACGCUAGAUUGUCUUAAAAACUAUACGAGUGCUUCUGCUUCAGUAAAAUAAUCAAAUCAACAUACACUGGGGCCAUUGAUCGUUUCAGAUAUAGCUUUGUUUGAAUUCAGCUCCCAAAAUCAGAUGACCCUAUUGAGACACCGUCAUUACCCACUAGAGACCAUUUCAUGAUUCUAUCAUACUUUGCUUCCUAGACCCUUUCUACGUCCUCUAAAAUGUUGGAAGAUUUCAAUGCCAACGAGUAGCAUAGCACUCCUCGCCCUGAUCAUUAGCGUACAUAUGGAUCCCGAAAGCAAAACCUGCAACAAGUCACUAAUUUCUCGUCCUCCCAAAAUUUUGAAAUUAUGAAGUUUAGAAUUACUUUCUGUCCUGAUUAUAGACCAUUUGUUGAUCCUGAAAGUUACCCCAAAACCAUCACCACCUCCCCGGCCUACAUUGAACUGUUAAAAUGAUCAACUUUUAGGGAAGCAAGUUCAAUCUCAGUAAUAACUUUUCACAGAGCAGUUAGCAUAAGCAGUCAAAUUACUAGCUUAAAAUCUGCAACAGCACUAAUCAGAUUCACGAAUAACGAAUUACAUAAACCAGUCUAAGCAAUUAAAAAAAAAAACAAACAAAUGAUUGAAUCACACAAAACCCACCAACUUAUGCCUACACCAAAUUUUCAAACCCUCAACUACCUCUAAAACUAUUUUAGUUUAGUUUACUACAGCAAGUUACAAUCUCAACACGUUUAUAUAAGUACUGAUUUUAUCGUGCUCAGCUAGGCUUAUUCCACCAAAUUGAACGAUUAAUGGAGAAUAAAUUACCGGGGAGAAGGUGCAGCGUCUACUUUCCUCUUCUUCAAUUCAGGCUGAGGUUUCAUUUUUUGCAAUGUUAACUUCUUCGUUUCUGAGAAAAGUAUGUGCACCCCUUGUGCAGGAGAGGUUGAUAUUCCGGAUUGAGGGCCCAUAAUAAAUAUACGCAGUUGGGUUAUAUCCAAAUGGAUUAGGCCCAAAUACUUCUUUUGUAAUUGGGUUCUUGGUUUUCCAAAGGUCUCAUCAUCCCAUUCUUUUUGGAUACAUUGCUCGACCCCAAAAAAAAUUGGAUUGUACAUUACAUUAUGGAUCAAACAUUUUGUCCUGCAGCCGAAGCACACAUUUACGCAAGCCUCAUGAGAUUCACGAGCACGAGUUCUACGUACUCAAAUCCACACACAUUUUAUAUUCUUGGUCUGAAUGCCUCGUUUGAGAGAGAUGGUAAUAACAUAGAAUUAAUCUUUUAUACAUUAAUCGUGUAUAUAUUUUUCAUUAUUGAGUGCAUGAUACAUAAUUCGAAUUUGAAUUUAAAAUUCAAAUUUUGCACAUGUGUCGUGCAUUCAACUGUAAUAAUGUAUACACUGUUAGUGUGUAUAAGAUUUACUCAAUAAAAUAAGUCAUCUUAAGAUUUCAGAAUUCCUUCCAAAAAAAAAAAAAAAAAGUUUGAGAAUAGCAGCAGCAACUAGUAGUGAUAUUCCCCACAUCUUCAUUUCCACAUCUAGUACUAGACCCAACAACACUAAGGGAAAAAUUGAAAAAGGUUUAUUCCAAACAAGUGUGAAAAGAAAGGAUAAUUUAUAUUGACUACUUACACAAAGCAGGCCAUUACGAAUUCGAUCGCACUGAGAUUUGCAUUUUAUUUAGGUUGGAAAAAAAGGUAACAUUGAAGAUCAAAAGAUGAACCACAAACUUAAGUUGGAAAAGUCCAAACAAAAAUGGCAUAUCGUUCUAUAAAGCAUUGCUUCUAAAAACAUUUUAACUCGAGCAUAAUGGAUUUUUAAAAUGUUAUCCAUAAAGAAGUUAGCACAACUUUCACUAACUCAAGGUUAAAAAAAGAUGGGAAAAAACUAAAACAAAAAUAAAAAGAAGCCACUUUGUUUGACAACUAACCAGUGCAUGUUCGAAAUUUUCUUCUUUUGCUUUUGGCCAAGCAAACUUUUGUUUUAUAAAAUUCUUUGGUCUCACCUAGUGAAACCCGUGCUGAAGAAAAUUCUGGCCAAAGAUAUGAAAUAGUAGUAGUAUGUGAUUGGGGAUGUUAUGUCCUUCCACGUUUCGUCUUUAGAAACGGUAACGAAAUUAUCAAGUCCUACAAAAUCAAUCACUACUUGUAGUUACUAUUAAACUGAUUGUGUAGAUAUAGAACAAGACCCCAAAAUCUUAUCCAUCUUCUCAAUCUCGAUCGAGUAUCUAGUUCGACCGGUCAAUUCUUCCAGAGAGAUCGAAUUUGCAAUCAAUGACGGAGCCAAGGGGGGCAGAGGGGGGCCAUGGCCCCCCCUAAGUUUUGAGAAUUUUAAUUCAUAAUAUGUAAAUAUGUGUGUAAAAUAAAAUUGGCCCCCCCUAAAUUUUUUCAAUUUUAGUUUAUAUUAUGAGAGUUGAUAUAUAUAUAUAUAUAUAUAUAUAUAUAUAUAUAUAUGAAUUAGUCAUCUUUGAAUGGAAUUUCAAUUUUGGCCCCCCCAAAAAAAAAAUCCUGGCUCCGUCACUGUUUGCAAUCAUUGAAUACAACCCAAGAUCAACGUUUUAAUUGUGUUCUUUGCAGUCAUGUUUCUUUGUGGGAAACGGGCUAUGGGGAGAAAUUUUAAUCACAACCUGCAAUCAAUCACGGAGGUGAUUAAACUCGUUACUAUUAGUAAGAGACUUUGACCUGGGGGGCAAUGCAAAGACGAUAAUUGUAGCUUGACAAGGCGGACGUAGUGGAGACUUUUUCUUUUUUUUCGGUGGGAUCUAAUGUGUUCGAUCGAAUGAUGUUGUACGGGACGUCGUAGCAUUCUAAAAGCCAAGAAAAUCCACCAACUUUUAGUACAAUAAGAUCCUUGAAUCCAAUAUCCAUAUAUCAAUAAUUUUCCUCCACAUUAGCAGCUCUAUUCUAUGUAAUCUGAUCCCCAAAUCCUCCCAAAUCUAACACUAAUCAUUCUAUAACUCUCUGAUUUGAUGGCAAUAGUCAGAAAAAUCACUUUCUAAAUCACCACCAUUUUGCUAACUGUCAACAUAAGAAUAAGUAAUAGAUUUCCAGCUAGCUUAAUAGAGUAGUGGAUGUUGUUGACUUGUUUCAUUCUCAAGGGAUAACUUCUCUAUUUCACGAUGCUCCUAUAUCCGCGGCCAUCAACCCCAAAGCUAGCAAUCUGCUAAGCUCAAUGCCACCGCACAGGGUAAAUUUUUUAGCUACAUUUGGCUUAGAAGUGGGAAGGUUGGUAGGUUAUCUUACCCUUCUUUUUGGGAGAAAUGGAGUCUGCCCUUCAUCCAUCGCUCCGUGUACUUAACCAUGGAAUAUUUUUUUUUCUGACAUAAAAGAGUAAAUAUUUCAUGAAUUUUUUUUUUAUUUUAAAGAGAGAGCGUUCUAGAUACUCCCUCCGUCCCACUUUGAUAGUCCUAUUUUUCUUUUUCAUCUGUCCCAAAUUGUAGUCCACUUUCCAAUUGAAGAAAGUAAUUAUCUUUUAAUUUCUCUAAAAUACCCUUAUUUAAUGUAGGUUGUUAUUAAUAUAAACUACCUUAUUUAAUAUAGAUUAUUAACCUACUCCAUUUGAUACAUUUAGAUUUUCCAAAAUAUAUUGAUACAUGAAAAGCCAGCUUUGUUAUUCUUUCAAGCCAAAAUGUGAAAUAAUGUAAAAUGAGGAUUGAUUCUUUUUUGAUCGUCAAUUCAAGUUUCCAUGAAUAAUUAAUAUAAAGUUAUACUCUAUUUAAUGUAAGGGUAUUUAAAAAAAAAUAUCAACCUAAAUUUAUUGUUCCAAUAAAAUUAACUACUUUUUUUUUUAAACUUUGUGAAAAAAAACUAGAACUAUCAAAAUGGGACAGAGGGAGUACUUGUUAAGACGCGUGUUUCAUUCUUACUAAAAAAAUUAGCACUUGAAACAAUCUUGUUAGCCAAACACAUAUUUCAUUACACUUGUGUGUUUUGAUAUGAAAGUCAAAACUCUCAAAAAGUUUGUGCCAAUCCUCAUAUGUCGAUUAAACAUCAAUUGCAUAUCCUGUCAUUGACACUUUGAAUCCAUCAACAAAAUUUGACCAACAAUAACUCUGUGGGCUAGCUACCAAAACGAAUGAACUACAAAUAAAGCGACUUUUACGAGAAUGUGCAUUAGAUAUCGAAAGCUGAAGAAUUUGCUUCCAACUUUUCGAUUCUGCAUCAAUUAAGGAAUCAUAUCCCACCUGUCAUAUGUGUUUAACUUUGCGAAAGAACCAUUUCAACUUUUUUGACCCGCAUUAAAUUACUACAAGAUCAGCUGAACCGACCCCAUGAACGCCUUUCUCAUGUCACUGGAGAAAUGGUGGGACAAGCAGGAGCACCUGGUGUGGUUUGGAUGCCAUAUGAUAUUACAGUUUAUGGGAUCCCACAAAUGUGCAUUGCUGUCAAAUUUUAUUCUAACGACAAGAAAGGUUAACACCUUAAUUUUAAUUUCGUUGUGGGAAUUACGUGCCGGAAAUGCGAAGGAGAAGCCGACCGGACCAAUUUAGUUGGCCAUGUCGAAACCAGUCAGCAAACACUCAGAGGCGAACCUAGAAGGGCAAAAGGCUUUGGUGGUGGUGCUGUUUCUGAAAUUGCCUAAUUUGGUAUCACAAUUCCAACCAUGUGCAUAAAAUGCCCCCCACGUCACGUGGAAUAUCUAAUGCGUGUGGGUCUCAUCUUCCAACUCUCCCAACUAUUCAUGUUUCUUCUCCUUUAUUUCUUCUUUAAUGGAGUCCAUAUUUUCCAUCUCAGGACAAGGCAAUUAAAGCCUAGCUAAAAUGUUCCAUCUAACCAAGUACUCCAAUUAAGAAAGAAAGCGUCUGUGUGUGUGUGUGUGUGUAUAUAUAUAUACUAUAAAAAAGAUUGGUCAGUCCCAUACGUACACGAGGGAGACAGCAUCAAUCAAUUUGAAUCCUAGAAAAUUGUAAAUACACAAAAUUUCAGGUGAUGCCCUUUUUUUGGGAGUUUCUGCUUCUUGGUAAAUGGCUGUAACAUAUGUAGACUGCUACAAGUAGUUUCCGUAUCUUUCUUUGUUGUUAUUGCGCUGGAGUCUGGAGCCGAGAAGCAGAUGAGCUGUGCGUCAGGCAAGCAGCUGGACUUGGAUAGGCAUGCACAUAUGACAUACCCUUCUGGCUUCUGCUACGCCUUCUCAUCUUUCACAUGCCUGAUUUUUUAUGCUAUCAUACUUCUGGUUGUGUUUGGACUGAUAUAGACCUUUGGUUUGCUUUAACAUGGCACUUUUACCUCCCAAAAUUGGAAUACUUCCCUAAUUUGGAUUGGAAAUGCUGCCUACUAAAGGUGCACUAGCACUCGGAAGAUUCUUUGGCCUUUUUUUGAUAAUUACAACACAACUUUUACGCGACAUGUAGUGUAAGAUUCACAAAUGUGUAUCCUGGAGGCGAUAAAGUUUUUAGGUUAUCGAUCGAUUUGGGCCGUUGAGACCAAAUUCUGCUCUUUUCUCUUAUGGCUUUGCUUUUCUUUUCUUUUCUUUUUUGUGUUUAGUAGAGUCUCUUUUAGGCUCUUCAAAAUUUACUCUCAUAGGGUUUUCUAUCUUUUCAUAGGGUUAUCUAGUGAGAAAUUUCUGAAAUUUUUAGUGAGAGUUUUUUUUUUUAGAUUCUCUAUUUCUUUUGUUAGGACGAUUUUUAUUUUUUUUUUAAAUUUUGAUUGUCCCUUAGGUCUAUUUCAUCAGAUUUUACCGUAAUAUUUGAGAUAGAAAAAGCGAUUUGCAGAUCUUGCGGUUAGAAAUGUACACAAAUGCCCUUGAGGAGGCUAUAAGUGCUUUAUCAAUGUGACUCUUUAUUACUCUCUCCUUCCCAUCCUGAUAGUUCUGUUUUUCUUUUUCGUCUUUUCCAAAUUAUAGUCCACUUUUCAAUUGAAAAAUAUAGUUAUCUUUUAAUUUUUCUAAAAUGCCCUUAUUCAAUGUAGGUUGUUAUUAGUAUAAACUACCUUAUUGAAUAUAGAUUGUUAAUCUACCCCAUUUAAGACAUUUAGAUUUUCCAAAACAUAUUGAUAUAUGAAAAGCCAGUUUUGUUAUUCUUUCAAGCCAAAAUGUAAAAUGAGGAUUGAUUCUUUCUUGAUCAUCAAUUCAAGUUCUUAUAAACUAUCAGUUCAAGUUUCCAUGAAUAUAAAGUUGUACUUUAUUUAAUGUAAGGGUAUUUUAGAAAAAUAACAAUCUAAAUUUAUUUUUCUAACAAAGUUAACUACUUUUUCUUAAACUGUGUAGAAAAAAAAAACUAGAACUAUCAAAAUGGGACGGAGGGAGUAAUUUGCUAAAUCGGUAGUUACUGUUUUCAUAUCGGUUUUAUUUUAUUGUAUAUAUCGCAUAUAAUGUAUGUUAUUACUGCAUAUUUAAUGCAAUUAUGAUGUUUACAAAAAAUCAGACUUCAUUAGACUAUAGGUUAACAAAUUUUUAUGCUUUUAUAAUCAGGGGAAAUUUUGACUGUACAGACGGCGGUAUUUAUACAGCAAGACAUGAGAGGACUUUGCCUGUGUAGCGAAAUUUUUAGAGUUCCUCAAUCUUAAUCGUUCUUCGACUUAAAACCAGCCGUUUUCGAACAGAACAAAUUAAAACUACGGACCGCUUCAAAGUUCAAACUCACUCUACUGACUAGUCUACUCCUUCACUUGAAGAAGCCCAGAAGACGGUUAAUCGUUGGUUAUUUAUUUCCUUGAAACGAAAAAAAAAAUAAAUAAACUUUGAUUGGUUUGAGAAAGCACUACUGUUUCUUGGAAGUCAAGAAAAAUCCGAGUUGUACUUUGUUCUCCUCUUCCUCAUUGGCUUGCAUGACAAUACAAUCUGGAGAGAUCUUAAAAGAAAUAAAUAAAGAGAUUAACAAAAAAAAUUUUUAAAAAAAAGAAUAAUUAAGAAGAAGAUGAAGAAGAAGAAAAGCCAGAGAUCAGAUCCAUUCUUCAAAUUUCCCUUCAGGUUGCAGCACAGAGAAAGAAAAAAAAAAAAAGAAAGAAAAUACUGGCCAUCAUCUAUGUAUGAUGUUGUUUCCUGCUAGAUGCUAAAAGCAGUGGCUAUUCCAUGUGAAGCUACAAGAACAAAGUGCAAUUCCAGAUGAUAUUUUUGAUAAAUUGGCCAAAAGUCAAAUGGAAAUUAUUUUUUAAAAAAAUUUAUUUAUGUUAUCUAGUACUACAUUAUGUUCCUAAUAAUUCAAAAUAGGACCCCAUACCUUACGGUUGCGAAACUAGGUUUUAAUUGAGCCACAUUCCAUAUUCCAUAUUUAUGAUGUUGAUCAACAUCAUAUAAAUUUACAACGAUUUUGAUUGGUUGAGAAAAAAAAACAUCAGACAACGUGGUUUUAUAAAUUUUAAUUGAUUGGUUUGUGAAUUGGGAUCCACAAAUUCUAGUACUAAAGUUAGCAGAUAGCUUAUGGAUUUCAAAAUCCGCAACUAGAUGGACUAUACCCUACCCAUUAAAUAUUUGCAAGCAAAAAGAAAAAGCGUGAGAGGUACAACAACCUGUUUACAAUUUUAAUUUUAUCUUCAAUGAAAUAUUUCAUUGUCUUUGCAUCUUGGAAUUUCCUAAUAUUCAAGCUAAUCUUCAGCUGUCUUUUUUUUUUAUCUUGAAUUUUUUUUUCUCAUUAUCUAUUCAGUCAAUUUUCUUAAAGCAGUCGGUGCAAAUGGAACUCCACGUCAAGAUUGACUUGCAUAGUUUUACGGUCAAGUUUGGUUAGUGGUAAAGGACAUUUAACACAAAGUCCCCCCCCCCCCCCUCUCCAACCUCCCACUAAAAAACAAAAAAAUAAUAAUAAUUCCAUCCAUUUUGGCCCAUGAAUUUAGAGCAACGGGCAAUUUCUUUUCUAGUGAUUUUCCUCGAUCAUGUUUGUAUUAUUCUUGGAUGUAACACUCGUGAAUCAUGUGGUCAAUGUGGGAACUGGGUAUAACUGGAGCUGUAAAUAGAAAUUUUAUUUUAACUUUAAAAAAAAAAAAAUCACGUUUAGGCUGAAAGAAGAUGCAGCAUAGAGAACAUGCAAACCAAGUUGAAGGCAGAACCGGGCGUUUUCUGCUAAAAAAAUCAGUAGUACUCCCCAGCCUCAGGUAGAGAUAUUAAUAUUUACACGUUAAAAUCUAGACUAAACAUAAUGUGCUGCCAAGUUACUCGAUCAUUCAUGCAACAAAAUUUGGGUCUGUAUUAAACAAAGGGAUUAGUAUUUGACAAACUGGAGUGAAGAGAAAAUCCUGAAGAUAUCGACAGAAGCAAGUCACCAGUGAUCAUGUGCUUAGGCUAAUUUUUCUAUGCCGAGGCCGGCACACAUGAGUUAAUCAUUUGCCCAUGCACGACUUUCAACAUUUUUGUAAAAUGUUCGAGUUACUUUUAGAGGGCAAGCAGCUAUCGAAAACUUUGGAACUAUUACAUAUUGUUUGGAUAACAAAUUAUACCAAAUAAUAUUUUGCUUGCAUCAUAAACACAAUUUUUUCAAUUCAUCUUUUUAUAUUGCUAAGUAUUUUUUUAUCUCAUAUUUAUCACAUCACAAAAAGUGUUACAGUAAUUAUUCUGAAUAAUAUUUCAAAUAAUACUCUACCCAAACAAAAAGUGUUACGCUACCCAAACUGUUAUUUUGCUACGUAACCAAAGGAUAAUUGAAUUUGGAAGUCCAUUGACUGUUUUCUUCUUCGAAGGCUUUCAGGUUUUCUUCUUUACUGGAAGCGUUGUACGCAUUAACGUCAUAUUGCUCCACAGGUUAUUAGUUAAACAGAAGAAACUGUAGAUUUAAACCUUGAAUAUAAUAAGGUCCGUAACGGAACUCAUGAAACAAAGUACCGCUAAAUUGAAAAGGCCAAAAAAAAAAAAAAAAGAACAGUGAUAAUGCUUUUCCCGUAUCUCUUACGAAUAAAAAGGAAACCCCAAAAAGAAAAGGAAAAAAAGGAAUGUAGCCCAAAACACUGCUGUGGAAACGGAUUCAAUGUACGGAAUGGUUUUACGAGAUGCACGCAGCCCUAACUUACAGGAGCAAGUGUGUAUCCGUAAGUUUGUUGCCCAUUUACGUUCAUUCAGAGAAUCAGACAUUUCCAAUUUGGUGCCUUUCUAAUACUACAUGAAUACUUAGUGUGAAUAUCCGUGCUAUUACACACGGUAUUAACAUUAUUGAAAAAAAUUAAAAGCUGGGAUGAAUAAAAAAAUUAAAAAAGGAUAACACUUGCUAGAAGUUUCCCCAGUUCCCCUUACUUGAUUGAUCAUUUAUCUACUUACUUUAAAUGUUUGAAAUUUAGAAAACAGUCCCAUCCUCAUUUAUAUUUUUUUUGACUGCGAAAUCUUCUUUUUUUUUUUUUUUGGUUUUUGGGUGCUUGACUGAGAAAUCUUAACAUUUAAUAUAUUUUAUUUUUUAUGAUAUCUCAUAUAAAAUUUAGGUGAUAGCUUGCUCACAAAGUGAUGGCUGAAAACCUAUACCAGAAUAAUUAAUUAAGGCUAAAGCUGAAUGUCGAUAUGCCAUAUUAAAUGAAUGGAUUUAAAGCUAAUCAAUUUCGUUUAAUACAUUUUACCAAUACUAGCUCGAACUCCAAUAUUGAACUGUAACAUUUCAACAGCUAAAAAUGCUGCUGGAUGCGUCCUAAUAGCUUCUCUUAAAUAGUCAAGUUCUUUUUAUCAUACUAUUGAUAUGCGUCCUAAUUAAGGCUUUUCAGUUUGCCUUUUUAAAUGCAAAUAAAGAAGACAUAUAAUGAAACCUAAUUAAACUUAUUCGAUAUUUGGAGAUUAUAAUUAUAGAAUUCUAGCUUUAGUCCCUUGCUAAUCCUUUUGUGUUGAGAAAAGAAAAAUUAGAUUAACGAGUUGGAUAAAGGAAGGCAAUGGUAAUAAAUCAACUUGCUCUUUAAGAUAAUAAAAAAAAAAAUUCAUCUAACUGAUACAUCUGCAUCAGAUCGCGAACCUCAAAAAUUUCAUAUCAAACUAGUAAAGGAUAGAAUGGUCAUUUUUUAUUUUAUUACUAUUGUAAGCCUACUUGUUUAUACUCUGUCUAGAUUUAUUUACACUGUACUUUUACUUCUUUACACUUCAGAAACAAAACUGAUUGGAAUUGGAACUUGUGUGGUCUUGAUCCCAUCUACAUCUCUUACUAUAGCUCAGCCGGUGUUCCUCUGUUUUUUUUUUUUUUUUUGUAUCUUAUUGCGGAAGAUGGAAUCGAUUCAACUGAAUUUCUAAGAAUGCAUCUGCUAAAUAUCAAAUUUCAAAUGCUAUUCAUUUAUGUAGAGUAAAUUCGUCCACUCGGGACUAUUGCUAUCUUAUUUUGGAAUACGGGAUAUUAUCUUUAAUUUGUGCAUUUAUAAGUGGUGCUCCUUCUAUGUCUAGACGACGGGGGAAAAACGCUUUGUCGACAAGUUGUAGUGAAAUGAAAAUAGCGGUUCAGCUAUUGGGUUGUCGCUGGGCACUUGUUAAGAAAGUUCUCACAUGUUAGUUCUUUGGAAAAAUGUAGUAAUUAACUCAGAACAGUGUUACUAUUCAGAAGGUAUAAUAAAUAUAAAUGUGUGUAUUUUUAUAAUAACAUAGGUAUAAUUUAAGUAUCUUAAUGAAUAGUAUAAGAAUAUAUCUUAAAUUAUAAAAAUAAUAAAAGAUUUAUUUAAAUUAGUAUUUCAACCGAUGGUUCAAUCAGUGAUAUAUAUUUAUAUUUUUUGUUUGGUUUCACCGAUUGAACUGUCGAUUCGUUGACUAUUUAAUGAAUUUCUUGUUAGAACUAUCUUCUAAAAAUUAAUUAGUGACUCAAUCCGAUUCUAUAAUGGUUGAUCGGUUUAACCGUGGAAUGGGACCAGUUUUAAAAUUGUGGUUAUGAGGAAGAAGAUGCUUCCUAGGGAUGACAACGGGGUGGGGGACCCCUCCCCCAUCCCCCGCCCCGCUGCCUACAAACUCCCCCCGCCCUGUCCCCGCCCCCGCCCUGCUUCCCCCGCGGGACUAAUAAAAAUUUGUUAUAUAAUUUUAUUAUGGUUAAAUUUUAGCAAAUAAUUAAGUACUAAAAUAUUAACACAUCAUCAAAUUAUUAUUCAUUAUAAUUUUACAAUUGAAACUUAUAAAAACAAUCAAACAAAAAAUAUUUGAAUACAAUCCAAUAUGAUGAAAUAAAUAUAACUAAAGUAGGCAAGUUUUCACUUUUGGCGCAAAAACAAUCACUAAUUCAUUAUUGUGCUUGUGCUUUUUUUAAGAAAAAAAUAUUAUUGUAUUAAGUGUAAUUAGGGAUUUAGUAUAAAUGUAUUAGUAAAUUUAGUAUAAUCAAUUAAUAAUUUGUAUUAGUAAACAUAUAUAAUUAUUAGUAUAAUUAAUAAUAUCAAUUAUAUUAUAUAUACUAAUAGACAUUAUAUAAUACAUAUAACUAAUAAUAUCACUAUUAUAAGUUUGUAACUAAUUAAAUUAUAUAUUAUAUAUAUAAUUAUAUAUAUUUUUUAUAUAUUUAUUUUUUUUAAAGCGGGUGGCGGGACGGGCCUGCGGGGCGGGUGAUUGCCGUCGCUACUCGCUAAUGCUUCCGCUGCUGCUGCUGACAAGUAAGACGUAUGACGUGGGAGUAGGCCCUACACUUCGGCUAAAAUUUCAGAGACCAAUCAGAUUAUCGGAAGUGCGAGCUGGAAGACUUGCCCCAGAUCGAAAAACCCCAAAAUCCGACCCACACCGUAGAAAAGGCAGCCCACCGUCACGUCCGCCUUACGCCCCUUACCCUUAGCUCGAAAGGAAACUUUUCCAUCUUCAGAUGCUCUGCCAGUGGACAGAAAUCAGAAAACAUACGUACAGUACAGAAGAAAAAAACACAGGCGAAUAAAAGAUCCAAAGAUGGUUAAGGCAUUGCACGUGUGCCUCUCACGUGUUUUUCUUUCCCUCUUGUGCAUACUUUUUCCCUCAGAAUUCUUUCAUUUCAAGUUUCAACCCAACGAAGGAAAGAAAUUUUUUUUAAAAAAAAAAGGAAGAAAGAAAACAGAUUGAGAGCAGAAAAGUAUAAGAUUCUACUCACAUCAUACUCAAUCAUAAUUGAUUGAAGAAGUACCUCUCCGGGAGAAUACUCGCAUUCACGUGGUUUCCUUUUCCUUGUUCAUCCAUUCAUGCAUCCCAAUUCUGAAACUUGCAAGAAUUUCAAUCGUUGAACAGUUCUCAGAACUGCGAAAGGCGCUAAUGCGUGAAAUGGUCAGAACUUGCAAGUCUUUUCUUUCUUUCUUUCUUAUUUUUUUUUCAAAAGAUAUAUAAAUUAGUCCUUUUCUUUCUUCCAAUUUUUUUUUUUUUGUCGUGAAUUUGGUUAAUUUUGACGAGUUUGACAAUACGACCAAAACUCUCAUUGUCACCGACUGAUUGGUAAUUGGUAUGGUAAGUUUGUCACUUCGGUUCGUGGUUGUCCCUGCUUCCUGUCAGCACGACAUACUCUUGCGCCAGAAGUACACAAGCAGUGUUGCUGUUUGGGAAGAGACAUCUGCCAACCCCAGAAAACUAAACAGCUCCGCAAUGGUUUGUUUGGAUAGAGUAUUAUUUGAAAUAAUUACUGUAGCAUUUUUUGUGAUGUGAUGUAUGUGAGAUAAAAAAAUAAUUGAAAAUAUAAAAAGGUGGAUUGGAAAAUGUGUUUAUGAUACAAGCGAAAUAUCAUUUGAGAUAUUUGUGCUAUCCAAACACUCUAUAAUUUGCAACUUUAUUUUUUUUUUGGGAUAAUUUAUUUUAACACUUUUUCAAUUGUGAUAUAGUAUAUGAUAUUUAAAAACUAAUAAAAAAUCUUGUUUAGCAAAUAAUAUGGAAAAAAAAUUCUUUUUGAAUAAAUUUUCAAUUACUAGUUCCUUUUUUUUUUCUUCUUUUUAAAUAAAAAAAAGCACCUUUUUUUUUUUGGAAAAAUUGAGGAUUUUGUUCCAGACUUAUACUCGCUGACUCCUAAUCUAGCCUUUUUGAAGUGAAUUUAUCAAUUCCCAAAAUUUCUGUACUGUUUCGUUUGCUAGGACUGGUGGAAGAUGUUAUCUACAUCUUAUGGAAUUUCCCACCCAACUUUAUUAAGCAAUUUCAACAAUUUAGUCGAAAAUAUGUUCUUCUUAUCAAAAAAAAAAAAAAAAGGAUUGGUGGAAGGAGAUGCUACCUACAUCAUACGUAAAACCCGUCCAUGCGAGAGUUUGGUUGGAAUCGUGAGUUCUUAAUGCAUGUGUUUUCAUGGGUACAUACAAUACAAUAAAUGACGUAGUGCCUAAAACGGAUUCCUUCGAGGAUGAUUUACCCGCAUACAGUAACUAUUAGACUCAUCAGCGCGAUGCGCAAGUGCAGUUUUCAAAGUGUUGCGUAAAAAAAUCCCGAUCACCAUAAAAAACAAGAAAUAAAAAAUUAGGCCAUAAAAAGGUAACUGUCGAGUACAUAAUUUUUUUUUUUUUAUUGUUUGUUUAGAGGGCACUACAAUUCUUAUAAUAAAGAGAAAAAAAGGAGAAGGAAGGAAUUGAGAGGUGAACCUCAUUGUUAUCUUCUUCUAAUUAAUAAAUAAAUACUCCUAUGAACAGUAACUGUUUCGUUGCCAUCGUUGCAAGAGGAGCUUUCUAAUGGCAAUGGACCGGUUGUUUUUCUAUCCGACAGCAUAUACAAGGCUAAUAUCGUCAUCUUUUUGUCAAAAUCUAUUCUUCAAAUAUAUGCUAUAUAUGCUAAUGCAAUUAAAGCUAAACUUGGCGACAGAGUCCACGAAUUUAUUCCUCUCCUCCUAUAUUUUGAUGCUUAAAUUAAUUAAAAAAAAAAAUUUAUGCCUUCUGUUACGAGGCCAGGCUUGACAUUAAAAACUCUCUCGAAACGAAUAAAUUCAACAAAGAUAUGCCACCAAUGUUAUAGGUUUGACCACACGCUGAGUUUUCAAUUCAUCACCGUCUUCUUCCUUGCUUGCUGGAGCAAUGUUACUCAACUCUUUUGUCCUCCCAUUUUCAUGAUUACCGGUGCGGGGGAGCGGGUGCAAGCAUGAAAUAGCCCACAAAGUACAAUCCUCACAGCAUAUCGUACACCUGUAUAGUACCUCCAAAUUCAAGUUGGUGUAGCUUUCAAUUCUCUUGUUGGAGCCUCUGCCGUCCCGGGAAAAUGCGCCGUACCUUAUAAUGAUCAGUUCCCAAAAGAAGGGGCGUUCCAAUCGCUGCUACAUUGCCUCGCCACCACAGCCUGCUGAUGAUGGAGAAUUCAUCAAGAAAUGCACCAACAACCAAAGUCCUCCCUCGUAAAAACACCCAGUUUACAGAGUAUUACUACCUAAACUGCGUAAGUAUCUAUGAGAAAAUUGGCGCCCUGUAACUGACAGUCCUGACAUCCCUAAAAACUACAUGCCCAUAAAGUAAAGAGCCCGAACCUCCCAAAAGCAAAAUGACUACUGCUCAGUACUCACAAGGGGCAGGCAACCAAAAGAAUAAAAUAAAUGAAAAGAAGAAGAAGAAAAAAAAAAAGAGGAUAUCAUCCCCUCCCCCACCACCCCCGCCCCCCCCAACCCCACCCACCAUAAAGGGCUGCUAUGAACUAAAAAUAAAAUUGAAAAGUCCGUUAAAAUAAAAGACAAAGCCACCUUAACCCUUCUAUUAAUACCAGGCAAAGCGGGCGGAUGAGGCGAGACACAUAGUAGAGAGUAGAGAGGGGAGUGCUCUUCAUGAGAGGAUCUCCAGGGAUAAUUUGUCUUCUUCACACUUCAUAGUUGGCUUGGUUAAAACCCAAAAGUACAAAAAAAAAAAAAAAAAAAAAAAAAACAUGAAGAAGUAACAGCUGCACAACUCUUUUAAGUCCUAUUACUACUACUGAGUAACCAUAUCUGUAUAUUUUCUUUCUCUUCCAUCAUCAUAUCAUCUUCCAAGCUAGAGUACUACAAAACUCCAACGAUGUGCAAUCCAAACACUACCCCCAAACUCACCACCAUCUCCGUGAUUGAUCAUCAAAAGAUUACCUCCUCCUCCACCUCCACAAGAUCACCACGGCCACCAUCUCAAACCCACUUUUAUUUCGAUCUGUUAUCCCUCCCCACCCCCUUAAAAGUCCAGGAAAACCCCAAAGAAAACCAACAAAAUCCACCCAAAUUUGCCCUACCUUCACCCUCGGAGAUCGUUCAAGAAACCAAAGCCCUCUUCAAGCUAUCCUUCCCCAUAGCAAUCGCAGCCCUCAUCCUCUAUGCCCGCUCCAUUCUCUCCAUGCUCUUUUUAGGCCAACUCGGCGACAUCCAGCUUGCCGCUGGCUCUCUAGCUAUGGCCUUCGCCAACAUAACCGGUUAUUCCGUUCUUUCCGGUUUAGCACUAGGAAUGGAGCCGCUCUGUUCUCAGGCUUUCGGAGCACAGCUUCCCAGGCUUCUUUCCCUAACGCUGCAAAGGUCCGUUAUAUUUCUUCUGGCUUGCUCCAUCCCAAUCACAUUUCUUUGGAUCAACAUUUCCCAUAUUCUUCUUUAUUUGCACCAAGACCCCAUUAUCACCCGAUUGGCCCGCACCUACCUUGUUUUUUCACUCCCUGAUCUUGUCACAAAUUCUUUUAUUCACCCCAUACGUAUUUACCUUCGGGCUCAAGGUAUUACUUAUCCGCUCACCUUGGCUUCUCUGGCUGGCACGGCUUUGCACUUGCCCAUCAACUAUGUUUUGGUCAUCCAGCUCCGGCUCGGCGUGGCAGGCGUUGCUGCUGCGGCUGCCAUCUCCAACCUGGUGGUCCUGGUGACGCUCGUCUUGUACUUGUGGGCUACCGGCUUGCACGCCGCAACAUGGACGAAGGUGAGCGGAGAGUGCUUGACCGGCUGGGGUCCGCUCAUGCGGCUAGCCGCGCCGAGCUGCGUCUCGGUUUGUCUGGAAUGGUGGUGGUACGAGAUCAUGAUAGUGCUGUGUGGCCUCUUGGUGGACCCUAAGGCCACUGUUGCAUCCAUGGGCGUCUUGAUUCAAACGACGUCGCUGCUGUACAUAUUCCCGUCCUCGCUCAGCUUCGCGGUGUCCACGCGGGUCGGUAAUGAGCUCGGAGCAAACCGGCCCGAAAGGGCUCGGGUCUCAUCCGUGGUGUCGAUCUUCAUAGCGGGCCUGAUGGGCUUAUCAGCUAUGGGCUUCGCAACAUCCUUGAGGGACUUGUGGGGUCGGAUGUUCAUUGAUGAUGGCAACAUCCUACGGUUGACAUCAGCGGCGCUGCCGAUUCUGGGACUGUGUGAGCUAGGCAACUGCCCACAGACCGUUGGAUGUGGGGUUGUACGUGGGACCGCCCGCCCGUCCACAGCAGCUAACGUGAACCUUGGGGCAUUCUAUCUUGUGGGUAUGCCAGUGGCAAUUGGUCUGGUGUUUGGGCUUGGGGUUGGAUUCUGUGGGCUUUGGCUGGGGCUUCUGUCGGCCCAGGUUUGUUGCGCGGGGCUGAUGUUGUAUGUUGUAGCCAUCACAGACUGGCAGUUCGAAGCCAACAGAGCGCAAUUUCUCACGUGCGAAGGAGGAUGCGGUGGUGACAGCAAGACGACUCCUCCUCCAUUGCCUGGUGAAUGCGACAACGAAAUAGAGCCGUUGAUUUGUGUGACGGUGACGUCGUCGUGAUGAGAAUUUAACAAAAUUAAGUAGACCCCAGUGAUGAAAUCUUUGGUUUACAAUUUCUAAAAUUUUUUUUUUUUUUUGGGUGGGGUGCUCAGCUCGGAGCUUAGCUCAGUCGGAUUAAGUGAUCUUGAUUUGUGAAGACACUUAUCUUUCUUUCUUUUUCUUUUUCUUUUUUUCCAAAAACUCGGGGGUGGUGGGGUUUGACCCCUUCAAAGGAUUCAGCGAGGGUUUUUCCUUGUAUCUUUUUCCGUUAUUAAUUUCGGGUCCCUCCGCCUAUUUUUUUUUUUUUUUUUUGGCAAGGAUGCUGGCACUUUUUUAGUCUGCGAUGUGAAUAUCGUUUGAGCUUUGUUUCACCUUUUCUUCUGGUGAUAAAUGACAAUUAAUGGACUAGGACAUGAUUCUUAUUUUUGUUUGUCACUUAGUAGUUAGUGUGCAUGGAGGUGGAAGGUUGUACGUAUGUUGACGCUCAUGUUAUGGAAGUUGUAUGAGGGGUAUCCUUUAGGUAUUAUUCAUCUUUGUUCUCUUGUUCUGCAUUCGAUCUCUUCUUCACUGAUAGGAGUUCUAAAAAAACUUUUAAUUUAUUUCUUGUUCUUUCAAUUAUCAAUUGUAAACUGACUGUCACCACUCAAACAUUGCCAUCCAAUUUAGUCCGUAAAAAUGGUGAUAAUGACAUGGAAAUGCUACUCCUUAAUUCCAUGGGGAAGACAUGGCCUAAACAGCCUAUACCUCCGCAGGUUCAGCCUUGGACCCUUGCUGAAGAGUGUCCUCUUGACCUUCAAGACUACAGAUGCAUGUCUCUUGAUAUCGGUCUCUAGUAUCACUAAGGUGCAUUGUCAUGUUAUUGUGCAUAUCCGAUUGAGAAGGAUGGCACAUUGCAGCAUUGUUGUCACAUGUAUAUAUAUAUAUAUAUAUAUAGCUAUAUCCAUCACGGAAAUGGGUAGCAAUACUAAUGGUAGGAAAUGAGGAAGCUAGUGCUGAUGUAGUGGAAGAUGUAUUUGGUACCUCUCUUAUCAUUGAAGUAUAAGCUGCAAGUCUGCUUUAACCAAGUCAAACUCUCUCUCUCUCUCUAAAAAAAAAAAAAAAGGAGAAUAAGUUAAACGUACUCCUUCCCUUCCUUUCCAUACUUCUUGUUUAUUUAAGAGUAAAGUUUUUGAUCUACUUGUGAAAUAGCAGAAUGUGUGGACAAUGGUGAAGCUUCUUGGUGUCUCAAUUCCCUCCUCGUACUGUGGACAGAAACGAUACGAGAGAGGAGGCAAGGAAAAAUGCAGGUAAAGGAAGAAAACAGCACAAUAUUAAUUGUUCAAGGUUGCAGAAGGGAGAGACUAGUUGCGGAAGUAUAUAGGCUGCUGUCUGCAUUUCCAGUGGCAUGAACCUUUAAGAGGGGGCAGCAUCACUCUUUUAAGUCUUUUAACUUAUCAGCCAUCAGGCCAUCCAUCUCUUUCAAGUAAAUAUUGUACUCCCAAAUUUAUGUUGUUGCUAUCUUCUCAGGAACAGUAGUGCACAGUCAAUUAUAUAUCUCCCUUUCAUCAAUUUCCAUUUCUGGUUUCAACUUGACGAGUUGGUGCUCCUGAUUUCCACACAAUACACCUUCUAUCCUUUUCAUGUUUGCCUAUGAAUAGACUGACUGUUGGACCUACUGCUUUUCCGUGGGCCUUAGCCAUCAAAUUCAUCAAAUAAUUGAUCAAAUUCCCACACAACCUAUUUUUUGACUACUGAGUAAAUCUUAUAUAGAGGGACAGUGUAUAUCUUAUUACUGUUGUAUUCAUGAUAUAUAUGUAAAAGUUAAAUUUUAAAUUCAAAAUUUACAUAUUUAUCAUUCAUCUAACGCCUAUCAAUGUAAGAAAGAUUAAUCCUUCUCGAUUUGCCAUUUUAACGGAAUAGACAUAAAUCCAUUGGAGUUGCGAACAAAUACCGUCCUAGCUCUUACUCGAUACAUAUUUUCACAUUGCAGUACUUACUACAAACACCCCCGACCCCAAACCUUCUUCUUCUCCUUCUCCUCCUCUGACCUAUACUACACUAUUAUCUACUUACUAAAUUACAGUUACUUUUCUUUUUCUUUUUGGGUUCUUGCAGCAGACAUGCAAGCCGCCUUUUCGGCAACGUAGAGGACCUGUUUGCCCACUCGACGAGGACUUCCCCUAAAAGUAAAACCAAGCCACAUACGUCAAAGUAUAAGGAACCUUCCCCAUAUGAAACGAUCUUAAUAUAAGGAACUCCUGCAUUUUGAUACAUAUGAAACCAUCUUAAGAGCUCUCCUGGUAAAACAUUCCCCUCCCCGUAGGAUAAGCACAUACUUAGUUUCCUUUCUCAUACAUGUAGAUCCAAGUGUCUGGGAUAAUCUAAUUAAAUGAGAUAAUAACUAACAAAAGACCUCUUUAAAAAUGUGGUAUCACUGACUUCAGAAGCCGUUCAUAUUUUCCUGAUUCUGCAUUCAACAAUAUUAAUAUUUACUAUUUAGCUAUUUUACAAGUUUCACUAAUUAUUUCUCAUUUGCUCCUUCGAUUUCGAAUUCCUAUCCUACUUAUCAACAGAUUUAUAUAUAAUCUGUGAAAGACUCUAAUGAGGACACUUUUAUCCUGCAUUCCGGAUCCUAUUCGUGUUCUGAAGAUUUUCAAAGGAAUAACUAAUUUGAAACAUAGCUUCAGCAUGAGUAGCAUUGAGAAUUUGAAAUUACGGGUCCUCAGCAAUUCCUAACUUGAGGCUAGCUGCAAUCCUUUCACUCAUCAUUCGCUUAUCAAGGACGUGAAAUUACUUGUAGAAGGUUCGGUUUGAGAUUAUCCAUAAAUUUAAAGUUCUUGAAAUCUAUCCUCUUUCUACCCUAACCACUUCAGUCCAUACGCACCAUUUAUUGAAACUUCCACUCUUCUAACCAAGUUAAUAAUCAUCUAGUAUUGAAGAACAGGGGCAGAGCUAAGUGUAGUUCCCCCACCCCCAACCCCAACAGAAAAAAAAAAAAUCAUUUUGAAAAAAAUCAUUUUGUAAGCCAAGAAAGUUUGAAAACUUUGCAAGUUACUCUCUGUCCCCCCCCCCCCCCCCCCAAAAAAAAUUGAAAUUCUUUUUUCUAUUUACAUUCUCCACCUGCUAAACAAUGAAGAGACCCAUAAUUGUUACGCCUAAGAAGGGUCUUGAUUUAAGGUUUAAUAUGGAUGUUAGUACAAGAAUAAAAUCUUUUAACGUUUUUAAGCUCUUUACUGCCACAUUAUUGCACAAUCAAGACUUAGAGUAUAAUAACAUAGAAAAAAAAGAUGCAUGCUUAACUUUUGUGUCCUUUGAACUCUACUGAUACUACUAUUUAUGUGGUGUCAGGGAUUUACCCUGAUCUUAGGAUCCUGGCACCACUGAAAAUGUAUGUACUAUAACUCUAAUGAAUUCAUGCACGAGCCUGUUGCUCAUCAGCAGGAAACCUUCCAGAAGUUGCUUAUCAAAAUUAGCAGAACACAUGGAACUCUGAUUACAAGAACUUCGCGGAAGAUCCCGAAGUACAAUAAAUUCUGAUUUUUGUCAUUAGUAGGACUAGCAUUUGACAGAUAAGUUAUAGUGCUCAUUCACUUUAGUUUGCCAGGCCUAGCAGCAGCAGCAGCAGCAGCUAGCUGUUACAAAUCCUACAUAUACAACAAUGCAUAAUGGAGAGAGCCUUGGGAAUAGAUCUAGGCUCAUAGUCCCCAGUCCCCACUCCACCCUCAUUGGUUCGUUUCCAAGGAGAUGACUGAUGAGGAGGUCAUGGCGGCCAUCCUCUUCCAAAUAAACUAGAAAGAAUAAGAAGAAGAUGAUGAAAAAGAAAACUAUAGCGACGUCAUCCUAGGCCAUCAUGCUUUUCACAUGGUCGCCCUAAUAUUAUACUAGGCAGCAAAUUUUGCAUUAAUCCCAGUUCUCUGUUUCCCUUUCUUGUCCCCUUACCUCAAUAUUCUUCUCCUCUUUUCAUGACUAGUGAGUGGUUUCUCCAUAUCAUUCGUUCCCAUCUCUGAUCUCCCGCUACCUUCCAAGUUCCAACACCACCACCAUCAUCCAAACCCACUCCAUCAUGCCUGUCUAUACAACAAAAGAGCAGCAGCAGUACCUAGCUAGAAUUUUCAAUAUCUGUUAUGUCAUCGAUCAAACAUUGGAAGUACUUAAUUUGUCUAUAUCUAUUCAAAAGCUUAGGAGAGUAGUAUAACGAUAUAGCCCCUUGCUUUUGUCCACCUUAUGAGCAACAUUUUAGGCAAUGGGGCUAUAGACCUGCAUGAGCAGUGUUUUGAUGAGUUCCCAUGAUUUGCUCAACUUAGUAUUUCUUUAUUUCACCAAUUGAAUUAGCAUGACAUGUCUCCGCUGGAGGAGCUGAUCUUUCUUACACAUGACUCUGUAUGGUACCAUAGCAUGUUAUACAGGCUUCAUUCAUUUGACUCUAAUCUCCCCUUCUGUAUUACUACAAUUGUAUAUUUUCCCUCUGGGCUCGACAUAUGGGGACCCACAUCAGGAAUGUGUGAUGAUGAAUGAUUGAUGCCACAAGCAUAUUGUACGUUUGAAGGAAUAAAAAUAUAAGAAUAUUGCAUGCAGGCAUGCCUUCUUGUUAGCUCUGUCUUCAUGUACUUUCAUAUUGGCAACUUGUACUAAAAAGAUCGGAAAUGGGGCAGGAACGGUUGUCAGACCCGUUCCUGCGAGUUCACGGCUGUGAUUUUGGCCCAAAAAUUUGUGCGGCUCAGAUCACAUGUGAUAACUCGAUUUUCACACCAUGUAUGGAUCCCACAAAAAAGUAUUCUAAAAUUACGCUAUGUAUAAAGAAAGUUACACCGUGUGCUAUCGAUGUUACGCGCAGUGCAAAAUGCACACAAUUGGUACAAACGGUUGCACUGCAACCGUUUGUACCCCUUGUCCAGAAAGAUCUAUUUUUAGAUGGGGCAGUAGUUAAUGAUCAAUUAAUCCAGGGUUGUCUUCGCAUGUAUCAUGGUCACAAUGUCGUGACGACUGAGCCAGGGAUUUGAGUGUUUGGUAACAGGCAAACUCACAUGCAGGUUACAGAUCUAGGGUUACACUGCUAAAUUUUCAAAAAAGUUUAUGUUCCGGGGAAGUAAUUCUAUUCUAACUGGUUUACCAGCGUGAUCGUGCCCAACUUGUCGUGGCUCGAUUAAUAAGAUCUUGACUUUGUAUUACGAGCGAUUACAUUCAAAUUCAGUAGUUAAUCAUGUAUCUAUCACUGUCUAAUUUGUUGAUCACACGUUUUCAUCUCGAAAUGGGAUGAGCCUUCUCCCUCUAAAUUGUUUUCUAUUUCAUCCAAAAAAUCACCACCAUAUUUGUGGAUAUCCAUGAUGCCUGGAGAAAAAGGAAAAAAAAAAAGAAAGGGAUGAAUCAUUAAAGCUUUCAACGAGGCCAUUUGUCCAUCCCUAGGGGCAUCAGCCGCUAAUGGAUUGUGGGAAAAAGUAGUACUAUUCUGGUUUGUUGCUUCAUCAAGCUUUGGCAAAUGUUCAUCUCAAGUCUUUGAAGACUCUAUACGAUCAGGUUAUGCAGCGUGGACCUUUGUCUCCAGGUCCUCUGCAGGUAGUUAUUUUUCUAGUAUAGUAUGAACUAUGAAUUAGUAGUAGUAGGUGUUCAUCAGCUUAAAUCUUACAGCUUUUAUGAGUAUCAGUUUGAAGAUCAAGCCACUCAUAGACUUCCAAAUAAUUACGUACGGAUCAUCGCGGUGUUUUUUGGGUCUUAAAAGGCGGAUUCAUUAUUGAGGACGGGAACAGAAAACGGGGUGAUUUCCAGUUUCUCUGCGCUAUAUGAAUCACUUUUACUGGUAUUACUCUCGAUUUUGUUAACAUCUUAGACGCUAAGAAAAUUAUAAUAUCUGUGAUGCAACUAUUGUUAUUUUCUAAGAAAACACCAUUUGGGCGCAGUUGGCAAAUUUCAAGUUUUAACCAUAACUGGAGGGAUGAAAUAUUUGAAUGCUAAAAAUGAGGGUCUAAAAUGAAUCAGAAUGGUCCAAGAUAUCUAGGAACUAAAAUGAAUUAAAAUUGCCAGUUAGAAUUCCACAUCCAUGUGAUGGAUUGGACGAUCCAUUUGUGUUUUUGCAGGGAUGUGGCUGACGACCAAGUUCUCUACGUAACGGGGCCCAUUUCAGGAGGUCAGGAUGAAUUACGGCAGACCUAUUUCAGUAGCUUCUUCCCCAAUAAUCCAAGAAGCCUGCCUAAGGGAAUCUUUAAAUGGGCCGUGCCUCGUGAACGAUCAAAGCAGCACCAUUGCAGAAGUAAAGUCGGCCUUUUAAGUUUUGCCAAACUCGGGGUCCUUAGGACUAGAGAGAAGCCCAAAGGUAUAAGAAGCCGAAUGGCACCAAACAACACAAUGUAUUUAUUACUUGCCUCCCUAUAUCUCCUUCGAAAAAAUUUUUUUUUUUUGCAUGCCAAGAUCUUGUUAAUUCAUGAUAAAAACUUAACUCUAUCUAAGGGGAAAAAAAAGGGGGGGAAGAGCAAACGUCGUAAACAGUCACCAAGCUAUUUUUAAUUGUAUAUUUUAGUCACCAAACUUUUUAUUUACCCAAAAUGGUCACUAAACUAAUGAGUAAAUAAGUACAUUUUGGAUUACUAAACUAACAAAAGUGCAUUUUUUCGUCACUCAUGUAAAGAAAAUGCGUGCUUAUCGGUCGCAAAAUGCAUGCUUUAAAUAGUUAAAUAAACUACUUUGGCUAAAUAAAAAAAAGUUUAAUGACCAAAAUAAAGAAGGUUCAAUAAUCACUUUUAUCAUUUGGUCUUGAGAACCAAACUUGAAACUACCAACUCCUAGUCCUAACCUUUUUUCAUAGGCCUUACCAGCAAUAAAAAAAAAUUUUUUUUGCCCUUUUUUGCGUAAGUCGCAGUAAGUUACUCAAAGUGUAUUGCUUUGUUUUGAAUGCGUGAUUACUGAUUAAUUAGGCCAAAUAUCAAAAACUAAACACACUCAUUCAGGUUAAAGAUAGAAACCGGAAUUCAUGCACAACGGAUCUUGUGUCCCACACUCUGUGCCACUCUCUGUCCCAUUUUUUAUUUUAUUGUUAUUUCUUCUAUAUAAACAUCAUGUUUUAGUUCUCAUGUGAUGUAGUAGUUGAUCAACGAUGAAUGAUCAAUCUCAAGUCUCAACACCCCAAAAAAAUAAAUAAAAAAUCUGUGAGUGCAGGCAAGUGGUCACCCACCCACCAUAAUGCCAUAUUCAUAUUUUGGAUUCGACUUGGGCAAAUAAUUGUGCAACAAAAGCCCGGGCAAAUAGGCAAGUAACAGUCGAGAGGACGAUAUUUUUUCAGAGUUUUUGGCAUCAUCUGAUUCUUGAACAGCGACAGGAGCCUCCAAGCUCUUGUGGUACCGUCAAAAUACUACUGCUCCGAAAGCACUGCAUCUACCCAAAGAUAAACGAGAGACAAAGUUACAACAGUCAUGGGUCAUUAUCUCAGGCGACAGAGAGAAGAGAAUUAAAACACAAGUUAUCUAAUGGAUACGAACAAAUGAUGACACAAAGCGAAUUUUAAUACUUCAUCCUCCUCGUUAAUUGGUACAGGACAGGAGCCAGCAAUACUACUAUUAUUAUUAUUGUCAUCUACCCGUAGGCUUUGAAGCCUUCAGUGCAUCGUACGUACUCAAGCUCAGUAUAUACUGUGCUAGUACCAUUUCUGCACUAGAGGGGAAAGCGAUCUCGAUGUACUACUAUCCAUCAUCCGUGCUCCUUGCACUAAACGCCGAGGGAUGCUAAUGCUAGAAAACUUGACUGGUGGUGAAAAUCAGACUGCUGUUGUUUGCUUUUUCUUCUUCAAGAAAAUAAAUGAUAAUGGGUGAUUUUUGCAAGCACUAAAAAUGACAAAGAAUAUCUUUUUGCAAACUGUUAUGCUACUACUACAUCUAUGGCGUAUAGAUAGAACAGUUGGAAAGAAAAAAGAGAGUAGUGUUAGGUGCAAAAUUCUUGACUUUUCAGCACUUCACCAAUUAAUCAUACAAUUAUAUAUUACGGAGUGCACAGGAGAAUUCGAAUUUCGAAAUCUGGUAGUGGGUAAUCUGCUUCCUUCCCCCCCCCGGUUUUCCCCAUAAAAUUCCCUUGCACUAUUUAAGUCUCUGUUCAUAUAUAUAACAACUCGAGAACGAAGCGAUGAAAUUGCAGAAUUUUGCCAAAGUGAAGUGAAUGGAACAAGUUGACGACUGAAGAAGAUUACCACCGAUCGAUGAAAAGAGAGACGAAGAGGAGAGAAUAUGGUUGACUGAAGCAGGGAUUUUGCAAAGAAGGAAAGCUUGGAUUCCUAAGAGAUUUGCAUAUGUGCGUAAGCGGUCACGAGAUUGUCAGAGAUGCCUGCUGUGCUGUGCUGAGGAAGGAGAUGGACUCUGGGUCUGGUCUGCUUCUGGUUGGUUGUGGAGGGACUUUGGACGCGCUCUAAUGAAUAGUAACGCCUUCCAUUCCAAGCCUCAGGUCUCAGGCAUCAAUUCUAUUCUAUUCUAUCUUACGUACGUUGUUGCAUUGCAUCUCUCUCUCUUUCUUUCUUCAAUUCCUUCUUUAAGGACACGUCGCUCCACAAAGUAAUCUUUUUUCUUCACCUUUUGCUUUUCUCUUUUUCCAUUUUUACAUCUUUUCAGAAAAGAGCCCCAAGUUGGACGAAUCAAAAUUCGAGGCCCCUUCCUCCCUCCGCCCUUUUUUUUUAGUAUAUACAUAUAUAUAUGUAUAUCUUUGUUAGUUACUACUUUUGUAUACACUAUUGGCUAUGUACAUUACUUGUAUGCUUUUUAUACUAAAACUUUAUAGUCAUUCGAAUAUCUUAUUUUAAGUGACUAGAUUUUAAAGUUAAGGAUUGGUCUUGUCUUUUGGGUUUGCGUGUCUACAUACAUACAUACAUACGCAAUCCUCAGCCGCACCUUCUUGUCUGCUAUGCUUCUUCUACGUAGUUUUCUGGGGGAUCCUGUGUGGAUAUUUUCCAUUUCUAGUAAUUGGUCAAUGUUCUACUAAUAACUAAUUAAUAAUGCUUGUCCAUUACAACAAUAUAUUCUUAAGCAUAGGCUACAACAAACUCUACCAUCUUUACUUUAUUUCCCAAGCUUGAUUAGUAUGGUGAAAAGCAAGGGAAGAGCUAGCUCAGCUUCGUUAAUUUGGACUACAUUAGCCUGUAAUGAAACAACGGACAAAUUAAUCUUAGGUUCCACUUUAAUUUUUUGCUUGAAAAUAUUUGUUACCUAAUACCCAUGAAAAGAUUAUUGUCUUGUCUACGACACUUACAAGUUUUAGUUUAGAAUCAUAGAUCAAUGUAUAUGCAGAGGGGAUCGGCUUGUGUAACAUGAUACGAGCAUUGAACAAACAAAUUUUAUGAUACAUGAAAGAGUUCAAGGCUCCAAGCUCACAUUUUUUCAACCUCGGAAUUUCGUCUAGUACAAGAUUUUCUCAGCCAGGGCAAAAAAAAAAAAAAAAAAAAACAGUAAAAGAAUGGCAGCAGUUAACCAAGAAUUAGAGAUUUCCCUCUUGUCUUUGUAACCAAGAAUUUUGAUUAUAAAUCAACUGACUUCCUUCCAAAUUUCCCUUUCAUUUUCCACGUUCGUAUGCACGAUUUAGAGAUGUUACUGUUGGACAACUUUCACAAAAAAGGAAGCACACCAGCUUUUUAGCUGUAAAUUCUCAAAUUAUAGUCCCUUAGCUUUUGACACCCCGUUUUCAAGUUCCCUUAAUCUCUCCUUCCUUCACAUCAUCACAUGUGCCUUCUUAACCCCAUCUCUAAAGUAGCAGUAGUAACUUCUCAGAAGCCUAGGCCCCCCUUUUCUCCCCCACCAUCUUCUUUAGAGCGUUUUUCCUUACCUUUUUCUCUUUGAAAAUUAUCAUCCCAGAUAAUGAGCUGCGAAGAUGGUGCUAUUUUCAGUUACAACUUCAGGCCUAAGGUUUCUCCAGACUUAAUUCUUUUGAAGGCUUGACAAGCUAAGCCACAUUUUCAAGAAAAUGGGCAGAGCAACAAGGUGGUUGAAGAGUUUGUUUGGGAUAAAGAGGGAUAAGGGCCAGAAGGAGAUUAAUCCAAAUUCCGGUAGCCAGAGAGAAAACAAAUGGACGGGAAUGGGCCAUUCGGGAAGAGACACUGCUGAUGGGCUGUGUUCAAAUCCAAACACCAUUCCACCCAAUAUUACCCCGGCUGAAGCUGCAUGGUUGAGAUCUUUUUACGCUGACUCUGGUGACAAGGAGCAAAGCAAGCAUGCCAUAGCAGUUGCUGCAGCCACCGCCGCUGCCGCUGACGCCGCCGUCGCCGCUGCACAGGCUGCGGUGGCCGUGGUUAGGCUCACCAGUCAGGGCAGAGGAGGGUCCAUGUUUGGUGGUGGUGGUGGUAGUCGUGAAAAGUGGGCCGUUACAAAAAUUCAAAGUGUUUUCCGCGGAUUCUUGGUAAUUAAUUACUACUACUACUACUUUUGCUUCGAAGGUGUAUAACGUAUAUUUGACUGACAGACACGGUUUCUCAGUAUCGUAGUCACAUCCGUUUCCUUGUCUUCUUUCUUUUUUUUUUUUGGCUGUCCCUUUUACCAUUAUAUGCAUUAAUUUUGGUUCGUUCUUACUAGAAAAAUGGAAAUUGCUAAACGGGUAUGGUGUGAAUUAAUCAGGCAAGGAAGGCACUGAGGGCUUUGAAAGGACUUGUGAAACUACAAGCACUAGUGAGAGGUUAUUUGGUGCGUAAACAGGCGUUCGCUACAUUUCACAGCAUGCAAGCUCUUAUAAGAGCACAGGCCAAUGUUCGUGCCCAAAAAACUCGAGGCCUCCUCGAUUCUACUGCUGCAAGUUCAAACCGGCAGUUUCAUGCUGCAAAUUCGGCGGUAAGAACUUGUCUCUGUGCAUCUAUUUUUGCAAGGAAUUACAUCUUAAUUUAAUUUGUGUCCAUCUUGGUUAAUUAGCAGGAAAAGUUUGAUGAGGGUAGAAGUAGGCAGAAUUCAUUUCAUAACAGAAGGCUCUCUGCAUCGUUUGAUAGCAUUAACUCAAAUGCAAUCGAUGAAAUCCCAAAGAUUGUGGAGAUAGAUACUGGAAGGCCUAAAUCAAGAUCCAGAAGAAGCAGCGCCUGGGUAUCAGAUUCCAUUUCCGGGGAUGCCCAGACUCUAUCCUCUUCGUGUCAAUGCCGACAUCCUCCGCCCCACCUAUCGAUCCCUGAUUGCAGAAACUCUCAAGACUCCGACUGGGGACUGACUGGGGACGAAUGCCGCUUCUCCACCCCUCAAAGCACUCCCAGAUUCUCCAAUUCUUGUGGGACAAAUCCACCUGUCACGCCAGCCAAGAGUGUUUGCGUGGAAAGCUUAUUCAGGAAUUGCCCAAAUUAUAUGGCUAAUACGCAGUCAUUUAAGGCCAAACUGAGGUCUUACAGCGCACCGAAGCAAAGGCCUGAACCGGGGUCCAAGAGGAGGCUAUCGCUCAAUGAAAUGAUGGAGUCCAGAAGUAGUCUAAGUGGGGUCCGAAUGCAGAGGUCAUGCUCUCAAGUCCAAGAAGUUUUGAGUUUCAGGAAUGCUGUUGUCGGUAGGCUUGCAAGGUCUUCAGAAUUCUCAAAAGAGCAAUUAUACAACAGGGAUUCUUACUCGGAAGAAUAUUUUGAGUAGCGAUCGAAAGAAUGUGCUGCAACUAUCAAUUCGCAAGCGCAAACAGAGCAUGUAAUUGUCUAGAAUCUAGAUCAUCCUAGAGACAUAGGGCAAGAUGUAAUCUUUACUCCCGUUUUCAUUGAAGAAGUGAUCAAGGUCGGUUAUACCAGUACUGACGAGGUUAAUAAUAAUUGUGUGUCUAAUUUUUCGUGUUGCUUAGGUGUGCCGUUAUUACAACAUUAACUCGACCUCUGCACAAAAAUGUACCGUACAUCCAGUACCACAAAUGCUGAGAGCCAACAAUUCCUUUCCUGGAAUCAUUUGAAAUGACAGGGCUUAGCUAGUUUGGACGGCAAUGCUAUGAUUCAUUAUUGCCUCCGUCCCCCUCUCUGUGUGGUUGCAUUCUAAGUAUUCAAAUUUUUUUUUUCUUUCACCUUUAGGGGCAGUACCGUCAUAAUUUGUUACGAGUGCUACAAUGUCAAUAGGAUGAUGACUUCUGUUGUCAUGUGCGGGUGUGAGGUUGAUGUGCUGCUGUAUCUAAUUUGAAAUGGAAGAGCUAUCUGGUUUUCUAAUCUGAAGAAAUAAUGGGAAUCUCAUAUGUGACCCACUUCUCCAUUAUGUAAACAAAAGAUCACCAUAACUUGGGCUAGUAGCAUCUGUAGUCUGGGACCUCUCUGAUUCAUUCCAUUGGCACAUUACUUGGGCACUCUCAACAAGCUUUGCAGCCUUUUCUUGUUUCUUGUUUUGGCAGAUAGAAAACAACUUGGCAGCCGAAGCUUUUAGGGUCGCUGGCUCAUUUCUGCUGCAGCAACAACAACAAACAGCUACUACGACUGGGUUUCUUGUUUCAUCAGCAGGAUGGUGGGUGGUUAAGCAGCAACAUUAUUGCUUCCUAUGGCUCCUCCCUAACACCAACAGCAAUAGGCCUUUUAUUGGGCGCAAGAUAGUACAAUUUUCCAUUCCGCCUACGUGCCGAAUUGUCAAUUGUUGUUUUCUUUUGAGUUUUAGUUUUGACAAUGGGCGUCGCAGAAGGCUUGAUUCCAGCCUUCCAUUUUUUGCGUCUUUAUCUUCUUCUUGUCUUGUUGGAUUAUAAUAUCUAGACUAUAGAUGCCAGGUAGACUGGUAGGCUUGGUCAAGGACUCGAGAUUCAGGAAGAAGGGGAAAAAGAGUAGGAAAAACUUUGUGCAACUUUAAGGUGUCGUAAUUGUAUAGCUAAAUUACACCCCCUUCAUCUAACGUGAAGGUUUGGAUUCAUGAUAAAGGAGUAUGAAUUUAGCCCUCACUUAAAAAGUAUAAUGUGUGUUUCUACAUUUAAAUUAAUUUAUAUGGUGAUUCGAUCAUAUUCUCAAGUCACGUUCAUCAUCGUUGGACGGGGAAAUAAGUGUUUCUUAGAUUAUUAUUGAAAGAAAUAAUUUCCUAAAAAGACCACAGAAUUUUGUUUAUCUUAUAUUCCCAUUAUAUAUCAGUAGCACGUGCUCUGCUGGUGAGUUAAAUUAUGGGGUGUUACUAUAACGUAAUGUUGUUACAGAAGUUGGUGGAAAGAUAGCUAGCAAGAAAUAUGCUAUAAGGAGAAAUCUUGUUUUUAUAUAAUCUUGUUUCACACUCAUGUGAUGUGAAACUUUGGGCCAAUUUGAGUGCAUAUUGGACACAUUUAUUUGUCGCCUCCGCCCAUGGACCCAAUUUAAGACUGAUGAGUGAAUGAGGGCAGGAUGUUUUCCACGCCAAACCUUUGACAUCUUGAACUCACGAUUUUUCUCUUGGAUAAAUAGAGCCCAACCCAAAGAUCUGAGCAACAAUGAAUGCAAUAUAUAGAUUUCGGAUUGGGACCUAAAAUGAGUUGUGUCCCUUCCAGCCGAAGAUUGUGCUGUUGUUGAAAUUGUGACUUUCUAGACUGUAAUUGUUCAGUGCGUGCGUUAGCAAAGAGCAACAGAUGUAAAUACCAAAAUAGUAAACUAGACACUAAAAGUAAUAGAGUAAAUCUUAUAUACACACUAUCACUGACUGACAGUAUACACACUAUCACCGUUGGAUUCAUGACACAUGUGUAAAAAUUGAAUUUCAAAUUCAAAUUUUGCAUAGUUAUCAUUCAUUCAACGCUGACAGUGUAUACAAUGUCAGUGUAGGAAAUAUUAAUUCAAAGUAAUAAUAUGAAAAAUAUAGCAAAUUAAGUUUUAUAGACGAGAUUGAUUGGGGUACACCACGAAAAAUUUAACGAGCAAUGUUUAAAAUUUUUGUGCCACAAUCAAUCUCAUCUAUCCAAAUUCAAUUUUCUACAAAUGCAGGCUAUAAACUUCAUCAUUCAAUUGCUCCGCUAUUUGCAUAAUAAUUGCAGUCCAGAACGUGAACUGCAACAUAACAAAGAUAACGUUUAAUUUCGCGAAAUGUUAUUUGACCUUCCAUUUUUGUUAAUCACAUUUCUACUAUCAUUUUAAUUAUAUAAUUUUUUAUUUAGUAGACUAUAUGAUAAAAUAAACGAUGAAAGUGCAAAUAACAAAAAAAUAGAGUGCAGACAACAUUUCCCUUUAAUUUCAGAUAAAUUUUCCUUUUUCCUGUGUGGGCCGGGUGGAUGCGCAAUUUUCAAGCAGGAUGGACAACAAGUGGGUUUGGUGCUUUGGAUUGUGGGCUUAGAAUAGAGGGAACGCUCGAGAGAGAUUGGACCGUCUUACUACUGCUUAAGCCUAGCUGUCCUCUUAAUCUUGGGUACACACAAUUAUAGGAUUUGCCAGAUAAUUAUCCCCUAAAAUAAUGGGAUUCAUUCAACCAUCUGAAUUAGAAUCAAAUUGUAAAUCUCAAUCUGAACUAUUGUUAAUCGUGUCUUGAUCACAAGAUUUCGAAAUGAUGCUUACCUUCCUUAAAACACCCUGAUUCUUUUUAUAUUGUGCCAAAAUUCUUUCUUAGACGCCGGGGCCCAAAAAUUUGCGAAAACUGAAGAAGCAUCUGCGGUGCAAGAAUGUCGAAUUCAUUUACUCAGUACUUAUUACUGAUUUACAAUGUCGGCCCAAAAAGGGAACAAAAAAAGAAAAGCAGAAAAAAAAGAAGCUCGUGUAUGUUUGUUAUCUUGAUCAUAUUUUGAUCCAUUCAGAACCAUCGAUGAAGGCAAGCGAAAUAAAAGGCUUUGCUUCCUCAUCUGUAAGUUCUCUGGACCAUGAAACUCUUCCUGCAAAACUUGCCCCUGCUCCGCUGCACUUGUAUUGUCCAUAAAACACCGUCCUGUGCAGAUAUAAGAAAGAGAAAAACAGCGUGAAAUUUUAAUGGCCUCAAAAUAGCUAUAUGACCCCCGCAGGUAGUCCGACGGGUUUUGUAGUCUGGUAGUUAUUAGCACGUUCUGUGAUUGACCCUUGUAUGCUAUCUCAUUGUGUAUUAUUGGAGUAAGAUUUUAUACAGGCUUAAGAGAUUAGUCUGGUUGAAAGGUUGGAAUACCUCCAAAUGAAAAAAAAAAUGGGCUCAUGGGCCGACUAUCAUAUGAUUUUGUUAAUUGGGCAAGCUACUAUAAUUAAAAUGGGUGAGCUAUUACAAUCUUUUUUUGUGGUAAAUAAAUGUACCGAGUUAAAUGUACACUAUCCCCAAAUUAACCAUUUGUACAGAUUUCUUAAUGACUGAUAUCCAGUAUAGUGCAAUACUUGUGGUUGUACACGUGCAUUAGAGACUUGUACAUUGUAAUCAGGUGCAAUAAACAGUAGCCACAAACUAAAAUUGUGUUCACAUCCAGGGCAUUCAAUAAUUUGGACUCUUCUACUUCUAGGACGUAUCCAAGUCUUCAAGUACAUGGCGCUUUCUGAAAGUUGAAUAUUCCUCCAUAUAGGAGCCUUGUGAAAGUUAGGUAAAGUUUGUUUAGGACACUUUAAUGGUUGAUUAUAAGUGGAUUAUAGUAGACAAGAAGAAUAGACACAAACUAAAUAAGGAGUGAGAGUAAGUCAAGGUUAUUGUCCUUGCUAGCUAGCUCUAUAUAUAUAGUGGCAAACAAACAACUGUCGCUGUGGAGAUGCUUGUAAAGUGGUUGUGAGUUGUGACUGAAUACUUUAAACAAAGUUGAUAAUCAUGGUGGAAGAACAGUGUGAUGCAUGCUGGUGCUAUAAUAAGGAAAAGAUAAGUUUGGAUAUACAUAUAUAGUUCGAAAUUGGGGUGGCACCGUCCCAAUACCACCAUCAAAUGCAAUGCUUUUGAUGUGAUACAAACUGACCUAUAAUUGGGCACCAAAUAGAUAGGCUAUAAUUGAGCACCAUAUAGAUACGGAUGGCCAUAUGUUAUGUAUAGUGGAGGAAGAUGAUAAAGAUUUUGUAAUUUUGCAGGGAGGUGAUGAUGAGGAAGAGCACUACUUACAUUUCUCGACUAGGGUCACCCCAGUUAUGCCAGCCUUUUGGAAUGAUAAUGUUGUCCAUAUAUGUGUAAGCGAAGAUUACCCUGGAAAAGGGUCCCCAUGCCCGUCCUAGGUACAGGGCUCCUGAACCCGUGACCUUACAGUUUACAAAGGAGAACCCUGUGUCCUCCAACAGGCUGCUUCUCCCUUGUGCUGUGACUGCCCCCGUUAACUGUGCUAUUGCAUGCACGUGACAACCCUGCGUUUACAUUUUAACCAUUAUGUAUUCUGCCAUCAUCAUUUCAUGAUUUGAGCAUAACUAGGUGCAUGCAGAUGCAGUACAUAAUUGGUUAUGUAAUGUACAUUCUUAAUAGUGUUUCUGUUUCACUAACAUACAAUAGUACCCAGAGGAUUCUUGAUUAGGAUCAAUGUACUUUCUCUAAAUGCAUAUAUAAUGGUAGAAAUUAGUGUUUCUAUUCUAAGUUUAAGUUCUAGAGUAAUAUAUAUAGUUCUCUGGAUCGAAGCAUAAAUUGAUAUAUACAGAAUGCUCCCUCCUAAUUAAUUUGGUUGCCAAUAUAAAAGCCAUAUGUUUCUUGCAACAAUUCUCUUGAACUAUCAGCUAUAACAGGCGAGCUCUAUGUUUAGUGCAGUAGGAUCAUUAGCUGGCAAAUUGAAAAAGGAAAACCAAACUGUAAAUAGAACGGAAACCGAACAAACUCUCCUGAUGUAAGUGAAGCAUGUCCACUUUCAUGUAACACAGUGUUGCUUUUAGAAAAGACACGACUUGUAUCUACCUCCACAUUUCACGUCAUCCCACAAUGAAUUCAAGAACAUACAAUUUUCAUAAAAGGACAUGCGAUCCAAAUUUCAUCAAGUUUUAGUACUUUUUUCUUUUUUAAGUUUUAGUACUUUGUUUGUCCAAUGUAUGUUUUUAGUCCACACAAAAGUGUUCAAUUGAACGAAUUCAAUUUCAACAGGUGAGACCAAAACCAUAUGAACAUGCUAACGUGGCUUUAUUAAGAACGAGGAACAUGAAACAAGAUGCAAGCACUGUAAAGUUUUAACUAACCACUGAUAUGCAAAGACAAUAAUAUUAUUGUUUGUCGAUUUCUCAAGGGAUCAGUGGAGAUAGUUACCUCAAACAAAGAGAGCCCGUUACCAAAGAUGAAAUCCACAGAGCCUUCGAUGUAACAAUCUUUGUAAUAAUGCCUGCCUACGUGGUCAUACAGCGUAUCCUGUGCACCCAAGAAUCUGCAACCCACAAAAACUGCUGUAUCUGCCGAUAUCCUAAAUGCAACAGCUUGCUUUCCAAUGGCUCCUGGGGGUGGUACUGGAGUUGUAUUCUGCAUGCAUUUUUUUUUUUUUUGGCAAAUAUUACGUGAUCAUGAGAUUAAAAUGUUAAUUAUGACUAGCCAAUAACAAAAGAAGGGGAAAAUGAUAUUACCUUGAAUGUGAUGUUCUUGGCUAUGAAAUAUGGAGAAUUCACAGCAAAUGUUGCAGAAGCAAAUGUGCCAAGAGGCUGGCCUUUUGCUCCGGGUGUUUGUGCUGUAUCUCCCCAUUGAACUAUAGUUUUAUCUGCUCCCGCUCCCUGUAUGGUUAUGUAUGACUUCAGCUGAGGUAUUGUAACCUUUUCCCUGGAAAACUCGCAUUUUUGGGGGGGUCAAAAAGAAAUGAUCAUUUGAUGGAGAGAGAGCAACAUGAAAAUAAUACCAACUGUGAAAAAUGAGGAAGGAUGAAAGAAAAGACGCAUUUCAAAAACCACAUGCAAAGUAGGUACCUGUAGUCAGGAAACCAGUUUGUAGCAUAUUGAUCAGAAGCUAAAGGACAACGUGCAACAAACCGACAUAUUUCUUUUUCAAUGGUGGCGAAAUAUAACAAAAACUUGAGCAUGACUACCUCUUAAAUGUACCAUAUUAUAUAGUAAUGCACUAUUUUCUCUCUUUCUCUCUUCUUGGUGGUAAAAUUAUGCAUUUACCAAGCCUUGACAGAAAAUACCACAAAGAACAGAGAAAUGUAUUGAGUAUAUCCUAAAACACUUACGUGUAAACACCCGCAUGAACCUUGAUCAACACUCUAACUAGAUUAACAGUAGGGAGAGAAUCAAUAGCCUGCUGAAUUGUAGUAAAGUCACCGUAGUUUGGAUUUUUGUCGACCGUAAGAGUGUAAGAAGGGAAGAGCUUAUUCUUGGCGGUCUUGAACACAGAGUGAUUGAGGCUGCCAACAAAGUUUACCCACUUCAUGAAUUGUUGUUCAGAGUAUUGGACUUGGGUCAUAUUCACUGCAAAUAGCUUCCCUGAAGCUGUUCUUUUUGGCCUAAUGCCUUUGGUGUGGCAUACUACUGUAUUGCUUCCAUAGCUCAGAAGAAUGAAAAUGAUAGAAUGUACAAGAAGUUUAGAAGUGGGCAUAUCGAUUGAUCUCUACAGAAUGAGAAUGAGAUCGAGAAGAGGAGAAAAGAAAAAGAAGGAAAAAAGCCGUACUAAGGAAUGUUGUUUUGGGGUUAGGAAGUGCAUUAAGCUGGCUCGUAAAUUGGUUGUGUAUAUAUAUAUAUAUAUAUCAGUACUACUUGGGAAUUAGUGCUUAGUAGUAACUGCUGCUGCCUUUUCAUUUUAGGUGGAAAAAGCGAUGCUAUAUUUAGAUGAUCUUGACAUGGAGUGAGAGGUCACGGGUGCCUCUAAUUGAAUCAUUGUGGAAUGUUGGGGAAGAACUAAGAAGGGGGAAUGGUUGGGUUGGGGAGGGGGAUCACAGGAAAACGAUCUCAGACCACAAAGCGAGUCCUAGGGAGGCAUGCACUUUUCGGCCUAACAAAAACGUUUCUUUCCGAGUUUUUAAAGCUCAUUCAGAGUUGGUGGUGCCCGUGACUAUCUCUAUGUUUCCGUAUGAAGCUGAACAUAUUCUGCUUUCAGAAAUGACGUGUUUUUUGUGCAGCAGGGGAAGUGUUUUUUGUACUCUGUUUUGUUUUGUUUUUUUUUUUUUUUGUUAUUUGCACUCUUACCAUUUGUUUUAUCAUAUAAUCUAAUAUAUAAAAAAUUAUAUUAUUAAAAUGAUAACGAGAGUGUGAUAAGCAAAAAAAAAAAUAGAAGUGUAAAUAAUAUUUUUUGCGCAGUAAUUUCUAAUUAGUUCUAUUCAACAUAUAGUACAGGGAAGGGUGCUUGCUACUGUAGUUGCCAAACACUCGAGGAAAUGUGUUAUGUGGGUUUCUAUCUUUUGGUUUAUAUGCGUCACAUAUAUUUGCUAACAAGUUCAAAAGCCAAUAUCGUUGUAGAAGUUUGUCAGAGAGAAGAAGACUAGAAAGAAAGAAAGAAAGCUAUUAGAACAAAAAUUUUCUUUUACAGGAGGGAUUUUAGAUUCUUGUAACAUAUACAAAAAUCAAAUUUUAUAUUUGAAUAGAAAUCAUGCGUCAUGUAUCAACAAAUGCUACUUUUGGAAAUUUUUUUAGAUGGCGCAGAAAAAAUUAAGGGAAAAUGGCUAAAUUCGUCCCUAAAUUUUUUAUUAAUGUCAAUUUAAUCCCUAACUUUUGUUUUCAGCCAAUUUGAUCCCUAAACUUAUAUUAUGAUUUCAAUUAAGGAUCUCUACGGCAGAAUCACCACGGAAAAUAGAUUAAACUCCACAUUGACCAAUUAAACAUGGGUAUUUUAGGAAUUUUUAGAUAUCCCCUUCCUCUAUUAUCAAUUCCUACGGCCUACCAGCCACCUCCCCCUUCUACUCCUACCUUUCUUCUCCAACCUCUCCAUUCCCUCCAUCUAUCAUGUCCAUCAUCUUUGUUGCAGCCCAAAACACAAUCCUUCUUACAUUGAAGAAGAGGCUUCCUUUGUCAAAAGAGAUAGCAGUAAAAGCUUCUCUCUUUCUUGCUUCUACACAACUAUAGCCAUGCCAAGUUCAAAGCAGGAAUCAAGGUUUAUCCCAAGCAGCCAUCAAAAUGACUUUUGUUGUGGUGGAUGAUGAGUGUUAGGCGAAGCCAUGAAAUCCUUGUUAGUUUCUUGGGAAAUUUUGGCCUUGCUGAACUUGUACACUGCAAAAAUAAUAUGGAUACAUUGAAAUAAAGUUUUUCGUAGCUUUGGGUAUAAGCGAUACAUCAAAUCUUGCCUCCAGUUUUUACAUAUAUCAUGUUGUCUUGUAAUUUGAUUUUUGAAUUUUGCCGGAAUGUUCUUGCUAUCUAUGAACAUGCCCUUUUUCUUCCAUGGACGGAGGAUAAAAAUGAAUUUAAAAAAAAAAGAGAAUUUACUCUUCACUCUCCAUCCAAUCCACCAUUUUUGGUACUGCUCCUAUAUUUGAUUUUGUUAAUAUAAUGCUUACAAAACUCAAAUUACUACUACUACUUGUCUGUAGAGAAUCACUGGAUUAGAUCCACCUUAAUCAACAAAAUCAUUACUAAUGAUUACCAAAAAAACAACAUACUUCAUCAUGUCUUGAUCUUCACUAGAACAGAUCCGAUACUUACCCAACAUCUAGAUUUGGGGCAUCAUAUGGUUUCGGCUUCACCCAAUUCAAGGGAGUCUCUUUGCUUAGUUUUUGGAAUAUCUUGGCCCUCAAAUCCCUCCCAAACUCUACCUUCUCUCCAUCAUUGGCUCCUCUUCGCACCCUUCUCCGUCCCAGAAGUCAAAGUAUCGCAUCUUGUUCCUGAUCGAUUCUUAGUUGCAAAAUUUAUAGAGAUGACUGACAUAACAGAGAGAGGAGCAAAAGAUGUGGGAGAAGAAGGGUGAGAGAAGGAGGAGGUAGGUGGCAGGUGGUGGAAAUUGAUGGUGCAAGGAGGACAUAUCAAAAGUUCCUAAAAUACCCCUGUUUAGUUGAUAAAUUAGGAGUUUGAUUUAUUUUUUGUGGUGGUGUGGCCGUAGAGAUCCUUAAUUGAAAUCAUAAUAUAAGUUUAGGGAUCAAAUUGGCCGAAAACAAAAGUCAGGGAUUAAAUCGACAUUAACAAAAAGUUUAGGAAUGAAUUUGGCCAUUUUCCCAAAAAUUAAUCCUAGAAAUCUUUUUUCUUCUUCUAACCUCUUAUUUGACACCCAAUUGUUGUUCUAUUGGGCCAGGUUGAUGUCACAUUGUGCAAAUUCAUAUCUCACCUUGUAGGCCCAUCGACCCAACUCUAAUACCAUUGUGGCAGCAAUAGCAUAGUGUAGAAAUACCCAAUUCACUCUCUCUCUCUCUCCCUCCCUCUCUCUCUUCUGGGUUUUUGAGUUUAGAGCCCAGAGGAAGGAAACCUUACAUGUACACCUAAUAGUGUGACAAGCACAUAUAUUGUUUUACAAAUGAUUAUACACUCGUGCGUAUAAAUACACAUAGGAUGUGUAUAAAGAUGCAUAAGUUAAGUAUUAUUUUCAGGAGUCACGGUCCUCGUCACCACCUUCUAUUACCAUUUGAUAAGAAUACACUUCUCAAUUCAAUGCAACGUUGCUUUUUUCGCUCACCCCAAAAAUCAUAUUUCUUUGCACGGAAAAGACAUUUAUGGAGUAUUUUAUACACAUAACCCAAGAUGCUAUUCUUUCUUGACUCGUACCAUGCCAAACAUGCCAAUUAGGAUAAACAAGUAGAGGCUGCAAAUCUAGGUAAUCAUUGUACGAUUAUGGGCAAAAGUUAAAAACUUGGAUAAAUUAGAUCUUGUAAACUUAGUGAUUCAAAUUUUAUCAAAUAUUUGAAUAUUUGAGCCGGAGAGAUCGUACAGCAAAUUUUAAACUACUAAAUUUACAUAGACCGGAUCUAUUCAAGUGUUUGUUCGGGCCAAAUGCGACCAAUAACAUGAAUUUAGCUUCAUUGUCUAUUUCUACAUCAGUUGGCAACAAUCAAAGCUCUAAAAGCGAAAUAAAUAUAUCAGGUUUUGGUUCGAUGGGAACGGAAUCAACAUCAAUUAUUGAAAAGUUUACAAAAAAACCGCAUCUUACCCUUUGUCCUUCCUCUUCCUUGGAAAUAACAUCCAUCACCCCACCCUCCCAUCCGCCUUGCCCCACUUGGAAAUAACCUUAAAAGGACCGAAAAUAGUAGUAGUCUCAGAAUAUUUCUUGCAGACUAAACCCUGAUUUCCAUCUUAGGGAGAGCUCCCAAGAAGCAUCUACUAUUUCGUAAAAUUUGUUCCGACCUCUAAAACUGUAAUGAAUACGAACGUGAUCUCAAGCUUCAUAGCCAUAGCAACUUCCAUCUCCUUCCUCCUCCUCUCACCCCCAUCAAAGUCCUUUUAUCAUUCCUUGUUCUUAUCUGAUUCCCUUUCAUGCAAUCAAUCAAUAGCAAACCACCUCUACAUCCUAACCAAGCGGCCUCAUGUUGCUGGGUCCGAAGCCAAUGCCGAAGCAGCGGCUUAUGUUCUAUCCACCCUCACUUCCUAUAAGGUUCGAUCACAUAUAACAACCUAUGAAGUUGCCUUAACUUAUCCCAUCUCACGUUCCUUGACCCUAAAACCUACUCCUCAAGACAGCCCCGUCAAGUUCGAUCUCCACCAAGAGAUUUACGACGGUGAUCCUUAUGCCGACGUGGCAGACGAAGUCCUACCGACGUUCCACGCAUAUGCCAAGUCUGGCACUGUAGCUGGACCCGUAGUAUAUGCCAAUUACGGGCGCGUACAGGACUAUGCUGUAUUGAAGCAAAUGAAAGUAAAUGUGUCAGGGAAUGUUGUAUUGGCAAAGUAUGGAAAGAUAUACAGGGGGGACAUUGUGGAAAAUGCUUAUGCAGAAGGUGCUAUAGGUGUAUUAAUUUACACAGAUAGGAAGGAUUACGGUGGAGUAGGUGAUGCAAAAUGGUUUCCUGAUGACAAGUGGAUGCCUUCAAGUGGAGUCCAGGUGGGAUCCGUGUACAAUGGGGCCGGUGAUCCCACUACACCUGGCUGGCCUAGUUCAGGGUUGUGCGAGAGACUAUCAGAUGAUGAUGCGGAGAAAGGAGGAGAAGUUCCAUUGAUACCUUCAUUACCUAUUUCAUGGGCUGAUGGUGACAGAAUCCUGAGGUCCAUAGAUGGACAAGUGGCAAAUGACGAUUGGCAGGGAGGGAAAGAUGCUCCUGUCUACAAGGUUGGGCCAGGACCAGCAAUUCUGAAUCUUAGUUAUACAGUAAGUCUCGAAAAACCAGCAAAAUGUCGAAUCUGUAGAGCUGAAACAGGCAUGCAGUAACUAAGAAAGCCCAUACCGUAAGUUUUGCAGGGAAAGCAAGUUAUAACCACAAUCCAAAAUGUUAUUGGAAUCAUUGAAGGUGUAGAAGAACCUGAUAGGUAAGUUUGAAUAAUUCAAACAUGCAAUGUACAGCAAAUUAAUACGCAUCUCUGAAACAAUUCUGCAUGAUGAAAUUGUCACGUAAGAAAAUGACAAGCAAAUUGUUAUAGCAAGCCCUACAAUAGAAAUGAUAGCCAAAAUGAAAUCAUAAUAUUAUUUUCCAAAAAACUGAGCCUGGAUAAACAAAAUCAAGCUUACCGAGUAACUUUCUAAUGCUAGAUUUUCCUCACACAGUUGAAAAUUUUCUAGAUAUGUCAUACUUGGGAAUCACCGGGAUGCAUGGACAUUUGGAGCUGUUGAUCCAAAUAGUGGCACAGCAGCCCUGCUUGAGGUAUGUAAAAUUUUGGUGCUUAAAUCGUCUUAACAUCCCUAGAUUCAAAUUCCAAGGAAAAUAGCAGUUCAACUGAUAUUUUUGAGAGAGACAGGUUGCACACAGGAUGUGGAAGCUCCAGGAAAAAGGUUGGAAACCUCGGCGAACAAUUAUAUUUUGUAAUUGGGAUGCUGAAGAAUAUGGCCUGGUUUGUCUUUCGCUCCUCUCACUGUAGCACAUUCACUCGUCCACAUGCACCCCUGGCUCCUUUCAAAUAACCAAAGCUAGAAAGAGGCUGUGUGAGCUCAUACAGGCAGAACAUAUUUGUUGUUUUAACUGAAUUAUAAGCAGUUCACCAUCUUCAGAUAGGAUCAACAGAAUGGGUUGAAGAGAACAGGGAAAUGCUAGCAUCAAGAGCUGUAGCCUAUAUGAAUGUUGAUAUUGCAGUUCAAGGAUUAGGAUUUUAUGCCUCUGCAACUCCACAGCUCGAUGAGCUACUAAUAAAAGCAACUAAGCAGGUACGAAACGAAUCUCAAGGGUUGGGGCAACAGGGUUUUACAACAUUGCCAUAUGCAUUAACAAUGAUUGCAUAUGGUUAAUCCACGUAGAAAGCAUCAAGUUUAAAAAUAUAUAUAUAGAGGUGCAAAUGUAGUUUAACAGCACAAGAAUACCAGUCUGUCAAACUUCAAAUGUCAAUUUAUGUUUUAUCUUUCUAUUCUCACUCAAAUUAGAUAAACUUCUGACUUAGGUCCAAGACCCGGAUAACUCCUCGCAAUCCAUCUACCAAUCCUGGAUUCGCUCCAGUGAAAAUCCUAAGGUAAGCAUCUUAAGAUAGUUUAAAUAAGAAAGAGAAUUGCGUAAGAGUUCUUAAAUGUGAACCUUGGGGUUGUGGGAGCAGGGUAAACAUUACAAGCACUGAAUAUAUGGCCACGUCCUAGACCAUUGUGCUACCACUUUGAUUUAUAAUUUAUCUUUACGAGAUAACUCAAUUGAUGCUUUUCAACUAAGGCAUUUAGCUACUUAGGUUUAAAAUCAAACUGCCCCUGAAUACCAAGAAUUACUAAAUCUAAAAGGUCAGCUUCUGGAUUUCUGUGGCCUUGAUAAGUGGCUUUUGGAUUUCAAUAUUGACAAACUGACCAAAAGGUCUUUAAGAUUGGAAGGUUAGGAGGAGGAGGAUCAGAUUAUUCUGCCUUCGUUCAGCAUGUUGGUGUUCCAGCUACUGAUAUCUCUUAUGGAGAAGGUAAAAGGAAUAUAUUCUGGCAAUCUUUUCACAAAGCAAGAGAUGCUUGCAUCAAUGGUUAUUACGCAGAUAUCCAAUUAAUUUCACCUUAAUGUAAUUUGCUCUGUCUUUUCAUUAAUUCCUUCACAUAGUAAGCUCCUAUGUCAUCUCCAAAACAACCCCCACCCCUCUUCCCAACCCCCCUGUCCUCUCCCCAGAAGGCAAAAUAAAUGAAAAAAAAAAAAAGCAGAAUCUAAUAAGACCACUGAGCAUUCAAAGCAAAACCUCGUACCAUAAAGCAUCCUAAAUAAAUAUAUCAGAGAAAUAAAUAGAAAAACAAUGUAAAAGCUCAAAACUUAAAGCAAUUUUUUUCUUUUUAAGCUAUUCAUGAUUCUUCAUGGUAAGAAUCAAUGAAGGGAUUUACGGACCAUGCAAGGAAAAUUAAUUUUUGUAUAGUAGGACUAAGAAAGCAGUAGCUUCGACAUACAUUAAGAACCAAAAAAAAACUUCUAAAAGCAAAAUAAUCUUACCAUCAUCUUUCCUCAUAACAAUUGGUCAGUGAGUGUGAUGAAAUUACAUCAGCCAGUUCUCUAGCAUCACUUAUCAUUUGUAUGUAUGUUCAUUCUCCAUAACGUUGUGUUAUACCACUUGACUUUCAUUACAAGAGAAAUAAUGACAUUAUACUCGUUAGGCUCUAAAGCAGUGUAGAAUGAUUACUUAAACAAAUCACAAAUUUAGAAAAGCACAAAAUCUCCAUUUCUCUAAAAGAACACCCAAGUAUCAUAGCUCUGGAGAUAUCGAGCAUGUUAGCAUAUCUAGGCAAAAAACUUUAUUUAGAUCUGGUGCAUAGUAUGUAUAACACGCUCAUAUCAAUCUAACCAGUAUAGUAACAGUGCUAGAUCAGGAUCAACUCAGUACAUUGAGUUUCUUACCUUGAACAAUAACCUAUAAAGAACAUCUUUUUUUAAAAAUGUCAUAAAAACAAGGGGAAGACAGCAAUAGAAAAAGAAAAUUACAGGAUGAGUUGAGAAUAAGAGUCGGAGUAAAUGGUACAGGGACAUCAACCACAAUGUAUCAAACAUUUAAGAGAAAACAAUGGUGUAAGAUCAAGUAGAAGAAGAAGAGACAGAUUUUUUAACAGCCUCAAAACAAGGUUUGCUUACCCAUUAAUUACAUACCUCCUGACUAAUACACAGGCCAUCCAUCCACUCUCUGCUGCUAAUUGGCUAGGCUUAAAAUUUUCAUCUACAAUCUGCACCAACUCUGAACAACAUCAAAUAGACACCACAGCCUAGAAAUUAAUCCAAAAGAAUAGAGGGACCUGAUGAAGAUACAGAUGCAAGAUUGAUAGGUCAAAUGAGUACAUUUUGCCAGAUGUCUAGGACAAACUCUAAUAUACACUAAGAUCAUCAUGAAUCAAGUUAGUUGUGAAGAUCAAUGUAUUUCCCCCACCCAAUUACACUUCUAACGUUGCACAAAAGUCAAAACCUUGCCUCUCCCAUGACACUCUUAGAGCAUAAGAAUCUCGACAAAAUAUAAUUUGCAGAAGAAAACAAAAUAAAAUCAGAAUCAGACCAAUACACUGAGAAUUCUAGCGAAUCAUCCAAGGCACAAUGUUCUAUUCAGUUGUCUUGACAGGCAUGCAUUCAGACAGAUUCUAGCCAACCCUUUAACAUCACUAGCAUACAAAGAACUGGUAAUGCCAGAUGCAUAAUUAUCAUGGACUUAACUAGUUGCAAUCGAGAAGCUUGUCUCCUUAAAAAUGUGCAUGACACAAGAAUUAACAUUUUUAUUGAGUACCAUCAUCUUUACUUACCACAUUACAAACACGUGUUGAGGCUGUGCAAUCAGAGUAGUUCAUAGUACAAGAAUUAAUUCGUAUAGACAUGACCCAGUUGACCUUAAAAGUACAUCAUGCAUAAAUUUUUUUUCCCUUAAGAAACAUAGACUUAUUAUUUCCAGCACUAGAGAUUCUCUUCCAGCACAAAAUAUAUCAUACUAAGCAAAAACGCUAGGCAUACUCCUUUUUAAGAAUCGGUCCAAUUCUUGAACUUUAUGACUUCUAACGGUUUUCAACUAUCACUUGACAAAAUUUGGUGCUUGUAGAUUAUCCAGUCUAUCACUCAAUGUAUGAUGACUUCAUCUGGAUGAAGAAAUUUGGCGACCCAAAGUUUCACAGGCAUGUAGCAGGUUAGUUAUAAUUUUCUGCUAGAUAGUAGAAUUUACUGCAAUUGCAUAGACAUCUCAAUGGCUUGUGAGAUUAAAAGUUUCAUCACAUAAUUGGGAUGAGCUAUCAAUUAAUCAUCAGAAAUGCCAAUCUUACAGAAUAGAAAGUCACAAAGAAACUCUUAUGUUCAGUUGAAAACAUAAAUUAAGUUGAUCCCGCUCAAAUAUUUCAUAAAUUCCCCACCAUCCCCUUAUUAGCAAAUCAGUUAACAUUUGGCAAUGAAAUCAAAAGUUGCAGGAAUCACAUGCAUAAUAAGACGGAUAGUGUGCAGAGAAGUGCAAAAAAUAUAUUAUUUAUUGGCCCUCUCCAAAUGAAAUUUCUUAGUUCAAGCGUCCAUUUGGCUAAAAGAGUUCCUAUAGAAGCAGGGUCUAAAAUCAACAUGGAAGAAAAACAACAAGACCAGGUUUCAUUUAUCAGGCAUUCAAAAAAUAAUGCAUAUUACAUGGAAACCCAACAAAAUACUGAAAAACAUUAAACAUAGCAAAACACAGAUUCAUUUAACAGACAGUAUUCAGCAUAACUGACAGAAAUACUAUGUUGGAGAGAUGUGUUAAAGGAGGAGGAAGAAAAAGAAAAUUGCAAAUAGGAAGAAUUAAGAUAAGGCGACGAAAAACUGACGGGCAUAAAGGUUUCGAGCAGCAAGAAACAACAAUAAUUUAUCCAAUAGAGCCAAGAAACAUCAUAAGAACCUAUGAUUGUUUAGUUAGAUGAACAAUGUCAGAAAUGACAACGAAAAUAUGACUUAAUUCAAAAACUAAAAAAAAAAAAUCAAAUACAGAAGCUUACUGCUUGUGUCAGACACUACAGACACUUUCAAGGCACUGAAGGGAACUCAAAAGUUUCAAAAGAAAUGAAAGAUUACCUUAGACAAGUCAUUGCAUACUCAAACACUUGCAGGACACAUCUCACCAAAUAUUAAAAUUGAGAUAAAUUUUCAUGUAUAAAGAAGAAACUUUUCAUAAAAAAUUUGGUAGCAUGAGUAGUACACAGUAAAAUUAGAAUACGAACCUGUAUCGAAUAUAUCAAGUAUCUGUUUCAGGCAUUUGACAAUUGACAUGGAUAGAUACUGAAUCAGACCCCUCUAAUAUGUUUUAAACCUAAAACAGACAUCUUCUAACUCCAUGUUAUAGUAGAUCAUGCAUAUAGUGCUCCAUGACACAUGACUGCUCCACAACAAGUACCAUUAUUGUAUGAUUAAAUCGUCACAUUUCCUAAUCUUCACGGAAGGAUAUAGGAGAAAUAAGAUGCUUUAAAUCAUGGUCUAUAUCGCAUCAAUGUCCAUGAAAGAUAUUAAAAUUUCAGUCAAACAAAUAUAGUCUCACAAAGAUUAGCUGCAUUACGUAUACAUAGUUAUUGCUCCAUCAUCACUAAAUAUACACAUAUUGUGAUGCAAGAGCAAAUUUAAUAUACAGAUGUUGCUAGAGACGGAUUUGUUAUUCUAUACCACUACUUCUAUAAAAAAAAUUCCUUCAAUUGUGUUUUCAUUCAUGUUGUUUCCUAUCAUCCAUUUUCACAAAAGAGACGAAAGUUCACUCAAACAACCUAAACCAUUAGAAACAUAGCUGCAUUAUGUACACAAAUAUUGCUUCAUCAUCAGUCACUGUUACAGUGGCUCGUGUGAUUCAACAGCAAACUUACAUUGUUAUAAUGCUACAGGUAGAUUUGUAGCUCCAGAUAUGUAAUACUUAAUAUAAAAAAAAUAUACCCUUUAGUUGUGUUUUCAAUCCUGUUGUUUUCUAUCAUCUAUUUUGUCCAACACAAUUCUACUUCAGCAGUUAAAUCUUUUCAUCAACUUGUUUCUUUUUGUGUACGAACAGUGACAAGUAUUUGGGGUUUAUUAGCACUUCAGCUUGCUGAUGAAGAAUUUUUACCUUUUGAUUAUCUGUCCUAUGCCAAUGAGCUGCAGGUAUGUUUCCUAUAGUGGAGAAAUGAGUAUAAUAUACCUGCUUCUACAAUUGAAAGUAAUCUAAUCUUUUGAUUGUUUGAUCCUGUAACUAGAGAAGUGUGGAAGAGUUGAAAAUUGAGUUGUCAGAAAAGGGCAUAAAACUAUUUCCCUUAUUUAACUCUAUCAAGGAACUGAGAAUGGCAGCAACUAAAAUUGCUAAUGAGAUAAAGGUACAUCUCCAGCUCUAUUAGUCAAAAACUUGGUAGAGAUCUCUAAGUGUGCUAAAUUUUAUUGAUGGAAGCACAAUUCAUUAGGUGCUACAAGACAGAAAUGUUUGGGCUUCUGUAUCAAAAAAUGACCACUACAAAGUAAGAGAAUUGAAUGACAGACUAAUGAUGGCAGAGCGAUCAUUCACAGACCGCGAAGGACUUCCUGGAAGGACAUGGUACAAGCAUUUGGUAAGCUUCUUUAAAUCACCUGCAAGUGACCUUGUUGUAGCUAAUUAAAAAUUCAGUUAAGUGCUUGUUAUUUCACCUUGAUUGAAGGUUCUUAUUUUCUUCCAUUACAAAGCACAAAAAUGACAUCAACUUAGACCAAAGAAUUUCAGGAAAGAAUAAUCACAAAAGCAUUUGGAACAUCUAGUAUACCAAAAUGCGUGCAGCUGAAAAUGACACUUUUGAUAACUGAAACCAAAUACUGACUGAUGCUUUAUAUCAUUCAGAUAUUUGCACCAUCAAAGCACAAUGAUUAUGGUUCUAAGUACUUCCCUGGAAUAGAUGAUGCCAUCGAAAAGGCCAAGAGCAUUAACACCACAGACUUGUGGCUUGCAGUACAGCAUGAAGUCUGGAGAGUAUCUAGAGUGAUUAAACAUGCUUCACUGGUCCUCAGUGGUCAGUUAACAUGACUACCGUCAUCUUAUACCCCUAAAUUCCACGUGUGUAUUCGCUAUUAAUAAUAAAACAAUUGGGUGACAUCUGGUGGACUUGCUUUAGUUCAAGACAGAAUCUGGGGAUUUUAUAUUGCAUUUUGUUUUUUUUCUUAGGUAUACUAUUGACUGUUCCUCAUUUGACUCACUAAUGGUUAGGAAAAAGAACUUGAUGGUCACAAAGGGAGAUAACCUGUAGUUAAGCUAAACAUGCAAACGCCCAACCUGAGACCAUUUCUAAUAACCAUGUAGUCUAAGUCCUAGCUGCAUGAUACAAAAUUCCAACAUAAUUUCUCAGGGAAAUGAUUGGCAACUAAAUAUUUUACAGUUUAUUCUUGAUUUCUCAAAUUUGGAAAAUCAGUCUAUUGGUUUGCAUCCAUCUGAAGUGAAAUUUUCAAGAUCAAUACCACAGACAGGCUUUCACAAUGCCUCAAAAAUUUCCAUCCAUCAUUAUGGCAGUUAUAUCAAACGGGAGAUAAAUCCAAUAUUUAAAGAACUUCAUAGUGGUUGAGCAAACAAAAUACUACCUAAUCCUUUUAACAGCACUAUAACAAAUUCUUUUAACAGUUUCACAGUUGAGCCAGUAAUGUGGCCUAGGCCAACAAAUAAGAAUUAAAGUUUCACAAUUAGAGGUCUAAAUGGAGUACAACAGUUUGACAUACUGCAGUACCAAGCUAAAGGAAAGUUGGAUGUCAACACAAAUGAAAGCAUUAUUUCCAUGCAAAAAGAAGAUAUACAUGUCACAAUAAGCUCAUAAGCUGUACAACUAAAGCUAGGUUAGAAAUGUAAAGCAGUUAGGAACACAAAAAUCUGUAUUUCAGAUUUGGUAAAUACUGUACAAUUAUUUCUACUGAACCUACAAUAUAUACAAUGAACAACAGUUAUUUCCGAGUCCUCUACUUCCAAACCUUAAUUGCACCAUCCCUACUGCUCGAAAUCAGAAGCCUCUGGUUCAGCUUCACAGAAGCCAAAGAGAGGACAGAAUCACGGUGACAUCCUGCAGAAUCAGUGGCAGCACCAGCAAGGAUAGUCUUUGUGGUCAAUCUCAUUGUCAAAGGUCGUCUUCUGCCCUCCUGUUUGUAAAAAAGAUCAAUAUAAAUUAGUAGGCCAUCAUCCCAGAACAUAAGUGAGGGGCUAUUGCUCGUCCAAAUGCAGCUAGGUAAGUUUACAAUCACAGGCAAAAAGAAGAAGCGAUAGAGAACCAUUGAACUAAAGAAAAUCUUCAGUUUGAAAAUGUACGACAUUUGAAUCCAACACUACCCCCCCCCCGGGGGGGAGCCCAACCAUCAGUCCAGUUUUCUCCUCCCAGGCAUGGCCCAGGAUUUUAAACUAGUACCUUUACAAUGAGAAGGGAAGAAACUUCUCAAGGAUUGCCAAAAAAAAUACAACUUAAGAGUCCCUAAUAAUUCUGAAUAGAAGCCUACCCAAAUUUUCAAGAACUUCAUUAGAAACAAUUCAUGUCCCAAGUAAAAAAGAGAAACAAAUCAUGAUGAUGCCAUUAACAUACCUGCACAACUUGCACACCAUAGUAAGACUUUGUCUCAAAACUAUCAUCAUUUCCAACUCCCUUUAUAGAUGGUCCACAUACGCAAUAACUUCGAUCAGGGCUGAAGCAUAGAUAUACAAGGGUCAAUAGAAUUGCAAUGACUGCCCAAAUGCAUAAAGAAAAUUGGAAAAUGUACCUGGAAUGGUCCCAGCGACGUAUUUUCAAGUCAGUACCCCCUGUCAAUAGAUCCCCACCUGGCAACGGAAGUAAAGCACGGAUGCCAGGAAGACGUGGAGGUGGUUCAUUCAACUCAUCGAUUCUAUAUUUCGAAUUAGCACUUACCCUGAUAUCCGAUUUGGCAUUGCCCUUGCUGGAUGCUCUGGCUAAUGCCCAAGGCGAGUCAGAAAUUUCAGCAUCGGUCUCAUUAUUUGCUACCCUCAACACCUGCAAAAAGCAGAAUAAGUAGCACAAAAAUCCACCAGUAUAAAAGCACGAAAUGUUAUUGCAGUGAUUGAACGACAGGUGCCAACUGCUCAUUCCAUUCAUCAGUCUAACUACAAUAUCGGGGUUUCGUAUAUCUUAUUCGAGUGAAUUUCACAUUUAAAAUCUAAUUGUCUGUAACUUCCAAAGUAUCCCAGCACAACAAGUAUAUUCUCUCAAAAUUACUCCUCAGACGUACAUUAUACUUCCCCCUCCAAUCCUUCUGUAUCUCCAUAACUAAUCAUCCCUCCCAAGCAUGCAUGGUUACCAGCAAGAAAAUCUAUAUGGAUCAUAUUCUUUCUAAAAUACAACAUCACAUCAAUCAAUUUAACCACAUUCAGUCAAAUUUCACUCUUUUGCUAGAUUCUUUACUAUUUUGUAAAAAGUACAAAGUGAUCCAACUGUACCUGAUGGCAGCUUCCAUUUUCUGCAUUCCAAAGAGAAACUUCAUUACACCCUGCUGCAACAUAAACAAGAGGUCUGGUAGAUAGGAAGAAGGAGGUACUAGGAGGAGGAACAAAAAGGCUCAUUUUCUCAAUUGGGCAUGCAAGAGAAUACUGCCAUGAAUUGACAGGUAUUCCAAACCUCAAAUCCCAAAGGGUAAGCACGCCUCUUGAUGACCCAGUGACAAACCAGUUCCCACAAGGAUCUGCAACCAGAGAAGAUACAUAACCCUCCUCAGGGACCACUUUUGAAUUCCAAACAUUUGAACUUGUUCUUGUAUCCCACAGAUGAAUUCCACAAUUCUGGGUACUGUACAAAAUCAUUUUGCAAGCACCACCAUCAGGGGAGUAGUUCAAAAGGUUUAAUAUAGCACCUUCUCCAACUCCGUUCUUUUUAACAUCAGCUAUGCCUGAAUAUUUCUCCACAACAUUGCCCAGACCCCCGGAUACGUAAUCAACAGAGAACAUGUGUAUAGCUCCAUCACAAGCUCCAACAACAACUUGAGCAGAACCCUGGAUCACAGCAACACACAGUGCUCGACUUCCAUCUAAAGAAUAAGUUAGGCGCGACCUGAAUGAGAUAUCUUUUUCUAACCUUUUAGAAUCCCAAAGUUUAACAGUAGAAUCUUCAGAUGCACUUACGAAAAAGCUAUGGUCAGUGGAAACAGCUAUGUCAUUAACAGCAGAGUGGUGAUCCUGGAGAUGCGCAACCAACACCCCACGAGGCCUCCACCCUGAAUCUGGAAUCGUCGAUGUUCGCCCAAAAGAUGGUACAUCUGCACCCUCACUUGAAGCAGAAUUACUUUCAAUUGAAAGGGAACUCCCUUUUGUUGUGCCAGACACUCCCAUUUCCAGAAACUUGUUAUUUACAAAGGCUGUUUGAUCCAUUUCCCUGUCUUCAACUUCAUGUACAACCCUUCGCAAUUGUGUGGAACCACCACCAAUGCUGAUUGAGCCUGAGAUAAACUUAGGAGCUGGAUCUGAAUUGGCCAAGCUAAAUGAUUUACUAACUGGAUCCAUCCAUGGCAAGGAUGCAGAACCAAAACCUAAAGAACCACAUGGUAAUGAUGAAUCAGAGACUGUUGGAGAGCCUGCAGCUCGUUUGUUAUCAACUUUAAAGUAAUACAAAGGAAUGCCUUGUGAUGAUUUCUCCAUUAAACUGUUCAUUCCACUAAGAGGUGGAGAGAUAAAACCGGGCAGCUGCAACUUUUCAGAAUCCAGGAAGUCGCCAGAAUCCAUAGCCAUAGGACUUUGCACUGAGUUGCCCACAACUUUUGAAUUCUGGUCAUUAUCAUUACAAUCUGCAAGAUCCAGAGGCAGAUUUGCACGUUCAACAACUUUAUUGCUCUGAAGAUCUCUUUGUCGGUCAGACCAGCACAUCAUUGGAUCCAGCUCCUUCACCCCUCUCUGAAGAAAAUCCACUGUUUCCCAAUUUUUAGCCUGUGAGUCACUGUUGUACCAUAUUUUUCGCUGUCUCUCCAGCAUGUCUGAGCUCCUGGCACUUUCUAAAACACGAUAGUAUCUCUCUCUUGACACUGGUGGCUCUAGGCAUGAAAAAAGAGCCUUUUCUGAAGCUAAAGAUGCUGGUUGUCUACGCAGGAAGGUGCGUAUAACAGGCACAAGGAAAACAUAUGAAUCUACUGCACCUAAACUCUCGCUGCUAGCUGCAAUGAAUGUGACAUCGGCCCUCCUGACCCAUUGACUAGGAUAACACAACAGUGGAAAAGCGUGUUCUAUCAUCUCAAGCAAGAUUCUCUUCCUUAGAAAUCCACUUUUGCAUAAAAUAGCUAGGCAUUCCAGAGCAUUCACAAUUACAGCCUCAGUUACAUCACUUAAAGCCUGCUCAAUGUAUGGCAAAAGAUAUUCCUCGACACUCCGUUGUCCCACGAAAAAGCAGACAUAUAUGAUCUGUCCAUAAAACACUGCCCUGAGUUGCUCAUCCCGGUCAUUUAGGAAAGCUGGGAGGAUGGGCAACAAGAAAUCAUUACUCUGCCUCUGGCCAAAAAACCAACAAAGAUUGCCAAUGUCAUGCAGGAGUGCUCUCCUGAUAUUUGGUGUUUGCUUUGGGCCCAUCACAAGUUCUUGAAUGACAUCCGCAAUAGACUUCCUUAAUUGCACAAGCUGUGCAUCACUAUUUGGACUGUAUCUCCUUCCAGAUGUAUCAGAGGAUGUAGAGAGUGACUUCUGUGGCGAACUUGAUUCACUGAGAACUCCUGCCUCACUCAAGCUUAUAGAGUGAAUCAAAAACCCAUAAGCAGUAAGUGCCAGCUUAGAUAUAUUGCUUGCAUAACAUAUCCUUACACUUUCCUCUGGAUCAUCAGGGAGCAUGGAGAGCAUUGGAAGAAUAUACUCGGGAAAAAUUUUAGCAUCACUGGGUGGAAAAUCUCUGACUAAGGGAAGAAUGUCACAUAAAGUCUCUAGGGCAGCACAACGCACAAUUGCAGCUGGAUCUGAGAGCAUUGCAAUGACAUAUGGAAGCACACGCUGCAAUCGAUCUUCAUCAUCAAUGUAUAAGGAACACGACUUCAAUAGAAGCACAGCCCCUCUCCUCAUGAAUGGCAGUUUGACAUUUCUUAUGCAGGAACAGAGCAAUGAGGCAAUCAGAACCAUACCUUCACAGCUCAUGAUAUCUUGAGGUAAUGGUAGAAAAGGCAUACCAAAAGUGUCUGACUGGUUGUCAUAAUCCGACAUUAAUGAGUUCAAAUCACUUGUUGUUAUCUUUUUUAAGAAGGGAUGGUGACUUCUGUUAAAUAUAUUAGAGAUACUCUGAAUCAGCUCAUCAGGAGAUUGCACAUCACACUGCUUUCUGUUUUGAGAAUAUGCAGAUCUAGCCACACCUUCCAGCAACGGUUUCAUGCUAUGAAAUCGAUUAUUUUCCUUUACAUCCCUGAGUAGAUUACCAACAUCACCAAGAAGAUCAAACCUAUCAUGAAUUGAGCCCUUAUCCACCUUUUCUCUUUUACUACUGGUGUCCUCCACAUUUGUAUUAUGUUGUGCAUCAGUCCCAUGGAGAGAUUGAUGCAUAGCAUCUAAAGAAAGCGCCUCCCCAGAAACAGUCUCCUUGACUACACUACUGCUCAUCAUUUGUCUAAGAAUCUCUUGAAAAGACGUCUGGCAUAUUAAAACCUACACCAAGGAGCUUUCUAAAUAAGCUUGAGCACAGCGUAAUUAUCACCAAGAUAAAGAUCAAGCACCAAAAAUACCUUACCCUUGCAUCAGAAUUAAGGGGAUUCAACAAGGAAUAGAAAUUGUGGAGAAAUGGAGAGAAGUAGCCAGGAAACACAAUGCCAGAGAAGUUCUGCAGAUAGCUUUCAGCAGAAAAACGUGCCUCCGGAUCCAAUUGAAUCAUAUGAAGAAUCAUCUUGCGGAUUCCUGAAUCUGGAAUCUUUAUGCAGACAAGAUAAAGACCAAAAAUAAAAGUUAAUUUAGAGAUUCAAUAAACACUCUAAGUGGACUAGUAGGCAAACACUUCAACCUAUAUAGUGAAGUCAAUGUUCCAUGAAAUUUCUUGAAAGAGAUUAAUUGGGAAAAUAUGAUGAUACAGGAAGAAGCAGAGAAAGGUCCUUUGGUUAGAGCCAAGUUAAAAUGGCAUUGACUAGAUCUUACUUUUUCUAGAUGUUGGCUAGGAUCAUAUUGUCCUCUACGAUAAGCAAGCAGUUGAGACAACUCAAACAAUGGCUGACCCUCGAGGAAUAGCUCAGCUAUUACACACCUGAAGCAAGAACAUGGAAUUGAAGAAAAGUGUAAAUCCAUUGUAUCACAAGGCAAGAGCUUAUUGCCAUAUAGAUAAAGACAUCCUCAUCAAAGAUUUGUGCCUCAACCAUAAAAGCAACCAUCCAAAGCCAAAAAAGUCAAGAAAAUUAGUUUGUGAACUGCUUUGUAUAACGUAAAAAGAGAACCUCUUGACCCAACCAAUAUGUAUAUACCAAUAAAAUGUAGCAACUAAAGCAAACAAAACUUAAAAUAAUAGACCACAACUGGAUUGCUUGGAUGAAAUAUGUAGAAAUGAUAGUAAUUAAUUUGAUUGUGCUCUAACAUGAACGCUCACUUGAAGGCUGUACAUGAUUAUGCAAGCCCAAUUAAUCUCCUAUACACUAGCAGUGUCUGUCAGGCCUGGAUGCAUGACAACUAAUUUUAAUUUCAAUUUGAAAUCCAAGUUUUACAUGGCAAGCACCCAAGGCCAACAGUGCAUUCAUUGUCGGUGCAUAUAAGAUUAAUCCAUAGACAAGAGCUAAAACAAAUGCUAUUGAUCUAGAACCCUAAUCUUUUUUUCAGAAAUACCAAUUUGAUUACCACAUGAUAUAGAAGUAUAAGUUAUUGCAAAGAACUUUGGUUGUUUAUGGACUCCUGCAAAAGCAACCGAUGUGAAGCGCAUCACAUUCCUUGAAUGGGUUUGGGGCAAUUUCAUUACUGUUGUUGAGGAAUAAAUCAUUGAUCUACUUGUAGGAUUUGAUACAAAAGGUAAAAGAAUCUUUACCCAAUUUUAUUAAAGAUCUAUUGUCACCAAUGCACUGUAUUAAACAAAGAAUCUCACAGACCAACAUAGUCCUACUACUUUCACAUACUUCAUCCAUGUGGGCCAAUUACAAGUCCCAACCACACUUUAGUCAGCCCCCACAAAAAAGAACACAUUUUUUUCUCCAUGUUUUGACUUAGUAAGGUGACAAUGUUAUUUGGCUAUUUGCACAACAGCAAGAUCGUCAAAACAAAAGAUGAACUUGCACAGCAAGCUAAAAGCUACAAGAUGUGAGUUCAAGGAAAUAACCUGUUCGAGCUUGCCAGAUCAAGUCAUUCAAAGUAACAGGCAGAAAGAGGGUAGAAAAUGAUACUGUUCAUAUAUAGUGCAAAGUCCAGGAUGCCAGAGAGAUACAAUCAUCUAUGUCCAAUAAGAAACAAUGAUUCCCACUCACACAAACGAUUUCAGACAAGUUUCUGACACAUAUCAAGCUCAGAUCCAGAAUUCCAUCAAAAGAUGAAAUGACUAUUGUUUUAAAAAUGUAAAGCAAGACACAAAAGUAGAAAUUUUAUCAUAUAAUAAAGAAAGACAAACAUGUGAUACGAACAUCUAUUUAAUAAAAUAUCAAUAAGACAAGCAAUGUUCCUUAGAUGGAAAAACAAAUCCUGGAUCAAGAAACAUCUUAUUGUUAAGUUAACAUAAUCAGAUACUUUACUUCCAAGUUCAGGUUCUUAUAAAACAAUGAGUGAUAUUUAUGCUCAAGCAGCAUAUGCAGGUAUAAGUAAAUUAAAAUUUCAGGACAAACAAAGACUUGCACAAGGAAAAAAUUAUUCUUUCAAAAUGGGAAAGAAGGUCUCAUCAUAUCUUCAAUUCAGUAAAUUGCAAUCUAGUGUGUGCAUUUGUGUAUUUCAAUUCGCAUAAAUAAUUUUAAAAGCAUGUAUAACUUUAGUUAAUGCCACUUCUCAUGUACUGGGAAAAGCGCAUUUACCACCUUUAGGCAUCACAUUAGAUUUCUCAAGCACCACUGCCCAUGCUUUUACAAGACAACAACCCUCUUGGCACUAAAACAAAAGCAGUGCAAGGGGCUAAUAUAGGACAAUUUGCAGCAGAAGGGGCACUAAACUUGUUAGUGAUAUAGGCUGAAGCCAAAGAGAAAAUCUAGAACUUAAACAAUAACUGGGAAGUAAAGGAUUCUGGGUCAAUUGAUAAAAAAUUAGCAUAGGCAGCAACAAUUGUCUUUUGAUAGUAUUGCAAAAGAAAAGACCCACAUUGACCAAAAUAUCAACUGUCACAAUACAUGUUGCCACUUUCAAAACAAUUUCCACUUAUCUGCACACUGACGUAAACAUGAUUCUACUACUAUGGAGCAUUUAAGAAGCAAAUGCUCCUUGAAUACCAAAACUUCAAGAACCAAAGAGAUAAAUUAUUUACAGUGUAUUUUUUAAUAAAGUAAUCUUCAAUUCCAAAUUAUCAGCUCAAAUGCCAGAAAACUCACCCUACAGCAAAGAUGUCCAUUGAUGGUUUUAAUGGUGCAUCUUGAGCAACUUGCGUUUCACCUCCAUGCCCAUAAAAUCUCUGAAAAAUGAAAGAACUUCUAUUAGCAAGUAUAGACAAAAGGCAACUGUCACAUUCAGUAAAUGCAAUUCUCUCUCUCUCUCUCUCUCUCUCUCUCUCUCUCUCUCUCUCUCUCAUUUUCUUUGUAGAAAGGAACUUCUAAUAUUUUACAGUCUAGUUAACCAUGCUAUAAAUAACCAAUUUUCCAUUUGAAAGAGGAAAAGAAUCAAUCAAUACUUGGUAACAAUUUGAUGAUCAUGCGUCAUGAAUGGUCAACAUAGGAUCAAAAUUAAUCUCCAGUCCGAAUUAGUCUUACAGGGGAUGAUAAUUUCGCUGAAUGUGACCAUUCAGGUGAUCCAUACUUCAGGUUUUGGAUUCUUCUACAAGACUUUUGUUUUUGCUUUUUAUUUUCUACACUUCCUAAUGCAUUUUGCUUCCCAUCAUCAUUAGCAUAAUGUUUAUGUCCUUUCUGCACUAUAAGAAACCUAAACAUAUGUUGUUGUACCUAACAGACAAGGAGAAAAGAAAGUCCAUUUAUUUGUCUUCUUAUAUCCAUCCAUAACCUUAUCACAACUGUGAUCAUGAAUCCAAUAAAGCUUACAAAGGCAGCUGCACAAACUAAACAUAAAUGGUCAGGGCUACCAAGAAAGUUGUGAAAAUUGAAAAACAAUAUUUAUGGACCAAAAAGUUGGAGAACAGUUUCCUUGUUUUACCUUAAUUGGACAAAGGGAGAACUCUGAAGUAAGAGAUCUAGAUGUCAAUAAAGCAAUUAAUAUGAAAUGUCUGUAGUAAUGAAUUUCAAUUUUGUCAAGGGGGCGAAAAAACACACAGUUACGUAAUUGCACAUAGAUUCAGCAAGGGUGUCAUUUAGUAAUUGUCAUGGUAAGUGCUGUUUCCUUAAACAUAAAUAAGCCGUCUGCCUUACACAAAUGGGGGAAAUUGUGAAUGUUUAGAAAGUUCAUCUUCAAAAGGACGAGGAGGAGGAAGCAAUAUUUGGUUGUUACUAGUUGUCAGGCAAAUUAAGAAAACCACUCCAUCGAACUAAAAGAAUCACCAAUAAAGCUGAUCAAGAUAGUCAAGUACUUUUAUUGUGAGUUAAGCUAGUGUCUUUGAAAAGAAAUACAACAAAAAACUCAUUCUAGCACUAUGUAUACAGACAACCAAAAUUAACUUUUCAUCUGAAAUUGGAUCUCACCAGCACAAACAAAUAGGAAGCAGACAACAUUCUCCAGAAUACACCAAAAAGGUCAUUCUUCUAGGGCACUUCUUACAGAAAAUAAGAAGUUACUUCCAUUAGUCACCAAAAGGAAAGAAGUUGACUCAUAUUAGAAAGGCCCUUUUAAAAAAUGAGAAAUAUGUGUUGUUAACUGCAUAGUGUUUCCCCCUAUCUUUAUGUUUUAUGACACCAGCCAACUGAAAGGUUGAAAAUCAGCCACUCUAAUCAAACAAGCAAUCCAUUAACAAUAUGAAAAAUCAUGACAAGAAGUUCAUAUAUCUAGCAAAACUUCUCUGCCAGGCAAUUUUAUACAUGUCCUCCCAGACCCGAAUAAUCAAAAGCAUUUGUUUGGAUUGAGAUGAUUUCAGAUAAAAUAAUUUGCUUCACAAAUUCCAAUUACCUUUUUAUCUCACAUACAUCACAUCAUAAAAAGUGCUACAGUAAUUAUCUCAAAUAAAUCAUCCAAAUAAACUCCUAUCCAAACAAACCCUCAUAACUAGAAUCCGAAUUUAUGUCAUUAAGCAAAAACCAGAAAGGUACAAUCAUAAAGCAAUGCGCCAAUGAAAAACUUAGCAAUUCAAAGUAACAGAAGAUCUAAGCAAUUUUAUGAUAAUCUCAACUGUAUCACAUUCUAGGCAGGAUAUUGCCAAAAUCCCAAGGCUUAUGGGAUGCUUUAAAUUUGUAUUAGCAUUAACCCCUAUAGUACUAGGACGAAAAGUUUAAUUUGAAGUCAAGAACUAGAAAAGCUCAAACUAAAAUAUUAUUUCCCAUCCUGCAUAUGUUAACAUAGAUUUUCACAUAAAUAUUAGAUGAAUUACAAAAUUAAAUUAAAUUAAGCUUAUCUUGCUAAAUUUCUGGUUGGGAAAAAAAAAAGAUUAACUAGAAUAAGAAACCAACCUCAGGAGCAAGGUAACACCGCCUUCUUCCACCAGUGUCAAAGAAAAACGAAAAAUCAGAAGGAUCAUCAUGUGGAAUAUACGUCGGUUUGAAUGAUGCAAAAUCAGCAAGAUAAAGCCAGUUCCAGGAAGUAACCAGAACAUUCUCACACUUAAUAUCACCUGCAUCAGAUUAAAUUAAGUUACUUCUUCCUAAGAAUCAAUAUAAUGUUGCUAACAGAGGAGAUUAAAUUUACACUUAUCUUACCAUGACAAACUCCAUUUUCAUGGCUCUGUUUUACAGCAUAAAGCAGCUGCAAGACGAAAAAUUUCAUUAAGCCCUAACUGCAACUAAAAGACUAACACUGCAAUGAGAAGAAAGAAAGAAACCUGAAAAGCCAGCCAUUUCUUCUCAACAAGACUGAGGAAAGGUCGAGUGCUCAGCCGAUCAUGAAGAUUAUUAAAAAAGUAUUGUCUCAACAAGUAGGCAGCUUUGUCAGUUUCAAGCCAAAACUGCAGCAUACAACAUUUGCAAAAUAAGACCAUUUUAAGCCACCAAAAAAGCAAGAAAACAAAACAAUCAUAAAGUCUUAAACUCCUUAAAGCGACUAAAAACCACAAUUAUUCAAUCAUUCAGAAGGAUUCAUCAGUCAAUGAGACAAUUAAACAUCUAAAUGUAGAUAAAGUAAAAGCCCUCCUUUUGGUGUCAACAAUUACUGUCAGUUUCUGUCACACCAAAACUGCCCUUUAGAGUUAGUAUAAAACUGCUCAAAUCUACCUUCAUUUUACAAUCAUGAUCUCAAAAACAAUAGCUUCAUUUAUUAAGAAAAAGAAAAGGGCAAUAUAACCAUAGACUUUCCAGCAAGCACAGGCAUAGGAUAUGCCAUAUACACUAGUCACCAGAAGUAUUUUUGCCUUUCUUCAUUUUCAGUCGAAACUUCAGGGAAUUCGAAACCUAAAUUCAUGGUCAUCACCUAAACACAUUCCUACCAAAUGUAAAAGGAAGAGAAAAAAAAAAAAGAAUGCAAAGUAUUUCCAUCAAAGUAUCAGCCUCGUGGUGCCCCCAACUUCCAAUGAAAAAAACAAUUUCAGACUGACAUGAAUGAUUUACAAAUUUGUCUUUAUAAACCUUCAAUUGGUAGCAUAAACUAAAAUUAUUUUAAAUAAAUACUACUUUACAAACACUAUUUUUCCCUGAGCUCCACUUUCUCCUAAUACCCAUAUUGGUAAACCAUAAUUCUACCUAGCUUGUAACAAAGUAACCGGGAGAAAUUCAAAUAGCAGCAUCACUUUGAUAAAGCAUUAAUCUGAUGCAACUCAUUUCCGCCACUGAUGUCCAUUGCUUUUGGCAAUCCCAAAAGGAACACUAGUUCCCAUAGCUCGACUAUGAACACGAGCUUAAUAUUUACUUCUGGCCCUUUGCUUACUACAUAUUACGCUCUCAUUUAACUGCUUUAUAAGAUGCUGCAACCAAAAAUUAAAAUGCAACCCUUUUAUUAAAUAUGCUUCACACUACAAUUUCUCUUCCACGUUCUUCUAAGGAAUGAAGUACUAAUCUCGGCAAGGGUGAUACCAAUUUUAGCCCUAUCCUCAAACUAAAAUACAAUUAAAAUCAAUUCACAAAUAUCAGUGCGAAGGUGCAUUUAUGUACAAAUAAAUGUACUUCAGAGUAAAAGUAGAGGCAGACCUGGAAGGGCCAGACAUGAGGGUGAUCGAGGCCAGUAAAUACACCGUGAAUUUGGGAGAGGCGGCGCUCGUAGUCGCGUAAGUCAAUGGAGUCCCCUCUUUUGAAAUAAACCUUGACUAGCACAAGUCCUUCGUCGUGCUUGCACAGGAUCGAUUUCAGGAAUCGUCCUCGGCCUAAGACUUCUUUCAAUACUAAAUUAUAAGAAGACGGUAAAUCGUGCAGGUAAUACUCCGUCGCCGAAGCUUGCGUUGUUCGCGCGAUUUUAUUCCCCAUUCUGAGCUUGUGUUGUUUUCCCUCUAAGCGUUUGAAUUAGCUAGGGUUUUGUUUUCUGUUUUGCUUUUAAUUGUUUCUUUCACAUUGGGCAGGUCGGGUUUAACGGUGACCGAAGCGCGGCAGAGAGGGGGAUCGGAGGCGGAGGUGGUGAUGGGAAGGGACGGAAUGGGGGGAGCUGCGGUUGCGUGGGACUGUGUGGCGGAAGCAAGGUAAUGCUACUGCAGCGGAUCGUUAAUUUUCCAGUGGUUUAUUGCCAUGUCAUCAACGAUUUGUUUUCACGUCUUGCACAAGAUUGUGAAAAAGCGUGGCCGUAAACCAUUCAAUGGAAAUUGCAUUUUCUCACGCUUUUCACCACUCCAUUUUUUUCUUUUUUCUUUUUUUGAAAAAACCAGUCAAUGCUCUUUGCGGAUAAAUUUUGGCUUUUCCUUUUGUUGUGAAAUCUGUUUUAUCGAGAAUGCUAGCCACCUUACAAAAAAAAAAAGGGCAAAAAAUCUCAGCGGCCAUUAAACUAUUGACGGAAUCAUAUUUUGGCCAUCGAACUAUUUUUUGUCAAUAAUUAGCCACUAAACAAUUUAAUCCGUAAAUCCAUGACCAUUUCGUCGUUAAUUGCUCUUAAGUUCUGAAAUUAGCAUUACACGUGUCAAAAUGGAAGGACAAUUUUGUCCAACAACUAUGCGACCUUCUUCUCCCCUGAAUUUCUUUCCUCAAACAAGCUCUGGACUUCAUACAUGAAAUUGGUUGGCUUCUCCGUAGAAGUAAGUUGAAGUUUAGAUUGGGUUUUCUAGAUCCCAACUUGGAUACAUUUCUCUUCUAGCGUUUCAGAUGGCUUAUAGAGUUCUCAGUCAAACAUGACUGGUGUGCAGUGGUCAAGAUGCUUUUGAAUGUUCUGGUCAUCAAACUCAUGGGUGAAGAAAAACGCUCUUCAAUUGAAGAUGCACUGCUGGAAAAUGGGUUGCUCCAUAAAGCUGUUCGACGAAAUUGUAGGUCCAUGGUUGAAGUCCUCCUAAGAUACCAUCUAGAUGCAGAUCUGAAAAAAUCAAGUCCAAUCUGCUAUGUAUUUAGACCGAUGUCAAAGGCCCUGGGGGCUUGACUCCUCUGCACAUAGCAGCCGGAUGCGACGGAGCUGAGCAAGUGCUGGAUGCAUUAACUGAUAAUCUUGGACUGGUACGGCUCUUCUUAAUAUGCAUACUGUUAUUAGCGGAACAUUACUUUUGGAAAUGGAAAAAUAGUGCUCAGAUCCCUCAGUGGAAAAAUACGGCCUUCCUAUUAUCUUUAAUUUGUGGUUGAAGAUUUGGGACUCCCAAUUGAGUCCAUAUUUUUUCCACCACAUAAUGUUCCAUUCGGUGAUUGUCUGAGGAAAGAAAUUCAGGGGAGAAGAAGGUCGCAUAGUUGCUGGACAAAAUUGCCCUCAGGCAUUGCCACGUGUAAUGCUAAUUUCAGAACUUAAGAGUAAUUAACGACGAAAUGGUCACGAUUUUACAGAUUAAAUUGUUUAGUGGCCAAUUAUUAACAAAAAAUAGUUCGAUGGCCAAAACAUGAUCCCGGCAAUAGUUUAAUGACCGCUGAGAUUUUUUGCCAAAAAAAAAAAGCAUUGACUUUAAAAAAAAAAGAGAGAGAGAAUGCUAGCCACCUUCAAAAGAACAAAAAAGGAUAUAAAUAUACACUUAGGCUAAGUUUGGGAGUUUAGGAUAGAAAAGUGAAGAAGGGAGAACUUAAGUUACGAGAGGACAGAAGAGAUUGUUAUGUUGUUUGGAAAUUUUGAGAAUUAAUUGAAUAAUUUUGGAUAUGAAAGUCAUUAUAUUUGUUCAAGACAUUUUUAAGGAUAAAAUAGAUAUUUUAAAAAAUUUUCAUAAGGUUCCUCCUAAUUUCUUUUUAUUUCUCUCCAAUUUGGGAGGAAAAAUUUUACCUACUAUUCAUGGCUAAUUUCUUAGAAUAUAUGUAUAAAAAAAAACAUCCGUCAAAUGUAGCUUUGACACAGGGUAUUUUUCAAUUUUAUACCUGCCGUGCUGAGUCAGCAUGGCAGCAAACUGAAUUUUCCCUUCCCAGCCAAAUGGUGUCGGCCGAUCAGAGCCUCUGCAAAAAUUUCAAUUCGAUCAGUGGCGGAAAUUUUUUCUUUUAAAUCAGCCUGUCCCCUACCGUGCUGACUGGGUAUGGCUAGGGACAGCCAGUCCAAAAAAAAAAAAGGGCCAUGCGCCUUUGUUAGGGUUUGACCAUUACUGAUUAUUGAACUUUCAAAAACACCCCAUAUUUCUACCGAUCUCCUUUGAUUUCAAAAUUGUUAGAUGCAACCACUUGAAAAAUUUACAUACUUUAUUUGUUUGUUAAAAAAAAAAUCAUGCAAUAGAAAUUCAAUAAUUAACACUAAAAAAAUAGUACCAAAAUUUGAACUAAACAAAAUUCAAGACAUUUUUCUAGUAUUUAGCCACUAAUUUGUUUAAAAAAAUGAAAAGACAUAGCUAACCAUGGUUGUCUCAAAAUUAUUUUGUCUCCAAAAGUUUUUUUUUUAGUACUUUACCCUUUUCGUCAGUCAAAAAUAAUGUUUGAUCAUGUUAUAAAUUACUUAACUUUGGGAGGUGUUCAUGUUUCUAUUAGUUGGAACUUUUGGACAAAAUUACCUAUCCGUUUGGAUUAGCUAUUUUUGGGGUUAUUUUUAAAAAAUAGCACUAUAGCAUUUCGUUUUUGAAAUACAAGUCCGUUUGGAUUAGUUGUUUUUGGGGUUAUUUUUUAAAAACAAUAUGAAAAACUUUUACUGUAGAUGUUUUUUGGAUUAUUUUUAGAGGUAUUUUUAAAACACAUUUUUGAGUAUUUUUAUAAUUUAUAAUUUAUAUACAUUUAUGCAUUUAUAAUACAUUUAUAAAUAUUUAUAAAUAAAUAUAUUUAUAUAUUUAUAUAAAAAUAUAUAAAUGUAUUAUAAAUGUAUUAUAUUAUAUAUAAUACAUAAUAUAAAUAUAUUUAUAAAUGUAUAUUAUUAUAAAUGUAUAAAUUAUAAAUGAAUAUUAUAUAAAUGUAUAAUUUAUAAUUUAUAAUUUUUAUAUAAAUAUACAUUUAUGCAUUUAUAAUACAUUUAUAAAUAUUUAUAAAUAAAUAUAUUUAUAUAAAAAUAUAUAAAUGUAUUAUAAAGGUAUUAUAUUAUAUAUAAUACAUAAUAUAAAUAUAUUUAUAAAUGUAUGAGUGUAUAUUAUUAUAAAUGUAUAAAUUAUAAAUAAAUAUUAUAUAAAUGUAUAAAUUAAUAUAUUAUAAAUAUAUAUUAAUAUUAUGUAUAAAUGUAUUAAUAUCAUUAAUAUAAAUGAAUAAAUGUAUUAAUAUUAUGUAUAAAUGUAAAAUUAAUAUUAUGUAUAUUAAUAUAAAUGUAUAAAUGUAUUAUAUUAUAUAUAAUACAUAAUAUAAAUGUAUAUUAUAAAUAUACAUUAAUAUAUAUAUUAUGUAUAAAUGUAAAUUUAUAUAAAUGUAUAAUAUAUAAAUAUUUAAUAUAUAUAAUAUACAUCAAUAUUAAUUAUAAAUAUUAUAAUAUUAUAAAUAUGGUGUUUAUAUAAUAUUUCAAUUUGUAAUAUUUAUUGUAUAUUUCAUUAUAUAAAUAUUUAUAAAAUAUAUAAUAUAUAUUUUUCAAUUUGUAUAAUAUACAUAAUAUUGUAUAUAUAAUAUAAUAUAAUAUAUUAUACAUAAUAUACAUUUAUACAUUAUUAACUAUUAUGUAUAUUAUAUAUUAUACAUAACAUUAUUAUACAUUAUUAUACACAAUAAUUUACAUAAUAAUAUUAUACAUUAAUAAUGUAUAUAUUAUAAUAUAAUGUACAUAAUAUAUUAUGUAUAAAUAUUUAUACAUUUAUGUAUACAAUAUUACAUAUUUUGUAUAUUAUAUUAUAUUAUGUAUAAUAUACAAUAUUAUGUAUAAUAUUAAUGUAUAUAAAUAUUUAUAUAAUAUAUAAAUAUAUAAAUAUAUAAUUUUCAAUUUGUAUAUUUCAAUUUAUAUUAAUAUAAUAUAUAUAUUAAUGGUGUUUUUGGAAUUAUUUUGGAAAUACACAUUUAAUGUAGCAUUUGGAAUGUGAAAAAUAGUUUUUCAAAAACAGAAGCAAAAACAAGGAAUCCAAACGGAUCCCACACUUUUUCUAACAAAUCCCUCUCAUAAACCUUACCAAAGCUUACCCUUUCUACUUUAAAGAAAGAACCAUGGUUUGCUAUGUCUUUUCAUUUUUUUAACAAAUUAGUGGCUAAAUACCAGAAAAAUAUCCUGAAUUUUGUUUAGUUCAAAUUUUGGUACUAUUUUUUUAGUGUUAAUUAUUGAAAUUCUAUUGCGUGAAUUUUUUUUCUAACAAACAAAUAAAGUAUGUAAAUUUUUCAAGUGGUUGCAUCUAACAAUUUUGAAGUCAAAGGAGAUCGGUAGAAAUAUGGGGUAUUUUUGAAAGUUCAAUAAUCAGUAAUGGUCAAAGCCUGACAAAUGCACAUGGCCCUUUUUUUUUUCAUGGACCGGCUGUCCCUAGCCGUGCCCAAUCAGCACGGCAGGGGAUAGGCUGAUUUUUUUAAAAAAAUUUUCGCCGCUGAUCGCACUGAAAUUUUUGCAAAUGCUCUGACCGGCUGACACCAUUUGCCUGGGAAGGGAAAGUUCAGUUUGCUGCCGUACUAAAUCAGCACAGCAGGUAUAGAUUGAAAAAUACCCUGUGUCAGAGCUACAUUUGACAGAUUUUUUUUAUAUACAUAUAUUCUAAGAAAUUAGCCUACUAUUCAUCCUCCCAUUUUUUUUCUUUUCUUUCUUACUAAAAACUCACAAACAAAAGAAAAUCAGACUUUAUCUUCUCUCCCUUUCUUUUCAGUCCAAGCCCUCAACUCCCAAAGGCACCCUUAUAUUAGUUCCGUUUGGAUUAGCUGUUUUUUGAGGUGUUUUUGAAAAAUUUUACUAUAAUAGUGUAUAUAAAUUUUUUUUUGAAAUAUUUAAUAUAUUGUAUGGAUGAGAUGUUUUUUUAGUUAUUGUGUAACACUGUAACAUUAUAUUUGAAAAACUUAGGGUUUGUUUGGAUUGCUUCAUAUUUUCCCAAUUUUAUUUGCUUACAUCAUCUUUACAAUUUCCAAUACACCUUUUUAUCUUCCCAAUAUCUUUUUAUCUCACAUACAUCACAUCACAAAAAGUGCUACAGUAAAAAUAUCUCAAAUAAUCCCAAAUAACUUACAAUCCAAACAGACCCUUAUUUUAGUAAAAAUACCCAAUACUAGGAUUUUGGAUGAUUUGUUAAUAUAUGGAAGGCAAUUUAUUGCUUAAUAGUAGGAUUUUGGUAUAAAUUAUGAAAAACAAUACGAUAUAUUGCACCAUUAAUGUUUAAUUUCUAACGAUUGACCAAAUUAUGACAUUUGAUUUUUAAUAACUUACUUAUAACACAAAGCACAAGAGAAGUUCUACGAUGCAAUUAGGAGGAGGUACUAGCAAAUAAAACAACAGCUACCCCCAAUCAAACUAUUAAAGUUCAAGCCAGGUCGUAUAAGCACAAUUAGCGCAAAUCUUCAACAUCACGUGUUAGAUACUUGGAUAUAUCUAUGAAAUGUACGGACCUGUUUGGCACCCUAGUUUUUUACCAAAUUUUUUACCUACUAAUUUUUUAAUAAUUUUUGCUACAGAAAUCCAAAAAAUUUCCCAAAAUUUUUUAUCUACACACUUCAAAAAUCUAUACACACAAAAUUCCUCAAAAACUUUUCUUUUUCCCUCACCCAACCCACCACACCAGCCACCACCUCCAUCAUCUCUCCCGGCGCCGGUAACCUCACAAAAAAUUUCUCUAAUUAAACCUCAAGUUUUGAUUUUGUCCGCUUCAAGCGCCGGAAGAUUCAGUCCGCUCUGAAACAACCAACAAAAAGUUCAUAUCUCACCAAUUCUGCUCACUCUCUUUGAGCCUUCUCUCCCUGCCGUCACAGCAUGAAUUUUAAUGAAAACCAUUUUAAUGAAAUGAAAAAUUAGCAGAGCUACCCAAAAAAAAGAAAAAAAACCCAAGAAAAUUAAUACUAGGAUUUUAGGAGGAGCAACAAAUACAAAAGAGAAAACAAAUCAUCAAGAAGAAGAAGAUGGAGGAGCCCAAAAGUACUUUUCCCAAGCAACGAAGGAACAAGACUCUGAUCAGCAGAAUGGGCAAAGCCGGGGGUGGUGGAGGGAUUGGAGUUGGAAUUAUUUUCUUGGGCGGAGCAGUAGCCAGUGCUACUGCAGCUUUCCUCAUCAAGAGGCGGCUCCAAAAGUCCACCAGAAAUAUCAAGAAUUGCAGCCAUGAUCCGUCAACUCCAUCCGCUGAGAUUCCUUACAAAUUGCUGGAGGACAAAAACACAAAUCAAGCCAAGGGCCUAAAGUUUAUUGCUCGCGAUUCAAAUUCUCCUGCAUGUACGGAUACGUAUCAAAACUUGAGGUUUGUAAUUGCCGAAAGAUCCUGGUGGGGGGAGGGAGAGGGAGGGGGGAGAGGAGAAAAGCAAAAAAGAAAAAAAAAGAAAAAGAGCAGAGGUAGUACUGACAGAGGUGCUGGAGGUGGGAGGCGAACGGGAAGUGGGAGGGGAAAGGAAGAAGAAGUAAAGGAGAGGAAAGAAAAGAAAAAGGAAAGAAAGAAAAAGAAAAAGAAAGAGAAAGAGAAAAAAAAAAGUUUUUCGCUUCAUAAAAAUUUCUACAAAAUUUUUCACAUUCUAAAAACUUUUGUAAAAUUUUUUUAAAAACUUAUACAAUACACUAUAGUAAAAUUUUAGACAAACUCUUAAAAAACUCAGGUUCAAACAGACCGUAGUUUCGUGGAAUUAAACUUCUGCAAAUAUGAAUCAAUUAUUAAAUAAAAGAAAUAAAUUGAUUUACUUUUUGUGCCCUUAUUGCUAUCAUACUUACCUAUUCCCUGUAAUUUGCUAGACUUGAUUAGAUUUAGAAGCAAGUAAAACAACGUUCUCAAUCGCGAGGAAGAAACCAUUCGAUCAUCAAAAAGAGCACGCCCAUAAGAAUUCCACACAAUAUGGAUUCAAAGAUCCGACAACUCAAGGAACAGAAGAACGCACUAGAAUUUAUUUAAUAUGGUAAAUCACAGAUCACCAUAGAUUCAUAUAUCUAGGUAUAAUCAAUCACAGAUCACCAUAGAUUCGUAUAUCUAGGUAUAAUCAAAGGCGUAUUUACAUCUCCAAGUUCAUAAAAAACAAAGAAAUCAGAAGAUCAACAUUUGAUAAUCACAGCCGAUGACGAUGACGAUGACGAUGAUAUUUAUGAUCUUCAGUCUUCGUUCUUAAUAGGAUCUUCAUAGUUGGGAUCAUUUACGUCGAGAGCUUCUUUGGGGAUCCGUCCUAGCUCAACAUCAGAGUAACCGUCACCGGACCACGUGAACUUGCCGCCAUGGCCACCUUUCUUCGGCGAUCCAUUCAUGCCUGUAGCCGAUUUCCUGUCUCUCCUGAUCUCCUGACCGUUGCCGGCCUUCACAUUUGUCUUGGAGCUUUUGCCGGAAUUCCUCAUCUGUCUCUCUCCACUCGUGGCUCUUCUGUAGCUACUCUAUCAAUUGAAGCGAGUGAGAACAGGAAACCCAGGUUGGCAGAAUUUAUAGGAAGCUGGGGUGGUUUGUACAUUGGGAGCGGUAUUUUAAUCGCGACCUUGUGGGCUGAUCAUGUAACGUGACAGCGACCGUAACAAAUGGAUAAGAACGGACUAUUCUUUCUUUUUUUUUUCUUUUUUUUUUUUUUUGGGGGGGGGGGGGGGGUAUGGGAACAAACUCGUCGGUUUUCUUUACUAGCCAAAUCAAUGAUCAUACACUCACAUUAGCACAUUUGAGCAUUGGGCAGUGGUUGUUGGAAUUUAACAUUUUUUUAAAAAAUUUGAAAUUCUCAUUACUUGAUUAAAAUUUGUAAAUUUUAAAAAGAAAAUGCUGUAUAUAGCUACACCUUGCCAUUGGUUUUUUUUUUGUUCAAUAGAAAGGGUUUUGACUCAUUUCUUUUGUAUUCCUGCACAUCAUUACUCAACUAUGGCAUUCUAGCUUUAAUGUAAACCCUUUGGCUUUGGUACAAAUAAACUAUAGGUCAAUUAGAACUCCACCAUAACCCAGAGAGAAGGGUCUUCACACGCUUUGACCAGGACAAGAAGCUGGAUAUACAAAACGGAAUUGAUGUAAAUUUGCAAUGAUUAUCGAUGAAUGUACCAGUGCCUAAAGAAUUUUUUACGAAUUUUUUUUGUGAAAAAAAAGAAUAACAAAAAACUUAUCCCACCAGUUUUUUUUUUUUUAGUUAUUAAUGUACAUAUUUAAUGCAUUUCCUUCAUGACAUUGAUGUUAGACCAAAUUGUUAUUCUUGACUUGUACCCAAAGACACUCACAAUAAGUCAAGUCCUGAUAUUGGAACUUCUUAUAUAUUUGAAAAAAUAAAAACUUUAGGAAAACAGUAAUUGUUUGCUUAACUUCUGCUAUGCAAAUGAAUCGUUUACUAUUUUCUACAAACAUUCCCUUAACUUCUUGUACCAGUUUGCUGGUUAAUUAUUUCACUCAAAGCCCUGCUCCAGAGAUUGUUAAACUCAAAAUGACUGAGGGCCUCGGGCAGCAUGGAAACCAAUGCCAGUAUAAUUAAUGGAGUUCAGAAAUAAUACCUAUUUAAUGGAGUUUGUUUGGAUAGGAAGAUUUGCAAAAAAAAUUAAAAUUAAAAUUUAUUCUAUUUACAUCAUAAAUAUAAUUUUCAAUUAUCUUUUUAUCUCGCAUGCAUUGCAUCACAAAAAAAGUGCUAUAAUAAUUAUUUUAAAUAACCUCAUAUCUCAAAUGCAUCACAUCUCAAAUGUAUCCCAGUCGCUUUCAAUUUGAUUCGCGAUUAUAGUAUUGAAAAAACAUGGCACGAAUCGAAUGGAAGAAAAUGAGAAUCGUCCUAUUGUCAAUAAUUAUUCACUCUCUUUUUCUUCCCCAUCACCCUUCAAUUUUUUCACGAGGAGCAGAGGCGGAGGCAAGUGUAACUGAGGGUAGGCAAUUACCCCAUCUUCCCCUCCCCCCUUCCCCGGGCAACAAACCUCCUCUUCAAUUUUGAGAUAUUUUCUUUUCAAGCUUAGAAUUUUUGAAAAAUUUUAAGUUGUUCCUUAUUUGAACCCCUUGAAAUUUUUCAAAAUUUCAUUUUUAUCUACUUUGCCCCGAUAUUUGUAUAAAAAUCUCUUUCUUAUCUAUAUUGUCUCCCUAAAGAACUUUUAAAUAUUUAUUUUUCAUUUACAUUGACUGCUCUUAAUAAAUUAAAAAUUUUUAAUUUUUACACUUCACAAGAAGUUGGAUAUAAUUAAAAUUAGUUAUUCAUGUAAAUUUAACAAUAAACUCUGUUAACGUUUCCAAACUACCACUACAUUGUAGUACAAUUUAGAUAUCAAAAUAUAAUUGACAUAAUGAUAAAAAUGUAUGCUUAACAUAAAUGCCUUUUAGUUAUAAAUUUACUAUAACUACAAUUGAUGUGGCGUCAAAAAUUGAAAUCUCAAAUCCUAGGGCCCUAAUUCUGAGCAAGGUGGGGCUUCAAAUCUUUUAUUCCCAAAGUAGUCUCUGUCCCAUCUGUCUCUUAUUUGUACAGCUGACACGUGUCUCUAGCAUUUUGUUAACCCAAACUUAAAUAAAUCGAUAAUAAUCAGUUUAUAAGUUUACUCAAAAUCAAUUAAAACCAUAGUUAUUAAACCCAAUCCGGGAAGGAACCCGGCGAAGGAGGUGGGUCAACGGGUUACUGGUUGAACCGGUGGGUGAGUGGUUGAACCGGUGGGUCACUACAUAUAUUUAAAUAUUAUAUUUCAUAAUUAUUUAUAUAAGAUAUAUGAUAUAAAUUGUAAUAAAUAAUGUCAUAACAAAAGCUCAUUUAAUUUAAUUUGUUAUAAAAUAAUUAAUUCAUAUAAGAAUCAAUCAAAUAUAAAGUUAUUUAUUAAUAUACCAAUCUUCAAGUGUAAAAUUUUAUCUAUAUUUAGUGUAAUUAUCUAGCUUAUUUAUGAAUUUUAAGUGUAAAAAUUUAUUAAAAAUAAUAUUUGUCUUUAAAUGAAUUAUGUAAUAUGUUAUUUUUGGAAUCCAUUUUAUAACUUAUAGAGUUUGGAGGGUAAUAAAUUUUUAUUAAAAGAUUCCAAAUAAAUUUGUUUUAGAGAAAAAAAGAUAGAAUUGAAAAAACAUUUAUAUAUCAUACUAAAGCUACUAUAUCAAUAUAUUUGGAAGUGGUUUGGUGGUAAGCAAGCGGUAGUGUGAGGGCAAAGGUCGGAAGUUCGAGUCCCAACAAUAGCAAUAUAAUUUUUCCACAAAAUCCGGUUAGUGACAAAACCGGCCAAAACCGGCCGGGUUUCCGGUUUAACCCAGUUCGACCGCCGGGUCGUUGACUAAGUCAACGGUCUGUGUGCACAAACGAUCUGAUUCCAAACCCGGCCCGGUCCAAUGACCGGUCCACCGGUUUGACCGGUUCGACCGCGCGGGCCGGGCCGGGUUUAAUAACAAUGAUUAAAACAGAUAACUCAAAACUUUUUUUAUUUUCUUUUUUAACAAAAAAGAGUCUUGUUGAUCAUAAACAUAGAAAUCAACUGAAACUCUUCUUUAUUUUUUACUCCAAAUCAACAAGACUCUUUAUUGUUAAAAAAAAAAUUUUAAAAAGUUUUGAGUUAUCUGUUUUAAUUGAUUUUGAGUAAACUUGUAAACCAAUUAUUAUCGAUUUAUUUGAGUUUGGGUUAGACACGUGACAGCUGUACAAAUAAGAGACAGAGGGGACAGAGGAUUUGAAGCCGCAAGGUGGCUUUCCCGUGAUCCUUCAAUUGUUCCAUAAGAAAUAGUUAUGCUCUUUGCAUGUUUUAUAAUAGCUAUACAAUAACUAUACAACAUAUAAUGCCUAAGUCACAGUUGUUGGUGUAAAAUGCCUUUGGUCAUCUUUUAAACUUUCUAUUUUAUCCUUAUAAAGAUUAAUCUAUACGAUACAAUAUAUAAUGCUUGAGUAAUGAUAACUGGCGAAAAUUUUUUGUUGUCUUUUAAACUUUCAAAUUUGUCCUUAUAAAAAUUAAAUUUUAUUAUAAUCACCUAAUUACAUUUUGCUAAUAUAACCCCUCAUAACCACCAUAAAAUAUUGUAACUACCAAAUUAUUGUAAUCGUAUAAGCCAAAACUUUUUUUCAUGAAAAUUUUAUGCAAAGUUUUUGUAUGCAACAAACAAAAAUUUAUACAAAUUUGAUCUAUUUUAAUUAUUCCCGAAUUCCGCACACAUGAGGUGUGCCCUUAAUGCGAGUUUAUGAUAAUUGCAACUCCACUGUCUAUCAUAUUUAUUACAUUUGCCAGAAAAUUCUUCUGGUGAUAAGAAAAAAGUUGUUUAAAAGUGGCAGCAACGAGUUAAGAGUGAUAUGUUUCACUAGGUGCCUAAUUAAACAGGGAAUAAAUAGAUUUUUGGAAGAUAAUUGGUUGACAUCAAUGAAUUCAAUAUCCAAGAAGCUUAUUCCUGAUAUGUGGGCUAGCAACUGUUAAUGUGGUCCUCAAUAUAUUCUGUUUAUUUUCGUUAUUUUUGGGUUGUUGGGAAAUAUUUAUUAUAUUGAUUUGCUUCUUAUCAUGGACUAAAGUUUUGGUUUAGAAUAGAUUUUCUUUUUCCUCAUUUAGAUCCAUGGACUAAAUUGAAACUAGUCAGAGCACCUAGUUAAACUGCAAAAUCAAGGACUAAAACUAAUUAAUUCUAUAUCCCUAUUUACCCAAAGCCAAUAAAAAAAAAACCCCAUUUACUUAAAUUUUUUUGGUAUAAUUUAACAAAAAUAAAAUUUUCUGGGUUAAUUAGUUAUUAUAACGACUUAACGUGCCAAAAUCCGGUCCAACGAUCCAAGACACCCGUAAACUACCGAACCCGGUUGAUUGGCUGACAUGGCCAAUCGUGAUUGGAGGUAACCCCCACGCAACAGCACCUCUCCCGACCACUCCCAAAACCCUACCGUUCGUCGAAUGGUAAAAGGGGGAAUAAAAAUAGAAAUUUCCAAAACCUCUCAACAAAUACAAAGGAGAAAGCCGAGGAAAGUAUAAUGACCGCUGCGUUGUAUGCCUACUUAUUUCCGACGGCGGCCUCUCCCUCCCAAUUUGCUCCUCCCAAGCUUCUCUUCUCUUCAAAAUUCUCUCAAAUCCCUCCUCAUUUCUCCCACCUUUCAACCCGUGAGUCUCUCUUCUUCUUCUCUCCAAACGUUUUGCAUCAGCUCUUACACUUAUUUUUAUCUCGUAUGACUAUUGUUUUAGUUGUUUAAUUAUCCUAAAAUAUAAGAUAAUUUAGUCAGUUACUUGUAAUUAUUGAAAUACCAAUGCUUUUUAUCUGCUAGGAAGACGUGCACUUUUUACUACUCCAAUUUAGUAGUUUAGAAAGAGCUGCUACUUUUAGUUUUAUGUUCGAUUAGAUUCAAGAGUUACUGAUGCAAAUUUGGGUAGCAUGGCGUGUGCAAUGUACUUGAUUUUCGCUACGUCAUACAGCUGCAAUUCUGUGGCUUAAUUAUUGGUGCUUUGGUGGGUGCAUUGGUUUGUUGGAGAGAGUUGUGUCUUUCUAAAAUGAGGUCGUGUGUUCUUGGGCAGCAGCUCUUUUUUAUUACGUUUAUGUUUCCUUUCUUUUUCAAUUAUCUUUGAAACUGAAACCUUUUAGACGUUUUUAGUUUUCAAGGGAAAAAUGAAAAUUAGCAUUGUUGAAGUGGUUUUAAAAUAAUGGUGGGGGGAUAAUAUGUUGAUGAAAUCAACAUAUAAUAGACGCUUGACAGGUUUGUGGUUAUUUGUCUGUCACUUGAAGAUAAUAUGUUGAUGAAUUGAGAAUUUUUGAGUCAUUGUAUUCUUUUUGAAUGAUUUAGAAAUUAAUUUUUAUGGGAUGUUUGAUAUCGUUACUUGUUCUUUGUGCUAACCUGUUAUUUUGGUGUGGUUAUUGUGAAACUAGACAGGUAUUCUGAGAACAGCUAGUAGGCCUUUCUCUGUGGCAAAACUGCAAUCUGUAUCAUCCAUGGCAGAGGUAAUUUUUCAUUAGUAUGUGCAACAUAAAUGACUACACAGUCACAGAAAAGACUGCAUAUAUUGAUAGGUGUUUGCUUUUGGAGAAUGUGACAUUUAAUAUGACAGUUCACUGAGCUGGGUAGGAAAAUUGGGGAUUUUUGAUCAACAAUUUGGAGAACUUAAGGUAGUGGUUGGUAGCCUGUAUGAUUUAGAUGUAAUCCAUAUGCACACUUACUGAAUGGAGGCUAGUGCAAAAAAGAUUGGCUUAUACCCAUCUCUGCACCUUGAUAUGUGUUUCCUUUGGAGGAUUUGACGUUCAGCAUUAUACUUCACUGUGCAGGUUAUGGAGAGAGUAGGGAGUGUUAAGCAACAAUUACAGAGACUAUUUGGAGAAGCCUUCAGAGAUAAAUUUCCUGAUGAGUUAGAUAUAGUUCCUAUUAUUACUCCUUGCAAAGAUCUAAGACACGGCGAUUAUCAAUGGUAUGCAAAAGCUUCUCAUAUUCACAAAUGGUGUAUUAGAUUGUCUAUGGAUGCUAAUUGAUUGGUUUUGCAUUGAAAUGUUGGUCUGUUGUGUGUGAAAUUACAACAUUUCCAUGCCUAGAAUCUUUUUGCAUAGCAUUUGUUCCCUGCAAUGCUGAUUGAGGAAACUAUUCUUUUGGUCCAGCAAUAAUGCAAUGAGCUUAUUUGCGAAAAUUAAAGGCAGAGUUCCUGAAUUCAAGAAACCGCAGGCUGUGGGACAGGUAUUCAUGGUUUCAUUUUAGUAUCACCCAAAUCUAGAAUGACUAUUGUGACAUAAAAGUUAGGUCCUUUUAUUAAAGCAUGAAGAUUCAGUUGUUCUCAUUCCAUUUGUAGGCAAUCAUGGACAGUCUUCCUGAUUCAGAAAUGAUUAGGGGGUGCACAAUAGCAGGACCUGGCUAUGUAAACGUUACAUUGUCAACAGAAUGGAUGGCAAAGGUAUUUAGCCUUUCUUAAUUUCACCAAGUGUUGUCAGUAGUUUUAUGUUUCAUAUGGAUACUAAAUGUUCCCAAAUUUGCAUUGCUGUGUAAUUAUUGCUGGAUGGGUAGAAACAAUAAUAAGUGAUAAUAUUGGCAAUGAUGAUAAUAAUGUUAUCAUUCUUCCUGCAGAGAAUUCAUAAUAUGCUUAUUGAUGGUGUUGAAACAUGGGCGCCAGAACCUCCAGUCCAAAGGGCAAUAGUUGAUUUUUCCUCACCUAACAUAGCAAAAGAGAUGCAUGUUGGGCACUUAAGAUCUACCAUUAUUGGAGACACACUGGCCCGUAUGCUGGAGUUUCAAAAUGUUGAAGUUUUUAGGAGAAACCAUGUUGGUGACUGGGGAACACAGGUUAUGGCAAUUUUGGCUACAUGUCUAAUUUUCCACUUGGUUCUUUUACUUUUGCCUUGUGGCCAAUGUGAUUUUCGGCAUUUUUUGAUUUGUUUACAUCUAUUAGUUUUGCUUCUUAUUUGCUCUACCUUCAAAGUAUUAAUUGUGGAAAAUCUAGAGAUCUGUUUUUUGGUUGUUCGGAUUGGAGAUGUCCAUGGAUCGUAGUCUCCUUGGUAUUAUUUGUUUGUCAUUUUGCUAUACCUUUUUAGAUGGUUUCCACCCAAUCUAUUUUCCCAUCUUUUACCUUAUAGGAACGGUGUAAAAGUAGGCAGAUUGCGCAAGGGGGUUUCACUUGUCACAAGCAGUCUGAUAGGCUUGGUUAUUUGUUUAUAUUAUCUGUUAUCCACGAACCUAACUUGUCACAUUAGUUUGUAUUAAUAUAGCUCUGUAAGCGACUUCACAAAUUAAGUUCCAUCUCCUGUCCUGCAUGAUGUAUUUCUACUGAUGUGACAAUCAUGUGUGAUCGAUUGUGACCAACUCUUUGGUUACCCCAUUUAUUUGAAUCCUAUUUUUUAUUAUUUGUUUUGCAGUUUGGCAUGCUGAUAGAAUAUCUAUUUGAAGAAAAUCCUAACUGGGAGGCUGCUCCAACUGAAGCCAUUGGAGAUCUACAAGUGAGUGCAAGAUAAAAUAUGACUAUUCAUGAUUUUUUACUUGUUUCAUAUUAUUCUGUUGAGAGGUGGUAAAUAUUUUCAAGGAAUGGCUUGCUUUUAUAAUGCAUUUGGGUACACAGGUCUUAUUGAAUUCAUUUUUUAAUAAAAGAAUUUAUCUGGGAAAAUAUUCAACUUCUACUAUUUAUGUUGUUUCCUCCUCAGGACAGUAGGUGGGUACUAUGAUGCAGAUGGAAAUUCACGUUAUUUUAAAUGCACUUGUUUAGCAGAUUCCUGUUGGUUCGUGAGUCUUUGUAGCUGUUCAAUUUUACAAAACACGAUCAUCUGAUGUCUAUUAAAUUGUUACCAUUUUCAGGAAUUUUAUAAAGAAUCAAAGAAGAAAUUUGAUGCCGAUUCUGAUUUUAAAGAGAGGGCCCAGAAAGCAGUAGUCAGUCUUCAGGUGAAUCACCUCAAUUUUGUAGUUGAAGCUUCAGUAGUGCGUGAUUUUGAUGUUCAUAAAUCCAUUCAUGCUAAAGGUUUUUGUAUUCCUUCGUUUGUUUGUUUGAGGAUUCAGGUUAUCAAUAUAUUGAAGUUGAUUUAGUGGUUGUCCUUGUUGGCAAUUCUAUUGUCAUGCUGUAAGUUAAUUUUUGUAACAGGGAGGAGAAGAGAAGUAUCGGAAGGCAUGGGCACAGAUCUGUGAAACUAGUCGAAGGGAAUUUGAUAAAGUUUAUCUGCGGCUAGGUAUUAAGUUGGAGGAGAAGGUAUGGAAUGGAAUGUUUGCAGUUUUGUAGCUUUACAUGAUGAAACGAACACUAAAUAAGCAAUGUAUGUCUUGCAUUCCAGUUGAGUGUUUGAGAAGUCUCUUUCCACUGGCCUUUGACUGCCUAGGUUUGAUCAUUUUCUAAUGCAAUUUGGUCUCUACAACUUAUGGGUCCUGUACUUUUUGUGAUUCAACUAGGUGUUUUUAAAUUGGGACACAUGUAUAAUAUAUUGACAAUGACAAAUGGUCGUCUAGGAUGAAUACACUUUGUGACCUGGUUUUCACAAAGGCCACUCUUUAUCUGUAUGUAUUGUUAAUCAUUUUUCUAUCUUCCAUCAUAAUGACAACAAACAUGAGGGAGUACUCGAGUCCUGGAAUAUACAGGAGGACAAAUAUGCAGUUUUAGUUAUAUUGGCUUGUAAAUGCCAAUGGAGAGGAAAGGGAGGAAAACUGUGGGUGCUUGUCUCGAAUAUGGGAGACAUCUCUGUCUCCCAUAUUUGAUCUUUUUAAAAAAAAAUUUUGUAUGCUUUAGUUAAUAGUUGAUGACUAAGCCAGAAUGCAUUAUACUUGGUAUUUUGUUUAAAUUCUAAUGAUUGUGCCUUCGGAAUUAUGUACACAAUAGCUUAAAAAUGCAUUAGUUUUUAAAUUGGGAAGUUUUGCAUAUGUCUUAGUUGACUUGGAGUGUGUAGGGACUAGUGUAGUCUUUGUUCUUGACUGUGCACAUGCCCAGGUUUAUUUAUCUCUUCUCUCUUCUUAUUAGGGGGAAAGCUUUUAUAAUCCAUAUAUCCCAACGGCUUUAGAGCUAUUGAGUAAAGAGAACUUAAUUGAAGAAAGUGAAGGUGCACGCGUUAUCUAUGUUGGCGGGAUCACAAGACCUCUUAUUGUUGUGAAGAAGGAUGGUGGUUACAACUAUGCUUCAACUGAUCUUGCUGCUUUGUGGUUUGUUUUCACUUUUUGGAUGUGUUUGUUAAUGGGAUUAACAUUCACUGUCUACUUUUCUUUUAAUAGUAUUGUAGAUCAACUGUUUUAUGCAUUGCAUGUGGCUGAACUUUUUUAAAAAAAAAGUGUGUUAUACAUAUAACUACUUAUAUAGAUUUUUUGACAGAGUAUAAUAUGGAUUAAAUUAUCUUGUAUGAUUAUUUUGUUAUUGAUUUGUGAGUUUGUCACAUUGCCCAUAUUAGAUGACUUUUGCUGCUCGUCAUUGUCUUGCAAUUUCGUCUGUGUUCUUAUAGGCAUAGACUUGAGAGGUUUAUUUUUCCAAAAAGUGAAAGAAGUAUGAGGGUCAAAUUUGAAAAACUAGUUAAUCAAUCCUGGAUACCUUAUUCUUGUAAGUUCUUGGAAUCUCUGUAGGUGAAUACAUGCUGGUCAAGCAUUAGUUUAAAACCACAGAUUAUUCAGUCUGUAGCUAAAUCUGGAAGUCUGGAAAGAGUAGCCGUGGCUACGAGCUCAAAAUACCUGCUUUACAUGACUGAAAUAUGCCACCAUUCUAUAUAUAUUUGUCACAUAAGAGAAUCUAGACAAGAUUACUUCGAAUGCAUUUUUAAUCAACCUUUGCGUGCACUGUUUGGUUGCUUCUGCCUCAAUUAUCAAGCAACUAUGUUAAACCAGACUCGAGUUAGCCCUGCUGUACCUGUGUCCUACUCUUCAUUUUGCACUAGAGUAGCUGUUUUUUGGGGGGGGCGCACCCAUACCCAAGUCCAGGAACAUAGUCAAGCUAGCUAACAUAUUUGAUAGUGGCUAGUAUGCGAUUUGCCUAAUAGUGCACUUAGUGUGAACAAUGAUUUUCGGCCUGUUCAUAAGAUGUUGCAAUUUAUUACCAUUGGUGCAUGAGAACGUGAUUAAGAAAGGACUGUUCUGUGUCAUCCUACCUAGCCCUAGACCCCUGAUGAGGAAAUUAUUAAGAUGAGGAGAAAGUUCAUAAGCUCCUAUUUAGUUGGCAUCUUUCAAACAAAUAAUGCACGUAUUAACUUCAAAGUUAAUCUCUUGUGAAAUGUUACCUUUACAAGGUUUUGUAUACUAAAUGUUAGGGGAUUCAUCCCUUUAUAACGGAAAUUUGCCUAAAAUUGCAUUGAUUCUUCUUCCUGCUAUCUUUCCUCUGUGAUUUGGCAUGCCAUGCUCCUAACCAGAGUUGCCACCUGCUUACAAUUUUAACUAAUGAUGUCAAGAGCAGUUCCAGAACUAUCAUUUGGGCAAGGUUGGGGUUUUGUCAGGGGUGGUGUAAGGAGGGGUGGAGGCCCAGGUGCUAGGUCCUGCUGCAUAUUUCUUAUGUGUCUUUUUAUGCUGUGAUGUUUCAUAGCCCAAGAGAAGCAGGUUAAAUGCAAAUUGUUUGCCAUUAUAAUGGCGUUAAGCUUUUGCUUCAAGUGUCAAAAGGCAUGAUAGUGAGGGUAGGUUAUUUGAGAGUAAAAAAAAAAAGAAUUUGGCUUGUACCAUGCCCUAUAGAUUAUAAUUCAGAAAGACUGUUUUCUCUAACAUUUAUUUGAUGACUACCUAUAAAGAGAUAGGCAUUGAAAUUUUAUAUUGGUGUCUUAAUUUACAUGUGACUUUUAGUAGUAGGAAUAUUUGUCUAAUUAUUGAGGUUUUCUGCCUGCAAUUUGUAGGUAUCGGCUCAAUGAAGAAAAAGCAGAAUGGAUCAUAUAUGUAACUGAUGUUGGCCAGAGGGAGCACUUUGAAAUGUUUUUUGCUGUAAGUAAUUCAUAUCCCGAUAGAUGCUGCAUCCCACCCCCUAACCCUGGAAAGGAAAAAAUUUAUUUGUUUGAUCGGUUGAUCUUUGUGCAAUUAUCUUCUAUUCUAGGCUGCCAGACGGGCAGGUUGGCUUCCAGCUGAAGAAGAUAAGUAUCCCAAAGUCAGCCAUGUGGGUUUUGGUCUUGUUUUAGGAGAAGAUGGAAAGAGAUUCCGUACGCGAGCUACUGAAGUUGUUAAACUAGUUGAUUUACUUGAUGAAGCUAAGAAUCGGUGUAAAGCAACUCUGAUUGAAAGAGGUAAGGAUGUUAUCGAUGAACUGUUUUUCUUAAUAUGUGACCUCUCAGGCUACUUUUGGCACAUAUCAUGCUCGAGUUUUGUCAAUGCCUCCUUUCUACUCCACUUUCACCCUGUAAGUAUCUGAAUAACCUUUAACUCCUUGAACCAUGAUAAAUGUUUGAAUAUUGAUCAGGCAAAGCUGAGAAAUGGACUGGGGAGGAGCUUGAGCAAACUGCUGAAGCUAUUGGAUAUGGGGCUGUAAAGUAAGUUCCUAUUGCUUGUCCACUUGUUUGUUCGCACUUUCUUGAAGUUUCCCCACUUCUAAGUUUUAUCUUAAUAGUGAUUUUGUUGGAUGUUAAUCAGGUAUGCUGACCUAAAGAACAACAGGUUAACCAACUACACGUUCAAUUUCGAUCAGAUGCUUAAUGACAAGGUGCGGCGCUUGAUUUCUUCUCUUAUGCAACCAGUAUUCAUGUUUUUCUUUAUAAUGCAUUUCUCCUUAUUCUUCCAAAGUUCUGCAUUCUUUGUUCAUUACAUCAAACAAGAAAUAGUUGGCUCCUCACCAAUAUAAUUUCUGAAUUGCAUAUUGUCACUUGAAGUCUUCAUGACUAUGCCUAUCAAUCUAAUUACCCAUCUUGUUUCUACAAGCCUCUGAUGCUUUUUUUUUUUUUUUAAAUAAAUCUUCUACCCUGUUACCAUACAUAUAGUAUUGCUUGUUUUUAUAUUGAACAGGGAAAUACUGCUGUCUAUUUGCUGUAUGCACAUGCUCGAAUUUGUUCAAUCAUCAGGAGAUCUGGUAGAGAUGUAGAGGAGUUGAAAAAGGUAGAGGUUCUUCUUCUUCUUCAUGCUUACAACAGUAGAGUAUUUGAAUUAUAAUGGUGAAUUUUCCAAUGUAUUCUUCUAUAUUCAAGAACCUUGAUCACGAAGUCAACUUUGGUGAUUAGCCAGUAUGAUUUUGUUGGAUUACAAAGUGGAAGAAGUGGUUUCCAAUGAUUUUACUCAAUAGUAAACACCCCAUCUGCAAUUCGUGUUUUGUGUGUUGUACACGUGUUCUGCACAUGUCUCUGCCUUGUCUGAUGAACGACUUGGUCUAAUGUACACAAAUUUUUUUGGAUUGAAGAGUAAAGUUCAGUCCUUAACUUAGAGGAAGAAGUCUAGAAGUUAAGAAUCAAGUAAUAAAUUCAGAGCCUUUGCUAACUCAGAGCCUUUGGAGUAGAAGUUUCAGAUUAGAGCUUUAUGGUGAUAAUCUGCGACUUAGAACUCAUAUGCUUUCUGCUCUUACUGUGCUAUCAGAUGAAUUGACUAUCCAUUUGGAUUUUUAUUUGUUGCUCUUUUUCUCUUCUUAUGAAAAAGUGCUUAUGAUGUAUUACAAGAAUGACAAUCUUUUUUGGAUUUAUUCAAAAGCCUAACCCUACUCUGUUUUGGAUAAAGCAAUGCAGCUUCUUUGAAAUUUUCAGUAUUUACUGAAAAUUGAACCUAGCCUUGGAUGACAGUCUUCUGUCUAUAAAAAAUCAACUAGGAGCCUGCCCGAGUAUUUUUUCAGGGAAUGGUGGCUCGAUGCUGAGAAAUAUGCUUUGCCUGGAAUGCUGGCUUCUUACAUCAUACUUCAUCUGUUUUGGGCAGGUUGGAACAGUUGAUUUGGCUCAUCCAGAUGAACGGGUUUUGGGGCUUCAUUUGCUACAGUUCCCAGAGGUAUGCCUCAAGACUGCAGAUUUUGCAAAAAUUUAUCUGAUUGAUAUAGCUUUUUUCACUUAAAAACAUGUUGCAUCUUGUUAAUGUGUUCCUUUUUCACAUUGCAGGUGGUUGAAGAGGCAUGUACAAAUAUGUUGCCAAACAUUUUGUGUGAAUACCUGUACAAUUUGUCUGAAGACUUCACAAAAUUUUAUACGAACUGUCAGGUAUGGAGCCCAUAUAAUGAUGAGAUGAAGAGGAUAAAAUUGGAAGAUAAUGCUUGUCUUAAUCUCAAAUGGCUUCAAUGAGUACCUUGCAUGUUUUAUGGUUUCGAAGUUGUUACAGGCGUUUGAUUUGAAUUUGUCCUGGUGAAAAAUCUGUAGGUGGUUGGGUCACCACAGGAGAUCAGUAGACUCUUGCUUUGUGAGGCAACUGCAGUUGUCAUGCGAAAGUGCUUUUUUCUGCUGGGAAUUACACCUGUCUAUAAAAUUUGAUACCUUGAGAGAUACAUUUGCCGACCUCUAAUUUGUGGAUUGUUAUACAAAGUUUGUACCUCACCGUGGCAUUUUUUUUUUUUACGUGAUGAUUAUAUUCUAGGAUAAGACGAGCCUUUUGCUCCUAUCUAAUGAAAGCAGUUUUAAAAUUUUUUGGAUUGAUUUCUACGAGUUACUGUCUGUAAAAUUUAUACCUUGUGUUCCAAUAAGCUUGUGCAAUUUGUCGCAUUGCUGUUUGUCACUGCGGUUGUUUAAUACGGAAGCGAGUUUGAGAUCCGGUACGUAAAUGUCGAAGUAAACUAGGGCUUCCCAUAUGGGGGUGGUCUAGGGGCUUCAUUAGCAUAUGUAGAUUGGAGUAAACCAAAGAAGGUAAAUAUAUCGAGCAUUAUGAGUAGGCAAUUUUGCAUAUGAUUCUGAAAAGCAUAAUAGUUAAGACUUAAGACUCUUGGUGGCCUUAGCUGCUGGGGUCUGAGGAUAUUGAACUCCCGGGAAUAAAUUCUCAAAAAGCAAAAAAAAGAAGAGGAGGUGGGGGGCCGGGGUAGGGGGAGUGGGUUUUGAUUAUUCUCCCUGAAGGCAACGGAGGCACGAGGUGGAAAACGGGUGGCGCGGUUUGAUACGAAACUGAUUGAGCAGCUGGCAAACGAAAAAAUUGAGAAGCUGUCCGGGCCCCCCUUGUCCGUUCUGGAGGGCCCCUAGGCCUGAGCUAUCUGUUCCAUCGCUGAAGUCCUUCUGAGCAGGGCAGUAAACAGAAUUAGCAAUUCCGUAGCAACUUUUGCUAUGGAUUUUCUGAAAGAUGAAUAAUUUCUCUUUUGUAAACCAGGCAGUAAAACAGAGUUAAUGAUAUCAUAGCAACGUUUGCUGUGGAUUUUAGAAUGUAAAGUUGGAGCGAUUUUUUCAUCCUGUGGAUCGAAUAUGCGCCACAGGGAACGAAUUGGGCAGGUACGCGAUCACCGUACUUGAUUCAAAAGGUGGUUUGUGUGGACGGGCAAAGUUAUUUUGAGUAGUUUCACAGUGCUCAAAUUUCACUUUUAUCAGGCCACACGCAGGCCGCUAGACUAUUGUACCUGUUUAUUUCUUUUUUUUUUUUCGUUUUUUUUGGGGGGGGGGGGGGGGUGUUGGAUCCACAUUUUAACGGCAGAGCAAGGGAAUACCUAGUUAAUGACUUCUUGACAGAAAAAAAAGGGAAUACCUAGUUAAAAAUGCUAGGGUUCAAAAUUUUUUGAUUAAAUUUUUAUGUUAACUUGUAUAGUACUUAGUUUAAAAUUUUAUAUUCUUAUUGUUUAAUUAUUAAAUAGUAUGUAAUUUUGUUACAUAGAGUAUGAAUAGAAAAAAAUUGAUAAUUAGACUUAUUGAACAUUAUAAGUAAAUAUUUAAAACUAAUGAUGGGUACAAAGAAUAGUAUAAAUUGAUAAUUUAGUUUGCAAAAAUGAAUCUAAAUGAGUUUAAAAAAGUUAAAAUAAAUGGAUAAUUGCAUUAUUCAAGUCAUUUUUUGACUUACCCAUAUAAUUAAAUAGGUACAAAUGAAUUGAGUCACUCGUACCAUUACCUAUUUUACUUAACCCAAACCCGUGUAAGUCACCCAUUUUGACACCUCUAAUCUCUAGAUUUCUGCUAUGUAUUGUUUACUAUUUCGAUGGUUCCUUGCAAAUUCUGCUUUCUUACUUCUGUAGUCCAUUUUACAUCUCUAGAUUUCUGCUAUUUAUGUAUUGUUUACUAUUUCGAUGGGGUUGAGAUAGAGAGGCGGAAAUAAAAACCUGUUUGCUUCAUUCUACACAUAUAUGACCUCGACUCGUUUAUCUUAUACGGUUUGAAAUUUGAAGAAAAUUUCAAUGGAGAAAUAUUAGAAAGCUUGCAAUAAAAAUACAUGCAAGCUUCUUAAAUUAAGUGAUUUACAGAUUAACAGUCUUUUUGCAGGGGAAUGGGAUGCCGACAACUGCCAACAAAACUCGCUCUACUGCCAAAAGAAGAUAGAAAUGAUGAUCCCAUUCCCCUGGAAGAAGACUUCUUGGCUAUGACAGCCUUUGGACCAAUCUUUCGACCAACUAAACCUGCAUAGCUCUUACAUGGCUUCAUCCUCUGACCAUAAGGACUAACUUUCUUUGCAAGAUCUUCGAGGCUCUUCACAUUUGCCAAAGAUGUAAAAGACUGAGACUUUCCUUGAUAAUGUUCUGAGAGACCUCUCCUGAACGAACAAAAUUCAUACACCAUUACUUGAAUGAAGAACCUAAAGAUUAAUAUAUUGAACAGUUGCAAGUCUAACUCUUCGUUCGGUACAUCACAAAUAUAUCGAAUGCUUACUUGAUAGGCAGCUGGUUCGUAAGCUCCGACAACUCGUACAACGGCCCAUCUGAAGGUGAUGUAGAAGAUGGUGACGAUGUUGGAGAAGAUGAUGCAUCCUCUGCUAAGUCUGAUGAAGAAGAUGAUGCUGCGGAGUUAUUCCCCGAGUCUUCACCGAUGGAUUCAGAAUCACAGGAAGUGUCAUCCUCAGCCUCCGUGAUCACCCACUGAACAUGCCUUGGAUCAGGGCCGGCGAAGGUAUUCUUGAAGGUCAUUUCUUGAUAAACCUGAUUUGCUCCACCCAUUGCAGAUCACAAUCUUGGAAUGAACGGAUCAGGAGAGCAGCAGAGCAAAUGGAUGAUGAAAACUUGAUGAUGUACUAUUUUGUUUCAGGCUUCAGCAGGGGUUGAAACUCGUAUGAGCUAGGCCUCUGGGGACUUAAUUAUGUAUAUAUACGUAUAUUAAUUUACAGGGUGGGUUAGUUAGCAAGAAGUUGAUUCUAACAAAUAGGAUGUUAUUGAAGCAAUAUUAACUUUUUAAGUUUUAUGACAGGGGCGUUACAAAUUACAUGCAUGAGCUACGCGUUUUUUUGUUUUUUUUUUUGUUUAAUUGAUGAUAUGUUGCUUUAUCCUCAGGCUUGUAGUCAUCUGUCAUUGUCAAAAUUCAUAUGGUUUGAAGAAUUUCUUCCUUUUUCCCAUUCUACAAGGAAAGGGGAUAAGGUUAUGGUCCAAAACGAAGACAUCCGUAUGAUCCGAGUCACCAAUGACCAACCCAUCAUAUUAUCCUCAAAUUUCUAUACAGGGAAAAAAAUAAAAUAAUAUAUAAUCUUUGGCAUCCUCUGCACUUUUUGCCCCAUAAAGUUACGACAUAACUGUUUUAUCCGUUUCUUUUUGACAUUUUAAGGCAUUGAUCCACAGUUUAGGGAUAACGCCAAAGAGGGAUCUCUAAAUUAAAGAAGAAACCUUCUUGGCGUAAUGACGAUAUAGAACAAUAAUUAUGAUAAUAAAAGACAACAAAUGGUGGAAAGUGGAGAAAGGAUAAGCCAUGAUUUUUGAGACCUGUUCUCGGUGAGCAUUUCAUCUAGCUGAAGACCCGAUUGCCUCUUACAAUUAUUAUAUUAUAUAUAUUUUUUCCAUUCUCAAUUUUGGUAGGAUCAACUUAUCUCUACGCUAAUCAUAAAAAAAAAAAAAGCUUUAUUGAGAUAUGUAAGUAAUUUGAGCAUAUAUAGUUGCAGCCAUAGAAACAAAUGCCUAUUUGAUUGUAGGCAUAGAAACAAAAUGCCUUGAUAUGUGCUGUUAUUAUUACACUCCUAAAGUCUAUUGUCAAUGUAACUCCCUCUGCAUGUGCAUGUGCAAUGAUCCUAAGUAUUAUUUUAUAGAGUAUUAUUUAGAAUAAUAACUAUAGUAUUUUUUGUAAUGUGACGUAUAUAAAAUAUAAAAAGAUGAAUUGAAAAAUAUGUUUAUCAUGCAAACGAAAGAUUAUUUGAGACAAUUUGCUAUCCAAACAAUACCAACUAUUGUUUAGUCAGCUUGCCCAUUCGUGACCAUUAAUUCCUCAUCCACCAAGUAAAACAAAGGCCAAUGGCCACUGCCCAUUUGGUCCAUGGUCAUCACCAUUUUUGGUGAUGCUGGAGGUUACGGGUUCAACCCCUGCCUUUCACAAACUUAUCACUUUACGUGGUUGGUCUUUUGCUAUCCGCUCCUCCUCCUUAAAGUAUGGCGACCUUCUUGACUUAUCCAUGGUUCGAGUCAAUGGGGCUUCCUCUCCCCGACAGCAGGCCCUGUGUUGACAAAAAAAAAAAAAAAAAAAAAGAGUAAAACAACGGCCAAUGGGGGAGGCCAAUAGCGUAACAGUAACAAUUUAAUGGCUUCUUUAAUGGAUGUUCAAUACGCAUUUGUUAACACAUUUAAAUCUUAACGCCUACAUUAUCUUUUCUUGAUGUGAUGCAACUUUUUUAAAAUAAGAUCUAACGCACGAUGAUAUUCAUAAUUUAAUUGAAGACGUCACGAUCGAGAAACAUCAUUAUUGUCAUUAAUAGAAUAUUGUGAAGCCUAAUUACAUCAUCCGGUGAGAUCCAAUCAAUCAAUAAUAAUUAAUGCCAAGCGAGUGACUGUUAUCAAAAGGAGAGAAAGAAGUCGGCAUCGAAAUGGUAGCUUUUGGAUCGAGGCUUCCGUGGCAUCAGAGGAUUGAAUUUAAGGGGGCUUGGGAGUUAAUGAGUGGGGAGAAAGGGAACAAGAUAAGGAAGCUGACUGUAGCAUUGGUCAUGAAAUGAAAGCUUGAGCUGCGUGGGAUUGGGUGCUUCUCUCUGGCACCACACAAGUCGCUGUUGUAUGGUUUCUGCCUCUUACCCAUGAUUAAAUUCCCUGUUCCACGGUCCGUAGCCCACAGCUUCAGCCUUUGCCAGCUCCCCCCCCCUCUUAAUGAUAUGAUCGUUUUGCAUUUCAAAAUAGGAAAAUCACUUAGAACAGAAAUAAAUUGAAAGAUGACGCAUUUUUUAAAAUUUAGGAAUUUUCGAAAUUUUUAAUUGCUUUUUAUAAAUGAACUCUUCAAUGAAGGAAAAUAUAUAGACCCUAAAAAGAGAAAAUGGUGGAUCAAGUUGAAGUUUUCAAGUGCUUCUCUAGUCUAAAUCACAUAAAUAAAUAAAGUUGAACAGAAAAUUGCGAAUUUGUUUAAGUCGUCUUUCUAACGCAUCAUUUUUAUUUGUAGCACCUUCUUCCCCACAAUUCCAACUAAACUCCUUAGCCAACUUGGAGCUACUGAAGCUGACUAAAUCCACCAGCAAAGUCCAAAAUUUCUAGCAGGGCCUCGAUCAUCCAAGAAGACAUCCCCGCUUCCACAUAUACGAGUAGCAAGGUCGCUCAGAAGACCUUCACCCCUCAAGAAGUUUCUUAUGUCAUAACAAAAUUUGUUAUUUAUUUCUGCCCAUUUCUUCCAGUGAGGGAUGAGGACUUCCUUUGCCUUAAUUUCACGAGGAUCCCAAGAAUCUGCAAUUAUCUUCACCUUUGAAAGUAAGAGAUCAAAAGCUAUUGCUUCAACCAAAGGUGGGCGUGACAAGUACUCCCCAUGAAGCUGAGCCACUUCCUCUAUUUUUCUCGCUACUCAAAGAUUUCCCUCAAUUUGGAUGCAAAAUGGUUACCGUCUUACUUUCCGUAGAAAUCUUAUUGUGUACUUUUAAAAAAGCCCCUGCCUCGCCAUUGGUUUCUGUACAGAAAUAUGUGUUUUAGGUGACAACACCUAGGUCCUAAAUUGGCACGAGAAUUUUAGUUAAGGGACUUAAUUCAUGCGAUAAAAUAUCGAGGGACCAAAUCGAUUUUAGUGAAAUAAUUUGAGGACUAAAUUGACAAUUUUCCCAAUAAAUAAAGUUGAAGUUUCAAAUGGUUUGACUGACACCGAAUGGUGGCUCUAUAACUGACUCAACUACAAGUCUGAUCCAACACAUCAAGUUGUGAGCAUAUGCUUCUUCUUCAUGUUUUAAUAUAAGCUAUAAUGCAUUUUCUUUUUUUUUUUUUUCUUUAUUUCACGUGUACUCUUAUGUAAGCACAAGCAGAACCAGAAUUUGAGAUUUUAAGAAAGCAAAAUUAGUAAGGAUGUAGACUCGGGAGGGCACAUGUACAAUUGUGUAAAAAAAAAAGAAAAAAUUGGAGGACAAAGUCCAAUAUUUACAAUCAAAUUGUUUGGUUUGCACCUUCUUUACAAUCAAAUGAUAUGAGUGAGACUUUUAAAUACUUUAUGGGGGGUCAAAAUAAUUUGUAAACUUUUGGAAGGGCAGAGUCUAAUUUUUAUGAAGGUAUAUUAGGACAAAAAAAUAAAAUAAAGAGAGAGAGAGAGAGAGAAAAAAUUCAACUAUUACGGGAACAUAGACCAAUUUCUAAAAUCCUGGGGGACAGCUGCUCCACUUACGUCCGCUGAUGUAAACAUCUGUCGUAAAUGCUCAUCCUUUAUUUGUGUCAUAGUACCGGAAGCAUUAGAAAAAGACAACAACGAUUUAACUCCACACGCUAUAAUGAAAGCCUCCAAGCUUCUUGACUUAGCAGAAGCAAAGAUGGUCUUACUUGACAGGAAUAUUCGGUCCACUUAUCCAAGAAAUCAAGCCGAGUUGUAACGUGCAAAACAAGUAUAUCCUGGAUCAAAUGGCUCCAUCACUUGAAACAAAUAGACAGAACGGGGGAAGGGAAAAAAAAAAUCAAGUUCUACGAUCUGAUGUUAAUUUAAUUUUACUGACGCAGUAAUUUAUUUCUCCCCAACUCCUUGAGAAAGAAUAGACAUACGGAUGGAGGAUUUAGGGCCAUAACGGUACAAGUGAAUGUGACUUAAAAACUUGUACAGCCUAGAUCAUGCAAUUUUUGAUGUAUGCUUUAUGCCCUCACUCCAAGGCCCAAACUAAAUCGCCCAUGGUGCAGUCUGUAUAUGAAAAACUUAAAAACCGGAUACACCUGUUUUUGCCUUCGACAGAACGCUGAAAGCUCCAAGCCAAGGCUAAGGGAUAUCGUGCAAACCACAAACCAAUAAGCAUUAAUGUCCUGCUGCUGUAAACCUACUGUGACAAGGCUAGUAUUAGCUACCCCAGAAGAGCAGCCUAAAAUUAAAUUUAUAAACUCGCACAAGUCCGCUGGCUGCUUAAAAGAAUUUUGGCUGCGGCUGCUAAACUAUGAAGUUUUAACCUGCACAGACUAAGUAGUGCUAAAGUUAUAGAAGCAACAUCAUCUGCUCUCAUUCCACUACAAGCUAAACGCCUUCAAAUGGUCUAUGAUCACCUAUAAAUGCCAUUCUGUCCGCGCUUGAGAAAACGUGUAGAGGUGUAUGACAAUAUCAGGCUUUUACAUAUCAUGUUUUAUCAGACUUUUACAAUAUCAGACUUCUACGUAUCAUGUCUGAUAAGUUUGCAACCAAUAAAAUUUUGGGAAAAUUUAGAAGAAUUAAACAAUGUGUAGUUGUAAUCUUCGAGCAUGACUUGCGGCUAAAGCAUAUGGGGAAAAAUAUUGUACUCUGAAGUCAUUACAAGCAAAUGAUCAUCUAGGAAAACUUAUGGGAGGUUCCAAGCUAGCUACCAGAAUGCCAAGAUCAAUGUCCUUGUCUUCAAACUUCUUAAGAAAAGGAUGGUUCUGGAAGCAAUGGAGCAAAUCAAGCAGUCAGCAUUUGCAUAUUGGAGCACGGUGACCAAAAGAAAGACUAAAAGAAGUGGGUAGUUAACUAACCAAAAGGUCCAGAGAUGAGGAUCUGUCCCUCGGAUCCUUCUGUAUGCUGAAAAAGCAAGCCACGAUAACAAAGCAGAGCAUCAUUAGGAGAGAAGGUAUGGGCAACAACAUGGAUACAUUGAGAAACCCACUGCUACGUCACUGAUCCAACAUAGAACUAUAAGAAAGUAUCCUCUAAUGCUAAAAACUCGCACUUUUUUUUAGAAUAAUUGCAGCAGGUUUCAACCAAAAGUCUUAAGAAUUUAAGGUCAACUUAAAGACAGAGUAAUGGAAUAGUCAAACGCAUUCAGUCGAAGGACCAUAAAGAAGUAGAUAAGAGUGUUUACUGCAUAUGUGCAACAACAUAAACGAAUCUUCUUAGACCUUACCAGGCAGAGAUAAAUGAACAAAACUCUGGGGAGAAUUGAUCUGGUGGAGCAGAAGGUGGAGAGCCUCCCACAAUUGCUUCUAAAAGCUCAUAAAAGCUUGGCCAACCCUGCUGGUCUUCAGAUUGUAUGUAAGGGAAACGUCCAAUAGCACACUCAAGGGUAACCAUGCCCAGACUCCAGAUAUCACUCUUGUAGUCAUAGGUGCUCCCACUAAUUCUUUCAGGCUAAAUAUGAGAUGAGAAAGGAGAAACAAGUCACCAAACCAGAAUUAGGCCUCUAGAUUUUCCACUCAAAACAUUUUGCUGUUGCACAUCAGAUGUUUAGUAUGUUCUACACAAUGUGUACCAAUAGCCACUGUAAAAAUUAAUGGAUCAAUUUUUCAUGAUCAUAUCUCCACUCACCGCCAUGUAAUUAUAGGUACCAACAAAUGUGUCUCUUUGACCCAUAGAGCUGGCCAGCAUUGCGCUCACACCAAAAUCUGUAAUUUUGACCUCCCCUUUGUGGUUCACUAGCAGAUUGGAUGGCUUUAUAUCUCUAUGGAUUACAUGUCUCUCAUGGUGCAAGUACACGAGACCUUGCAAAACCUGAACAUAUUAAAAUUUCACAUAUCCAUGGUGAGCAGAAGUUAAGCUUAUAUACUUUCGGAAGAAUCUCAUGUUUCAGUUUUUCCUACCUGCUUACACAGGACUGCAAGAUACGGUUCAAGAACUGUCUUCACUUGUCUGAGUACAUCAGCUAAAGAGCCACGGUCCAUAUACUCCAGUACAAGCGAGAUAGCCCCAUUGUGGUAGAAAGAAUGGUAGCAAACCACAACAUGGGGACACUGUGAGCCUUGAUUAAUUUUAAGCUCCUGCACAAUUUGUUUCCGAAUAUCUUCUUGUAUAUUCAUCUGGAUGACCUGUGCUUAGACAUGCACUCUGGAGUUAGAAUAUCUAAAGCAUCAUCAGUACAGAGCUAAUGUGUCAAGAGACGUGACAACAAAAAGCCAGUAGCUAAUGCCAGUCAUUUUAGGAAGAGCUCAAAGCUUCCAUGUUCAGUAUCAGGGUCCUUCAAAACUAUUCAAAUGUUAGAUAUCUUAAGUAUGAUUGACCAAAAUCACCUUUACACCUCCCUAAUAAAGCAACUCUAGUAAAAGUUUCUAAUCAUUGGUUUAUUCAAUUAGCAAAUAAUCCACUAAUUUCAUAAGAUCAGUAUCAAACACUGUGCUGUAACAUUCGAUAUGCAUAACAUGCAAGAAUAAUUAUUCAUUAAUUGCACAAGUGCGUAAAAACAUGACUAAAGUUGUGCACUUAGAGAAGUGAUCUACUGAAACAAUCAACGUGCUCAAGGAUAACAAAGUAGCAGGAAACUGAAGUUGUAUGCUGACCUUCAAGGCAAAUAACGUUCCAACCCAUUUAUGACGAACAAGUUGAACCACGCCACCACUUCCCUUUCCAAUCACUUUGAUGGUCUCAAGAUCUUCCAGUGAAAAUUGAAGAUCAAAUUCCUUACUUUCUGCAGGCUGCCCACACAAAUAUUCAAUUUGUCACAUCUUCGGCUUCCUUUUCCUUGUUCUUUUUCAUUCAAAAGAGAAGCAUACUAUCACGUGCAAACAAUAGGUUCCCUAUACAACCUAAAAUGUUUCAUGAGUUUUAAGUGAUGCAAAGUCAAGGAGAUGCUUGAGAGAAUGAUACAUCCUCCAUUAGUCAAGUUGCAAACCUUUUUGCUGUUCUAGUCUUCUUUUUUUCUCCGUUCUCUUUCUUGGAAGUUGUGUAGCAAAUAAUGGAAAUGGCACAAACUACUGAACUUUCAAAUGAAAGCAAAACAGAAGUCCUAAAACAGUUCGUAUCAUAUUCUGAGGGCAAUAGUCAUCUGAAAUCCACCAAAACAAGCUAUUUGAGAUGGAUUUGGGACAUGAAAACACGAAAAAACAAAAAUUAAUAUAAAAUAUAAAGCAAUGUAUGUGCUGCACCUAUAACUGAAAUAUUUGUGGAACGUGUUUGACUUGCCAAUGUAGUAUUAAUGAGUGUCAUAUUUGAUGUGAUUGUCCUAUUUCAUUUAUUUUUCGGUAGCUAUGGCCAAGCCUUUAUGUAAAAAGGCAAAAAUAGGUUCAAAUUUAAGAAUUCUACGUAUACAAACUUUUAAGUCUGUUUUGAGAUGUAAUCCACAUAUUCAAAAUUAUAAGAACUGAAGUGAAAUCAGAUACAUUAUACGAAAUCUAUAAUGCAUUGUUCUCUUUUAUAUCUUGUUUUCCAAUUCCGUUCCAUCUACCAACCGGACUGGAAACAGCGUCAUAAUGGAAUUCACAUCAAUUAAGCAUUUCUUCAGAUCUUCAAUUUUGGACUCAAUUGAAGCUUCUUCCCUCGCAAAAUAAAUGAGAGUGUUCAAUCCACGGAUAAAACAACCACGUGUGUAUCAGCCACGUCUUAAUUAGUACGCUUCUAAUUACGUCCAAUUUCAAUCUUCCAUUAAGUCCUCAAAACUAGAGCAUUUUAUCUAAAGCUCUAUGAUAUCCGAUCACACCAAAUCGAAAUCGAAAUGCCGAAAAAUUAUUACCUGAGGAGGAGAAUCAUUGUCAUCGGAGAUAAGGCGCAAACCUUUCUGGUUUAACAGUAAAUCGCCGUCGUGAAAGGUUCCGCUCGCGGUCCUACCAUGUUUAACAACACAUCAUUUGACAAAUUCCAUCACUUUCAUGAAUUUCCCCCCAAAAAAACUAGCGUAAUAAACGAGAAAAAUUUUAAUUAAUUUAGAUUUGUCAGCGUACAAAUAUUAAAGGGAGAGAUUAUGGAGCGUACAAGAAGCUGGAGACGGAUGUAUCUUGAACCGGAACAGAGAGCUUGAGUUCCUUCACUGGCUUCUUAAGCUUCAUGAUUCUUGCUUCUAUAAUUAAAGAUAGGGUUUGGACUGAAAAGUUUUUGGAGAGAAAGGAAAGUAGGGAAUGAAUGGGGGAGGAAUUGGGUGUGGAGCAGAGGGAAGGGGUGACAAAAUCCACCGACCGAAUUUGGGGAAGAGAGGAUUCAAACUGGGAAGAGCGCCAAAAGCCGUGUUGCUGUUACCAAUUUAUUGUGACGUACGAUAUAUUCUUGGGUUAAUUACAUUUACCUCCCUUGAGGUUUGACCAAAUAACGAAUCGAUCCCUGAGAUUUGGCCAAAUAACAGUCCACCACUUUGAAUAACCAGACAUUUAACAAUUACCCACCUACUGUUGAGAGACGUUAGAGAUUCUACUUGACAUCAGGAAAAAGAAAACUUGGGAUGACGAAAUUGCCUUUAUUGUGUCCAACUGUCAUUAAGAUUUGUUCAAGUUUUGAAAAUAUCCUUUUCAUUAAAAAAUAUAUAUAUAUAUAUGUAUAAUAUUAAGAUUAUAAUUCUUUAUCAUUCACAUCCGCGCACUUGCCUACCUUUAUAUGUACAAAAAGAAAGAACAAAAAGACUUCCUCAUUGCCUACCUUUAUCUGUACAAAAUGAGAGAAGAAAAAGACUUCCCUGUUUUUUCCCAAGUUUGCUGAAAAUUGCACUUCCUUCUGUGUUCCAAUCUUCUCAAGAUUCUCAGAAAUAGUCUUCAUACUUGGUUGAACUUCAGGUCUGCCUCCGUGCAUGCAAGCGCUAAAUGAAACACUGCAAGUACUUCUUUCUUCGCAUGUACUUAUUUAAGCAACAUUGGGUCUACCAUGUCUGAUAGAGGGUUCUCCUCUUCAAAUCCCUUCCUCACUCCACCUUACUAGGUCUGGGAUCUCCGUGGAAGUGGAUGUCGUAGGAGAUGAGAGCUCUGGAGACUUCCCUGUCAGCAACUCAAGCAAGACAACUCCAAAUGAGUAGACAUCCUACUUUUGUAGGGGUAUGCAUCGAAUUCGAAAUCGGUAAUUCGGAAGUUUGAAUUCGAAAUUUUUUGAAAUUUUGGUAUCUGACUCGAUUUCGAAUUCACAAAUUCCGAAUUCGAAUUCGAUUCGAAAUUUGGUAAAUUCCGAUUUCACCGAAUUCGAAAAAAUUUAUAUAUUAUUAUAUAAUAUAAAAUUUAUUAUAUUUAUGAUAUAAUAUAAAAUUUAUAAUAUUAUAUUAUAUUAUAUUAUAUUAUAUAAAUUUUAUAUAAUAUUAUAUAGUAUAAAUUUUAUAUUACAUGUAUAAAAAAUAUAUUUAUAUAUUAAAAACGAAUUUGAAUUCGAAAUCAGAAAUUCCGAUUUGUAAAACUCCAUUACCGAAUUCGAACCAAAUUCGAAAUAUAUGAAUUCGGAAAACCCAAAUUCGAUUCCGAUUUCCGAUUUACCAAUUUCGAAAAUUCCGAAUUCAAUUCGAAUUCGGUCGGUAAAUCGAAAUUUUUCGAUUUUGCACACCCCUACACUUUUGGGUAGGUCGGUUGCCAGGGAUCUGAGCUUUCGGUGAUUGAUAAUUGUUGGGUCGCUCGGGUUGAGCUGAUUUUAAAGAUGGAAGACCCCACCUAUGAAUACACCAGACGAUGAAGGAUUGUUGCUUGUGAUAUUGAUCAGGCGGUUCAGGCCGAAAUCAGAAAUGCAAGCUUGAAAAUCAUUGUCAAGGAGAAUAUUAAAGGGUUUUAUGUCUCCAUGGACAAAUUUUCUGGGGCUACAUUCAUGAAGAUAUGCUAAGCCCCUCGCUGUUCCUUUAGCAAUUUUCAGCCUGCUUCCCCAUGAUAAGCUAGAUGAUGCCUGACCUGUUCUCCCUGCAUCGAUGUUACACAUCUUCAAUCAAAUAAUCAACCAACUUAACUCAUAUGAUACGACAUGCUGAUGUUAAUACUAGAUCUUGACCCAAAUUAUUUUAUCAGAUUCAUCUCCUACCUUACAAUAGGCCAAUAGAAAUGGCUAUCUGUAUUGUUUCUCGCUUAAAGGCUAAAAUGGUAAGUACAUAUUUCUAUUUUUAUAUCUUUAAAAUUUGAUGGAAAUUAAUAAGGGUUGUUCAAACUUUUGGCUAAUUCCGGGCUUGUUUGGAAGUCCAAGUUUUUACCAAGUUUUUAUUAUACUAGUUUUUUAACAACUUGUGCUACAGGAACCCAAAAAACUUAUCAAAGUUUUUUAACCUACACACUUAAAAUAUCCGAAACAAAAAAAAAAAAAAACUCCCUUCCCUUUUUCUUCUUCCUCCUUCCCCACCACUACCUCUGUCAACUGCUUCGUCACCGGCCACCACUUCCGCCGCCGGUUCCGGCGCCGAUCACCUUUUCCAGUGCCGAUUUUUUUUUCCUUUUUCUCUCUCCCUUUUUUUUUUCCUUUUUUCCUCUUCCCCCGCAAGUUUUUUUUUUCUCUCUGCGUCUCCCCCCCUCCUCCCCCACCACCCUCAGAUCACAUCGAGUGAGGGUGAGGGUGGCGGGGAAAGGGGGGAUUUGCCAAAAAAAAAAAUUUGACGGGUGGCGGGAUUCAGGGUGGUAAACAAGAAGGGGAAUAGGGGAGGGGGAAGGGGCCAAGGGGUGACGGGGGGAGGGGGAAGGUGGCGAGGGGGUGGCGGGGCAGUGAGGAUGGUGGGGAUAGAGGGGGAAAGUGGGCUGCUUGGAAGUCGCGGGGGGGGGUGGCAGAGGAAGGGCAAAGGGAGGGCAGAGGAAAUGGGGUGAGGGGGUGGCGGGGCGGGCGGAGGGGGAGAAGCAAAGCAGGGGGAAGACCGGGGGAGGGGGUGGCGGGGGAAGAGGGGAUGGCGGAAAGCAGGGGGAAGCGGGGUGAGGGGAUGGCAGGGGAAGGGGGAAAGCGGGCAGCGUGGGUGGCGGAGGAAGGGGGUGGCGGGGCAGAGGGGGAGAAACAAAGCAGGGGUUGGGGGGAGGUGGCACUGCUGGAGGCAGAGGUAACGGGUAAGGGAGAAGAAGAAGAAGAAGAAGAAGAAGAAAGAAAGAAAAGAGAAAGGAAAGAAAAAAAAAAGAAAGAGAAAAAGAAAGAAAAAAAAAAGAAAAGAAAAAAAGUUUUUAACCCUACAAAAACUUCUACAAAAUUUUUCUUCUUACAAAAAACUCCUACAAAAUUUUUUCAACAACUUCUACAGUGCACUACAAUAAAGUUUUAGACAAACUCCAAAAAAACUAGGUUCCAAACAGGCCCUCAAUUCCAUAUAAUUGACAAACUUAGCGUGGGAGAGUAAUUUGUUAUUUGGCCAAAUCUCAGGGAUCAAUUCGUUAUUUGGUCAAAGCUCAAGAGAGGUAAAUGCAAUUAACCCUAUAUUCUAUUCGAGGUAGAAACUAAAAUAGACGGAAAUUAUACUAAAAUUAUUAAAUAUGUACUUAUUUUAAAAUUUUAAAAUAUAUAUUUAAAUUUGUUUUAACGAAGACAAAUAGAUAUAUAUAUAUAUAUUUUUUUUUUUUUUGCAAAAAGUGAGAUGCUUAAAAAUUAGUCAUCCUUCCAAUAGAUAGUCCAAAUCAAAUAAUAAAAGAUUAAUUGAAUUGGGCAAUGAAAUACUAACGCUUGGUUGUGGCCUUGUUUGGCAAGCAAAUUUUUGCCAAGUUUAUCUGUUACAAAUUUUUUUAACAACUUAAUUACAGUAAUUUUAAAAAAUUUCUCAAAAUUUUUAAACUAUACACUUCAAAAUAUUUAAAAAUUUACACACUUUAAAUAUUUUUCUAAAACUUCUACAAUAAACUAUAGUAAAGUUUUAAAUAAAUAUAAAAAAAACUCACUUGUCAAACGGACCACAAUUUGAAAGUUCUAAUGUCCAAGCAUUACAAGUUGUGUUUGGAACCAUGAAGUACCAUAAACUUCUUUGUUCUACAAUGCACAAUUUUCGUUAUGAGUUUUGACCAACUAGUACUUCAAUACUUUUUUUCCUUUUUUUAAGUAGUUUGAAUAUUUGGGUGCAAAGCAUACACAUGUUUCUUUAUCCUAUUUCCUUUUAUAGCAAAUUGCCUUGCAAUCCACCAAAUUUUUUGAAUAAUAGAGCCUUGGUCACUCAAAUUUUAAGAGUAUAUAUUUACCCACUAAACUAUCAAAUGUAUAAAUUUGAACUAUUUUAUUUAUUUCCAUCAUUAAGUUUGCCAGAACUAAAGACUUGCACAAUAGUUUAGUGGUUAAAUAUAUACUCACACUAUAGUUUACUCGGUUAAUACAUGCUCGCACUAUUUUUUGAUGGAUAAAUAUAUUAUGAGCUUUCUAAAUUGCUCCUUGAUUAUGUCUCGUAACUCGUGCGAUACUUUAUAUAUGGUAGAUUCGAUAGUGGAAAUAGACAAAAUGGCUCGAAAUUUAUAUUUUUAAUAGCUUAGUAGAUAACUAUAUACUUUUAAAAGUUGAAUGACCAAAACUCUGUCUUUUUUUUUUCAAAAAUAUAGUGGGUAGCCAGAUAAUUUGUACUCUUUCAAAAAUAUAGUCGGCUUCAUAACUCAUCAAUCUCAUCGUUGCUGAGGUAUGACACAUCUCAAAUAAAACUAUUCACCCUAAUACUUAAUAAACAUACAAAUCAAAACAAUUGAUCAUCGUUGUCGCAAACCCCAUUUCCAACCACCACAAAUCCAAACGCUGGCGACCUUCCCCUAUUUUUCAUCUUUUGCUAUCUUAUUCCUUUUAUCUACACUUUCACACAAAAACACCUAUGAAGAUACAGAAAAAUCUAGAUAUACAGUGAAUCUUGCCUUUUAGAAGUUUUUUUGAAGAAGAGGAACCUAGAACAUGUGAAUGAGAGGUUAAAGAAGAUUUUUUAGCAGAAGACUUUAUAAGCAUCAAUACUGAAGCACUAAUUUUCCAUACGACGGUCUAAUUAAUGACUGAAAUCACUGCCAAAACAAGUUUUAUGAGAUUUCAUCUUCUUGCCAAUAUUCAAUUGUAUGAUAUGCGAUUGGUUCAAGAGAUAUGAUGAGUUCUUGGUACUCUCUAAUUCAAUUUGAAUUAUAGGAAUCGAAAGAAUUUGGCUUGCAGAUUGAUUAUGAUAAAUGUGAUACCCCAAAUUUUAGGAUACUAUUUUUGUUUAAUCUCAAAGAAAGGAUUACGGUUUCUUUAUUUUAUUUUGUCUUAAAACAUUAUUUUAUUUUAAAAAAAGAUUAGAAACCUUACUUGUACUUUAAAAUCCUAGUUUACUUGUGACUAGCAGGUUAUGUUUAAAUCCCUCAUAUUUGACUCAAAACCCUAAUUUUAUUCUAUGAAAUUGUAAAAUUCAUCACACUUUUCUUAAAAUUCUUUUUAUUUGGAAAUUAUUCAUUUAAUAUAAUCCUACUACUCAAUCAUUCCUCAAUAAGUGCAAAUGAACCUAGAAAGUAGGGUUUCACUCUUCGUUUUCAAGAUUGGAGCAAAUUAGAGUUUUCGCGAUUUUUCGCCGGAUGAUUUUUCGGUACGGAGCAAGGAUCAAAUUUGGUGAUUAAAAGUGACUUUUGGGUGAAAAAUAAUAUGUGAUUAGAUACAAUAAUAAAAAGUUAGUGAAUAGGAAGAAAAAAACCCUAGUACGGGUGAUUUAAGGAAAAUCGGCUCGAACUGACAGGUAUCGUUUGUUACCGGGUAGACACACCAUUUGACCCAUACUUUAUUACCUUAAUUUUGUCAUUUUAUUUUAGAUAAUUGACCCUCAAAAUAUCUCAUACAUCAGCCACAAUAUUUGACCAAGAGAAAUGAGAGAAAAUGCUAAAAAGAAACAAGUGUCAAGGCAUCUAUGGAAGUUGGACUUUGACCAACUUGUCUUAACCUUCAUAAAACAGAAAUUUGACCAAAAUUUCCUCAUUUCUUCCCAUUUUCUUAGUCUUGGUCGAAAUUCUUGAGAGGAAAAACAAGAGAGGAAAAAACUUCACCUUGCACCUCAAUUUCAAGCCUCAAUCUUGAGUUUCAACCGAUAAUCUUGCAAAUUCCUCCACAAAAGUUAAUCUCCAAGGAAGUUUAAGGGUUUUGGUGGAGUGAUUUGGGAAGAGGAAGGUCUUGGCAGCUUCUUGAUAUAGGGAUUAAGGUGAAUUUGGUAAGAAACUUCCCUCUACUUCUUAUAUGUGUGAACUAAAAGCUUAAAGUUAUAGUUUUGAUGGAUUUAUAGGAAAAAUUUCAUGGGUUCAAUGGUAUGUUGGGAUGUUUAACUAGGGUUUAUAUUUUCAGCAUUGAUUAUGGUUAUCUACAUCUUAAUUGAUGUUAUUGAGAUAGUAAUUGGUGGGUUUGAUGAUAGAGCACUUGUUAGAUAUGAAUUUAUAGAGUAAAGGUGCAAAUUUCAGAAUUUGGAAACCAAGCUACCCUGUUCUGUCUGAUUUUAUUGCAUCAUGUUAGAGGCCGAAUUAGGUUUAGCAUAAAACAUGAAAGUUGUAGAGAAUGAUGUUUUAUAGUUGUUUACAAAAUUUCAGCUCAUUCGAAGCAACAUAGCCGGUGAAAAGACCAAAAUACCCUCACUGCCCUAGGAUAUUUUCAGUGAUCCGUUUUGGACAGUUCAUCAAAUUGAUUGUGUUUAUUCACUAUGAUCCGUGCUGAUUUAGUCAUUUGCCAAAAAUUAAAAGUUUUAGUACUCUGUCUUAGCUUUUUAACGCCACCAAGAACACCUUAAACGGAUCAGUGUAACCCAAGUUAUAGACAAAACACUCAUGCCUGUUUUGAACAUUGGUUUGUGCUGCGUUUUGAAGUCAGCCUCUGACCGUGCAUUUUUCUGUUUUGAUCCCGUAUGAUCUGGGUGUCAACUCCUUCAUAAGAAAUGUAGAUCUUGGUUUUGGUUUCGAAACGGUAUAAAGUGCGUCGAAAUCCGAGUUCCGUAGCUCCUGUUAUGACCAAAACAAGAUCAAUCGUCAGAACUGCCUUGAAUCUGGACAGUUCUAACGGGUGCUUUGACACUCAACUUUCGUUCUGUUCUGAAUGGAUUCAGGUCUUGGCCAAAACAUCAAAGUUUUAGCCUUAUAUCUCAGCUUUCUAAUGCCUCUGGAAUUUCUUGAUUUCUAUUUGUGAGUUGGGAGUUACAAUCCAGCAAACUUACCCUGUCCGUUACCUUAAAGUGCACAUUUCUGGCACUAUUUUCCAUACUUUCGACCCAUCUCUAUUCCGAUCCGGAUUUAUGUGUCUUCAUGAAAGUUAUAGGCUUUUCUCUUAGCUUCGUAACGGUAUCUCAUGUACCUUGAUCCGACACGCGUAGCCUCGAUUGUGCUCAAAACAGUUUUGACGGCAAAACGGCUAGGUCGCCUCCCAUUUCCGUAUGCCGUUUCCGCACUUGCAUGUGCCCAUUUUGUCGUUUUGCGUGUUUUAGGCAUAAUAGUAGCCGUUUGUGAUAUUAUGUGACGUAAUCUUCUAUUUCAGACGGUGGUGAGUUAGGUGGAGCCGGUGGGGCCUACUAGCUACUCUUCGCGACGCGAAUUUCGUCCUUUUGUUAUCCUUGUUCGUUGAGUAAGUAUUCACACCGCUCUUAUGUGUUAGUUGCUUAUGUGUUUCGAUAUGUAUGAAGAGAGUAUCUAGGCGAGGGUGUACUUUAUCGCACUCGACCUAAACCCUAAUUUACGCACAUAUUUGUACAUGGCAUAUGUAUAUGAAUCAUUUUGGAACUAAACCCCUUGAACUUGUGGCUCGGGGUGAUUUUUGAGUAAAUUUUGUGAAAUUUGUGAGUUUGGGGCCCGAUCUCAUGACCUAGAUGGACUAUUCAAGCCGGUUAGGGUUUGGUCGAAGUCAGUCCAAUCUGGUUUGAGGUCACCAAGUUUGUGAAUCCGGUUCACCGAUUAUGUGGACCAAGUUUGUGACCCGAGCUUGUGAACCAAGCUCAAUUUCGUUCGCUCGAGCAAGUUUAUGAGGUGUCUGGCCAGAGAGGGUGAUAAGGUGUAUGGUGGGAGUACAAGUGAAGUUCUACGAACCAUUAUUUGUGGUCGACGGAGUGUCGGCAGGAGAUCACGCAUGGCAAACGAUCUGGUUUUGGAGCCACCUGUAUCCUUAUCAUGUGAUGUUACUUUUCUGCUUUUGCUUUACUCUUACUGUGUAACUGUUGUUACGUGAAAUUUACGCUUUUGCCCCUGUUUACUUACUAAGCAUAUAGCUUACCCCUUUUCUUUUGUUUUCCUUAGCAGGGGCCGACGCGGGGACUUUUGGCACAUACACUGGGUAUAGUUAGGUGUGCUUGUUUAGCUAGACGUUUAAGUCGUUUCUUUUAUUUUGAUGGCCUGUAUAAGAACCUCUUUUUGGGUCUACUUUAUAUAUUGGGUGACUAACUUAUGGUGAUGUAGUAAACAGAAUACAUAUUUUGGAGAAUGUAAUUAUAACUCUUUUGGGAUUGUAUAUAGUAUGUAUAGUACUCUUUUGGAUUUUCUAGCUUUUAUUGUUUUAAAUUUUGAGUCCUGGCGCGAGCUAGACAGGGACCCGCCGAUAGCUUUGGAUUCGCCCUUGGGAGAAGUGGGAUCGUCACAAUAAAUCAGAUGUGAUAAAGAUGGAUUGAGUAUAGAUGCAGGUGGAUAGUGGAGUGGCUGCAGAGCGAAAUGAAAUACUAGUGGUAAUAUUCUUGGGAAAAAUUUUUAGUUUUGUAAAAUAUUUUCAGGAAAGCGUAUCAAACACCAAAAAAAAAAAAAGGUAAACUAAUUAUUUUCCAAAAAAAAAUUUUCAUUGGAACAACAUAAUGACACGAUAUAGGAUUCUCAUAUAGGAUUCUCCGCAUUUAGAUUCUUCUACCUUUUUCAAAAGAACAACAUAAUGACAUGAUACCAUACCAAUAAAGAAUAGUGUUCAGUUAGGUUUUCAUUUGAUUUUUAACUCAUAUUUCCUAGCCAUUUCAUUAGUAUCAUUAAUAAUUCUGUUUAAGAAUUCAUGGUGUAAUAUGAAUAAAUAUUUUAUAGAAAUGAUAAUAUGAUAUAAUGGAUAUAAAUUAAAAUUAACUUGUAAUGAAAUGAAUAUUUUGAGAGUAGAAAAAUAUUUGCAACAUAUCAACAAACAUAUCAGAAAAUAUUUUCAUUGACAAACCAAAUACCGAAAAAUUAUGAAAAAAGGAAUUUAGAAAAUAUUUUCACUUAAGAACCAAACAUCGAAAAAUUAUGGAGAAGGAAGUGAUUUUUCAGGAAAAUGACUUCGAUGGAAGGAAAAUAUUUUUGGUCUAACCAAAUGGACCCUAAGAGUAACUUAUAAUCAAUGCGACCCAUACGUGGGUCCUGUUUUCAAAUGAUUUUGAUUGUGUAAAAAUUGAUUAUAAAAAAAUCAGAAUAAAAAAUAAAAUAUAUAUAUUUAAUUUUCUUUAAGGUAAAAAACUAAAUUUUUUGAUAUAAAAAUAUAGUUGAGAUUUGAGAACAGCUGAAUUUUUUUUUUUUCAAAAUCAGGAUUUAGAGUCAAGUAUUGAGCCUGAGUUAAGAACUAGGUGGUAACAUAGAAAAGAUAAAGAGAACUAAAUUUGAGUUUUGGACAAUUUCAUUGGCGUUUGAAAUUAUUCAUUUGGAUAUAUCUAAGUUGUUAAAUAUUUGACGGGCAUUGCUGAUUUACAAAGAGUUUACAAAUGUGUUUAGAUAGGAGAUUUUUUGAAAUAUUAUCUGCAAUAAUUACUAUAAUAUCUUUUUAAGAUGUGAUGUAUGUGAGAUAGAAAUAUAAUUAAAAAUAUACAAAGUUGAUUGACAAUAUUGUAUUUAUGAUAUAAACAAAGUAUUAUUUGAAAUAAUUUUACUAUCCAAACACAUUUUUUGCUUGUUACAGGAAUUAAACUUGUGAUUUGAGCAGUCGGGCUCGCCGAGAAAAAGACAAAACUUCAGUGGGAGAUAAAUCAAUGAACGUUUGGCACAGCCUACUGGUUUCGAUAGCCCUUGUGAAAAUUUCAAAAAGGGAACGAGUUACAACCAAGCCCAUACGAUCCAACUCCGUCUGUUGUCCUUGGGCCCACUGUUGGAGUUAAGCCACUGUUGGAGUAAAUUCCUGCUCUGGCCUAAAUACUAAAAUCAUGGAUUUGUUAAACCUUCAGGAAGCGCUACUACAUGUCACAUAUGCAUGAAAUGACUCUGAUUGAGAUGUGGAAGCUUAAGGCGGCCUUGUUUCGAUUGAAGUUUUCGAAAGAAAAUAUUUUAUGUUUUUUGGGGAUAUUUCAUAAUUAUUUUUUAACCUCACAUACAUAAAAUUGAUAUAAUAUAUUAUAUUAUUCCAUAUAAACUCCAAAAAAUAACAAUUCAAAUGCAUAGAAACAUGUUUUCAAUUUUCAGAAAACAGGAUAAAAUGCAUCUUCUAAUUUUUUUUUAAUAUCACAUACAAGAUACACUCGUAUAUGUUUAUAGUAUAAUUUUGCUUAAAAACAUGUGAUGAUUUUAGAAAACCUCCUCUAAGAUCUUUAACAAUUACAUCUACCUUUUUCUAAAAAUUGAUAAAUUAUUUUUACUUCCCUUGAUGCUAUGAAAAAACUAGGAAAGCCUUCAAAAUAUGGCUUAACUUUUCCUGCAAAAAAAUGGACUUAAAAUGUUCACAUAAUAGAUAAUGGUGAUAGUUACCUUUUCAACAUUUAAUUUGUUUUACAUAUUAGAGAGGGUUAAUAUUGAAUAUUCAGUGAUUUUUUUCUUUUUUUUGCACUUACAUCAUUAAUGUUUUAUCAAGACAUACUUUUAGGGAAUGUUAUAUAAUUUUUCAAACAUUAGAAGAGGUCGUUGCAAUUGUCAAAAACCUCAAGGUGAUGUUUUUGAAAUUAUCCCUGAAAAUGUUAAGGAUCGUGAAUGGUGCUCAGCAGCUGCCGUAGUACCGCGGUAACUUCGCUUGGGUCAGUAACAAUUUAUGAAGAAGAGAAAAGCCGACCCAUAACUUCGCUUGGUGUCCUUCGGUAGCUUGCAGGGGGAUAUGGUUCCUGACCGUCGAUCCCACCAGCAGCUUGGAGUCAUAUGGUUCGCAGCGGUCGAUCCCACCAGUUCCAUCGGUGAUGAGGCUGAUGGAACAGGUGCUAAAAGUGGCGGGGACUAUUCUAAAUUCUAAAUCCAAGCCUGAAGGUGGAAACUGGGAACAGUUGUUGUACACUACUACACUCGCAGCGAAGUAGAGAAGAACAGGACAUCCCAUUUUGCCAAGAAAUAGAAACCUUGCUAACAGGGAGCACCUACUAGUAGCAUUAUUCAGCAUGGUUAUUAAACUCGGCUUAGUCCGACGGUUCAAUCGAUCAACCCGAUGAAUCGAUCAUAAAAUCGAGUUAAAUUCUUAAUAAGAUCGUUUCUGUAUUGAACCCGUUAACUUUUCAAUGGAUCGACAGUUAAAUUAAUCAAUUUUAUAAGGAACUCGAUCUACGAAAAAUUUUUAUAACAUUGCUAGAAUGAAAAUUUGAACGCGAUGACCUCAUGCAAAGAAGUAGACUACCAUUACCACUAGACCAGCCCAUCAUUUGUUAUUUAUUUUGUUCUUAUACUAUAUAUUAGAGUCUUAUUCUUAUUUUAUUUCUCUAAAACAAAAUUUAUUUGAAAUUUUGUAAUAAUAUUUUUAUUAUUCCAUGAACUCUAUAAAUUAUGAAAUUGAUUUAAAAAUAACAUAUUACACAAAUCAUUUUAAAGACAAAUAUUAUUCUUAAUAAACUUUUGUACUUAAAUUCAUAAAUAAAUUAGAUAAUUACACUUAGAUAAAAUUUUAUACUUGAAAUUUGGUGGAUUACUAAUUAAAUUUAGCUUAUUAAUUCUUAUAAAAAUUAAGGAAUCUAUAAUAAAUUAAACUAACUAAAUAUUUAUUAUGGUAUAAAAAUUAUAAAACAAAAUAUUUACAUAUAUGUAGUGACCUACCGAUUGGAUCACUCAUCCAUCGAUUGAAUCAAUGGGUUUGUUUGGAUUGUGUUUUAUUUGGAAUAUUUUUACUGUAGCAUUUUUUGUGAUGUGAUGUGUGUGAGAUAAAAAGAUAAUUGGGAAGAUAAAAAGGUGUAUUGAAAAUUAUAAUAAUGAUAUAAGCAGAUAAAAUUGAAGAAAUAAAAUACAAUCCAAACAAAUCCAAUAAUCCGCUGACCCAUCCCUUUCAUCGGAUUCCUCGCCAAAGCCAGGCCGGUUUAAUAGCUAUGCAAAGCAAAAUUAAAAAAAAUGAAGCUUUGGGAAAAUAGCUGCGGAAUCGAGGCAUUUUCCUAAAUUAUAUUCCAUAAGAUAUUCUGAGGUCCGCUUUACACUUACAGACAUUACUCCUAGUCCUACACUCUUACUGAGACAUUUGCUGACGCACACUGUCCAACACACACACACGCAGCCACCCAGUCAGCCAGUCCUCUCGCUUUCUCUCUCUUCACUCUCCUCUCUCUCUCUCUCUCUCUCUCUCUCUCUCUCUCUUUUUCUGUCCGUCUUCUUGCCGUUUUGUUGGUUUGUCACAGAGACACUCCACUCGCUGCUGCUCCAGAGAGAGAGCGCUCCCAAUGUCCUCUUUCUCGGGCCCGGCAAGAGAAACAAACAGAUAAUCGUUGUAGUCUCUUCUCUUGUCCAGGUGAACGCUGGUUGUCUUCCAGACAGACACCAUAACACAAAUAAGGCUUCCUUUCUCUUCUCCUCUCUUCUUUCUAAUAGACUGAAAAAGGUGAAGGAAAACCAAGAAAGAUAGUUGAUGGGGAGGAGCUUCAUACUCGUACUUGUUACUUCCCUUCUACUAAUGCUCAUUGGUAAUGUGCCUAUUUUUGUGUUCCGUCCUUUUUGAUGUUUUCAUUUCCCAUUUUUGGCUCAUUGUGCAGUCCUCCUCUUCUUUUGAUCAACUGCUACUAGUAGUAUUUGUUUCAGCACCGACAUCUUGAAUAGUUCUUUGGUCAAGGUGACUUGUUUUUUCGGGCUAUGCACCCAACCCACUUAAUCAUUUACUAAAACUUUUCCUGUGGGGUAUUUCUUUUUCUAUAGUUUUGGGGUUUUUUUAAACCAAUUUUGCACCAUCCCUAUUGUCUGUUUUAUGUGUAUUGUUUCUCAAUCACUUUGCACUGUCAGUUCUGCAUCUUUGUUAUAACGUGCGCAACAAUGCAGGGGAGAGGUGCUUGUUAUGCGUUUGAGCCUUGUCAUUUUUGCCUAUUUACUGUUAAUGGUUUUUUUUUUGAGCAAUGCAAAACUUUGCUUCAUUAGCUGCAUAAUUGGUGUAGAUAUAGCUUGAAGGAAUAUGAAGUGUGUUUGUUUGCCAAUUUUUGCUAAGCUAUGGUAAGUUCCAUUAGCAUUUAGACUAGAUAAUUGUUUAAGAUGAUUAUAUGUUGGAUCCGGCUCCAUCUAUACACAAGUACACAAGGAAGGCUUGAUGAAGCUACAAGUUCCUCAAUAUCUUUGUUAACACAAUGUCAGAAUGUGAGUCUUGGCGGUUUCUUGGACUUCAAAUGAACAAGGAAGUCAAAUGAAUAUUUUCCCCAUCCCUCCUUGCUUGCUAGUGGUUCGUGUCUUUCUAAUUCCAAUUGUAGAUUUAAGGAACAUUUUUCUGAUCUUUGGGCUAGAAUUAUGUUGUUGACAUGGUCCUGUCUGUGAUGUGAAUUUAUUAUCUAAAGCAAUAUGUAAUAACCUUGUGACAGAGUUGCAUGCAGUUAUUCUUUAGUACUGUUUUGCAUCUUGCAUAUGCGUGCGUCUUUUUGUAUACUCUUCCGUUGUUGCCAUAGAUAAACUAUUUUAGGUGGAAUUUGUCGUCUUCCAUCGUUUUAUUUUCUAUGACAAGAGCAAUAUAAAACACUUCUAUAGUUUCUUUUGGUGUUAUUUUAUUGCCUUAGCAGUCCUUUUGGGUGUGGCACCACCUGAAUUCCUGAAUUCUGUACUUUGAGUAGUUGAUGUGCCUCGAUGAUGGGCGAAACUAAUGUUCACCUUCGAACAAAUGCAGUGUAAGAGACUAUUCAGAUGCCAACAAUGAUUCUUGGAUAUUCGUGUAUGCAAUGUCUUGUAUCGGUCCAUGCAUUUGUCAGUAGAUCACAGUCACUACCUCAAUAACACUUAGGCUUAAAGCAGUUUACUGGAGCUUGGCUUCAAAGCACAUGCUGUGAUGCCGAUGCAAAUUUCUGAUUGUUAAGAUGCAUGGAAAGCACACGAAUGACUGUGGACUCCUUUUUUUACUUUUUCUUUCUUUGUCUGCUCCAAUAUUCUCCUCACUAUCUACUUCAAGAAGUUAGUCAGAUUAAAUGUUAUUUUUCUUUUUCUACUGAGACUUCACAAACAAAAUUUGACAGGAGUGUGCCAAGGGAGCAAAGUUGGAGUUUGCUAUGGAAGAAAUGCUGAUGAUCUUCCCACACCAGAUAAAGCUGUACAAUUGAUUCAAAAUCAUAACAUUAAGUAUGUGAGGAUUUAUGACUCUAACAUCCAAGUUCUGAAGGCCUUUGCAAAUAGUGGAAUUGAGCUGGUGAUUGGUAUUCCAAAUUCAGACUUGUUGCCAUUCUCACAAUUUCAAUCUAAUGCUGAUACUUGGUUAAGAAACAACAUUCUUCCAUAUUAUCCAGCCACAAAGAUCACAUACAUAACAGUUGGUGCUGAAGCCACUGAGGUUCCCAAUAAUGUCUCUGCGAUGGUAGUACCUGCUAUGCAGAAUGUUUUCACUGCUCUGAGAAAGGCUGGUCUUCACAAGAAAAUCAAAGUUUCCACUACUCAUUCUUUGGGUGUUUUGUCCCGGUCAUAUCCACCUUCAGCAGGGGCUUUCAAUAGUAGCUAUGCAUUCUUUCUGAGACCCUUGCUGGAAUUUCUUGCUGAGAAUCAGUCACCUUUCAUGGUUGAUACAUACCCUUACUAUGCCUACAGGGAUUCCUCUAGCAAUGUUUCCCUGGACUAUGCUCUAUUUGAGUCAUCGUCUGAAGUAAUCGACCCAAAUACUGGUUUACUUUACACAAAUAUGUUUGAUGCCCAGAUUGAUGCUAUUUACUUUGCUUUGAUGGCUCUCAAUUUCAGAACCAUUAAAAUAAUGGUGACCGAGACAGGCUGGCCUUCCAAAGGAUCUCCUAAAGAAACAGUUGCAACUGCAGACAAUGCCCAAACAUACAACACAAAUCUGAUUCGCCAUGUCAUCAAUGACACUGGCACUCCAGCAAAGCCAGGACAGGAGCUAGAUGUAUACAUCUUUUCCUUGUUCAAUGAGAACAGGAAACCAGGGUUAGAAUCUGAGAGAAACUGGGGCUUAUUUUUCCCGGACCAGACAAGUGUAUACAACCUUGACUUCACUGGCAGGGGUACAGUGGAUAUCACAACAGGUGCCAACAUCACCAGUUCAAAUGAAACAUGGUGUGUUGCAGCAUCUAAUGCUUCUGAUGCUGACCUUCAGAAUGCCCUCGAUUGGGCUUGUGGAUCUGGGAAUGUGGAUUGUUCUGCUAUUCAGCCAAGUCAGCCUUGUUUUGAGCCAGAUAACCUCAUAUCUCAUGCAUCAUAUGCUUUUAACGGUGUGAGUGCAGGCAAGUGGUCACCCACCCACCAUAAUGCCAUAUUCAUAUUUUGGAUUCGACUUGGGUAGCAAAAGUCCGGGCAAAUAGGCAAGUAACAGUCGAGAGGACGAUAUUUUUUUCAGAGCUGUUGGCAUCAUCUGAUUCUUGAACAGCGACAGGAGCCUCCGAAAGCACUGCUCUUGUGGUACCGUCAAAAUACUACUGCUCCGAAAGCACUGCAUCUACCCAAAGAUAAACGAGAGACAAAAGUUACAACAGUCAUGGGUCAUUAUCUCAGACGACUGAGAGAAGAGAAUUAAAACACAAGUUAUCUAAUGGAUACGAACAAAUGAUGACACAAAGCGAAUUUCAAUACCUCAUCCUCCUCGUUAAUAAUUGGCACAGGACAGGAGCCAGCAAAUUAUUAUUAUUAUUGUCAUCUACCCGUAGGCUUUGAAGCCUUCAGUGCAUCGUACGUACUCAAGCUCAGUGUAUACUGUGCUAGUACCAUUUCUGCGCUAGAGGGGAAAGCGAUCUCGAUGUACUACUGUCCAUCAUCCGUGCUCCUUGCACUGAACGCCGAGGGAUGCUAAUGCUAGAAAACUUGACUGCUGCUGUUUGCUUUUUCUUCUUCAAGAAAAUAAAUGAUAAUGGCGUGAUUUUUGCAAGCACUAAAAAUGACAAAGAAUAUCUUUUUGCAAACUGUUAUGCUACUACUACAUCUAUGGCGUAUAGAUAGAACGGUUGGAAAGAAAAAAGAGAGUAGUGUUAGGUGCAAAGUUCUUGACUUUUCAGCACUUCACCAAUUAAUCAUACAAUUAUAUUAUAUUACGGAGUGCACAGGAGAAUUCGAAUUUCGAAAUCUGGUAGUGGGUAAUCUGCUUCCUUCCCCCCCCCCGGGGUUUUCCCCAUAAAAUUCCCUUGCACUAUUUAAGUCUCUGUUCAUAUAUAUGACAACUCGAGAACGAAGCGGUGAAAUUGCAGAAUUUUGCCAAAGUGAAGUGAGUGGAACAAGUUGACGACUGAAGAAGAUUACCACCGAGGAAAAGAGAGACGAAGAGGAGAGAAUAUGGUUGGCUGAAGCAGGGAUUUUGCAAAGAAGGAAAGUUUGGAUUCCUAAGAGAUUUGCAUAUGUGCGUAAGCGGUCACGAGAUUGUCAGAGAUGCCUGCUCUGCUGUUCUGUGCUGUGCUGAGGAAGGAGAUGGACUCUGGGUGUGGUCUGCUUCUGGUUGUGGAGGGACUUUGGACGCGCUCUAAUGAAUAGUAACACCUUCCAUUCCAAUCCAAGCCUCAGGUUUCAGGUAUCAAUUCUAUUCUAUUCUAUCUUACGUACGUUGUUCGGUUGUUGCAUCGCAUCUCUCUCCCUCUCUCUCUUUCUUUCUUUCUUCAAUUCCUUCUUUAAGGACACGUCGCUCCACAAAGUAAUCUUUUGCUUUUCUCUUUUUCCAUUUUUACAUCUUUUCAGAAAAGAGCCCCAGCCAGUUGGACGAAUCUAAAUUCGAUCGAGACCCCUUCCUCCCUCCGCCCUUUUAUUUAUUUAUUUAUUUAUUUAAUAUAUACAUAUAUAUAUACAUAUAUAUCUUUGUUAGUUACUACUUUUGUAUACACUACUGGCUAUAUACACAUUACUUGUAUGCUUUUUAUACUAAAACUUUAUCGUCAUUCGAAUAUCUUAUUUUUUAAGUGACUAGAUCAAUAAUGAUUUUAAAGUUAAGGAUUGGUCUUGUCUUUUGGGUUUGCGUGUCUACAUACAUACAUACAUACAUACAUACGCAAUCCUCAGCCGCACCUUCUUGUCUGCUAUGCUUCUUCUACGUAGUUUUCUGGGGGAUCCUGUGUGGAUAUUUUCCCAUUUCUAGUAAUUGGUCAAUGUAUCUAUAUUCUACUAAUAACUAAUUAAUGAUGCUUGUCCAUUACAACAAUAAUAUUAUUUAAUUCUUAAGCACAGGCUACAACAAACUCUACCAUCUUUACUUUAUUUCCCAAGCUUGAUUAGUAUGGUGAAAAGCAAGGGAAGAGCUCAGCUUUCGUUAAUUUGGACUACAUUAGCCUGUAAUGAAACUAUGAACAAAUUAAUCUUAGGUUCCACUUUAAUUUUUUGCUUGAAAAUAUUUGUUACUAAUACCCAUGAAAAGAUUAUUGUCUUGUCUACGACACUGACUUAUAUAAGUUUUAGUUUAUAGAUCAAUGUAUAUGCAGAGGGGAUCGGCUUGUGUAACAAGAUACGAGCAUUGAACAAACAAAUUUUAUGAUACAUGAAAGAGUUCAAGGCUCCAAGCUCACACAUUUUUUCAACCUCUCGGAAUUUCGUCUAGUACAAGAUUUUCUCAGCCAGGGCAAAAAAAAAAAAAAACAAACAAACAGUACUGUAAAAGAAUGGCAGCAGUUAACCAAGAAUUAGAGAUUUCCCUCUUGUCUUUGUAACCAAGAAUUUUGAUUAUAAAUCAACUGACUUCCUUCCAAAUUUCCCUUUCAUUUUCCACGUUCGUAUGCACGAUUUAGAGAUGUUACUGUUGGACAACUUUCACAAAAAAGGAAGCACACCAGCUUUUUAGCUGUAAAUUCUCAAAUUAUAGUCCCUUAGCUUUUGACACCCCGUUUUCAAGUUCCCUUAAUCUCUCCUUCCUUCACAUCAUCACAUGUGCCUUCUUAACCCCAUCUCUAAAGUAGCAGUAGUAACUUCUCAGAAGCCUAGGCCCCCCUUUUCUCCCCCACCAUCUUCUUUAGAGCGUUUUUCCUUACCUUUUUCUCUUUGAAAAUUAUCAUCCCAGAUAAUGAGCUGCGAAGAUGGUGCUAUUUUCAGUUACAACUUCAGGCCUAAGGUUUCUCCAGACUUAAUUCUUUUGAAGGCUUGACAAGCUAAGCCACAUUUUCAAGAAAAUGGGCAGAGCAACAAGGUGGUUGAAGAGUUUGUUUGGGAUAAAGAGGGAUAAGGGCCAGAAGGAGAUUAAUCCAAAUUCCGGUAGCCAGAGAGAAAACAAAUGGACGGGAAUGGGCCAUUCGGGAAGAGACACUGCUGAUGGGCUGUGUUCAAAUCCAAACACCAUUCCACCCAAUAUUACCCCGGCUGAAGCUGCAUGGUUGAGAUCUUUUUACGCUGACUCUGGUGACAAGGAGCAAAGCAAGCAUGCCAUAGCAGUUGCUGCAGCCACCGCCGCUGCCGCUGACGCCGCCGUCGCCGCUGCACAGGCUGCGGUGGCCGUGGUUAGGCUCACCAGUCAGGGCAGAGGAGGGUCCAUGUUUGGUGGUGGUGGUGGUAGUCGUGAAAAGUGGGCCGUUACAAAAAUUCAAAGUGUUUUCCGCGGAUUCUUGGUAAUUAAUUACUACUACUACUACUUUUGCUUCGAAGGUGUAUAACGUAUAUUUGACUGACAGACACGGUUUCUCAGUAUCGUAGUCACAUCCGUUUCCUUGUCUUCUUUCUUUUUUUUUUUUGGCUGUCCCUUUUACCAUUAUAUGCAUUAAUUUUGGUUCGUUCUUACUAGAAAAAUGGAAAUUGCUAAACGGGUAUGGUGUGAAUUAAUCAGGCAAGGAAGGCACUGAGGGCUUUGAAAGGACUUGUGAAACUACAAGCACUAGUGAGAGGUUAUUUGGUGCGUAAACAGGCGUUCGCUACAUUUCACAGCAUGCAAGCUCUUAUAAGAGCACAGGCCAAUGUUCGUGCCCAAAAAACUCGAGGCCUCCUCGAUUCUACUGCUGCAAGUUCAAACCGGCAGUUUCAUGCUGCAAAUUCGGCGGUAAGAACUUGUCUCUGUGCAUCUAUUUUUGCAAGGAAUUACAUCUUAAUUUAAUUUGUGUCCAUCUUGGUUAAUUAGCAGGAAAAGUUUGAUGAGGGUAGAAGUAGGCAGAAUUCAUUUCAUAACAGAAGGCUCUCUGCAUCGUUUGAUAGCAUUAACUCAAAUGCAAUCGAUGAAAUCCCAAAGAUUGUGGAGAUAGAUACUGGAAGGCCUAAAUCAAGAUCCAGAAGAAGCAGCGCCUGGGUAUCAGAUUCCAUUUCCGGGGAUGCCCAGACUCUAUCCUCUUCGUGUCAAUGCCGACAUCCUCCGCCCCACCUAUCGAUCCCUGAUUGCAGAAACUCUCAAGACUCCGACUGGGGACUGACUGGGGACGAAUGCCGCUUCUCCACCCCUCAAAGCACUCCCAGAUUCUCCAAUUCUUGUGGGACAAAUCCACCUGUCACGCCAGCCAAGAGUGUUUGCGUGGAAAGCUUAUUCAGGAAUUGCCCAAAUUAUAUGGCUAAUACGCAGUCAUUUAAGGCCAAACUGAGGUCUUACAGCGCACCGAAGCAAAGGCCUGAACCGGGGUCCAAGAGGAGGCUAUCGCUCAAUGAAAUGAUGGAGUCCAGAAGUAGUCUAAGUGGGGUCCGAAUGCAGAGGUCAUGCUCUCAAGUCCAAGAAGUUUUGAGUUUCAGGAAUGCUGUUGUCGGUAGGCUUGCAAGGUCUUCAGAAUUCUCAAAAGAGCAAUUAUACAACAGGGAUUCUUACUCGGAAGAAUAUUUUGAGUAGCGAUCGAAAGAAUGUGCUGCAACUAUCAAUUCGCAAGCGCAAACAGAGCAUGUAAUUGUCUAGAAUCUAGAUCAUCCUAGAGACAUAGGGCAAGAUGUAAUCUUUACUCCCGUUUUCAUUGAAGAAGUGAUCAAGGUCGGUUAUACCAGUACUGACGAGGUUAAUAAUAAUUGUGUGUCUAAUUUUUCGUGUUGCUUAGGUGUGCCGUUAUUACAACAUUAACUCGACCUCUGCACAAAAAUGUACCGUACAUCCAGUACCACAAAUGCUGAGAGCCAACAAUUCCUUUCCUGGAAUCAUUUGAAAUGACAGGGCUUAGCUAGUUUGGACGGCAAUGCUAUGAUUCAUUAUUGCCUCCGUCCCCCUCUCUGUGUGGUUGCAUUCUAAGUAUUCAAAUUUUUUUUUUCUUUCACCUUUAGGGGCAGUACCGUCAUAAUUUGUUACGAGUGCUACAAUGUCAAUAGGAUGAUGACUUCUGUUGUCAUGUGCGGGUGUGAGGUUGAUGUGCUGCUGUAUCUAAUUUGAAAUGGAAGAGCUAUCUGGUUUUCUAAUCUGAAGAAAUAAUGGGAAUCUCAUAUGUGACCCACUUCUCCAUUAUGUAAACAAAAGAUCACCAUAACUUGGGCUAGUAGCAUCUGUAGUCUGGGACCUCUCUGAUUCAUUCCAUUGGCACAUUACUUGGGCACUCUCAACAAGCUUUGCAGCCUUUUCUUGUUUCUUGUUUUGGCAGAUAGAAAACAACUUGGCAGCCGAAGCUUUUAGGGUCGCUGGCUCAUUUCUGCUGCAGCAACAACAACAAACAGCUACUACGACUGGGUUUCUUGUUUCAUCAGCAGGAUGGUGGGUGGUUAAGCAGCAACAUUAUUGCUUCCUAUGGCUCCUCCCUAACACCAACAGCAAUAGGCCUUUUAUUGGGCGCAAGAUAGUACAAUUUUCCAUUCCGCCUACGUGCCGAAUUGUCAAUUGUUGUUUUCUUUUGAGUUUUAGUUUUGACAAUGGGCGUCGCAGAAGGCUUGAUUCCAGCCUUCCAUUUUUUGCGUCUUUAUCUUCUUCUUGUCUUGUUGGAUUAUAAUAUCUAGACUAUAGAUGCCAGGUAGACUGGUAGGCUUGGUCAAGGACUCGAGAUUCAGGAAGAAGGGGAAAAAGAGUAGGAAAAACUUUGUGCAACUUUAAGGUGUCGUAAUUGUAUAGCUAAAUUACACCCCCUUCAUCUAACGUGAAGGUUUGGAUUCAUGAUAAAGGAGUAUGAAUUUAGCCCUCACUUAAAAAGUAUAAUGUGUGUUUCUACAUUUAAAUUAAUUUAUAUGGUGAUUCGAUCAUAUUCUCAAGUCACGUUCAUCAUCGUUGGACGGGGAAAUAAGUGUUUCUUAGAUUAUUAUUGAAAGAAAUAAUUUCCUAAAAAGACCACAGAAUUUUGUUUAUCUUAUAUUCCCAUUAUAUAUCAGUAGCACGUGCUCUGCUGGUGAGUUAAAUUAUGGGGUGUUACUAUAACGUAAUGUUGUUACAGAAGUUGGUGGAAAGAUAGCUAGCAAGAAAUAUGCUAUAAGGAGAAAUCUUGUUUUUAUAUAAUCUUGUUUCACACUCAUGUGAUGUGAAACUUUGGGCCAAUUUGAGUGCAUAUUGGACACAUUUAUUUGUCGCCUCCGCCCAUGGACCCAAUUUAAGACUGAUGAGUGAAUGAGGGCAGGAUGUUUUCCACGCCAAACCUUUGACAUCUUGAACUCACGAUUUUUCUCUUGGAUAAAUAGAGCCCAACCCAAAGAUCUGAGCAACAAUGAAUGCAAUAUAUAGAUUUCGGAUUGGGACCUAAAAUGAGUUGUGUCCCUUCCAGCCGAAGAUUGUGCUGUUGUUGAAAUUGUGACUUUCUAGACUGUAAUUGUUCAGUGCGUGCGUUAGCAAAGAGCAACAGAUGUAAAUACCAAAAUAGUAAACUAGACACUAAAAGUAAUAGAGUAAAUCUUAUAUACACACUAUCACUGACUGACAGUAUACACACUAUCACCGUUGGAUUCAUGACACAUGUGUAAAAAUUGAAUUUCAAAUUCAAAUUUUGCAUAGUUAUCAUUCAUUCAACGCUGACAGUGUAUACAAUGUCAGUGUAGGAAAUAUUAAUUCAAAGUAAUAAUAUGAAAAAUAUAGCAAAUUAAGUUUUAUAGACGAGAUUGAUUGGGGUACACCACGAAAAAUUUAACGAGCAAUGUUUAAAAUUUUUGUGCCACAAUCAAUCUCAUCUAUCCAAAUUCAAUUUUCUACAAAUGCAGGCUAUAAACUUCAUCAUUCAAUUGCUCCGCUAUUUGCAUAAUAAUUGCAGUCCAGAACGUGAACUGCAACAUAACAAAGAUAACGUUUAAUUUCGCGAAAUGUUAUUUGACCUUCCAUUUUUGUUAAUCACAUUUCUACUAUCAUUUUAAUUAUAUAAUUUUUUAUUUAGUAGACUAUAUGAUAAAAUAAACGAUGAAAGUGCAAAUAACAAAAAAAUAGAGUGCAGACAACAUUUCCCUUUAAUUUCAGAUAAAUUUUCCUUUUUCCUGUGUGGGCCGGGUGGAUGCGCAAUUUUCAAGCAGGAUGGACAACAAGUGGGUUUGGUGCUUUGGAUUGUGGGCUUAGAAUAGAGGGAACGCUCGAGAGAGAUUGGACCGUCUUACUACUGCUUAAGCCUAGCUGUCCUCUUAAUCUUGGGUACACACAAUUAUAGGAUUUGCCAGAUAAUUAUCCCCUAAAAUAAUGGGAUUCAUUCAACCAUCUGAAUUAGAAUCAAAUUGUAAAUCUCAAUCUGAACUAUUGUUAAUCGUGUCUUGAUCACAAGAUUUCGAAAUGAUGCUUACCUUCCUUAAAACACCCUGAUUCUUUUUAUAUUGUGCCAAAAUUCUUUCUUAGACGCCGGGGCCCAAAAAUUUGCGAAAACUGAAGAAGCAUCUGCGGUGCAAGAAUGUCGAAUUCAUUUACUCAGUACUUAUUACUGAUUUACAAUGUCGGCCCAAAAAGGGAACAAAAAAAGAAAAGCAGAAAAAAAAGAAGCUCGUGUAUGUUUGUUAUCUUGAUCAUAUUUUGAUCCAUUCAGAACCAUCGAUGAAGGCAAGCGAAAUAAAAGGCUUUGCUUCCUCAUCUGUAAGUUCUCUGGACCAUGAAACUCUUCCUGCAAAACUUGCCCCUGCUCCGCUGCACUUGUAUUGUCCAUAAAACACCGUCCUGUGCAGAUAUAAGAAAGAGAAAAACAGCGUGAAAUUUUAAUGGCCUCAAAAUAGCUAUAUGACCCCCGCAGGUAGUCCGACGGGUUUUGUAGUCUGGUAGUUAUUAGCACGUUCUGUGAUUGACCCUUGUAUGCUAUCUCAUUGUGUAUUAUUGGAGUAAGAUUUUAUACAGGCUUAAGAGAUUAGUCUGGUUGAAAGGUUGGAAUACCUCCAAAUGAAAAAAAAAAUGGGCUCAUGGGCCGACUAUCAUAUGAUUUUGUUAAUUGGGCAAGCUACUAUAAUUAAAAUGGGUGAGCUAUUACAAUCUUUUUUUGUGGUAAAUAAAUGUACCGAGUUAAAUGUACACUAUCCCCAAAUUAACCAUUUGUACAGAUUUCUUAAUGACUGAUAUCCAGUAUAGUGCAAUACUUGUGGUUGUACACGUGCAUUAGAGACUUGUACAUUGUAAUCAGGUGCAAUAAACAGUAGCCACAAACUAAAAUUGUGUUCACAUCCAGGGCAUUCAAUAAUUUGGACUCUUCUACUUCUAGGACGUAUCCAAGUCUUCAAGUACAUGGCGCUUUCUGAAAGUUGAAUAUUCCUCCAUAUAGGAGCCUUGUGAAAGUUAGGUAAAGUUUGUUUAGGACACUUUAAUGGUUGAUUAUAAGUGGAUUAUAGUAGACAAGAAGAAUAGACACAAACUAAAUAAGGAGUGAGAGUAAGUCAAGGUUAUUGUCCUUGCUAGCUAGCUCUAUAUAUAUAGUGGCAAACAAACAACUGUCGCUGUGGAGAUGCUUGUAAAGUGGUUGUGAGUUGUGACUGAAUACUUUAAACAAAGUUGAUAAUCAUGGUGGAAGAACAGUGUGAUGCAUGCUGGUGCUAUAAUAAGGAAAAGAUAAGUUUGGAUAUACAUAUAUAGUUCGAAAUUGGGGUGGCACCGUCCCAAUACCACCAUCAAAUGCAAUGCUUUUGAUGUGAUACAAACUGACCUAUAAUUGGGCACCAAAUAGAUAGGCUAUAAUUGAGCACCAUAUAGAUACGGAUGGCCAUAUGUUAUGUAUAGUGGAGGAAGAUGAUAAAGAUUUUGUAAUUUUGCAGGGAGGUGAUGAUGAGGAAGAGCACUACUUACAUUUCUCGACUAGGGUCACCCCAGUUAUGCCAGCCUUUUGGAAUGAUAAUGUUGUCCAUAUAUGUGUAAGCGAAGAUUACCCUGGAAAAGGGUCCCCAUGCCCGUCCUAGGUACAGGGCUCCUGAACCCGUGACCUUACAGUUUACAAAGGAGAACCCUGUGUCCUCCAACAGGCUGCUUCUCCCUUGUGCUGUGACUGCCCCCGUUAACUGUGCUAUUGCAUGCACGUGACAACCCUGCGUUUACAUUUUAACCAUUAUGUAUUCUGCCAUCAUCAUUUCAUGAUUUGAGCAUAACUAGGUGCAUGCAGAUGCAGUACAUAAUUGGUUAUGUAAUGUACAUUCUUAAUAGUGUUUCUGUUUCACUAACAUACAAUAGUACCCAGAGGAUUCUUGAUUAGGAUCAAUGUACUUUCUCUAAAUGCAUAUAUAAUGGUAGAAAUUAGUGUUUCUAUUCUAAGUUUAAGUUCUAGAGUAAUAUAUAUAGUUCUCUGGAUCGAAGCAUAAAUUGAUAUAUACAGAAUGCUCCCUCCUAAUUAAUUUGGUUGCCAAUAUAAAAGCCAUAUGUUUCUUGCAACAAUUCUCUUGAACUAUCAGCUAUAACAGGCGAGCUCUAUGUUUAGUGCAGUAGGAUCAUUAGCUGGCAAAUUGAAAAAGGAAAACCAAACUGUAAAUAGAACGGAAACCGAACAAACUCUCCUGAUGUAAGUGAAGCAUGUCCACUUUCAUGUAACACAGUGUUGCUUUUAGAAAAGACACGACUUGUAUCUACCUCCACAUUUCACGUCAUCCCACAAUGAAUUCAAGAACAUACAAUUUUCAUAAAAGGACAUGCGAUCCAAAUUUCAUCAAGUUUUAGUACUUUUUUCUUUUUUAAGUUUUAGUACUUUGUUUGUCCAAUGUAUGUUUUUAGUCCACACAAAAGUGUUCAAUUGAACGAAUUCAAUUUCAACAGGUGAGACCAAAACCAUAUGAACAUGCUAACGUGGCUUUAUUAAGAACGAGGAACAUGAAACAAGAUGCAAGCACUGUAAAGUUUUAACUAACCACUGAUAUGCAAAGACAAUAAUAUUAUUGUUUGUCGAUUUCUCAAGGGAUCAGUGGAGAUAGUUACCUCAAACAAAGAGAGCCCGUUACCAAAGAUGAAAUCCACAGAGCCUUCGAUGUAACAAUCUUUGUAAUAAUGCCUGCCUACGUGGUCAUACAGCGUAUCCUGUGCACCCAAGAAUCUGCAACCCACAAAAACUGCUGUAUCUGCCGAUAUCCUAAAUGCAACAGCUUGCUUUCCAAUGGCUCCUGGGGGUGGUACUGGAGUUGUAUUCUGCAUGCAUUUUUUUUUUUUUUGGCAAAUAUUACGUGAUCAUGAGAUUAAAAUGUUAAUUAUGACUAGCCAAUAACAAAAGAAGGGGAAAAUGAUAUUACCUUGAAUGUGAUGUUCUUGGCUAUGAAAUAUGGAGAAUUCACAGCAAAUGUUGCAGAAGCAAAUGUGCCAAGAGGCUGGCCUUUUGCUCCGGGUGUUUGUGCUGUAUCUCCCCAUUGAACUAUAGUUUUAUCUGCUCCCGCUCCCUGUAUGGUUAUGUAUGACUUCAGCUGAGGUAUUGUAACCUUUUCCCUGGAAAACUCGCAUUUUUGGGGGGGUCAAAAAGAAAUGAUCAUUUGAUGGAGAGAGAGCAACAUGAAAAUAAUACCAACUGUGAAAAAUGAGGAAGGAUGAAAGAAAAGACGCAUUUCAAAAACCACAUGCAAAGUAGGUACCUGUAGUCAGGAAACCAGUUUGUAGCAUAUUGAUCAGAAGCUAAAGGACAACGUGCAACAAACCGACAUAUUUCUUUUUCAAUGGUGGCGAAAUAUAACAAAAACUUGAGCAUGACUACCUCUUAAAUGUACCAUAUUAUAUAGUAAUGCACUAUUUUCUCUCUUUCUCUCUUCUUGGUGGUAAAAUUAUGCAUUUACCAAGCCUUGACAGAAAAUACCACAAAGAACAGAGAAAUGUAUUGAGUAUAUCCUAAAACACUUACGUGUAAACACCCGCAUGAACCUUGAUCAACACUCUAACUAGAUUAACAGUAGGGAGAGAAUCAAUAGCCUGCUGAAUUGUAGUAAAGUCACCGUAGUUUGGAUUUUUGUCGACCGUAAGAGUGUAAGAAGGGAAGAGCUUAUUCUUGGCGGUCUUGAACACAGAGUGAUUGAGGCUGCCAACAAAGUUUACCCACUUCAUGAAUUGUUGUUCAGAGUAUUGGACUUGGGUCAUAUUCACUGCAAAUAGCUUCCCUGAAGCUGUUCUUUUUGGCCUAAUGCCUUUGGUGUGGCAUACUACUGUAUUGCUUCCAUAGCUCAGAAGAAUGAAAAUGAUAGAAUGUACAAGAAGUUUAGAAGUGGGCAUAUCGAUUGAUCUCUACAGAAUGAGAAUGAGAUCGAGAAGAGGAGAAAAGAAAAAGAAGGAAAAAAGCCGUACUAAGGAAUGUUGUUUUGGGGUUAGGAAGUGCAUUAAGCUGGCUCGUAAAUUGGUUGUGUAUAUAUAUAUAUAUAUAUCAGUACUACUUGGGAAUUAGUGCUUAGUAGUAACUGCUGCUGCCUUUUCAUUUUAGGUGGAAAAAGCGAUGCUAUAUUUAGAUGAUCUUGACAUGGAGUGAGAGGUCACGGGUGCCUCUAAUUGAAUCAUUGUGGAAUGUUGGGGAAGAACUAAGAAGGGGGAAUGGUUGGGUUGGGGAGGGGGAUCACAGGAAAACGAUCUCAGACCACAAAGCGAGUCCUAGGGAGGCAUGCACUUUUCGGCCUAACAAAAACGUUUCUUUCCGAGUUUUUAAAGCUCAUUCAGAGUUGGUGGUGCCCGUGACUAUCUCUAUGUUUCCGUAUGAAGCUGAACAUAUUCUGCUUUCAGAAAUGACGUGUUUUUUGUGCAGCAGGGGAAAUGUUUUUGGUACUCUAUUUUUUUUUUUUUGUUAUUUGCGCUCUUACCAUUUGUUUUAUCAUAUAAUCUAAUAAAUAAAAAAUUAUAUUAUUAAAAUGAUAAUGAGAGUGUGAUAAGCAAAAAAAAGAAGUGUAAAUAACAUUUUUUGCACAGUAAUUUCUAAUUAGUUCUAUUCAACAUAUAGUACAGGGAAGGGUGCUUGCUACUGUAGUUGCCAAACACUCGAGGAAAUGUGGGUUUCUAUCUUUGGUUUAUAUGCGUCACAUGAAUCACAUAUAUUUGCUAACAAGUUCCAAAAGCCAAUAUCGUUGUAGAAGUUUGUCAGAGAAGAGGACUAGAAAGAAAGCUAUUAGAACAAAAAUUUUCUUUUACAGGAGGGAUUUUAGAUUCAUGUAACAUAUACAAAAAUCAAAUUUUAUAUUUGAAUAGAAAUCAUGCGUCAUGUAUCAACAAAUGCUACUUUUGGAAAUUUUUUUUAGAUGGUGCAGAAAAAAUUAAUCUUAGAAAUCUUUUUUCUUCUUCUAACCUUAUUUGACACCCAAUUGUUGUUCUUUUGGGCCAGGUUGAUUUCACAUUGUGCAAAUUUAUAUCUCACCUUGUUGGCCCAUGGACCCAAUUCUAAAACCGUUGUGGCAAUAGCAGGGUGUAGAAAUACCUAAUUCACUCUCUCCCACCCUCUCUCUCUCUUCUGGGUUUUUGAGUUUAGAGCCCAGAGGAAGGAAACCUUACAUGUACACCUAAUAGUGUGCCAAGUACAUAUUGUAUUACAAAUGAUUAUACACUCGUGCGUAUAAAUACAUAUAGGAUGCGUAUAAAGAUGCAUAAGUUAAGUAUUAUUUUCAGGAGUCACGGUCCUCGUCACCACGUUCUAUUAACAUUUGAUAAGAAUACACUUAUCAAUGCAACGUUGGGUUUUACACUCCAAAUAUUUCUUUUUUCGCUCACCCCUAAAAUCAUAUUUCUUUGCACGGAAAAGACAUUUAUGGAGUAUUUUAUACACAUAACCCAAGAUGCUAUUCUUUCUUGACUCGUACCAUGCCAAACAUGCCAAUUAAUAAACAAGUAGAGGCUGCAAAUCUAGGUAAUAAUUGUACGAUUAUGGGCAAAAGUUAAAAACUUGGAUAAAUUCGAUCUUGUAAAUUUAGUGAUUCAAAUUUUAUCAACUAUUGAAUAUUUGAGCCGGAGAGAUCGUAUAGCAAAUUUUAAACUACUAAAUUUACAUAGACCGAAUCUAUUCAAGUGUUUGUUCGGGCAAAAUGCGACAAAUUAUAUGAAUUUAGCUUCAUUGUCUAUUUCUACAUCAGUUGGCAAACAAUCAAAGCUCUAAAAGCGACAUAAAUAUAUCAGGUUUUGGUUCGAUGGGAACGGAAUCAACAUCAAUUAUUGAAAAGUUUACAAAAAACCGCAUCUUACUCUUUGUCCUUCCUCUUCCUUGGAAAUAACAUCCAUCACCCCACCCUCCCAUCUGCCUUGCCCCACUUGGAAAUAACCUUAAAAGGACCGAAAAUAGUAGUAGUCUCAGAAUAUUUCUUGCAGACUAAACCCUGAUUUCCAUCUUAGGGAGAGCUCCCAAGAAGCAUCUACUAUUUCGUAAAAUUUGUUCCGACCUCUAAAACUGUCAUGAAUACGAACGUGAUCUCAAGCUUCAUAGCCAUAGCAACUUCCAUCUCCUUCCUCCUCCUCUCACCCCCGUCAAAGUCCUUUUAUCAUUCCUUGUUCUUAUCUGAUUCCCUUUCAUGCAAUGAAUCAAUAGCAAACCACCUCUACAUCCUAACCAAGCGGCCUCAUGUUGCUGGGUCCGAAGCCAAUGCCGAAGCAGCGGCUUAUGUUCUAUCCACCCUCACUUCCUAUAAGGUUCGAUCACAUAUAACAACCUAUGAAGUUGCCUUGACUUACCCCAUCUCACGUUCCUUGACCCUAAAACCUACUCCUCAAGACAGCCCCGUCAAGUUCGAUCUCCACCAAGACAUUUACGACGGUGAUCCUCAUGCCGACGUGGCAGACGAAGUCCUACCGACGUUCCACGCAUAUGCCAAGUCUGCCACUGUAGCUGGACCUGUAGUAUAUGCCAAUUACGGGCGCGUACAGGACUAUGCUGUAUUGAAGCAAAUGAAAGUAAAUGUGUCAGGGAAUGUUGUAUUGGCAAAGUAUGGAAAGAUAUACAGAGGGGACAUUGUGGAAAAUGCUUAUGCAGAAGGUGCUAUAGGUGUAUUAAUUUACACAGAUAGGAAGGAUUACGGUGGAGGAGGUGAUGCAAAAUGGUUUCCUGAUGACAAGUGGAUGCCUUCAAGUGGAGUCCAGGUGGGAUCCGUGUACAAUGGGGCCGGUGAUCCCACUACACCUGGCUGGCCUAGUUCAGGGUUGUGCGAGAGACUAUCAGAUGAUGAUGCGGAGAAAGGAGGAGAAGUUCCAUUGAUACCAUCAUUACCUAUUUCAUGGGCUGAUGGUGACAGAAUCCUGAGGUCCAUAGAUGGACAAGUGGCAAAUGACGAUUGGCAGGGAGGGAAAGAUGCUCCUGUCUACAAGGUUGGGCCAGGACCAGCAAUUCUGAAUCUUAGUUAUACUGUAAGUCUCGAAAAACCAGCAAAAUGUCGAAUCUGUAGAGCUGAAACAGGCAUGCAGUAACUAAGAAAGCCCAUACCGUGAGUUUUGCAGGGAAAGCAAGUUAUAACCACAAUCCAAAAUGUUAUUGGAAUCAUUGAAGGUGUAGAAGAACCUGAUAGGUAAGUUUGAAUAAUUCAAACAUGCAAUGUACAGCAAAUUAAUACGCAUCUCUGAAACAAUUCUGCAUGAUGAAAUUGUCACGUAAGAAAACGACAAGCAAAUUGUUAUAGCAAGCCCUACAAUAGAAAUGAUAGCCAAAAUGAAAUCAUAAUAUUAUUUUCCAAAAAACUGAGCCUGGAUAAACAAAAUCAAGCUUACCGAGUAACUUUCUAAUGCUAGAUUUUCCUCACACAGUUGAAAAUUUUCUAGAUAUGUCAUACUUGGGAAUCACCGGGAUGCAUGGACAUUUGGAGCUGUUGAUCCAAAUAGUGGUACAGCAGCCCUGCUUGAGGUAUGUAAAAUUUUGGUGCUUAAAUCGUCUUAACAUCCCUAGAUUCAAAUUCCAAGGAAAAUAGCAGUUCAACUGAUAUUUUUGAGAGAGACAGGUUGCACACAGGAUGUGGAAGCUCCAGGAAAAAGGUUGGAAACCUCGGCGAACAAUUAUAUUUUGUAAUUGGGAUGCUGAAGAAUAUGGCCUGGUUUGUCUUUCGCUCCUCUCACUGUAGCACAUUCACUCGUCCACAUGCAGCCCUGGCUCCUUUCAAAUAACCAAAGCCAGAAAGAGGCUGUGUGAGCUAAUACAGGCAGAACAUAUUUGUUGUUUUAACUGAAUUAUAAGCAGUUCACCAUCUUCAGAUAGGAUCAACAGAAUGGGUUGAAGAGAACAGGGAAAUGCUAGCAUCAAGAGCUGUAGCCUAUAUGAAUGUUGAUAUUGCAGUUCAAGGAUUAGGAUUUUAUGCCUCUGCAACUCCACAGCUCGAUGAGCUACUAAUAAAAGCAACUAAGCAGGUACGAAACGAAUCUCAAGGGUUGGGGCCACAGGGUUUUACAACAUUGCCAUAUGCAUUAACAAUGAUUGCAUAUGGUUAAUCCACGUAGAAAGCAACAAGUUCAAAAAUAUAUAUAUAUAGAGGUGCAAAUGUGGUUUAACAGCACAAGAAUACCAGUCUGUCAAACUUCAAAUGUCAAUUUAUGUUUUAUCUUUCUAUUCUCACUCAAAUUAGAUAAACUUCUGACUUAGGUCCAAGACCCGGAUAACUCCUCGCAAUCCAUCUACCAAUCCUGGAUUCGCUCCAGUGAAAAUCCUAAGGUAAGCAUCUUAAGACAAUUUAAAUAAGAAAGAGAGUUGCAUUAGAGUUCUUAAAUGUGAACCUUGGGGUUGUGGGAGCAGGGUAAACAUUACAAGCACUGAAUAAAUGGCCACGUCCUAGACCAUUGUGCUACCACUUUGAUUUAUAAUUUAUCUUUACGAGAUAACUCAAUUGAUGCUUUUCAACUAAGGCAUUUAGCUACUUAGGUUUAAAAUCAAACUGCCCCUGAAUACCAAGAAAUACUAAAUCUAAAAGGUCAGCUUCUGGAUUUCUGUGGCCUUGAUAAGUGGCUUUUGGAUUUCAAUAUUGACAAACUGACCAAAAGGUCUUUAAGAUUGGAAGGUUAGGAGGAGGAGGAUCAGAUUAUUCUGCCUUCGUUCAGCAUGUUGGUGUUCCAGCUACUGAUAUCUCUUAUGGAGAAGGUAAAAUGAAUAUAUUCUGGUAAUCUUUUUCACAAAGCAAGAGAUGCUUGCAUCAAUGGUUAUUAGGCAGAUAUCCAAUUAAUUUCACCUUAAUGUAAUUUGCUCUGUCUUUUCAUUAAUUCCUUCACAUAGUAAGCUCCUAUGUCAUCUCCAAAACAACCCCCGGCCCUCUUCCCAACCCCCCUGUCCUCUCCCCAGAAGGCAAAAUAAAUGAAAAAAAAAAGAGCAGAAUCUAAUAAGACCACUGAGCAUUCAAAGCAAAACCUCGUACCAUAAAGCAUCCUAAAUAAAUAUAUCAGAGAAAUAAAUAGAAAAACAAUGUAAAAGCUCAAAACUUAAAGCAAUUUUUUUCUUUUUAAGCUAUUCAUGAUUCUUCAUGGUAAGAAUCAAUGAAGGGAUUUACGGACCAUGCAAGGAAAAUUAAUUUUUGUAUAGUAGGACUAAGAAAGCAGUAGCUUCGACAUACAAGCAUUAAGAACCAAAAAAAAAAACUUCUAAAAGCAAAAUAAUCUUACCAUCGUCUUUCCUCAUAACAAUUGGUCAGUGAGUGUGAUGAAAUUACAUCAGCCAGUUCUCUAGCAUCACUUACCAUUUGUAUGUAUGUUCAUUCUCCAUAACGUUGUGUUAUACCACUUGACUUUCAUUACAAGAGAAAUAAUGACAUUAUACUCGUUAGGCUCUAAAGCAGUGUAGUAUGACAAAUCACAAAUUUAGAAAAGCACAAAAUCUCCAUUUCUCUAAAAGAACACCCUACUAAGUAUCAUAGCUCUGGAGAUAUCGAGCAUGUUAGCAUAUCUAGGCAAAAAACUUUAUUUAGAUCUGGUGCAUAUUAUGUAUAACACACUCGUAUCAAUCUAACCAGUAUAGAAACAGUGCUAGAUCAGGAUCAACUCAGUACAUUGAGUUUCUUACCUUGAACAAUAACCUAUAAAGAACAUCUUUUUUAAAAAAUGUCAUAAAAACAAGGGGAAGACAGCAAUAGAAAAAGAAAAUUACAGGAUGAGUUGAGAAUAAGAGUCGGAGUAAAUGGUACAGGGACAUCAACCACAAUGUAUCAAACAUUUAAGAGAAAACAAUGGUGUAAGAUCAAGUAGAAGAAGAAGAGACAGAUUUUUUAACAGCCUCAAAACAAGGUUUGCUUACCCAUUAAUUACAUACCUCCUGACUAAUACACAGGCCAUCCAUCCACUCUCUGCUGCUAAUUGACUAGGCUUAAAAUUUUCAUCUACAACCUGCACUAACUCUGAACAACAUCAAAUAGACACCACAGCCUAGAAAUUAAUCCAAAAGAAUAGAGGGACCUGAUGAAGAUACAGAUGCAAGAUUGAUAGGUCAAAUGAGUACAUUUUGCCAGAUGUCUAGGACAAACUCUAAUAGACACUAAGAUCACCAUGAAUCAAGUUAGUUGUGAAGAUCAAUGUAUUUCCCCACCCAAUUACACUUCUAACGUUGCACAAAAGUCAAAACCUUGCCUCUCCCAUGACACUCUUAGAGCAUAAGAAUCUUGAAAAAAUAUAAUUUGCAGAAGAAAACAAAAUAAAAUCAGAAUCAGACCAAUACACUGAGAAUUCUAGCGAAUCAUCCAAGGCACAAUGUUCUAUUCAGUUGUCUUGACAGGCAUGCAUUCAGACAGAUUCUAGCCAACCCUUUAACAUCACUAGCAUACAAAGAACUGGUAAUGACAGAUGCAUAAUUAUCAUGGACUUAACUAGUUGCAAUCGAGAAGCUUGUCUCCUUAAAAAUGUGCAUGAAACAAGAAUUAACAUUUUUAUUGAGUACCAUCAUCUUUACUUACCACAUUACAAACACGUGUUGAGGCUGUGCAAUCAGAGUAGUUCAUAGUACAAGAAUUAAUUCGUAUAGACAUGACCCAGUUGACCUUAAAAGUACAUCAUGUAUAAAUUUUUUUUUCCUUAAGAAACAUAGACUUAUUAUUUCCAGCACUAGAGAUUCUCUUCCAGCACAAAAUAUAUCAUACUAAGCAAAAACGCUAGGCAUACUCCUUUUUAAGAAUCGGUCCAAUUCUUGAACUUUAUGACUUCUAACGUUUUUCAACCAUCACUUGACAAAAUUUGGUGGCUUGUAGAUUAUCCAGUCUAUCACUCAAUGUAUGAUGACUUCAUCUGGAUGAAGAAAUUUGGUGACCCAAAGUUUCACAGGCAUGUAGCAGGUUAGUUAUAAUUUUCUGCUAGAUAGUAGAAUUUACUGCAAUUGCAUAGACAUCUCAAUGGCUUCUGAGAUUAAAAGUUUCAUCACAUAAUUGGGAUGAGCUAUUAAUUAAUCAUCAGAAAUGCCAAUCUUACAGAAUCGAAAGUCACAAAGCAACUCUUAUGUUCAGUUUAAAACAUAAAUUAAGUUGAUCCCGCUUUUGUAAAUUCCCCACCAUCCCCUUAUUAGUAAAUCAGUUAACAUUUGGCAAUGAAAUCAAAAGUUGCAGGAAUCACAUGCAUAAUAAGACGGAUAGUGUGCAGAGAAGUGCAAAAAAUAUAUUAUUUAUUGGCCCUCUCCAAAUGAAAUUUCUUAGUUCAAGCGUCCAUUUGGCUAAAAGAGUUCCUAUAGAAGCAGGGUCUAAAAUCAACAUGGAAGAAAAACAACAAGACCAGGUUUCACUUAUCAGGCAUUCAAAAAAUAAUGCAUAUUAAAUGGAAACACAACAAAAUACUGAAAAACAUUAAACAUAGCAAAACACAGAUUCAUUUAACAGACAGUAUUCAGCAUAACUGACAGAAAUACUAUGUUGGAGAGAUGUGUUAAAGGAGGAGGAAGAAAAAGAAAAUUGCAAAUAGGAAGAAUUAAGAUAAGGCGACGAAAAACUGACGGGCAUAAAGGUUUCGAGCAGCAAGAAACAACAAUAAUUUAUCCAAUAGAGCCAAGAAACAUCAUAAGAACCUAUGAUUGUUUAGUUAGAUGAACAAUGUCAGAAAUGACAACGAAAAUAUGACUUAAUUCAAAAAUUAAAAAAAAAAAAUCAAAUACAGAAGCUUACUGCUUGUGUCAGACACUACACACUUUCAAGGCACUGAAGGGAACUCAAAAGUUUCAAAAGAAACGAAAGAUUACCUUAGACAAGUCAUUGCAUGCUCAAACACUUGCAGGACACAUCUCACCAAAUAUUAAAAUUGAGAUAAAUUUUCAUGUAUAAAGAAGAAACUUUUCAUAAAAAAUUUGGUAGCAUGAGUAGUACACAGUAAAAUUAGAAUACGAACCUGUAUCGAAUAUAUCAAGUAUCUGUUUCAGGCAUUUGACAAUCGACAUGGAUAGAUACUGAAUCAGACCCCUCUAAUAUGUUUUAAACCUAAAACAGACAUCUUCUAACUCCAUGUUAUAGUAGAUCAUGCAUAUAGUGCUCCAUGACACAUGACUGCUCCACAACAAGUACCAUUAUUGUAUGAUUAAAUUGUCACAUUUCCUAAUCUUCACGGAAGGAUAUAGGAGAAAUAAGAUGCUUUAAAUCAUGGUCUAUAUCGCAUCAAUGUCCAUGAAAGAUAUUAAAAUUUCAGUCAAACAAAUAUAGUCUCACAAAGAUUAGCUGCAUUCCGUAUACAUAGUUAUUGCUCCAUCAUCACUAAAUAUACACAUAUUGUGAUGCAAGAGCAAAUUUAAUAUACAGAUGUUGCUAGAGACGGAUUUGUUAUUCUAUACCACUACUUGUAUAAAAAAAAUUCCUUCAAUUGUGUUUUCAUUCAUGUUGUUUCCUAUCAUCCAUUUUCACAAAAGAGACGAAAGUUCACUCAAACAAUCUAAACCAUUAGAAACAUAGCUGCAUUAUGUACACAAAUAUUGCUUCAUCAUCAGUCACUGUUACAGUGGCUCAUGUGAUUCAACAGCAAACUUACAUUGUUAUAAUGCUACAGGUAGAUUUGUAGCUCCAGAUAUGUUAUACUUAAUAUAAAAAAAAUAUACCCUUUAGUUGUGUUUUCAAUCCUGUUGUUUUCUAUCAUCUAUUUUGUCCAACACAAUUCUACUUCAGCAGUUAAAUCUUUUCAUCAACUUGUUUCUUUUUGUGUACGAACAGUGACAAGUAUUUGGGGUUUAGUAGCACUUCAGCUUGCUGAUGAAGAAUUUUUACCUUUUGAUUAUCUGUCCUAUGCCAAUGAGCUGCAGGUAUGUUUCCUAUAGUGGAGAAAUGAGUAUAAUAUACCUGCUUCUACAAUUGAAAGUAAUCUAAUCUUUUGAUUGUUUGAUCCUGUAACUAGAGAAGUGUGGAAGACUUGAAAAUUGAGUUGUCAGAAAAGGGCAUAAAACUAUUUCCCUUAUUUAACUCUAUCAAGGAACUGAGAAUGGCAGCGACUAAAAUUGCAAACGAGAUAAAGGUACAUCUCCAGCUCUAUUAGUCAAAAACUUGGUAGAGAUCUCUAAGUGUGCUAAAUUUUAUUGAUAGAAGCACAAUUCAUUAGGUGCUACAAGACAGAAAUGUUUGGGCUUCUGUAUCAAAAAAUGACCACUACAAAGUAAGAGAAUUGAAUGACAGACUAAUGAUGGCAGAGCGAGCAUUCACUGACCGCGAAGGACUUCCUGGAAGGACAUGGUACAAGCAUUUGGUAAGCUUCUUUAAAUCACCUGCAAGUGACCUUGUUGUAGCUAAUUAAAAAUUCAGUUAAGUGCUUGUUAUUUCACCUUGAUUGAAGGUUCUUAUUUUUCUUCCAUUACAAAGCACAAAAAUGACAUCUACUUAGACCAAAGAAUUUCAGGAAAGAAUAAUCACAAAAGCAUUUGGAACAUCUAGCAUACCAAAAUGCGUGCAGCUGAAAAUGACACUUUUGAUAACUGAAACCAAAUACUGACUGAUGCUUUAUAUCAUUCAGAUAUUUGCACCAUCAAAGCACAAUGAUUAUGGUUCUAAGUACUUCCCUGGAAUAGAUGAUGCCAUCGAAAAGGCCAAAAGCAUUAACACCACAGACUUGUGGCUUGCAGUACAGCAUGAAGUCUGGAGAGUAUCUAGAGUGAUUAAACAUGCUUCACUGGUCCUCAGUGGUCAGUUAACAUGACUACCGUCAUCUUAUACCCCUAAAUUCCACGUGUGUAUUUGCUAUUAAUACUAAAACAAUUGGGUGACAUCUGGUGGACUUGCUUUAGUUCAAGACUGAAUCUGGGGAUUUUAUAUUGCAUUUUGUUUUUUUUCUUAGGUAUACUAUUGACUGUUCCUCAUUUGACUCACUAAUGGUUAGGAAAAAGAACUUGAUGGUCACAAAGGGAGAUAACCUGUAGUUAAGCUAAACAUGCAAACGCCCAAUCUGAGACCAUUUCUAAUAACCAUGUAGUCCAAGUCCUAGCUGCAUGAUACAAAAUUCCAACAUAAUUUCUCAGGGAAAUGAUUGGCAACUAAAUAUUUUACAGUUUAUUCUUGAUUUCUCAAAUUUGGAAAAUCAGUCUAUUGGUGUGCUUCCAUCUGAAGUGAAAUUUUCAAGAUCAAUACCACAGACAGGCUCUCACAAUGCCUCAAAAAUUUCCAUCCAUCAUUAUUGCAGUUAUCUCAAACGGGAGAUAAAUCCAAUAUUUAAAGAACUUCAUAGUGGUUGAGCAAACAAAAUACUACCUAAUCCUGAGUCCAACAGCACUAUAACAAAUUCUUUUGACAGUUUCACAGUUGAGCCAGUAAUGUGGCCUAGGCCAACAAAUAAGAAUUAAAGUUUCAAAAUUAGAGGUCUAAAUGGAGUACAACAGUUUCUGACAUACUGCAGUACCAAGCUAAAGGAAAGUUGGAUGUCAACACAAAUGAAAGCAUCAUUUCCAUUGCAAAAAGAAGAUAUACAUGUCACAAUAUGCUCAUUAAGCUGUACAACUAAAGCUAGGUUAGAAAUGUAAAGCAGUUAGGAACACAAAAAUCUGUAUUUCAGAUUUGGUAAAUACUGUACAAUUAUUUCUACUGAACCUACAAUAUAUACAAUGAACAACAGUUAUUUCCGAGUCCUCUACUUCCAAACCUUAAUUGCACCAUCCCUACUGCUCGAAAUCAGAAGCCUCUGGUUCAGCUUCACAGAAGCCAAAGAGAGGACAGAAUCACGGUGACAUCCUGCAGAAUCAGUGGCAGCACCAGCAAGGAUAGUCUUUGUGGUCAAUCUCAUUGUCAAAGGUCGUCUUCUGCCCUCCUGUUUGUAAAAAAGAUCAAUAUAAAUUAGUAGGCCAUCAUCCCAGAACAUAAGUGAGGGGCUAUUUCUCGUCCAAAUGCAGCUAGGUAAGUUUACAAUCACAGGCAAAAAGAAGAAGCGAUAGAGAACCAUUGAACUAAAGAAAAUCUUCAGUUUGAAAACGUACGACAUUUGAAUCCAACACUACCCCCCCCCCCGGGGGGAAAAAAAAGCCCAACCAUCAGUCCAGUUUUCUCCUUCCAGGCAUGGCCCAGGAUUUUAAACUAGUACCUUUACAAUGAGAAGGGAAGAAACUUCUCAAGGAUUGCCAAAAAAACAUACAACUUAAGAGUCCCUAAUAAUUCUGAAUAGAAGCCUACCCAAAUUUUUGAGAACUUCAUUAGAAACAAUUCAUGUCCCAAGUAAAAAAGAGAAACAAAUCAUGAUGAUGCCAUUAACAUACCUGCACAACUUGCACACCGUAGUAAGACUUUGUCUCAAAACUAUCAUCAUUUCCAACUCCCUUUAUAGAUGGUCCACAUACACAAUAACUUCGAUCAGGGCUGAAGCAUAGAUAUGCAAGGGUCAAUAGAAUUGCAAUGACUGCCCAAAUGCAUAAAGAAAAUUAGAAAAUGUACCUGGAAUGGUCCCAGCGACGUAUUUUCAAGUCAGUACCCCCUGUCAAUAGAUCCCCGCCUGGCAACGGAAGUAAAGCACGGAUGCCAGGAAGACGUGGAGGUGGUUCAUUCAACUCAUCGAUUCUAUAUUUCGAAUUAGCACUUAGCCUGAUAUCUGAUUUGGCAUUCCCCUUGCUGGAUGCUCUGGCUAAUGCCCAAGGCGAGUCAGAAAUUUCAGCAUCCGUCUCAUUAUUUGCUACCCUCAACACCUGCAAAAAGCAGAAUAAGUAGCACAAAAAUCCACCAGUAUAAAAGCACGAAAUGUUAUUGCAGUGAUUGAACGACAGGUGCCAACUGCUCAUUCCAUUCAUCAGUCUAACUACAAUAUCGGGGUUUCGUAUAUCUUAUUCGAGUGAAUUUCACAUUUAAAAUCUAAUUGUCUGUGACUUCCAAAGUAUCCCAGCACAACAAGUAUAUUCUCUCAAAAAUUACUCCCCAGAUGUACAUUAUACUUCCCCCUCCAAUCCUUCUGUAUCUCCAUAACUAAUCAUCCCUCCCAAGCAUGCAUGUUUACCAGCAAGAACAUCUAUAUGGAUCAUAUUCUUUCUAAAAUACAACAUCACAUCAAUCAAUUUAAUCACAUUCAGUCAAAUUUCACUCUUUUGCUAGAUUCUUUACUAUUUUGUAAAAAGUACAAAGUGAUCCAACUGUACCUGAUGGCAGCUUCCAUUUUCUGCAUUCCAAAGAGAAACUUCAUUACACCCUGCUGCAACAUAAACAAGAGGUCUGGUAGAUAGGGAGAAGGAGGUACUAGGAGGAGGAACAAAAAGGCUCAUUUUCUCAAUUGGGCAUGCAAGAGAAUACUGCCAUGAAUUGACAGGUAUUCCAAACCUCAAAUCCCAAAGGGUAAGCACGCCUCUUGAUGACCCAGUGACAAACCAGUUCCCACAAGGAUCUGCAACCAGAGAAGAUACAUAACCCUCCUCAGGGACCACUUUUGAAUUCCAAACAUUUGAACUUGUUCUUGUAUCCCACAGAUGAAUUCCACAAUUCUGGGUACUGUACAAAAUCAUUUUGCAAGCACCACCAUCAGGGGAGUAGUUCAAAAGGUUUAAUAUAGCACCUUCUCCAACUCCGUUCUUUUUAACAUCAGCUAUGCCUGAAUAUUUCUCCACAACAUUGCCCAGUCCCCCGGAUAUGUAAUCAACAGAGAACAUGUGUAUAGCUCCAUCACAAGCUCCAACAACAACUUGAGCAGAACCCUGGAUCACAGCAACACACAGUGCUCGACUUCCAUCUAAAGAAUAAGUUAGGCGCGACCUGAAUGAGAUAUCUUUUUCUAACCUUUUAGAAUCCCAAAUUUUAACAGUAGAAUCUUCAGAUGCACUUACGAAAAAGCUAUGGUCAGUGGAAACAGCUAUGUCAUUAACAGCAGAGUGGUGAUCCUGGAGAUGCGCAACCAACACCCCACGAGGCCUCCACCCUGAAUCUGGAAUCGUCGAUGUUCGCCCAAAAGAUGGUACAUCUGCACCCUCACUUGAAGCAGAAUUACUUUCAAUUGAAAGGGAACUCCCUUUUGUUGUACCAGACACUCCCAUUUCCAGAAACUUGUUAUUUACAAAGGCUGUUUGAUCCAUUUCCCUGUCUUCAACUUCAUGUACAACCCUUCGCAAUUGUGUGGAACCACCACCAAUGCUGAUUGAGCCUGAGAUAAACUUAGGAGCUGGAUCUGAAUUGGCCAAGCUAAAUGAUUUACUAACUGGAUCCAUCCAUGGCAAGGAUGCAGAACCAAAACCUAAAGAACCACAUGGUAAUGAUGAAUCAGAGACUGUUGGAGAGCCUGCAGCUCGUUUGUUAUCAACUUUAAAGUAAUACAAAGGAAUGCCUUGUGAUGAUUUCUCCAUUAAACUGUUCAUUCCACUAAGAGGUGGAGAGAUAAAACCGGGCAACUGCAACUUUUCAGAAUCCAGGAAGUCGCCAGAAUCCAUAGCCAUAGGACUUUGCACUGAGUUGCCCACAACUUUUGAAUUCUGGUCAUUAUCAUUACAAUCUGCAAGAUCCAGAGGCAGAUUUGCACGUUCAACAACUUUAUUGCUCUGAAGAUCUCUUUGUCGGUCAGACCAGCACAUCAUUGGAUCCAGCUCCUUCACCCCUCUCUGAAGAAAAUCCACUGUUUCCCAAUUUUUAGCCUGUGAGUCACUGUUGUACCAUAUUUUUCGCUGUCUCUCCAGCAUGUCUGAGCUCCUGGCACUUUCUAAAACACGAUAGUAUCUCUCUCUUGACACUGGCGGCUCUAGGCAUGAAAAAAGAGCCUUUUCUGAAGCUAAAGAUGCUGGUUGUCUACGCAGGAAGGUGCGUAUAACAGGCACAAGGAAAACAUAUGAAUCUACUGCACCUAAACUCUCACUGCUAGCUGCAAUGAAUGUGACAUCGGCCCUCCUGACCCAUUGACUAGGAUAACACAACAGUGGAAAAGCGUGUUCUAUCAUCUCAAGCAAGAUUCUCUUCCUUAGAAAUCCACUUUUGCAUAAAAUAGCUAGGCAUUCCAGUGCAUUCACAAUUACAGCCUCAGUUACAUCGCUUAAAGCCUGCUCAAUGUAUGGCAAAAGAUAUUCCUCGACACUCCUUUGUCCCACGAAAAAGCAGACAUAUAUGAUCUGUCCAUAAAACACUGCCCUGAGUUGCUCAUCUCGGUCAUUUAGGAAAGCAGGGAGGAUGGGCAACAAGAAAUCAUUACUCUGCCUCUGGCCAAAAAACCAGCAAAGAUUGCCAAUGUCAUGCAGGAGUGCUCUCCUGAUAUUUGGUGUUUGCUUUGGGCCCAUCACAAGUUCUUGAAUGACAUCCGCAAUAGACUUCCUUAAUUGCACAAGCUGUGCAUCACUAUUUGGACUGUAUCUCCUUCCAGAUGUAUCAGAGGAUGUAGAGAGUGACUUCUGUGGCGAACUUGAUUCACUGAGAACUCCUGCCUCACUCAAACUUAUAGAGUGAAUCAAAAACCCAUAAGCAGUAAGUGCCAGCUUAGAUAUAUUGCUUGCAUAACAUAUCCUUACACUUUCCUCUGGAUCAUCAGGGAGCAUGGAGAGCAUUGGAAGAAUAUACUCGGGAAAAAUUUUAGCAUCACUGGGUGGAAAAUCUCUGACUAAGGGAAGAAUGUCACAUAAAGUCUCUAGGGCAGCACAACGCACAAUUGCAGCUGGAUCUGAGAGCAUUGCAAUAACAUAUGGAAGCACACGCUGCAAUCGAUCUUCAUCAUCAAUGUAUAAGGAACACGACUUCAAUAGAAGCACAGCUCCUCUCCUCAUGAAUGGCAGUUUGACAUUUCUUAUGCAAGAACAGAGCAAUGAGGCAAUCAGAACCAUACCUUCACAGCUCAUGAUAUCUUGAGGUAAUGGUAGAAAAGGCAUACCAAAAGUGUCUGACUGGUUGUCAUAAUCCGACAUUAAUGAGUUCAAAUCACUUGUUGUUAUCUUUCUUAAGAAGGGAUGGUGACUUCUGUUAAAUAUAUUAGAGAUACUCUGAAUCAGCUCAUCAGGAGAUUGCACAUCACACUGCUUUCUGUUUUGAGAAUAUGCAGAUCUAGCCACACCUUCCAGCAACGGUUUCAUGCUAUGAAAUCGAUUAUUUUCCUUCACAUCCCUGAGUAGAUUACCAACAUCACCAAGAAGAUCAAACCUAUCAUGAAUCGAGCCCUUAUCCACCUUUUCUCUUUUGCUACUGGUGUCCUUCUCCACAUUUGUAUUAUGUUGUGCAUCUGUCCCAUGCAGAGAUUGAUGCAUAGCAUCUAAAGAAAGCGCCUCCCCAGAAACAGUCUCCUUGACUACACUACUGCUCAUCAUUUGUCUAAGAAUCUCUUGAAAAGACGUCUGGCAUAUUAAAACCUACACCAAGGAACUUUCUAAAUAAGCUUGAGCACAGCGUAAUUAUCACCAAGAUAAAGAUCAAGCACCAAAAAUGCCUUACCCUUGCAUCAGAAUUAAGGGGAUUCAACAAGGAAUAGAAAUUGUGGAGAAAUGGAGAGAAGUAGCCAGGAAACACAAUGCCAGAGAAGUUCUGCAGAUAGCUUUCAGCAGAAAAACGUGCCUCCGGAUCCAAUUGAAUCAUAUGAAGAAUCAUCUUGCGGAUUCCUGAAUCUGGAAUCUUUAUGCAAACAAGAUAAAGACCAAAAAUAAAAGUUAAUUUAGAGAUUCAAUAAACACUCUAAGUGGACUAGUAGGCAAACACUUCAACCUAUAUAGUGAAGUCAAUGUUCCAUGAAAUUUCUUGAAAGAGAUUAAUUGGGAAAAUAUGAUGACACAAGAAGAAGCAGAGAAAGGUCCUUUGGUUAGAGCCAAGUUAAAAUGGCAUUGACUAGAUCUUACUUUUUCUAGAUGUUGGCUAGGAUCAUAUUGUCCUCUACGAUAAGCAAGCAGUUGAGACAACUCAAACAAUGGCUGACCCUCGAGGAAUAGCUCAGCUAUUACACACCUGAAGCAAGAACAUGAAAUUGAAGAAAAGUGUAAAUCCAUUGUAUCACAAGGCAAGAGCUUAUUGCCAUAUAGAUAAAGACAUCCUCAUCAAAGAUUUGUGCCUCAACCAUAAAAGCAACCAUCCAAAGCCAAAAAAGUCAAGAAAAUUAGUUUGUGAACUGCUUUGUAUAACGUAAAAAGAGAACCUCUUGACCCAACCAAUAUGUAUAUACCAAUAAAAUGUAGCAACUAAAGCAAACAAAACUUAAAAUGAUAGACCACAACUGGAUUGCUUGGAUGAAAUAUGUAGAAAUGAUAGUAAUUAAUUUGAUUGUGCUCUAACAUGAACGCUCACUUGAGGGCUGUACAUGAUUAUGCAAGCCCAAUUAAUCUCCUAUACACUAGCAGUGUCUGUCAGGCCUGGAUGCAUGACAACUAAUUUUAAUUUCAAUUUGAAAUCCAAGUUUUACAUGGCAAGCACCCAAGGCCAACAGUGCAUUCAUUGUCGGUGCAUAUAAGAUUAAUCCAUAGACAAGAGCUAAAACAAAUGCUGUUGAUCUAGAACCCUAAUCUCUUUUUCAGAAAUACCAAUUUGAUUACCACAUGAUAUAGAAGUAUAAGUUAUUGCAAAGAACUUUGGUUGUUUAUGGACUCCUGCAAAAGCAACUGAUGUGAAGCGCAUCACAUUCCUUGAAUGGGUUUGGGGCAAUUUCAUUGCUGUUGUUGAGGAAUAAAUCAUUGAUCUACUUGUAGGAUUUGAUACAAAAGGUAAAAGAAUCUUUACCCAAUUUUAUUAAAGAUCUAUUGUCACCAAUGUACUGUAUUAAACAAAGAAUCUCACAGAUCAACAUAGUCCUACUACUUUCACAUACUUCAUCCAUGUGGGCCAAUUAUAAGUCCCAACCACACUUUAGUCAGCCCCCACAAAAAAGAACACAUUUUUUUCUCCAUGUUUUGACUUACUUAGUAAGGUGACAAUGUUAUUUGGCUAUUUGCACAACAGCAAGAUCGUCAAAACAAAAGAUGAACUUGCACAGCAAGCUAAAAGCUACAAGAUGUGAGUUCAAGGAAAUAACCUGUUCGAGCUUGCCAGAUCAAGUCAUUCAAAGUAACAGGCAGAAAGAGGGUAGAAAAUGAUACUGUUCAUAUAUAGCGCAAAGUCCAGGAUGCCAGAGAGAUACUAUCAUCUAUGUCCAAUAAGAAACAAUGAUUCCCACUCACACAAACGAUUUCAGACAAGUUUCUGACACAUAUCAAGCUCAGAUCCAGAAUUCCAUCAAAAGAUGAAAUGACUAUUGUUUUAAAAAUGUAAAGCAAGACACAAAAGUAGAAAUUUUAUCAUAUAAUAAAGAAAGACAAACAUGUGAUACUAUCAUCUAUUUAAUAAAAUAUCAAUAAGACAAGCAAUGUUCCUUAGAUGGAAAAACAAAUCCUGGAUCAAGAAACAUCUUAUUGUUAAGUUAACAUAAUCAGAUACUUUACUUCCAAGUUCAGGUUCUUAUAAAACAUCAGUGAUAUUUAUGCUCAAGCAGCAUAUGCAGGUAUAAGUAAAUUAAAAUUUCAGGGCAAACAAAGACUUGCACAAGGAAAAAAUUAUUCUUUCAAAAUGGGAAAGAAGGUCUCAUCAUAUCUUCAAUUCAGUAAAUUGCAAUCUAGUGUGUGCAUUUGUGUAUUUCAAUUCGCAUAAAUAAUUUUAAAAGCAUGUAUAAGUUUAGUUAAUGCCACUUCUCAUGUACUGGGAAAAGCAUAUUUACCACCUUUAGGCAUCACAUUAGAUUUCUCAAGCACCACUGCCCAUGCUUUUACAAGACAACAACCCUCUUGGCAAUAAAACAAAAGCAGUGCAAGGGGCUAAUAUAGAACAAUUUGCAGCAGAAGGGGCACUAAACUUGUUAGUGAUAUAGGCUGAAGCCAAAGAGAAAAUCUGGAACUUAAACAAUAACCGGGAAGUAAAGGAUUCUGGGUCAAUUGAUAAAAAAUUAGCAUAGGCAGCAACAAUUGUCUUUUGAUAGUAUUGCAAAAGAAAAGACCCACAUUGACCAAAAAAUCAACUGUCACAAUACAUGUUGCCACUUUCAACACAAUUUCCACUUAUCUGCACACUGACGUAAACAUGAUUCUACUACUAUGGAGCAUUUAAGAAGCAAAUGCUCCUUGAAUACCAAAACUUCAAGAACCAAAGCGAUAAAUUAUUUCCAGUGUAUUUUUUAAUAAAGUAAUCUUCAAUUCCAAAUUAUCAGCUCAAAUGCAGAAAACUUACCCUACAGCAAAGAUGUCCAUUGAUGGUUUUAAUGGUGCAUCUUGAGCAACUUGCGUUUCACCUCCAUGCCCAUAAAAUCUCUGAAAAAUGAAAGCAACUUCUAUUAGUGAGUAUAGACAAAAGGCAACUGUCACAUUCACUAAAUGCAAUUCUCUCUCUCUCUCUCUCUCUCUCUCUCUCUUCAUUCAUUUUCUUUGUAGAAAAGAACUUCUAAUAUUUCACAGUCUAGUUAACCAUGCUAUAAAUAACCAAUUUUCCAUUUGAAAGAGGAAAAGAAUCAAUCAAUACUUGGUAACAAUUUGAUGAUCAUGUGUCAUGAAUGGUCAACAUAGGAUCAAAAUUAAUCUCCAGUCCGAAUUAGUCUUACAGGGGAUGAUAAUUUCGCUGAUUGUGACCAUUCAGGUGAUCCAUACUUCAGGUAUUGGAUUCUUCUACAAGACUUUUGUUUUUGCCUUUUAUUUUCUACACUUCCUAAUGCAUUUUGCUUCCCAUCAUCAUUAGCAUAAUGUUUAUGUCCUUUCUGCACUAGAAGAAACCUAAACAUAUGUUGUUGUACCUAACAGACAAGGAGAAAAGAAAGUCCAUUUAUUUGUCUUCUUAUAUCCAUCCAUAACCUUAUCACAACUGUGAUCAUGAAUCCAAUAAAGCUUACAAAGGCAGCUGCACAAACUAAACAUAAAUGGUCAGGGCUACCAAGAAAGUUGUGAAAAUUGAAAAACAAUAUUUAUCGACCAAAAAGUUCGAGAAGAGUUUCCUUGUUUUACCUUAAUUGGACAAAGGGAGAACUCUGAAGUAAGAGAUCUAGAUGUCAAAAAAGCAAUUAAUAUGAAAUGUCUGUAGUAAUGAAUUUCAAUUUUGUCAAGGGGGCGAAAAAACACACAGUUACGUAAUUGCACAUAGAUUCAGCAAGGGUGUCAUUUAGUAAUUGUCAUGGUAAGUGCUGUUUCCUUAAACAUAAAUAAGCCGUCUGCCUUGCACUAAUAGGGGAAAUUACGAAUGUUUAGAAAGUUCAUCUUCAAAAGGACAAGGAGGAGGAAGCAAUAUUUGGUUGUUACUAGUUGUCAGGCAAAUUAAGAAAACCACUCCAUCGAACUAAAAGAAUCACCAAUAAAGCUGAUCAAGAUAGUCAAGUACUUUUAUUGUGAGUUAAGCUAGUGUCUUUGAAAAGAAAUACAACCAAAAACUCAUUCUAGCACUAUGUAUACAGACAACCAAAAUUAACUUUUCAUCUGAAAUUGGAUCUCACCAGCACAAACGAAUAGGAAGCAGACAACAUUCUCCAGAAUACACCAAAAAGGUCAUUCUUCUAGGGCACUUCUUACAGAAAAUAAGAAGUUACUUCCAUUAGUCACCAAAAGGAAAGAAGUUGACUCAUAUUAGGCAGGCCCUUUUAAAAAAUGAGAAAUAUAUGUUGUUAACUGCAUAGUGUUUCCCCCUAUCUUUAUGUUUUAUGACACCAGCCAACUGAAAGGUUGAAAGUCAGCCACUCUAAUCAAACAAGCAAUCCAUUAACAAUAUGAAAAAUCAUGACAAGAAGUUCAUAUAUCUAGCAAAACUUCUCUGCCAAGCAAUUUUAUACGUCCUCCCAGACCUGAAUAAUGAAAAGCAUUGUUUGGAUUGAGAUGAUUUCAGAUAAAAUAAUUUGCUUCACAAAUUCCAAUUACCUUUUUAUCUUCCCAGUCACCUUUUUAUCUCACAUACAUCACAUCAUAAAAAGCGCUACAGUAAUUAUCUCAAAUAAAUCAUCCAAAUAAACUCCUAUCCAAACAAACCCUCAUAACUAGAAUCCAAAUUUAUUUCAUUAAGCAAAAACCAGAAAGGUACAAUCAUAAAGCAAUGCGCCAAUGAAAAAAUUAGCAAUUCAAAGUAACAGAAGAUCUAAGCAAUUUUAUGAUCAUCUCAACUGUAUCACAUUCUAGGCAGGAUAUUGCCAAAAUCCCAAGGCUUAUGAGAUGCUUUAAAUUUGUAUUAGCAUUAACCCCUAUAGUACUAGGACGAAAAGUUUAAUUUGAAGUCAAGAACUAGAAAAGCUCAAACUAAAAUAUUAUUUCCCAUCCUGCAUAUGUUAACAUAGAUUUUCACAUAAAUAUUAGAUGAAUUACAAAAUUAAAUUAAAUUAAGCUUAUCUUGCUAAAUCUCUGGUUGGGAAAAAAAAAAGAUUAACUAGAAUAAGAAACCAACCUCAGGAGCAAGGUAACACCGCCUUCUUCCACCAGUGUCAAAGAAAAACGAAAAAUCAGAAGGAUCAUCAUGUGGAAUAUACGUCGGUUUGAAUGAUGCAAAAUCAGCAAGAUAAAGCCAGUUCCAGGAAGUAACCAGAACAUUCUCACACUUAAUAUCACCUGCAUCAGAUUAAAUUAAGUUACUUCUUCCUAAGAAUCAAUAUAAUGUUGCUAACAGAGGAGAUUAAAUUUACACUUAUCUUACCAUGACAAACUCCAUUUUCAUGGCUCUGUUUUGCAGCAUAAAGCAGCUGCAAGACCAAAAAUUUCAUUAAGCCCUAACUGCAACUAAAAGACUAACACUGCAAUGAGAAGAAAGAAAGAAACCUGAAAAGCCAGCCAUUUCUUCUCAACAAGACUGAGGAAAGGUCGAGUGCUCAACCGAUCAUGAAGAUUAUUAAAAAAGUAUUGCCUCAACAAGUAGGCAGCUUUGUCAGUUUCAAGCCAAAACUGCAGCAUACAACAUUUGCAAAAUAAGACCAUUUUAAGCCACCAAAAAAGCAAGAAAACAAAACAAUCAUAAAGUCUUAAACUCCUUAAAGCGACUAAAAACCACAAUUAUUCAAUCAUUCAGAAGGAUUCAUCAGUCAAUGAGACAAUUAAACAUCUAAAUGUAGAUAAAGUAAAAGCCCUCCUUUUGGUGUCAAAAAUUACUGUCAGUUUAUGUCACACCAAAACUGCCCUUUAGAGUUAGUAUUAAAACUACUCAAAUCUACUUUCAUUUUACAUCAUGAUCUCAAAAACAGUAGCUUCAUUUAUUAAGAAAAAGAAAAGGGCAAUAUAACCAUCUUUCCAGCAAGCACAGGCAUAGGAUAUGCCAUAUACACUAGUCUCCAGAAGUUAUUUCUGCCUUUCUUCAUUUUCAGUCGAAACUUCAGGGAAUUCGAAACCUAAAUUUAUGGUCAUCACCUAAACACAUUCCUACCAAAUGUAAAAGGAAGAGAAAAAAAAAAGAAUGCAAAGUAUUUCCAUCAAAGUAUCAGCCUCGUGGUGCCCCCAAAUUCCAAUGAAAAAAACAAUUUCAGACUGACAUGAAUGAUUUACAAAUUUGUCUUUAUAAACCUUCAAUUGGUAGCAUAAACUAAAUUAUUUUAAAUAAAUACUACUUUACAAACACUAUUUUUCCCUGAGCUCCACUUUCUCCUAAUACCCAUAUUGGUAAACCAUAAUUCUACCUAGCUUGUAACAAAGUAACCGGGAGAAAUUCAAAUAGCAGCAUCACUUUGAUAAAGCAUUAAUCUGAUGCAACUCAUUUCCGCCACUGAUGUCCAUUGCUUUUGGCAAUCCCAAAAGGAACACUAGUUCCCAGAGCUCGACUAUGAACACGAGCUUAAUAUUUACUUCUGGCCCUUUGCUUACUACAUAUUACGCUCUCAUUUAACUGCUUUAUAAGAUGCUGCAACCAAAAAUUAAAAUGCAUCCCUUUUAUUAAAUAUGCUUCACACUACAAUUUCUCUUCCACGUUCUUCUAAGGAAUGAAGUACUAAUCUCGGCAAGGGUGAUACCAAUUUUAGCCCUAUCCUCAAACUAAAAUACAAUUAAAAUCAAUUCACAAAUAUCAGUGCGAAGGUGCAUUUAUGUACAAAUAAAUGUACUUCAGAGUAAAAGUAGAGGCAGACCUGGAAGGGCCAGACAUGAGGGUGAUCGAGGCCAGUGAAUACACCGCGAAUUUGGGAGAGGCGGCGCUCGUAGUCGCGUAAGUCAAUGGAGUCCCCUCUUUUGAAAUAAACCUUGACUAGCACAAGUCCUUCGUCGUGCUUGCACAGGAUCGAUUUCAGGAAUCGUCCUCGGCCCAAGACUUCUUUCAAUACUAAAUUAUAAGAAGACGGUAAAUCGUGCAGGUAAUACUCCGUCGCCGAAGCUUGCGUUGUUCGCGCGAUUUUAUUCCCCAUUCUGAGCUUGUGUUGUUUUCCCUCCAAGCGUUUGAAUUAGCUAGGGUUUUGUUUUCUGUUUUGCUUUUAAUUGUUUCUUUCACAUUGCGCAGGUCCGGUUUAACGGUGACCGAAGCGCGGCAGAGAGGGGGAUCGGAGGCGGAGGUGGUGAUGGGAAGGGACGGAAAAGGGGGGAGCUGCGGUUGCGUGGGACUGUGUGGCGGAAGCAAGGUAAUGCUACUGCAGCGGAUCGUUAAUUUUCCAGUGGUUUAUUGCCAUGUCAUCAACGAUUUGUUUUCACGUCUUGCACAAGAUUGUGAAAAAGCGUGGACGUAAACUAUUCAAUGGAAAUUGCAUUUUCUCACGCUUUUCACCACUCCACUUUUUUUCUUUUUUUUUUAUAAAAAAAAAACCAGUCAAUGCUCUUUGCGGAUAAAUUUUGGCUUCUCCUUUUGUUGUGAAUUCUUGUGCUUUGUGUUAUAAGUAAGUUAUUAAAAAUCAAAUGUCAUAAUUCGGUCAAUCAUUAGAAAUUAAACAUUAAUGGUGUAAUAUAUCGUAUUGUUUUUCAUAAUUUAUACCAAAAUCCUACUAUUAAGCAAUAAAUUGCCUUCCAUAUAUUAACAAAUCAUCCAAAAUCCUAGUAUCGGGUAUUUCUACUAAAACAAGUUUUUUAAAUAUAAUGUUACAGUAUUACACAAUAACUCAAAAAAUAUUUUAUCCAUACAAUAUAUCAAAUAUUUCAAAAAAAAAUUAUAUACACUGUUACAGUAACAUUUUUCAAAAACAUUCCAAAAAACAACUAAUCCAAACGGAACUAAUAAGGGUGCCUUUGGGAGUUGAGGGUUUGGACUGAAAAGAAAGGGAGAGAAGAGAAAAUCUGAUUUUCCUUUGUUUGUGAGUUUUUAGUAAGAAGGAAAAGAAAAAAAUGGGAGGAUGAAUAGUAGAUAAAAUUUUUCCUCCCAAAUUGAAAAGAAAUGAAGAGAAAGUUAGAGGAACCUUAUAAAAUUUUUUUAAAAUACUUAUUUUAUCCUUAAAAAUGUCUUGAACAAAUAUAAUGACUUUCAUAUCCAAAAUCAUUCCACUAAUUCUCAAAACUCCCAAAUAACAUAACAAUCCCUUCUCUCCUCUCGUAACUUAAGUUCUCCCUUCUUCACUUUUCUAUCCUAAACUCCCAAACUUAGCCUAAGUGUGUAUUUAUAUCCUUUUUUGUUCUUUUGAAGGUGGCUAGCAUUCUCGAUAAAACAUAAGAAGUUCUCCGAUGCAAUUAGGAGGAGGUACUUGCAAAUAAAACAAUAGCUUCCCCCAAUCAAACUAUUAAAGUUCAAGCCAAGUCGUGCAAGCACAAUUAGCGCAAAUCUUCAACGUUACGUGUUAGAUACUUGGAUAUAUCUGUGAAAUGUUUUUUCGUGGAAUUAAACUUCUGCAAAUAUGAAUCAAUUAUUAAAUAAAAGAAAUAAAUUGAUUUCCUUUUUGUGCCCUUAUCGCCAUCAUAUUUACCUAUUCCCUGUAAUUUGCUAGGCUUGAUUAGAUUUAGAAGCAAGUAAAACAACGUUCUCAAUCGCGAGGAAGAAACCAUUCGAUCAUCAAAAAGAGUACGCCCAUAAGAAUUCCACACAGUAUGGAUUCACAGAUCGGACAACUCAAGGAACAGAAGAACGCACAAGAAUUUAUUUAAUAUGGUAAAUCACAGAUCACCAUAGAUUCAUAUAUCUAGGUAUAAUCAAAGGCGUAUUUACAUUUCCAAGUUCAUAAAAAACAAAGAAAUCAGAAGAUCAACAUUUGAUAAUCACAGCCGAUGACGAUGACGAUGAUAUUUAUGAUCUUCAGUCUUCGUUCUUAAUAGGAUCUUCAUAGUUGGGAUCAUUUACGUCGAGAGCUUCUUUGUGGAUCCGUCCUAGCUCAGCAUCGGAGUAACCGUCACCGGACCACGUGAACUUGCCGCCAUGGCCACCUUUCUUCGGCGAUCCAUUCAUGCCUGUAGCCGAUUUCCUGUCUCUCCUGAUCUCCUGACCGUUGCCGGCCUUCACAUUUGUCUUGGAGCUUUUGCCGGAAUUCUUCAUCUGUCUCUCUCCACUCGUGGCUCUUCUGUAUCUACUCUAUCAAUUGAAGCGAGUGAGAACAGGAAACCCAGGUUGGCAGAAUUUAUAGGAAGCUCGGGGGUUUGUACAUUGGGAGCGGUAUUUUAAUCGCGACCUUGUGGGCUGAUCAUGUAACAUGACAGCGACUGUAACAAAUGGAUAAGAACGGACUAUUCUGUCAUUUUUUUAUUUUAUUUUUUUGGGUAUGGGAACAAACUCCGGUUUUCUUUACCAGCCAAAUCAAUGAUCAUACACUCAC